rnacentral:lncRNA from 1 species
GCUAGUUUUGCCAGCUAAUAUAAAUCUUCUUAUUGCAAAGGCUGCACUUCACCAUGACCCUCAAAUAUGGGGAGAUGAUGUGCAUCUUUUUAAACCGGAAAGAUUCGCUGAUGGGAUUGCCGAAGCUACCAAUUACAAUGCGGCUGCAUUUUUCCCCUUUGGAUUGGGACCCCGAUUUUGUGUUGGUAUGACCUUUGCAACCACAGAAACCAAAAUUGCUCUCUCCAUGAUUCUACAACGCUACUCCUUUACCCUCUCCCCUGCCUAUGUCCACUCACCAGUGCCUAUUAUCACCCUUCAACCAGAACAUGGAAUUCAAGUAAUACUUGAAUCCCUGCAUAAUGGUGCUUAAAGUUGUUGAAGCUGGCUUCCAUGCAGCACUAGGAGCAGACCAAGCUGCCGAGCCAUGCAGCUGCGACAAAAGCUCAUGCUGCUGAUUCAUUUUGGUUACUUCAAGUGUUUGUUUUGUUACUUAGUUUGAUUUGAACUAAGUUUAGUUUGAUUUGAACUAAGUUGUCAAUGUACUUGAUGUAAUUAGGUAAUGUUUGAGCCGAUAAAUCAGCUUUGCAAAGUGUACAAGUUAUGUUUAACAAUUUUCAGUGUACUUAGUGGAAGUAGGUGAUGUUUAGGUAACCAUUUUGUUUCUCUUUGACCAGCUUAUGUCUGGUAUAUGUGUUGGCAUUAUGCCAUUUUUCAAGUCAAUGAAAAUUCAUAAAAGAAUUCUUCAUCUAAUGCUCUCUUAAUUCUUUACUUUCUUUAGUUCAUCAAGAUCAAUUCUGUUUUUGUUUGUUCAUCAAGCCAUCGAGCCUUAAAGCUCAAGCUUCUGUCAGUUUUCAUUCAUCUUUGUUCUUAGUUCCAACAAAAGUACACAGUUUCUAAGAACUCAGACUUUAACUUAGUUGGUUCAUGUAGAUAGUUCAUGUUCACCUUUACGAGAUGACAUUUAAUAUGUCUAAGGUUCAAGCAUUUGCAACCUGUUUAUUAUUCCCAAGUUCUUCCCUCUUUUAUGGAAAAUGAAAUGCAUGCAAUCAAUCGAAAGAGAAUGUAUGUUUAUAGUAUUAUUGAUCAAUUUAUAGUAGUUACUAGCUAUGCCUUGCUUGUGUAAAAGCUUUCAUGCAAUUUCUCUUUUAAGGUCUGUCCUAUUUUGGUCACUUCAAAAAUUUUGUUCUCAAUUUAAUCAUUUUAAAUAAAAUAAUUGUGCGAAUUGGUCACUAUUAAAAUUUUCGUUUUUUUGACAGAUUAUUGAUGUGACACAUUAGUUCACUGAGUAAUUGACACAUGGUAUUUUUUUGUUGACUUUUGACUAAACUCUACAGACCUUGCUAUAAUUAGUCCAAAACUUUUCUCCUUAAACUUUAGUCUAAAGUUAACACAAAAUGUCAAAUGUCAAUGACCAAACAAAAGCAAAUUGAAAUUGAAAGCGGAAAUUUUAACGACAAUGACUAAUUCGCAUAAUUAACUUAUAUAGAGUGACUAAAUUGAAAAAGAAAACUGAAGUGACCAAAAUAAGACAGAUCCUAUUUUAAAGUGACAUUGUAGUUUACCCUUUUUUCUAUACGCCUUUUUCUUCCAAAUUUAUUACUGGAAAUUUUUAAAUUUUAUAUCAUGGAAAUCAAAUUAAAAAACUAUGAAAACCAAACAAAAAAAGAAAGUCAAUUAAAAGAUUUUGGGAGGUUCAAACUUAAAACUAUCAUAUGUUUAGAUAUUGAUUAAAAGGGUUAAAAUAAAAAUUGAAAAAUUUUAGACGGGACUAACAUGCUAUUAGACCGAACGUUUAGUGCCCGACCACUGCCACUCCAGCCUCACUAGAUUCGGUUUCACCCAUGUACUAUAGUAUUACUAUUUUCUUUUAUAUCCAGUCAAUGACGUAUAUUUUAUUAAAUUUUAUGAUUAGCCUUGAUUUGGUAAUAUCAAAUAAUUAUAAUAUUAAUUAUAUUAAUUAAAUUUAAUUAAAAUAUAUUUAGAAUUAUUGCUUAUAUUUCUUUGUACAUGGUUCCCAAUCAAAUUAUCGUUUACAUGCUGCAAUUGGAGAAAGAUUGAAGACCAUUUUUCUUUCUAUUUCCCAACCUUUGAAUCCAAUUGAUGACAUCGUCGGUACAUCGAUUUCUAAUCUGUUCGGUUCAUCUUAUUCAAAUCAAAUAAAUUAUUAAAAAGUUCAUAAAAUAUUUAAAAUAAAAAAUUAUAAAAUUCAGUUUAACUGAUUUUUUUAGUCUAAUUCAAUUGAUCCAUACUAGUCUAACUAGCUAUCCUACUUGUCUAAACAACAUAGUUUGAAGGUUAAUGUUUAACACAUUGAGAAUGUAUUUUCACAAUGAUCUAAUCACUUUAUUAAUCAUCGAUAUAUCCAUAGUUGGAAUAUUAAAGUUAUUGCAUGUUGCACCAAAGAUUCGAAUUUGAAUCAUGUGUAAUCUACUUUAGCAAUGUUUUUGAAUCGAAUUGAUGGAAAAAGUGGUUGAUACAUCGAUUUUCAAUCAAUUCGGUCCGUCUGAUUCAAAUUAAAUAAAUUAUUAAAAAGUUCAUAAAAAAUUAUAAAAUUAUAAAAUCCAGUUCAACUAAUUUUUUAGUCUAAUUCAACUAAUGCAUAUUGAUUUAUGGAUCAACUAAUUUUUUCCUCUCUCCAGAUUAGUUCCAUGAUCUAACUGGCCAAUCCUAUUCGGUUUAGACAAUAUAGUUUGAAAGUUAAUGAUUAACACAUUGAAAUUGUAUUUUUACAAUGAUCUAAUCACUUCAUUAAUCAUCGAUAUAGUUACUGUUGGAGUGAUAAAUUAUUGCAUGUUGGCACCAAAGAUCCGAAUUUGAAUCAUGUGUAAUCUAUCUCACUCCCAAAUUUGGAAUGAUAAAAAAAAAAAAGGCUUUUAUAAUCAGUUAAUCACUAUAUAAUUACUGAGAAAAAGAAUCAUUACAUAUAUAAUUAUUUUAAUCCUCCUAAGUACCUGCUCAUGGCCGCAGCGCAGCCCAAUUCCAAAAUAGUUUCAAGCCCAAGCCCGAAUUUGGAUCAAACCAAUCACAUUCAAGAUAUAAGGAAUCUCUGACCCAAAUCAGGCGUAAUAAUGAUGUUACGGCUGCCUGGCUAAUUUCGAUGCUAUUGGUUGGAGCGAUCAAAAAGGAAAAAGGCCACACACCCAUUUCUAGGAGUUGAAUACUCAUUGCUGCUGCGCUCUUAACUUUUUAUGUAUGUCCAUUUUUAUGAUUUGUAUAUACAGACUAAUACGAUCCGAGUUAAUUAUAAUGAUGAUAAUUAUCAAUCAUUAAAGAAACCCUUAAAUUACAAAUAACGAUGGUGACGUUAACUAUCAUUGAGAACUCAGAAAUUCAACUGUUACUGAGACUAAAAAGAAACAUCUGAAUUCAGAAUUAAGAGAACCAAAAUGAGUGCCUUGACAGAGCUUGUGAUUCUUGUCCCAUUUUGUUUCUUCCUCGUAGCUUUAAUCAAGUUCCUUUAUGAUUACUUGUGGGUGCCUCUCCGUAUACAGCGUCUCCUGAAUUCACAGGGAAUCAAAGGACCUGCUUACAAAUUCAUCCAUGGCAACAACCAUGAAGUUACCAAAAUGAAAAAGGAAGCAUUAAGCAAGCAUCUGGGCCUGACAGAUGAUAUAUUUCCCAAGGUGCAGCCACAUAUUUACACUUGGAUCAACAGAUAUGGUAAGAUCCAUCCAUGUUUUUCAGUAUGGUUUUCAAUCUUCUAGUUCUAAGAAAUGGUGGCCCCUUUUUCUAUCUUUGAUUAGGGAGGAAUUAUCUUUAUUGGAACGGUAUUCGACCUGAACUGGUUAUUUCAGAGCCUGAACUAGUCAAAGAGGUUCUCAAAAAUAGUGAAAAUACAUUUCCGAAAAAGAAGCCUUCGAUCUUUUUUAGCAAGCUACUGGGGAACGGACUUGUGCUUCUUGAGGGUGAAAAAUGGGUGAAGCAUCGGAAGCUAGCCAAUCAUGUUUUCCAUGGGGAAAGAUUAAAGGUAAAGCAUUUUAGGACGGAACAAACAAUUGUUAGCUAAAUCUUAUAUGGUUGCUUAAAUAUUUUGGAGGACUGUUUGUGCAGAACAUGACACCAGCAGUAAUUGCCAGCGUUGAAACAAUGUUAGAGAAGUGGAAAGGCCAAGAAGGCAAAGAAAUUGAAGUGUUUCAAGAAUUUAGAUUGUUGACUUCAGAAGUGAUAUCCAGAACAGCUUUUGGUAGCAACUACUUGGAAGGGGAGAAGAUUUUUGCCAUGUUGAAAGAGUUGUCUAUAAUUAUGAGCCGGAAUAAUUUCAAGACUAGUAUUCCUUUGAUCAAGUAUGUUCCAAGAUUUUAACUAGUUUUUGAAUGCAAAUGUUAGAAAGCCAAUUAAACUUCUAGAUAAAAGCUAAACUUAACUUUUUAAGAGAUAAUUUUUUUAGAACAUUCUAAAAUAUAAAAAUUAAAAAAAUAUUAUCUAGAAGAAUAGAUAUUAUACACGAACAUUUUGGUUAUUAGAUAUUCGUAAUAUUAAUGGUAAGGAUCUUGACAUGUGUCAACAAUUCAAUGGCCACUAAACUUUAUAAAUAGGGGUAGGAGUUUUCAUUUUUGGCACCUCUGUGCAACAGAGAAGCGUGUGCCAUAUUGUAAUUCUAUUGUGCAUUAAUAAAGUGUUCUUUCUCUUAUAAUUGUAAGUCUCGGCUAAGCCUUAGUUUUCUAUGCACUUAGUGCACUUGAGGAGUUAGGUUCUAUAUAUAGUUGGUUCUACCGCUUGAAUGAUAUAUGAUCGGCCUUGCCGCUUGAAUAAUAUAUGAUCGGCCUUGUUGCCUUAGUAUUAUAGUGCACUAAGAAGUUAGAAAAUAAAAGGUUAACCGACUCCAAAGAGUUGGUAUAAUAUUACUUGUAGGUCCUAGGUCUUCUAUAGUGAGUGUGUUGGGCUCAUCGAGUUCCCAACAACAAAUUUUAGGAUGUUUAUUCCUAUGGAUUUAGUUUUCUCAUAUAUGGUUGACAUUAGUUUGCUUUUACAGCAAGUUAUGGAAAGGCGUUGAUAUGCUGAAGUCAGAAGAACUUGCAAAAGGAAUACAAGAUUGUGUGAUGAAAAUUGUUAAGAAAAGAGAAGACAAAUUUGUGAAUGGAGAAGCUGACAGCUUUGGCAAUGAUUUUUUAGGAUUACUUGUAAAUGCAUAUCAUGAUUCGGACGAAAAUAACAGGCUUUCAAUGGAAGAUUUGGUAGAUGAGUGCAAAACAUUCUACUUUGCCGGGCAAGAAACUGUUAAUUCCUUACUUGCUUGGAUAGUCUUGCUUUUAGCAACUCACGGAGAUUGGCAGGAUAAAGCUAGAAGAGAGGUGAUUGACAUAUUCGGUAACCGAAAUCCAGAUUCCGAAGGCAUUUCUAAACUCAAAACUGUAAGUAAAUUGUCAAAUAUUCCAAUAUAUUUUGUAUCUCGAUCUCAAAGCUGGUGUUUCAAUCACGUCUUGUUUAUCGCAAUUACAAAUGUAACAAAUAUUAUGUGUUUAGUACAUAUUCUUUAAUUUAAUCUGACCUGUUCUUGUUUUGCAAACAGAUUACCAUGAUUAUUUAUGAAACACUAAGAUUGUAUGGUCCAUCAAAUGGCUUGCAAAGAAGAGUUACAAGAAAAGUUCAGCUGGGAAAGCUAGUCUUGCCUGCUAAUAUAGAUAUUCUGGUUCAAAAUAUUGCACUUCACCAUGACCCUCACCAGUGGGGAGAUGAUGUACAUCUUUUUAAACCAGAGAGAUUUGAAGAAGGGAUUGCCAAAGCUACCAACUACAAUGUGGCUGCAUUUUUUCCCUUCGGAUUGGGACCUCGAUCUUGUGUUGGUAUGUCCUUUGCAAUCACGGAAACUAAGGUUGCACUCUCCAUGAUUCUACAACGCUACACCAUUACCCUCUCCCCUGCCUAUGUCCACUCACCAAUGACUAUUCUCGCCAUUCGACCACAGCAUGGAAUUCAAGUAAUACUUGAGUCACUGCAUAACAAUGCUUAAAGUACACAAUAGCUAAGGGACUUGAGGUUUAACUCAAUUUGUUUAUGUAUUCACCUUUAGGUGUUAAAGCACUUUUAACAUUAGUAACCCCUUCCUAUUCCUAUGCUAUACCCUACUCAACGCAAAAACAUGGUAAAACAUGCAAUCCAUAAAUAUAUAUAUGUGUAUGUUUCAGUAUUGUUGAUCAAUAUAUAAUUUUUACUAGUUAUGCCUUAUUUCAUUUGAAUUGCAGUAUUAGCAUCCUAAAGCCUUUCCAGCAAGCAAUAGCAGCAAGAAUUAAACUAAGUUGUGAACAUCGAUACAUUGUAGGAUAGGCUUGAUCAAGAGCAUUAGUCAAACAACAGCAGCAAACAUAUCCCAUAGAUACCACUUGAUAUCAAGCACCAUAGAUACCACUCGAUAUCAAGCACCACCAUGAAUUAAACAUGGGUCUCCUCUUGAUUCUAGGUUUAACGAACGACUCUGCCAUGCCAUUCCUCUCACAAUUUACAUGAUGAAAAAAAACCGAACCAAUCUCAAUCACAAUUCAAUGAAUGUCAGAAAAAUACCCCGAAGCUUCCUGUUGGGGUUAUCAGGACAUAGAACAAGGAAGCAAGAUGUAUGAAAUAUUUUUACUUGCUCACAAUCUUGCAGCAAGGGAGAUUAUGGCUGAUAGCUCAUUUUGCUCAUUCAUUCAACUAGAAAAAACAAUACAUUUAUAACCAAAUACAUCAGUAAAUACUGCCUACUACCACUUAAAUAGCCUAGGAACUUGUAAAACAUUGCUUGUGCACAUAAACAAGCCACCUAAACUAGUCAUCCAACUACCUAAACACUUCAAGCUUUUAUCAGCUUGUUCAUUUUCAACUAAUUUAAUUACAAUGUAACUAAACAAAAAACUUGUUAAUGCAGCAUGCACAAGGGCUGCAACAUGCAAAUAACCUGCAUGCACUUUAACAUAACAACAGCAUGGUUGGCCACUUUUCAACACUUCCAUGGUCUUUCAGAUUUGUUUUUUAUACCAACAAUCAGACCAUUAGCGUAACAUCUUGUCGAUUGGAUAAAAAGAGCAAGAGUAUGCUUAAUUGCUGCAAUUUCCGCAAGUCCAUUAUCUUACCUAAAUUCUCCACGAUCAAUUAUCUCGUUAAAUUCUUUACUGCCUUCAAUAUUACCACUACAGUCUAUUCUUUCGCUUCUAUCUUGAACUACGUUAAAAUCGCCCAGCACACCCAAUUACCAUUGUGAGAGCUUCUCAGGUCCAAGACCUUCUACCAUAGCACUUUUUGAUCAAUUACAGAACACGAAGCAUAUAAAUUUUGGAUCCAACACUCAAAGAAUCAAUAUCCCAGACGACCAAGAGACCUCUUGAGCGUCCAAUUGAAGGGGAGAAAGAGAAUCCAAAAACAUCAUAAGGCCACAAAGAUCUAAUCUUCUGAUCCUUCACACUCACCAUUUUACUUCCAUGAAGACAGUUCGUGUCCAAUUUAUUAAGAACUACUGCUAGUCUCACCACUUUGUACUUAAUUUUAGCACCAAUACCCCUGAUAUUCCAAGAUAGGAUCGACAUUUGGAUCAAAGGCAAUAAAGCCACAAAAAACACUAGCAAGCAUAAACACAACCAAAAUUUAAAGAAAACAGAAACCGAUGAAAAUACCAACCAAAAACCUGCAACACACCAGACCUGCAGCAUAUUGAAUCGACAUUCUUAACCAAGUUUCUAUCGUUGCAUUCUAAAGUAAUCAACUUUACCUAGUCUUCACAAUUCGCAGACAACCCCAAAAGCUUUCCCACAUUCCAAGUUCCUUCGCCACUUGACUCAAGGUUCUUCGCCUAUUCUGCAGAUCUGAGUCAGUGAGAAUCUGACUAGCAAAUCUAUCACUCUAGUUUGAGUUUUCCAACCCCUUCUUUUACUAGUUCUUAUCCGCUCUUUCCCAAAAGAUAUCUUCAAUGUCGUCGGUGGAUUUCAACCUUCUCUCCUUCUUAGUAGCAACAACGACAAUUUCCCAAUCUAAAAGUUACCACAUAUGUCUUCACCUGGACUAGAAGAAGAGAACACCUUCUCCAUAGCCCUCCUUGCAUUAUAGUCCACCAGGCAAGAUUGGCCCACAUCAGUAUUCACCUCAUUUUUGAUCCAUUCAACUUUGGGUCAGAAGGGAACCCAUCUUGAAUGUUCUCCCCAUUUAAGUCAAAACGUUGUGUAUCUUAAAUAGUAAUUGACUAAGAUAAAUCUUCAUUUCUAGAAAUUUUUUACCCAGCUGUACUAAAGCACCUCUGAGCAUCCUCGUACAAAGAUCUUUCUUUGGUUUCUAUGCCGCCCGCAUUUGACAUCUCUAAGAACUGCUCAUCGAGUGCAUAUCCUCUCUCUCUCCCCCCCUGUGCUCUCGUCAUUUAGAAUCUAAAUCGCUAUUCUCAUUGUCAUAGUAACGACUAGCUAACUCAUCGGAACCGAUAUCGGUGAAGAAAGAAAAGGGGUCGAAGCUAUAACACAACCGACAACUCAAGGACAUCACUAAAUUCCAUUACUAUGAUGUCGAGAAAAUUCAGCAUAUUUAAUAAUACAAUGAGAUUUAUAUUAUAUAUUUUCAAUUUUUUUAAUACUCAUUUUGUACAUUGUGAUUGAAUUGUUUAAAUAUAUACGUACAUUCAAAAUUUUUAAAAUUAACUGUAUCGAGGAGUGUUUAUCACAAUUUAUUAAUGUGAUACAGUACAAAUUUUAAAUAUGUAAAAUAUCGUAGUUAUACAUAUAUGCAACAAAUUUUAUUCGAAGAAAAAAUUUAACUACUAAUUAGAUUCAUUUAAUUAUUAAUUAUGCUGUCUAUGAGACAUGUUUCCUUUCCCUUAAGAAAUAUUAAUUAAAUAAUAAAUUUAUCAAGUGUACGAUAGGUAAAUAACUAACUACUUUUCAUAAAUUCUCUUUUCUUUCAAGGGUGGUAUUGAGAACUCUAAUUGUUCUCUUAUUUGUCUAUUUCUUUCCACUUCUAGUGGCCAAAAGUAAUUAUUACUAAUAAGAUAUCCAAGAAUCAAGUAAUAAGUGUCACAAUUCACAAUGCCUAGAACUAUCUAUAGUGAUCUCUUAUCAAUCCAUAAUUAGGAGGAUAAUGCACUUCAGCACACUUAAACCAACAUACUCCUGCAUUGACAAUAAUACCUAUACUAAUCGAGUUAAGACUUAAUCGGUAAAACUUAAGUAUAAUUGAGUGACUGACGAUGUUGCUUGUUCUUCCAUAACACAAUAAUGAUUCUUUUAUUAUUUAUGCUCAAUUGAUUUUUUUUCCCUGUCAAUGCUAAUAAUUUUAUUUUGUAAUAAUAUAUUUCUAACAACCUAGGUCAUUCAUCCUAAUACUAUUCUCGCUCAAGCACAAGAGAAUUCUGAUAUAAUUUGGUGCAUUAAUAUUAGUAUCAUCUCACCCUCAAAAACGUAUAAAUAAUGACUAAAUUAUUUCAAGCCUCCUCAUUAAUGGUAAGACAUUACAGCACAGAUAUGAUAUUUUACCUUAUCUACGAAGGAACAAAAGGAAAGAUGACAACCAUAUCCCACUCAAUUACCAUUUAAAUGCUUUGUUAAAUAUGGAAAUCACAAUAGAAUAACUAAAGGAGCAACUGGAUUCAGUGUUGAGAGAAGGAAAAAUGAGUGGCUUGAUGGAGCUUGUGAUUCUUGUCGCGUGUUGUUUCUUCCUCGUAACUUUAAUCAAGUUCCUUUACGAUUAUCUGUGGAUACCUCUGCGUAUACAGCAUAUACUGAAUUCACAGGGAAUCAAAGGACCUCCUAUCAGAUUCAUCCAUGGCAACAACAAGGAAAUUGCCAAAAUGAAACAAGAAGCAUUAGGCAAACCUGUGGCCUGGACAGAUGAUUUAUUUCCCAGACUACAGCCACAUAUUUACAGCUGGAUCAACAGAUAUGGUAAGAUCCAUGCUGUUUUUUUUCACUAAGAUUUAUAACUCGUAGUUCUAUGAAAGAUUGAUCCUUUUUCUUUUUAUGUGAUUAGGGAAGAAUUUUGUUUAUUGGGACGGUGCUCGAGCUGAAUUGGUGAUUUCUGAGCCUGAACUAGUUAAAGAGGUUUUGAAAAAUAGUGAAAAUAUUUUUCAAAAAGUGAAGCUUCCAGAAAUUAGUAGGAAGCUCAUGGGGAAUGGGCUUGCGUUCACUGAGGGGGAAAAAUGGGCAAAGUAUCGAAAGCUAGCCAAUCACACUUUCCAUGGGGAAAGCCUAAAGGUAAAUCCUCCAAAUAUAUAAACUUGGUGUAAUUAAUUUACGAGAAUUAUACAUACACUACAAUAUUUUAGUAAAAUUUUGUAUUGUUUGCUAGGGAUGAGUUUCUCAUCGAAGUUGAGAAGUAUCGUGAAAAAAUAUUUUUCAAAAGUUUGAUUAUGUUUACCACAUAAAAUGUUAGAUAUAAAUUAAAAAAAGUAAUUUCAUUGAAAGCAUUAUUCCAAAAAAAAAAAAAACAAAAUAAUUAUUUUUUGGCUUUCUAGCUUAGAAUAAAAUCUAAUUUGAAUUCAUGCAUGGUUUUGUGUUGAAAAGUGUUUUCCAUCGCUACUACUUACAUAUUGGAGGAUUCUUUGGACAGAACAUGACUCCAGCAAUGAUUGCUAGUGUUGAAACAAUGCUAGAAAAGUGGAAUGGCCAAGAAGGCCAGGAGAUUGAAGUGUUUCAAGAAUUUAGAUUACUGACUUCAGAAGUGAUUUCCAAAACAGCAUUUGGUAGCAGUUACUUGGAGGGGGAGAAGAUUUUUGCCCUGCUGUACAAGUUGAAAAUACUUGUUAGUCGAAAUAUGUCCAAGACUACAAUUCCUUUCAUCAAGUAUGUUCCCUAUAACCUUAGUUAAUCCCAAGUUUUUCCUUUAUUUCAAUUAGCUUUUGAAUGCAAAUUUUGGACUUUUAUUCCCCAUAGCUUUGGUUUUCUCCUUAUAUAUAGCUUACCAUAGUUUGCUUUUCCAGCAAGCUAUGGAAAUCUGCUGAUUUGCUAGAGUCUGAAAAACUUGCAAAAGGAAUACAAGAUUGUGUAAUGAAGAUUGUUAAGAAAAGAGAAGACCAAGUUGUGAAUGGAGAAGCUGAUAGCUUCGGCAAUGAUUUUCUUGGAUUACUUGUAAAUGCCUAUCAUGAUUUGGAUCAGAAAAAUAGGCUUUCAUUGCAAGACCUGGUAGAUGAAUGCAAAACUUUCUACAUUUCCGGACAAGAAACUGUUAAUUCCCUACUGGGAUGGAUAGUCUUGCAUUUGGCAAUCUAUGGAGAUUGGCAAGAAAAAGCAAGAAGGGAGGUGAUUGACAUUUUUGGUAACCAAAAUCCUCAUCUCGAAGGCAUCACCAAACUUAAAACAGUAAGCAAACUAUCUAACCAAGAUAUUAAAUAGCCAUCACAACAUGAUGUAAUCUAACAUAUUUUCUAUUUUGCAAACUGAUGACCAUGAUCAUCAAUGAAACUCUAAGAUUGUAUGGUCCGUCAAAUGGCUUGGCAAGAACAGUUGCAAGAGAAGUACAGUUGGGAAAGUUAGUCUUGCCUGCUAAAUUAGAUAUUCUGCCUCUAAAUAUUGGACUUCACCGUGACCCUCACUUAUGGGGGGAUAAUGUGCAUCUUUUUAAACCAGAGAGAUUUGCCGACGGGAUUGCCAAAGCUACCAAUUACACCGCGGCUGCAUUUUUGCCCUUCGGAUUGGGUCCUCGAUCUUGUGUUGGUAUGACAUUUGCAACAAUAGAAACCAAGAUUGCUCUCUCCAUGAUUCUACAACGUUACACCAUUACUCUUUCCCCUGCCUAUGUCCACUCUCCAAUACUUAUUCUCACCGUUCGACCACAACAUGGAAUUCAAGUAAUAAUUGAACCGCUACAUAAUAAUUUUUGAAUUACAUAGCUAUUAAGAGAUGACAAUUAAUAUAUCUAAGGUUCUAGCUUUUACUACCCCUUCUCUAUUCCUAAGCUAUUCCCACCUUUAUAUAUAAUGAUAUGCAAGUAGCUACCGGUUUCCCAUAUGGUAAAACAUGCAAUCAAUAAAAAAGAAUGUGUUAAGGCAAGUUUUAGGAGUAGUGACUCAAGAUGUGACUGUUACACUUGGCACUACGCAAGCCACAAAAUUUUCCUUAUUGUUGGUAAUUUUGACCCAAAUAUUUUGAUUAUUUUGCUUGCAUCUUUUUUAGAAUUUGAUGCGGUCGUUGAAAGCACAAAAAUAUCUUAUCCCUAAUAAAUAAUGAAAAAGAAUAGUAAAAAGGAAGUUGGGUCAAAUCCUUAGGGACUGGACUUGCAAAAUAUCUUGCUCCGUAAAAUCCUAGGCAAAAUCUUGCCCAAGAAAACUUAGGUGCCUGAAAAAAAUAAAAUAAAAAAAUAACAUAAUAAAAUGUUUGGAUUUGAAAACGAAAAAUAAAAUAAAAACAAAUUUAAGAAUAUUGAAUCUAAAAUUAGAGAAAUUAAAAAUAGAAUUGAGAGAAAAGAAAUUCUUAUGGGAGAUUCCAGCCUCCAGUUGUCUCGUUCCGCCUUGGGUUCAAUCCUCGGCUUUUAGAUGAUCCUUCCCAAACCCAAUAAGCCAGUUAUAGUGGAAGAGGACGCCUACGACCACCAGCUCCAAGGAUUUAGACUUACGAUUUAGUGGAAUUUGACUCUAGCCAACAAUCACUUCUGUGGGAUCGUCUUAUGCUAGAUCAACGCUUCUCAAUGGCAAAUCCCACGCCAUUUUGUCUCUUGGGCUCGCCAACCUCUGACGCAGUAAGCUAACGAACCGACUGUGCAACCUUCCCAAAACAUACAAAGCGGUCAGUGAUUCAGGUGUAUUUUAGGGGGGGGGAGGAUGUGUAGCCUAUAAGCUUGGCACUCAGUGCCCAGGUGUGUUUCUGGAGGGAUGUAUAGCUACAGGCUUGGCACUUAGUGCCCAAGUGUGUUCAUGGAUGGUAUGGCUCGUUUGAGCAACCAUAUGUGUUUUAGGUGGUUACCCAUGUAUUCGUAUUUGUUCAUUAUAGUUCAUCAAGUUAAUGGUUUUUAUAAAUGGGACGUUGGUUGAAUAGUAAUAAAUAUAAUGUGAUAAAUGAUAGAUGAAUGAUGUAAAGUUUGCUUAUGUUCAAUGGUUAGUUGACAUGAUAUUGAUUUGGAUCAAUUUGUAUAAUAUGGAAUGAUAUGACUUAAAUGUGAUGAACUCACCGUUGAUAUGAAUUGUGGUAAAAGGAUAAAUCAUUUAGUUAAUUGUUUUGUCAUGUAAUUGUGGGAAUUAAGGUAAGUUACAUUGUUUUAAACCUAUGAACUUACUAAGCUUAUUUAAGGCUUACUCUAUUUCAUUUUCUAUUUCUUGUAGUUAACAUUUUGCAGAACUAGGUGAUAGGAUCAUCUCGAAGGUCAUACUAUCCAACCUCCACUUUGGUAGACUUUUAAACCAUUAAACUCAGUGAUGUGGCAUGUAAUAGGAGUUGAUUUGUAAAUAUAUGUUUUGUUGAAGUUGAGUGUUAAAUGGUGAUGUAUAAUUGUAUAUAUGUUUGUUAGCAAGUUGAUAUGCUAACUUAUGACUUGAAUGAUAACAUUUGAAUGUAAUGUUUUGGUGAUAGGGUCAUUUAUGCGUGAUGAUAAUUUGGUGUUUGGAUUUCAUAUAAGGCAUAUAUGUGAUCAUAAUCUAAUUGACAUGAGAUAGGAUUAAUUACUUGAAUUGAUGCAUGUUAUGUUAUGGUGCUAUUGAGGCAUAUUAAUUAGAUUCUAGGGAUCAUGGUUUGUGAUUUAUUUUAGCAUGAAAUUAUACAUUUUGGAUGAGUUAUCAAGUGGAUAGUUAUUAUGCAUAACUUAGGUGAUGAAUUGAUUUUGAUAGUUUGUUGAAAAAGGUACAUUUUUGGUAUAUACAGGCUAACACACGGCCAUAUGUUACACACGGGUAAGUGACAUGGUCGUAUGCUUUGUUUUUAAUUGGGAGGUUUUGGGUUACACAGUUCCAGUUUGUUACAUGGGGUGACCACAUGCCCAUGUGAUACUGUAGAUUUGGUCAUUAGAAUUUCCACACGGUUUUAGUCUCUCACACAGCCUAGCCAUGUUUGUAAGUUUUUGCAUUUAGGUCCACAAAGUUUCAUUGAGUUACACGAUCAGGUUACAUGACCAUGUGACUCCAAUUUCGCACGGUCACCUAUUGUAACACGGCCUAAGCACACAACCGUGUAACCCUGUAUUGCAAAUUUCUCCUUGAUGGUUAAAAGUUUGUAAUUAAGUCUUUAUUUGUUUCUGGGUUGGUUUAAGAGCUUUCGUAAGCUCGAUUGAGACUUGUAAUUGUUUGUAGGUCAUAUUAUAAAUGAACUAUAAAUUGUUUUGUUGUUUCAUUAAAUGUUAAAGUCAGAAAUGUAUGUGAUUUAUUCCGUUAACUAUUGUAGAUUCUAUAGCUCCGGCCCGACAGCCGGACCGGGUGAGGGGUGUUACUUACCAAUAAUGAUGAUCAAGAUGAAUGUUCCAAGAAGUAUGUUUUGAUCCUUGUUGAAAUCUCUAACCAUCAAGUUAUUUUUCAUUAUUGUGGAGCUCUUGGUCAUGUUGAAAGAUUAAUGGUGGAAGCAAGUAGUGGCAGAACCAACGCCCACUGCUCCUAUCACUGCUCGAGGUCAAGGGUAAAAAUCUAUAUGAGGGAGAAUGAGAUGUCAUCUCAUGGAUUUGAUGAACAUAAGAAGAGAAGCUAGGUUAUCUGUCAUUAUUGUAAUAUGGUUGGUCAUAUCAAAUCACAUUGUUAUAAGAUGUUGAAUGACCUGAUAUGAGAAUUGUUUGAAGACAAGUUACAACUCAAACAAGAUACAACUAGAAACAUGUAUGAGUGAGAAAAGAUUGACAAUUGAUUGAUGUAUGUUAGAAUCGUGAAGUAGAAACUGACGCAACAACUUUUGAAAAUCAAGAUGAAAAUAUUUAUGCUCUCUAGAGAUCUUGUGGUAAAAAUCCUUGUUGCUCCAUGAGUUAUAACUCUCACCUACAGAGCUAUUGAUAAGUUAGCAUCCAUUGCACCCUAUGUUGAAACACCUUAUUGAGGGGGAGUGUGUUAAUGCUACAACUAAGGGGGAGUUUCUUCUUUGCCAUGCUUUUUGUUAUUGAUUCUGUUUAUUCAUGAUGUUGCCUACAUGUUAUUACUUUAUGUAAUUGAUAAAACUUUAGCUUAUGUAGAUGUCGAGAAGAGCGGCAACCUUGGCCAAACUGCUAGGUAAUGCCAUAAUAUAACCCAUGGCCCAUCCAUUAGCACCUUUGAGUAAUCAUCGUCAUCCUGAAACUUGAUCAAGUAAAAAUCUUUCUUCAAACCCAUUAAUUGAAUGGAUUUAUUCAGCUUUCAGAGUACAUACACCUUGUUAGAGAAAGCAUUAAAAGUUAUGCGUCGGCCCAAAAGUUUGAUGUUGACAGUACCCACACAAUACGCUUCUCAAUAAAUUUGUGAACCUGAUUUGAAAAACUAAGAGAAGGUAUUCCAUCAACAUUAGUCGUUGUGAUAUCCCCCUCAUGGAACUCAAAAUCAUCAUCUUGUGAAACACUAGAAUGAUGUAAUGAAGAACCCAAAAAACGUGUUCUUAAAGGAUGUCCUAGGCAUCAUUGGUUCCUUCAUCUGCAAACCAUUCCCAUCAACCAUCGGAUCAUCAAUAUCCGGUGGCUCAUCCGGUCGCCUCCAUACCUUCUUGGUUGUCUGACCAAAGUUGACACUGGAAGUAGCGGAGUUGGAGCCAAUCACAAAAGCACCUAGAGAAAUUCUAUAACAUGUAAGUCAUUUAAUCAAUAAUCAAUAAUAAUAAUCAAUAAUCAAUAAUCAAUAAGAUAGUACCUGCUGUUCCAAAAUAAUAAUAAUUAAGCUUAGACCUGAAUUUGAUCUGCUCCAACAAUUUGUUUCAUUACUAAUCUAUUAAUAAAAUGUUGAAAAUUAUAUUUUUAUAUUAAUAUUAUCAUUAAAUUUAUAUUAUUUUUAUUUUUUAAAUUGAAUUUAGGUGAGAUGAAUGAAAACUAAUAUUAAAAAGGUCAUAAUUUUCUAUUAGAUCCUGUACUUUGCGUAAGUUAUGAAUUUAGUACUUAUAUUUUAAUUUGGUUAUUUUCAGUUCCUGUACUUUUAAAUUUGAAAAUUUUAGUCAUGGCCAAAUGAUUUAUUUUUAAAAAUUGAUGUGUCAAACAUAGUGUCACAUGUGUAAUGCUAUGUUUGUUUGUUAUUUUCACAUUUUACUCACAAAAAAUCAAUUAAUAGAUUUAACGACCGUCAUUUGCAUUAAGACUAAAAUUUUGAAAUUCAAAAAAAUCCAAUUGGUGAGCAUGGACUAAAUUUAUAACUUUAUGCAUAAUAUAUGAAUAAUGACAUAAUUUAAUCAAAUAAAUUUAACUGUUACCAUUAAAUCAGGACUACAAUAUCAAAAUUCAAAAUAAAUAAAAAUAAAAAUUGAUUAAAUUAAAGUCGAAAGUUUAAUAUCAUAUUAGACCUAUAAAAACUCUCCGGCUAAAGUCUAAUCCAAGCCCGGCGUCCUACUCCGCAUGUGAACAAAACUACUCAUAAGGCGUAAUGGACAUUGAUGUUUUAACUUAUAAUAAUAUGUCUGACAUAUACUUCCAACUAAUCUUUAUGUUGUUCGAAGGAUCCAAAAGGAAAAAAGGACACUAACCCAUAUCCAGGAAUUGCUGACACGGUUUUUUUUGUCUUUUGUUUUUUUAAAGAUUGAGAUAAGACUAAUACGACGGAGUUGAUUAUUAUGAUGAUAACUACCGACUAUUAAAAAACCCCUUAAAUUACAAAUAACGAUAGUGAUAUCAACUAUUAUUUACAACUCAGAGAGUCAUCUGUUAUUGAGACUACAAGGAACAUCUGAGUUCAGAAUUAAGACAAGCAAAAUGAGUGGCUUGAUGGAGCUUGUAAUUCUUGUCCCAUGUUGUUUCUUCCUCGUAGCUUUAAUAAAGUUCCUUUAUGAUUACCUGUGGGUACCUCUCCGUAUACAGCAUCUGAUGAAUUCACAGGGAAUCAAAGGACCUCCUUACAAAUUCAUCCAUGGAAACAAUGAAGAAGCUACCAAGAUGAGAGAAGAAGCAUUAAGCAAACCUAUGGCCUUGAGGCAUGAUAUAUUUCCUAGAGUGCAGCCACAUAUUUACACCUGGAUCAACAGAUAUGGUAAGAUCCAUGCAUGUUUUUCACUAUAGUGUUCCAAUAUAGUAGUAAAUGAAAUUUUGUAAGUAAUUAAAAGCUGACUUGGUUACUAAUAAAAGUUGUUUAUUCUGAUGAAAGAAGUUUUUUUACUUGAUUAUUAAUAAAAAAUUAGGAUUAUUUUAGUAAUAAAUAAUCAACAAUUGUAUCUAUUUUUAACAGAUGAUACUAAUCAAAUAAACUUCUAUUAAAUAGUUAUAUUUUUAUAAGUAGACAUUAGAAUUGGUAUAGAUAGGGGAGGGAUUUCAUUUUUAUGUUAUGAAAUAUUAAGACACGCUAAAAACCCAAAAACAAAAAAUUUCUCUAUUCUCCGUCAUCUUCAAAUAUUCAUAGGUUGUUUUAUCAAGAACUAUUGCAGAAGUUUUUAUAGAAUAUGAUACUUUUCCUAAUGUUCAGUGUACUAUUUUCAUUAAUGCAAAAUGUAGAUAAUUAUUGGGUUUCAUUAUAUUCUCGACACUUAUUUGUUUGUAACAUUUUUAACGCCUCAAAAUAUAAAUGAGAAGAAAUUGAAUCAUGAAAAAAGUGGCGUUGGUUAAUUUUUAUAAGUUUAUUUUUAUUCUUACCCACCAGUUCUAAGAAAAGAUGUACCCUUUUUUGUUUGAUUAGGGAGGAAUUAUAUUUAUUGGAAUGGUAUUCGAACUGUAUUAGUGAUUUCAGAACCUGAACUAGUCAAAGAGGUUCUGAAAAAUAAUGAAAAUACAUUUCCAAAAAAGAAGCCUUCGAUUUAUUUUAGCAACCUACUGGGGAACGGGCUUGUGUUGAUUGAGGGUGAAAAAUGGUUGAAGCGUCGGAAGCUUGCCAAUCAUGCUUUCCAUGGGGAAAGCUUAAAGGUCAGUCCUCAAAAUAUAUGUAUCGAUUGUAAUUAAUUUACAUGAACUAUACUUAUACUGCAAAAUUAAGGAUCUAUAAUUGUUGGCGAAAUCGUAUAUCGUUGCUUACAUAUUUUGGAGGAUUGUUUGGGUAGAACAUGACACCAGCAGUAAUUGCAAGUGUUGAAACAAUGCUAGAGAAAUGGAAAGGCCAAGAAGGCAAAGAGAUUGAAGUGUUUCAAGAAUUUAGAUUAUUGACUUCAGAAGUGAUAUCCAGGACAGCUUUUGGUAGCAAUUACUUGGAAGGGGAGAAGAUCCUUUCCAUGUUGAAAGAGUUGUCUGUAAUUAUGAGUCGAAAUAAUUUCAAGACUAGAAUUCCUCUCAUCAAGUAUGUUCCAAGAUUUUAACUAGUUUUUGAAUGCAAAUUUUAGGAUGUUUAUCCAUAUGGAUUCAGUUUUCUCCUUAUAUAUGGUUGACACAGCUGGUUUGUUUUUUACAGCAAGUUAUGGAAACCUGCUGAUAUGCUAAGGUCAGAAGAACUUGCAAAAGGAAUACAAGAUUGUGUGAUGAAGAUUGUUAAGAAAAGGGAAGACAAAUUUAAGAAAGGAGAAGCUGAUAGUUUUGGUAAUGAUUUUCUAGGAUUACUUGUAAAUUCCUAUCAUUCGAAAGAUAAUAACAGUCUAUCAAUGGAAGACUUGGUAGAUGAGUGCAAAACAUUUUACUUUGCUGGACAAGGAACUAUUAAUUCCUUACUAGCAUGGAUAGUCUUGCUUUUAGCAACCCAUGGAGAUUGGCAGGAGAAAGCUAGAAGAGAGGUGAUUGACAUAUUCGGUAACCGAAAUCCAGAUUCUGAAGGCAUUUCUAAACUCAAAAUUGUAAGUAUACUGUCCAACAUUCCAAAAUAUUUUGUAUCUCAAUCUCAGGUUUUUUAGUCAGGUCAUGUUUAUCGCAAUUGCAAAUUCAACAAAUACUAUGCAUUUAGUACAUUAUAUUCUUUAAUUUGAUUUGACAUAUUCCUGUUAUGCAAACAGAUGACUAUGAUUAUUUAUGAAACUCUAAGAUUAUAUGGUCCAUCAAAUGGCCUACCAAGAGGAGUUGCAAGAGAAGUGCAGUUGGGAAAACUAGUCUUGCCUUCUAACAUAGAUCUUCUGGUCCAAAAUAUUGCACUUCACCAUGACCCUUACCUGUGGGGAGAUGAUGUGCAUCUUUUUAAACCAGAGAGAUUUGCAAAAGGGAUUGCCAAAUCUACCAAUUACAAUGCAGCUGCAUUUUUUCCCUUUGGAUUAGGACCUCGAUCUUGUGUUGGUAUGUCCUUUGCAACCACAGAAACGAAGAUUGUGCUCUCCAUGAUUCUACAACGCUACACCUUUACCCUCUCCCCUGCCUAUGUCCACUCACCAAUGCCUAUUGUCGACCUUCAACCGCAACAUGGAAUUCAAGUAAUACUUGAACCACUGCAUAACAAUGAUUGAUGUACACAACAGCUAAGGACAUGGGAUUCAACUCUGUUUGUUACAACAUUCACCUUUAAGAGGUAACAUUUAAGAUAUCCGGGGUUUUUAGUAUUAACAACCCCUUCCCUAUUCCUAAGCUACGCCCUCCUCUAAACAAAAAGAAAUCUAUGCAUUUGCUAGUUUCCUUAGAUGGUAAAACAUGUGAUUAAACAAUACAUCCUUCAUAUGGCGCAUAUUCCAGCAAGUAAACAGUUAUAUUAUAAUGCAUUUUACUUCACCAUUCUGCUCAUAUUUCAUUUGAAUUGCAGUGUUAUCAUCCUAAAGUCACUCUAGCAAGCAAUGAGGUUGCAAGUUUCUGAUAAAUUUAGUUCUAACAGACUACUUAAGCUAAUCCACCUUGGUGCUUUGUUUUCUUUUCCUAAACUAUAUUUUUUGCUAUUCCUAGCCCAUUUAAGCAUUCAGUUGGAAGAUGGUCGAGAGUUGUUAUAGCAUUCGGAAAGAAAAGGUUAGUGUGUGUUAAGUGACUGUGUGAGGCUAAGGUUAUGAUAAUCUUCAGAUUGGUUCUGCUUACAUUAUCUAUAAUAUAAAAUUUACUUUUUAAAAAGUUGUUUAACAAGCUUAUAGCUAAGAUAGGAUAUCCAAAUAAAAUAUAUUAACAAAAAGUAACGAACAAGUGUUGGGUGGAAUGAUAAUUGCAGUAUCAAGGGGAGAAACUUUUGAUGGAAAAAAGUGCUAGGUACCCGUAAUGUUCAGGCAAACCUUCUUCAUGUAAAACUUCGCCGGAAAGAUGAUUUCAUAGGGUUCUAUUUCGUCUUCAAUCCAAUCAUUGUUCACGUUUUUUUUUCUUAUCAAUAAAUAGAUCUAUUUACUUGUAUGACUUAGAUAUCUCGUAUCUCUCAAAAUAAUGGUUCGAUUGAUGAGAUUUGUUACGAUAUUUAUGAGAUCAAUGAUAUCGAUGAUAUUGAUAUUCAAAUAUUUCUUCUUAAAUCAUAUUGAUUUAACCCCAUAAGCAAGAACACCACCCCAUAAUGUUGCCUCCAAAAGCAGAACCUCGUAUUUCCUCUAGAGAAUCUCUUAAUUGUUCAAGAGUACCUAGAAUGAAAUUCUUUAAUUAGAAAGAAUUUAGUUUAGAUGUAGGAUAUCUAUCCAGAAGUUUUCGCAACUCAUGAUAUAGAAUCAUAAAAAAAAUUCUGACUUUUUAAACAAAUAGAUCACUUGGGUGUAGAAAAGAAAUAAUUAAUAAUAAAAAUUGGUAUAAUUAGAAAAGAAUAUCUUAAGAGUUCAUUUUGUUCUCACACUAACUUUUAAUAUUUAUAUAUUAUUUUAUAAAGAAAUAUUAUAAAAAAUUCUUUUAAAAAUUGAUAUUUUUAUAAUACAUCACUCAAUGUUGAAUACAUUUCAUUAAUAAACAAUAAUUAGCUUAAUUAUUAAGAGUUGAAUUAACUAUUUUUUAAUGAAGCAUUCUCUCUCUAAAAUCUCCAUCCUCACCACUAUUCUUAUCUAAUUCACCUUCAAGUUUUAAAAUCAAUGCUCUAUCAUGUUUUGAUUUUCUUUUAAAUUUAUUUUAAAUUUUAAAAAUUCCUUUUUUAAAAUCUCAAAUAUAUUACAUUUCACACUUUUAAGAAAAUAAUGUACGUUCAAACAUUGAAAAUGACAUAAUUAAAUAAGAUAAUCACGAAUCCUGAAAAUGAACCUAAAACGAUUUGUCCAAUUCAAAAUUUGGAAUGAUAGAAUCUUAAUAGAAAAUUUAACCUAAUUUUUUGAAUAAUCUUAUUGAGGAAGAAAGAAGAUGGGACAAGAAUUACAAACUUCAUCAAGCCACUCAUUUUUCUGCUUUUGCUUCUUAUAUCAUGUUUGACGCUAUUUUGUCUUUUUUACUUGUAAAUUAGAAGAGAUGCUCCCAAUUAUUCAUUCAUCCUCUCAUAUUCAAUUGCUUAUUGUAAACUUAAUUUAAAGGAUCAAUGAUUUAUAUAAUCUCCAUGAAAUUUCUGUCACUAUUUUUUUUAUUAUUUUUUUCUAGCCAUUGUUGACUAACUGCACCUGUUAGUGGUGAAAUGAAAAAUUUUUCAUUUUACACCCUUUAUAAUUUAUAAAAUUUUAAAUUAAUAAUAAUAAAAUUAUAUUUUGACUUCUCUAAAACUGAUAAAAAUUUAAUUUAAUCUUUCAAAAAUUAUAAAAUGUAAACUAUUAAAAUAAUGAAAUUACAUUUUUAGAUUAUAUAAACUAUUAAAAUUUCGAAUAUUUUGAUGUAAUUAAAAAUAAUUGUUUAAACUAUCCUUUUAAAAAUAUAUUUAAUAUUUUAAUAUAUAAAAAAUUCCGUAUUAAAAUUAAAAUAUUUAAAUAAUCAUGUUGUAUAUAUAUUGAAACACGUUUGAAUUUUAUAUAUCAAAAUAUAUUUUAAAUUAUCACGUGAACAAGCUAUAUUCUAUAAAAAGGAAACACGUAAUAUAUACUAUUUAAAUAAUCAUGUUUUUAAAUAAAUUACACUUUUGGUCCUUUUCUUUUUGAAAAUUUGUAGUUAUGUCACCUAACUUGAGAUUUUUUAUCACCGAAAUUUGUAAACCUAUUAAUAUAUUAUUUGAAUUAGAAUUUCUUGGUUCAGUACUUAAAAUUUUGUAGAUGUUCAAUGGAAUAUAUUUAUUCCAACUUUAAAUUUAAAGAAUAAAAAUAUAAUAAAGUAAAAGUUGAUAUAUAAUCUUAAUUUUGUAUAGACUAAUUUCAAACUCAAUGCUACCAACAACUCCUAGAAAGAGUAUCCACUAAUAACAACAAACUUACAUGAGUGAGGCAUUUAUUGAAACAAUCAGCAACCAAUUUUGACUCUUUUUACCAAUUAUUUUAUAUAUUUAUUUGUAUUUUGAAGUUAACUUUAAAAUAUUCUAUAUAAAAUGAAUUUAAUAACAAUAAAUUGCCUUUUACGUUUACGAAAUUUGACCAAAUGAAAACGUUUCAAAGUGAAAGACAGUAUGGAAUCCAAAUUAUAGCUGAUGAAAUGUUAUUUCUUUUAAUUAUUAAAAACAUUAUAAUUAAGAGAUAUGAUUAUUUUAAUAAAUAGUUAUAAUUAUUAUUAAAAAAUUUCACUAUUUAAAUAGUGUUAUGAAUAUCUUAUUAAGUGGAUGUCCAUCAAGAUCAAUAUAAGUCUUUGAUGUACUUUAAAUUCUAAUAGCCAUUAGAAGUAGGUUUUGCAAAUAUUCUGAUUGAUCAAUAAAUUACGCUCUCUCUUUGUUCUCCUUCUUCUUUGUUCUUUGUCUUUUAUUUUAUAACACGUUAUCAUAACGAUUCUCUUUUAAUUGUUUUUCUCCAUAAGUCACAAAAAUAUCCAAAAAUUUAUUGUUAUCGAUUGCCUCCUAGAGUUGCUACGCGCACUAUGGGUAAUCAUUAGAGCCUUUAACCAAUGAGGUACACAUAAUUCUCUACAUUUUUUUAUGUCCUUUUAUGUAAAAAAAUUUAUAUAAUUCUUACGUGGUAUGUUUUUCUCCUUUAUUUAUUGAUUUUUGGAAAAAUUAUUUUACAAAAAAAAGUAUUAUUACUUUAAGGUUUCUUUUAAACUAAGAUUCGCAUAAUAUUUAAAUGUUUAAAGAUUUGAUUAUUAAAUUCUUGUCAUUAAAUAUUCUUGUAAUAUGAUUAAAAUUAUAGUGGAAAGUGUUAUUAACCUACCAUAGUUGAUCUAUUGAGUCUUACUAACUUUCUAAUGUUGAAUGAUUGUAUUAUAUCUUUUAAAUUGAAUUUAUAAAUAUUUGAUUAGAAGCUUCAAAAGAUUAAUUUAUAACAUAUAUGUGGUAUUGAAAUUUGGUACAAUGUGUAUCAAAUAACUUUCAAGCAUCGUACACACAAACUAAAUGAUUUUUUUACUAUUAGAUUAUAAAUGUUAUUACAAAAACAAAAUUGUUUUACUACUUGUCAUAUUGCUCGUGAUAAUAGCCAAGGUGAUACAAUGAUGUUAAAGAAUCUCAGGUAUAUUUUAUUAUAAUUUAUUUAUUAUGCCAUGUUUAUUAUAAUUGGAGACUAAUCACGACAACAUGAAUAGAUAGAUUUUGAUUUAAAAUCCACGCAUGUUUUGCAAUGGUGAUUAUGAAAUAAAGAAUCAAUGGAGGCGUUUAGAAGUAUGCCCCACUAGAUUUGUUGCAUUCCUUGAAGUGAAUGUAAACAUAAAGAAAAUAAAAGAUAUAAUCAUGGAUCACUAAAAGUGGGAACAUAGUAAUAAAUAAGAGAACAAUGAGAGUUCUCCAGAUAACUCUUCAAAGGGUAAAUAUAACUUAUGUUAUCAAUGUGAUAUGAAAUAUUAUUGGCCACAUAUGUGGCGUAUCCCAAAUAUUUUGUUUCUGUUAAUAUUUUUGAGGAAGGAUAUGAGAAUGUAGAAAUAAAUUAUGUUAUUACAGAUAUAAAAUAUUUAUCUUAUUUGAUACUGAAACAAACAAAUAUUAUUCAAAUAUUUGGUAGUACAAAAUUAGUCGACAGCUCCAGAAGAGCUAAUAUAUUAAUAUCAUCCCCAAUGGUUAAUCCAUUGGUUUUAAAAACUAUUCAUUGUAAUGGAUCUCAUAUUGAGAUUGUAAAUGAGGAAAAAAUUAUAUUUCAUAUGAAUCACUAUUGCUAUAAAUAUCUAUUUUAAAAAGAUAAAAAAAAAGGGAAGGAUUGAGUUAUUAGUUAAUCUUGUUAUUAAAUUGAAUUUAUUAUGACUAUCUUUGUGAUCUUUUGUCAUCAUCCCCAUUAAGGGGUUGAAAGCAAAAUAUUUAACUGUGAAAAAUCUACUUAUGAGCAAUAGAAUAUGGUAAUUCUAUCUAAAACUUGUUAUGGUUGGAUGCACUUGAAGUUGCAAGUUUUUUAAAACAAUGAGUAUAACUCUAUAGUAUUCAGAAUAAGAUCUUAAUUAAAAUUACGUGAAAAAAUAUUACUGAUGAGAAAUUGCAAGAGAGAAAACUUAUGUAUGAAAAAGUCAUUGGUUAUGUACCUGUUGUACACCUGGAAAAUAAAAUCCACUCUUAAAGCUUGCUAUUAAUAGAUUUUGGUUGGAUUCAAAGUCUACUACUGAAGUUUAAUUUGUUUACUUCUUGAUCAAAUCGUCAAGACUCAACGCAGAAAAAAAAAGGUACAUAUUAAAAUAUUAAAUCAACUUGAUAUAUGGUUUAAAGAUUUGAAAUGGUCUUCUUUUUAAGUUUUGAUUACAUGGCUUACAUAUUGUUUUCGGUAUCUUAUUUGUUCAUGAAAAUGACUAUUAACUGAUUUUAUAACAACCCAAAACUCGACCCAGAAGUUUUGACCAAAUUCCGGAGGUUUCAUUGGCCACCCGAAGUGGCAAAAGUAAAAACUCUGAAUUAAACAUAGAAAAUUCUUUUCGAAACCAUUUUGAUGACUAAUUAUAGCAAGUUAGAUAAAAACUUAGUUAUAUUUUGAAAACAAUGUUUACUUGGCGGCAAUGACUAAGUCAGGAAUAAACCAAAUUGGUCUUUCUUGAACAGUUUCAAAAGCAUCAAAUUUUAUCAAUCACAAACCAAAAUUCAAAACUGGAAACACAUAAUUUAACGAACAAUCCAAUUACAAAACCCAUACCACAUUUUAUAAACUCCCUUACAAAUAAACUAAAAAUAAUAAAUUGAAUUUAAGAAAUAUUGUUAAAACAAACCAAACUUUUUAAGUAUCCGAGGCCUCCAAUAUGCCGAGUCCAACCUCCAAGCUCCAAGUUAACCUAAAAGAGAGGAAACUAAGGGGAUGAGUUAUACGAGCUCAGUGUGAGACUGGAAGAGUGGUGAAGGCAAAAGACCGUAUACCAAAAUGGAUAUCUUAAAAGAAAUCUUGCAGACUAAGUGUGAAAGUCUAGUGUGAAAGUCUCGAUCCGGUACUCAGACAUAUAAACAAUGUCAUUGCCAAACAUAACAUAAAGAUAAUAUACUUAACACACUAAUUACUUAAUCAUGUCGGACUACUUAAAUUAUUUCAAGGAUGUGCUAUUAUCCUUGCAAACAGACUUAUACUCAAAUAUGAAAAUGUAUGCAGCAAACUAAACUCACCCAACCAACUGAACAUCACUUCGUCCACCCUGCACACCACACAAGACUAUAAUAAUCCUAUCUACCCAGCACACUACAUAGGACCAUGAUAGGUCCAUCCACCCUACACAUCACAAAUGUGGAACUAAGCCACUAGAAUUCAAAUGUGCAGCUGAGCUGACAUAUGUAUAAAAUCAUGCAGUAACCCGCUAGACAAAAAAUAUUGCAGUUGAACUGCCAAAUCAGUCUUUCUUCUCUUCACAACCAAAAUCCUAGAUUUUUAUGCAAAUGGAUGAAUGCACACAAUUCGCUAACAGACUCAUCGAAAUAGAGACAUAUUUUCGGUUGAAUACAUUUAGAAUCAAUUAUACUUAUAUUCAUUCACUAGGUAAUAUUUCAAAUCCAUUUAUCACAUCAUAUUAAUGCAUAAAUAAACAAUUAACUUUAAUCCUAUAAUUGCAAAUACACACACAAGUUUGAGCUGAAACAAAGUCCCAACACACUUACAGAGACCUUAACAAACGUUGGGCUACACAGAAACUAAAGCGAGUCAAUUUACAGAAAAGGACAAAAAUUUGUGAAACAGAGCCAUACAGCCGUGUGGAGGAGUUCAGACCGUAUGAGGGGUCUACAAGGCCGUAUGAAAGAGGGACACGACAGUGUGUUGGAGACACAUGCCUGUGUGAUAGGGUUACAUGGUCGUGUGAAUAACCCGUGUAACUCACUGUGCAUUUGUGUAAAAUUUAGCAAAAUUUGAGAAGCAAAACAGACACAGUUGUAUGGCCAACUCAAAUGCCCGUCUGGCUAAGAAACACGACUGCGUGUCCAAGGCAUACGCUCAUGUAGAAAAUAAUUAAAUCCCCAAACAUAGCCACACGAUCGUUUGGCACACCCCAAUUCGUAUGACAAAAAAUUACCCUAAUUUCGUAGUGACACACGGCCGUGUGGACCGCCCGUGUGGCUACCCAUGUGGUCACAAAACCACACCGAAAUAGGCUGAAAAUUGUGAAUUUGCAAUAGCAAAACAAUCCUUAAUCACUAAUAGUUUAGAAACAUACCUUAAAUUGGGACUCCGGUCACCAAUAACUGAUUGUUUCGCCUCCACAAAACUGUUCUAGAACUCAAUUACAAUUACCCACAAAAUAUUUUAAAACCUCAGUCAACAAUAUUAAAGAAUCAAGAAAAUCAAACUAAAAUUUAAAAGGAGUACUUACACAUUUCAGCACUAAAACUAAUGAACAUGCAAAUCUCCUAACAAAGCAACCGAAACCAAGGCCCCAAUGAACCGCCAAAAUAGCGCAAAACUAGCAAACCUUAAUAACCUAAUGGUGACAAGAGAAACUAAAGAACUAGAGAAUAAAGGCACCACAAAAACUCAAUGGCCAAAAAGAAUCAAAAAUUGAAACUGGAAAUGAAAUAGAGGAAAAACAACGUGUGAGAGAAAAGAGAAAAAUAAAUAAAAUCAACGAACCCACCUUAUAUGUGAAGGAAUAAGGAAAGGACACCACGCUGAUACUAUCCUUAUAUGUUGACGAUCUAUUAGAAAUUGGCAUUAGUGGAAACCUGCUAGUUGAGUUCAAGAAACAAAUGCGAGCUGAAUUUGAAAUGUUUGAUCUUGGAGACAUGACUUAUUUUCUUGGUCUAAAACUAUUUCAGUCAGAUCAAGGUAUCUUCAUCAAUCAAAAGAGCUUUGCCUUGAAGAUAUUGAACUGAUUUUGUAUGGAAAAUUGAAAGCCAGCAGGGACUCCCAUUGCUCAAGGUAAAAAACUCCCAAGCCAUGGUUAAUUUGAAAUAGUUGAUGAAGGCAAUUAUAGGAGCCUUAUAGGAUGUUUACUUUAUUUGAUAGCAUCGUGGCCAGAUAUUAUCUUUUCUGUCAGUCUUUUUUCAAGAUUUAUGCAUUGUUGUAAUGUGAUCCAUUUUAAAGUUACGAAGAGGGUUCUAAGGUAUGUCAAAGGAACUUUGAGUUAUGGAGUUGAAUAUGUGAAGGAAAAGGAGCUAAAGUUGGCUGGUUUCACAAACAGUGAUUGGGCUGGUUCUGUCGAACAUAUAUAUGAAGAGCACUUCAGGGUACUUCUUCACUUUGAGAUCAAGUGUAUUCAUUUAGAGCUCAAGGAAGCAAGAAAUUGUUGCACAAUCAGAGUACAUCACAAUAACUGCAGCAGCAAGCCAAACACUUUGGCUAAGAAAGUUAAUGUCUGAUUUAAAUCUUAAGUAAGUUGAAGCAACAGAGAUAUAUUGUGACAAUCAAUCUGCUAUUGCAAUUUGAAAGAACCCUAUCUUCCAUGACAAGGCAAAACACUUCAAGAUAAAAUACCACUUUAUUAGAGAAGUCGAGCAAUAAAAUGAAGUGAAGCUUGUUCAUUGCAGUUCAGAUAUUCAACUUGCUGAUAUUCUCACAAAACCUCUUGAAAAGUUGAGGUUCGAGAGGCUAAGACAUGAUAUUGGAGUUUGCGGCAUUAUUGCCAAGGAAGAGUGUUGUGAAGUGGCGAUUCAUACAGUGGCGAACUCAACAUGCAAAGGCACGAGCUCAAACAAGUUUGUGAGCUCUACACUUCCGAGCUCAUCCAAAGUUGUGGGCUUACCUAAAGAUGCGAGCUCAACUCAAGUUGCGAGCAUGUCAAAGUGUGAGCGUGUUAAGUUUUUUGGUNNNNNNNNNNNNNNNNNNNNNNNNNNNNNNNNNNNNNNNNNNNNNNNNNNNNNNNNNNNNNNNNNNNNNNNNNNNNNNNNNNNNNNNNNNNNNNNNNNNNGUUGCAAGUUUUUUAAAACAAUGAGUAUAACUCUAUAGUAUUCAGAAUAAGAUCUUAAUUAAAAUUACGUGAAAAAAUAUUACUGAUGAGAAAUUGCAAGAGAGAAAACUUAUGUAUGAAAAAGUCAUUGGUUAUGUACCUGUUGUACACCUGGAAAAUAAAAUCCACUCUUAAAGCUUGCUAUUAAUAGAUUUUGGUUGGAUUCAAAGUCUACUACUGAAGUUUAAUUUGUUUACUUCUUGAUCAAAUCGUCAAGACUCAACGCAGAAAAAAAAAGGUACAUAUUAAAAUAUUAAAUCAACUUGAUAUAUGGUUUAAAGAUUUGAAAUGGUCUUCUUUUUAAGUUUUGAUUACAUGGCUUACAUAUUGUUUUCGGUAUCUUAUUUGUUCAUGAAAAUGACUAUUAACUGAUUUUAUAACAACCCAAAACUCGACCCAGAAGUUUUGACCAAAUUCCGGAGGUUUCAUUGGCCACCCGAAGUGGCAAAAGUAAAAACUCUGAAUUAAACAUAGAAAAUUCUUUUCGAAACCAUUUUGAUGACUAAUUAUAGCAAGUUAGAUAAAAACUUAGUUAUAUUUUGAAAACAAUGUUUACUUGGCGGCAAUGACUAAGUCAGGAAUAAACCAAAUUGGUCUUUCUUGAACAGUUUCAAAAGCAUCAAAUUUUAUCAAUCACAAACCAAAAUUCAAAACUGGAAACACAUAAUUUAACGAACAAUCCAAUUACAAAACCCAUACCACAUUUUAUAAACUCCCUUACAAAUAAACUAAAAAUAAUAAAUUGAAUUUAAGAAAUAUUGUUAAAACAAACCAAACUUUUUAAGUAUCCGAGACUUCUGAUAUGCCGAGUUCAACCUCCAAGCUCCAAGUUAACCUGAAAAGAGAGGAAACUAAGGGAAUAAGCUAUACGAGCUCAGUGUGAGACUGGAAGAGCGGUGAAGGCAAAAGACCGUAUACCAAAAUGGAUAUCUUAAAAGAAAUCUUGCAGACUAAGUGUGAAAGUCUUGAUCUGGUACUCAGACAUAUAAACAAUGUCAUUGCCAAACAUAACAUAAAGAUAAUAUACUUAACACACUAAUUACUUAAUCAUGUUGGACUACUUAAAUUAUUUCACAGAUGUGCUACUAUCCUUGCCAACAGACUUAUACUCAAAUAUGAAAAUGUAUGCAACAAACUAAAAACUCACCCAACCAACUGAACACCACUUCGUCCUUCCUGCACACCACACAAGGCUAUAAUAAUCCUAUCUACCCAGCACACCACAUAGGACCAUGAUAGGUCCAUCCACCCUACACAUCACAAAUGUGUAACUCAGCCACUAGAAUUAAAAUGUGCGGCUGAGCUGACAUAUGUAUAAAAUCAUGCAGUAACCCGCUAUACAAAAAUAUUGUAGUUGAACUGCUAAAUCAGUCUUCCUUCUCUUCACAACCAAAAUCCUAGAUUUUUAUGCAAAUGCAUGAAUGCACACAAUUCACUAACAGACUCAUCGAAAUAGAGACAUACUUUCGGUUGAAUACAUUCAGAAUCAAUUAUACUUGUAUUCAUUCACUAGGUAAUAUUUCAAAUCCAUUUAUCACAUCAUAUUAAUGCAUAAAUAAACAAUUAACUUUAAUCCUAUAAUUGCAAAUACACACACGGAUUUGAGCUGAAACAAAGUCCCAACACACUUACAGAGACCUUAACAAACAUUGGGCUACAUAGAAAUUAAAACGAGUCAGUUUACAAAACAGGACAAAAAUUUGUGAAAUAGAGCCAUACGGCCGUGUGGAGGAAUUCAGACCACGUGAGGGGUCUACACGGCCGUAUGAAAGAGGGACAUGACAGUGUGUUGGAGACACACACCUGUGUGAUAGGGUUACAUAGUCGUGUGAGUAACCUGUGUAACUCACUGUGCAUUUGUGCAAAAUUUAGCAAAAUUUGAGAAGCAGAAUAGACACAGUUGUAUGGCCAACUCAAAUGCCCGUCUGGCUAAGAAACACGACUGUGUGUCCAAGGCAUAUGCUCGUGUAGAAAAUAAUUAAAUCCCCAAAUAUAGCCACACGACCAUUUGGCACACCCUAAUUUGUAUGACAAAAAAAUUACCCUAAUUUCGCAGUGACACACGGCCGUGUGGACCGCCCGUGUGGCUACCCAUGUGGUCACGAAACCACACCGAAACAGGUUGAAAAUCGUGAAUUUACGACAGCAAAACAAUUCCUAAUCACUAAUAGUUUAGAAACAUACCUUAAAUCGGGACUCCGAUCACUAAUAACUGAUUGUUUCACCUCCACAAAACCAUUCUAGAAACUCAAUUACAAUUACCCACAAAAUAUUUUAAAACCUCAGUCAACAAUAUUAAAGAAUCAAGAAAAUCAAACUAAAAUUUAAAAGGAGUACUUACACAUUUCAGCACUAAAACUAAUGAACAUGCAAAUCUCCUAACAAAGCAACCAAAACCAAGGCCCCAAUGAACCACCAAAAUAGCGCAAAACUAGCAAACCUUAAUAACCUAAUGGUAACAAGAGAAACUAAAGAACUAGAGAAUAAAGGCACCACAAAAACUCAAUGGCCAAAAAGAAUCAAAAAUUGAAACUGGAAAUGAAAUAGAGGAAAAACAACGUGUGAAAGAGAAAAGAGAAAAAUAAAUAAAAUCAACGAACCUACCUUAUAUGUGAAGGAAUAAGGAAAGGAAACCAUGCUGAUACUAUCCUUAUAUGUUGACGAUCUGUUAGAAAUUGGCAUUAGUGGAAACCUGCUAGUUGAGUUCAAGAAACAAAUGCGAGCUGAAUUUGAAAUGUUUGAUCUUGGAGACAUGACUUAUUUUCUUGGUCUAAAACUAUUUCAGUCAGAUCAAGGUAUCUUCAUCAAUCAAAAGAGCUUUGCCUUGAAGAUAUUGAAUAGAUUUUGUAUGGAAAAUUGAAAGCCUGUAGGGACUCCCAUUGCUCAAGGUGAAAAACUCCCAAGCCAUGGUUAAUUUGAAAUAGUUUAUGAAGGCAGUUAUAGGAGCCUUAUAGGAUGUUUGUUUUAUUUGACAGCAUCGUGGCUAGAUAUUAUCUUUUCUGUCAGUCUUUUUUAAAGAUUUAUGCAUUGUUGUAAUGUGAUCCAUUUUAAAGCUACGAAGAGGGUUCUAAGGUAUGUCAAAGGAACUUUGAGUUAUGGAGUUGAAUAUGUGAAGGAAAGGAGCUAAAGUUGACUGAUUUCACAAAUAGUGAUUGGGCUGGUUCUGUUGAACAUAUGAAGAGCACUUCAGGGUACUUCCUCACUUUGAGAUCAAGUGUAUUCAUUUAGAGCUCAAGGAAGCAAGAAACUGUUGCACAAUCAACCGCUGAAAUUGAGUACAUCGCAAUAACUGCAGAGCAAGCCAAACACUUUGGCUAAGAAAGUUGAUGUCUGAUUUAAAUCUUAAGUAAGUCGAAGCAACAGAGAUAUAUUGUGACAAUCAAUCUGUUGUUGCAAUUUGAAAGAACCCUAUCUUCCAUGACAAGGCAAAACACUUCAAGAUAAAAUACCACUUUGUUAGAGAGGUCGAGCAAUAAAAUGAAGUGAAGCUUGUUCAUUGCAGUUCAGAUAUUCAACUUGCUGAUAUUCUCACAAAACCUCUUGAAAAGUUGAGGUUCGAGAGGCUAAGACAUGAUAUUGGAGUUUGCGGCAUUAUGGCCAAGGAGAAGUGUUGUGAAGUGGGGAUUCAUACAGUGGCGAACUCAAAAGGCACGAGCUCAAACAAGUCUGCGAGCUCUACACUUCUAAGCUCAUCCAAACCAAAGUUGUGGGCUUACCUAAAGAUGCGAGCUCAACUCAAGUUGCGAGCAUGUCAAAGUGUGAGCUGUUAAGUUUUUUGGUGAAACCCUAGUUAAAGUGCGAGCAGGGUUCACAUAUCUUGAUAUCAAUGUUUUUUUUCUUUAGUCUACUUAUUUGAGUUUACUUGUCAAAGCAAAUAGAGUUAGUAUUGAUUUUAUGUUUUUAAGUAUUGAUUUGUUAACUUAUUAUUGUAAUUCAUGUGAACUGAAAGAUGACAAAUUUAUGCUCUCUCAACUUCUCAAAACACCAGCAGCAUCCCUGUCAUCAUUUUAAUAUCUUUAUAAAUUUUAAAUGAUUAAAUAAAAUUUUUAUCAAUUUUGAGAUCAAAGUACAAUUUUACCCUUAUUAAUUUAAAAUUUUAUAAAUUAUUUCACAUUAGAUUACCAUUUACAUCCUUUGUUCAGUUUGGCUAUAAAACUAAAGGCACAUAUGGAUUCAGUGGUAAGAGAAGAAAAAAAGAGUGACUUGAUGGAGCUUGUAAUUCUUGUCCCAUGUUGUUUCUUCCUCGUAGCUUUAAUAAAGUUCCUUUAUGAUUACCUGUGGGUACCUCUCCGUAUACAGCAUAUGAUGAAUUCACAGGGAAUCAAAGGACCUCCUUACAGAUUCAUCCAUGGAAACAGCAAGGAAGUUGCCAGAAUGGAACAAGAAGCAUUAAGCAAACGUGUGGCCUUAACAGAUGAUAUAUUUCCCAAAGUACUGCCACAUUUUUACGCCUGGAUCAACAGAUAUGGUAAGAUCCAUGCAUGUUUUUUCAUUAUGAUUUAUAACUCGUAGUUCUAAGAAAAGAUUGACCUUUUUCUUUUCAAGUGAUUAGGGAGGAAUUUUGUUUAUUGGAACGGUGCGCGACCUGAAUUGGUGAUUUCAGAGCCUGAAUUAAUCAAAGAGGUUCUGCAAACUAGUGAAAAAAAAAUUCAAGAAAAGAGCCUUUCAGAUAUUGGUAAGGAGUUCCUGGGGAAUGGGCUUCUAUUCAUUGCGGGGGAAAAAUGGGCAAAGCAUCGAAAGCUAGCCAAUCACGCUUUCCAUGGGGAAAGCCUUAAGGUAAAUCCUCCAGUAUGAUUAAUUGACAAGAAUUAUACAGACUACAGAAUUUUGUAUUGUUGCCUAACAACCAGUUUAUAGUCGAAGUUGAAAGUAUUCGUAGAAAAGUAUUUUUUUAACCUCAAUAGUAAGCAAAGUCUAAAUAGUAUGUGGCAACUACUUAUAUAUUGAAGGAUUGUUUGGGCAGAACAUGACUCCAGCAAUAAUUGCUAGCGUUGAAACAAUGCUAGAAAAGUGGAAAGGUCAAGAAGGCAGAGAGAUUGAAGUGUUGAAAGAAUUUAGGUUAUUGACUUCAGAAGUGAUUUCCAGAACAGCUUUUGGUAGCAGUUACUUAGAAGGGGAGAAGAUUUUUGCCAUGUUACAGAAGUUGACAAUAAUUAUGAGUCGAAAUCUUUUUAAGACUAGAAUUCCUUUGAUCAGGUAUCUUCCCUAUAAGCUUAAUUAAUCCCAACUUUUACCUUGAUUUCAGCUAGCUUUUGAAUGCAACUUUUGGACUUUCAUUCCCCAUGGAUUUGGUUUUCUCCUUAUAUAUAGCUGACCAUUGUUUGCUUUUGCAGCAAGUUGUGGAAAUCUUCUGAUUUGCUAGAGUCUGAAAAACUUUCAAAAGAAAUAAAAGAUCGUGUGAUGAAGAUUGUUAAGAAAAGAGAAGACGAAGCUGUGAAUGGAGAAGUCAAUAGCUUUGGCAAUGAUUUUCUUGGAUUACUUGUAAAUGCCUAUCAUGAUUCGGACGAGAAAAACAGGUUUUCAUUGGAAGACUUGUUAGCUGAAUGCAAAACAUUCUAUUUUUCUGGACAAGAAACUGUUAAUUCCUUACUUUCAUGGAUAGUCUUGCAUUUGGCAAUCCACGGAGAUUGGCAAGAAAAAGCGAGAAGAGAGGUGAUUGACAUAUUUGGUAACCAAAAUCCGCAUCUCGAAGGCGUCGCCAAACUCAAAAUAGUAAGAAAACUAUCUAACUGGGAAUUCAAAUAGCCAUCAACAUGAUGUAAUCUAACAUAUUUUUCUAUUUUCCAAACAGACGACCAUGAUCAUCAAUGAAACUCUAAGAUUGUAUGGUCCAUCAAAUGGCCUGGCAAGAGCAGUUACAAGAGAAGUUCAGUUGGGAAAGCUACUCUUGCCUGCUAAUAUAAGUAUUCUGCCUUUAUAUAUUGGAAUUCACCAUGACCCUCACUUUUGGGGAGAUGAUGUGCAUCAUUUUAAACCCGAGAGAUUCGCUGAAGGGAUUGCGAAAGCUACCAAUUAUACCGCGGCUGCAUUUCUUCCCUUCGGGUUGGGACCUCGAUCUUGUGUUGGUAUGACAUUUGCAACAAUAGAAACCAAGAUUGUUCUCUCCAUGAUUCUACAACGUUACACCAUUACCCUCUCCCCUGCCUAUAUCCACUCUCCGAUAUCCAUUCUCAGCAUUAGACCACAACAUGAAAUUCAGGUGAUACUUGAACCACUGCAUCAUAAUGCUUGAAGUACAUAGCUGUUAAGAACUAAGGGUUUAACGUGGUUCAUGUAUUUUAGGUUUAAGAGAUGACAUUUAAUAUGUUUAAGGUUCCAGCAUUUGCAUCCCCUUCCCUAUCCUAAGCUAUACCCACCUUUAUACAUAAUGAAAUUCAAGUAGCUACUGAUUUCCAAGAUGGUAAAACGCAAUCAAUAAAGAAGAAUAUGUUGAGGCAAGUUUCGGGAACAGUGACUUGAAAACUGACAACUGCACUCGGCACGUGUUCCUUAUUUGUUAGCAUGUUUAAAAUAAAUAUUUUAAUUAUUUGCUUGCAUCUUUUUAAAGAUUUUGUACAUUCUUAAACUAAUGGUUAUACUAAGGCUUGUUAGCGGUUUAAACUUUGGGCAAAGCACAAUAGACGUAGAUAUGUUCUCCCUGAUUGGUGUCGAAUUUACUAAAAAUAAAUUCUUCUACUUGAUACUGAAAUUAAAUUUAUAAUAUAGAGAGUAAAGUCGAUCCCACAUAAGUUAAUCUAUCCAAAUAUAUAUUCUUUAUAACUAGAACGUGUCCCAAGUAGUUUUUAUGCCCAUGACUUGUGCGAACCUGUACCAAAAAUAAGAGGGGAUAAAAUCUGAAAAAUAAAUAAACAACCGAAAUUAAUUAAAAAUAAAAAUAAAGUAGAAAUAAGUAAAAUGAAAUAAUAUUAUUGAAUUAAAUAAUUUCAGUUUUUAUAAAAAAAAAUUUAUCAUACACACCUGGAAAAUAUGAAACACAUGGUUAAAUCUUAUUGGCUUCUGGACUAAAAAUAUUAAAUAAAAGAAAGUUUUGGGUAAAAACAAUUUAAACAUGAAUGUGAGAAAGUGAGUAUAGUUUAAGAGCUAAAAUAUGAAUAAAGUCUAAAUAAAUUCCUAAAAUAUAAAAAUUCAUAAAUACAUUAAUGUGAUUAUAUAUAAUCAAAAUUAAAUAUUAAAAUCAAACUAAAUAUGAUUUAAACUUGAAUGAAACUCGUAAUUCUCGUAAAAUUCUUAUUCAAAAAUAAGUUUUUGAACUCGAAAUAAGAAAAUAAAUUUAUUAAAAGAGGCAACCACUUAACAGUGGAUGAUACAAGUCCUUGCAAGAGCAAUUACAAAAUCUGCUGAACUGCACAAUUAACAUACACCAAUAUGACAUCACCACAAGAAAAGCACACUUUACCAAUGCCAGAAAACCAUAGCCCGGAGCAGAAAACAAGAAGCGAGAGAGCAAGUUAUAUCUGAAAACAAGCACUACUACGAAACCCUUCUCAACAUGGCAAACACCACAUCAGAAACUAAGACAAACAGCAGCUCCACCCAUAAUCCAGAACCAAGCAACUAACUAUAGUGAUCGCCCUUGCUUAAAAAAAAAAAGAAAACUUUACAUAGAUCAACGAGUAAGCAUUGGACCUCACCCCAAGUAAGAAAACGAUCCAUCAAACCUUGAAAAAGCUUUAGACACCAUCACUUAUCAGUAGAUAAGAAACCUAAAACAGAGCCAACACCAGCAACACCUUAUCAAGACCAACAGCCUAGAAAAAAUCUCAAUGGAACCGAUAUCAAACGAAACUCAAUGCCAUAUCGGCUCCCAUAAAACUUUCAAACCACCCCACUGUAGCUCUUAAGACUGACGAUAACCAUACUUUAAAAUCACCAAAGCAUCCACUUCGAGAGACACCUUCAACCAUAACACAAUGAAUAGACUCAAAUUCAAUUCUAUAAUCACAACAUACAAAAAAAGACAGAAGCCAUAUUCAAUAAAAUAACAGCCUCAACCAAUCAGUAGGCCCAUAAAAGGCACAAAACACCAUAAUGCAUCAUCCAACCUCAACAACAUAGGGUUUGUUUAUCAUGGUGUUAUAAUCAAUAUUGGGUUCAAACCCACUAUAAGUAUAUUUUUAUUGAUUUUUAUUAUCUAGAAGAGUAGAUAUUAUACACGAACAUUUUAGUUAUUAGAUAUUUGUAAUAUUAAUGGUAAGGAUGUUGACAUGUGUCAACAAUUCAAUGGCCGCUAAACCUUAUAAAUAGGGAUAGUAGUUUUCAUUUCUGGUACCUAUGUGCAACAGAGAAGUGUGUGUCAUAUUGUAAUUGUAUUGUGCAUUAAUAAAGUGUUCUUUCCUCUUAUAAUUGUAAGUCCCGGCUAAGCCUUAGUUUUCUAAGCACUUAGUGCACUUGAGGAGUUAGCUUCUAUAUAUGGUUGGUUCUACAGUUUGAAUGAUAUAUGAUCGGCUCUGCCGCUUGAAUAAUAUAUGAUCAGCCCUGUUGCCUUAGUAUUAUAGUGCAUUAAGAAGUUAGAAAAUAAAAGGUUAACCGGCUCAAAAAAUUCGGUGUAAUAUUUCUUGUAGGUCUUAGGUCUUCUAUAAUGGGUGUGUUGGGCUCAUCGAGUUCCCAACAACAAAUUUUAGGAUGUUUAUUCCUAUGGAUUUAGUUUUCUCCUUAUAUAUGGUUGACAUUAGUUUGCUUUUACAGCAAGUUAUGGAAACGCGUUGAUAUGCUGAAGUCAGAAGAACUUGCAAAAGGAAUUCAAGAUUGUGUGAUGAAAAUUGUUAAGCAAAGAGAAGACAAAUUUGUGAAUGGAGAAGCUGACAGCUUUGGCAAUGAUUUUUUAGGAUUACUUGUAAAUGCAUAUCAUGAUUCGGAUGAAAAUAACAGGCUUUCAAUGGAAGACUUGGUAGAUGAGUGCAAAACAUUCUACUUUGCCGGACAAGAAACUGUUAAUUCCUUACUUGCUUGGAUAGUCUUGCUUUUAGCAACUCACGGAGAUUGGCAGGAUAAAGCUAGAAGAGAGGUGAUUGACAUAUUCGGUAACCGAAAUCCAGAUUCCAAAGGCAUUUCUAAACUCAAAACUGUAAGUAAAUUGUCAAAUAUUCCUAUAUAUUUUUUAUCUCAAUCUCAAAGCUGGUGUUUCAAUCACGUCUUGUUUAUCGCAAUCACAAAUGUAACAAAUAUUAUGUGUUUAGUACAUAUUCUUUAAUUUAAUCUGACCUAUUCUUGUUUUGCAAACAGAUUACUAUGAUUAUUUAUGAAACACUAAGAUUGUAUGGUCCAUCAAAUGGCUUGCAAAGAAGAGUUACAAGAAAAGUUCAGUUGGGAAAGCUAGUCUUGCCUGCUAAUAUAGAUAUUCUGGUUCAAAAUAUUGCACUUCACCAUGAGCCUCACCAGUGGGGAGACGAUGUACAUCUUUUUAAACCAGAGAGAUUUGAAGAAGGGAUUGCCAAAGCUACCAACUACAAUGCAGCUGCAUUUUUUACCUUCGGAUUGGGACCUCGAUCUUGUAUUGGUAUGUCCUUUGCAAUCACGGAAACUAAGGUUGCAAUCUCCAUGAUUCUACAACGCUACACCAUUACCCUCUCCCCUACCUAUGUCCACUCACCAAUGCCUAUUCUCGCCAUUCGACCACAACAUGGAAUUCAAGUAAUACUUGAGUCACUGCAUAACAAUGCUUAAAGUACACAAUAGCUAAGGGACUUGAGGUUUAACUCAAUUUGUUUAUGUAUUCACCUUUAGGUGUUAAAAUUUAAUAUAUGUGGCACUUUUAACAUUAGUAACCCCUUCCUAUUCCUAUGCUAUACCCUACUCAACGCAAAAACAUGGUAAAACAUGCAAUCCAUAAAUAUAUAUAUAUAUGUGUGUGUGUGUGUAUGUGUGUUUCAGUAUUGUUGAUCAAUAUAUAAUUUUUACUAGCUAUGCCUUAUUUCAUUUGAAUUGCAGUAUUACAUCCUAAAGCCUUUCCACCAAGCAAUAGCAGCAAGAAUUAAACUAAGUUGUGAACAUCGAUACAUUGUACGAUAGGCUUGAUCAAGAGCAUUAGCCAAACAACAGCAGCAAACAUAUCCCAUAGAUGCCACUUGAUAUCAAACACCAUAGAUACCACUCGAUAUCAAGCACCACCAUGAAUUAAACAUGGGUCUCCUCUUGAUUCUAGGUUUAACGAACGACUCUGCCAUGCCAUUCCUCUCACAAUUUACAUGAUGAAAAAGCACCGAACCAAUCUCAAUCACAAUUCAAUGAAUGUCAGAAAAAUACCCCGAAGCUUCCUGUUGGGGUUAUCAGGACAUAGAACAAGGAAGCAAGAUGCAUGAAAUAUUUUUACUUGCUCACAAUCUUGCAGCAAGGGAGAUUAUGGCUGAUAGCUCAUUUUGCUCAUUCAUUCAACUAGAAAACAAUACAUUUAUAACCAAAUACAUCACUAAAUACUGCCUACUACCACUAAGUAGCCUAGUAACUUGUUAACAUUGCUUGUGCACAUAAACAAGCCACCUAAACUAGUCAUUCAACUACCUAAACACUUCAAGCUUUUAUCAGCUUGUUCAUUUUCAACUAAUUUAAUUACAAUGUAACUAAACAAAAAACUUGUUAAUGCAGCAUGCACAAGAGCUGCAACAUGCAAAUAGCUUGCAUGCACUUUAAAAAAAAUAUAACAACAGCAUGGUUGGCCACUUUUCAACACUUCCAUGGUCUUUCAGAUUUGUUUUUUAUACCAACAAUCAGACCAUUAGCGUAGCAUCUUUUCGAUUGGAUAAAAAGAGCAAGAGUAUGCUUAAUUGCUGCAAUUUCCGCAAGUCCAUUAUCUUACCUAAAUUCUCCACGAUCAAUUAUCUCGUUAAAUUCUUUACUGCCUUCAAUAUUACCACUACAGUCUAUUCUUUCGCUUCUAUCUUGAACUACGUUAAAAUCGCCCAGCACACCCAAUUACCAUUGUGAGAGCUUCUCAGGUCCAAGACCUUCUACCAUAGCACUUUUUGAUCAAUUACAGAACACGAAGCAUAUAAAUUUUGGAUCCAACACUCAAAGAAUCAAUAUCCCAGACGACCAAGAGACCUCUUGAGCGUCCAAUUGAAGGGGAGAAAGAGAAUCCAAAAACAUCAUAAGGCCACAAAGAUCUAAUCUUCUGAUCCUUCACACUCACCAUUUUACUUCCAUGAAGACAGUUCGUGUCCAAUUUAUUAAGAACUACUGCUAGUCUCACCACUUUGUACUUAAUUUUAUUACCAAUACCCCUGAUAUUCCAAGAUAGGAUCCACAUUUGGAUCAAAGGCAAUAAAGCCACAAAAAACACUAGCAAGUAUAAACACAACCAAAAUUUAAAGAAAACAGAAACCGAUGAAAAGACCAACCAAAAACCUGCAACACACCAGACCUGCAGCAUAUUGAAUCGACAUUCUUAACCAAGUUUCUAUCGUUGCAUUCUAAAGUAAUCAACUUUACCGAGUCUUCACAAUUCGCAGACAACCCCAAAAGCUUUCCCACAUUCCAAGUUCCUUCGCCACUUGACUCAAGGUUCUUCGCCUAUUCUGCAGAUCUGAGUCAGUGAGAGUCUGACUAGCAAAUCUAUCACUCUAGUUUGAGUUUCCCGACCCCUUCUUUUACUAGUUCUUAUCCUUCAAUGUCGUCGGAGGAUUUCACCCUUCUCUCCUUAGUAGCAACAACGACAAUUUCCCCAUCUAAAAGUUACCACAUGUCUUCACCUGGACUAGAAGAAGAGAACACCUUCUCCAUAGCCCUCCCUGCAUUACAGUCCACCAGGCAAGAUUGGCCCACAUCAGUAUUCAUCUCAUUAUUUGAUCCAUUCAACUUUGGGUCAGAAGGGAACCCAUCUUGAAUGUUCUCCCCAUUUAAGUCAAAACGUUGUGUCUCUUAAAUAGUAAUUCAAAACUUGUAAAAUUAACUGUAUCGAGGAGUGUUUAUCACAAUUUAUUAACAUGAUAGGUACAAAUUUUAAAUAUGUAAAAUAUCGUACUUAUACAUAAAUACAACAAUUUUUAUUCUAAAAUAAAUAAAGUUUAACUACUAACUAGAGUCAUUUAAUUAUUAAUUAUGCUGAACCAUUUUAUAUACAUAAACAUCAGAUUUUGUGAUACUUACUCGUGUGGACAAUUUAAUAUGUAAUGAUUAUUAAAAGCCUAAGAAAUGAACUCACAAACAUUAACAAUAAUUGUCUCAAUUACACAAUCUGGAAGUUUUGUUCUUAAACUAAUCAUUAAACAAAUAAUCUCUCAAAUGAUAGAUUGCGAUUUGAUAACUCAUAUGUAAUUAUAUUGUAGAUGCAUCUACUAAAAUAAUAUUUAAACAUUCUACUUUUCAGAUAAAUGAGCUCAUAUUUCUUUCAUAAAAAUGUAAGAGAUUCAAUCUCAAUUUUUGUUAGUAAUGUUCUAAUAAAUCACCUUCAUUGAGAACAUUCGACUCAUGAUAAUUACUUAAAAUGAAGAAUCUUUAUGCUCUUUAAUAAAUAUCCAUGUAAAUUCUUAUUUAUCGUAUCAUUAUUGAUUGAGAUGGUCUAACCAAUCAUGCCAAUUAAUUAGUAUAUUUAGACCAGUAAACUUCUGGUUACUAUUCACAUGAUUCAAUGAUACUAAUGUGAACUUUUGGUUUACCAUCUCAUAUUAUUUAACCAUACUAAUAUAUACAUUGUAACAAUUAGAGGAAAAGACCAUAGUUUUUCAAUGCAAAAUUCUUACUCAAUAUAAUAGAUUUAAUUAUUUGUCUCCUCAUCCACAAUUUCAAUAUAAUAUUUGUUACAACGUAUAUCCUUUUAAAACCUGAUAAUUUAUUUGAGACUAACUAGAUUAUAUAUAGUGCAUUAAUUAUCACUUUGUUCUUUGAAUAACAAUGUAUUAACUCUUCUGGAGCCUUGAAUUAAUUUUGUUUUAUAAAAGAUUAACGUGUUCCAUUAUCACAUUAAAUACAGGGUAACAAUAUAUUAAUUUUUCUAGAGCUUUAAAUUAAUUUUGUGCCACCAAAGAUGGGUUUGUUCAUUACCAAACAAAAGAUAUGCUUCAUACCUCAGGAUAGUAUGUACUGUUGUACUGUCUAUGAGACAUAUGUUUCCUUUCCUUUAAGAAAUAUUAAUUAAAUAAUAAAUUUAUCAAGUGUACGACAGGUAAAUAACUAACUACUUUUCAUAAAUUCUCUUUUCUUUCAAGGGUGGUAUUGAGAACUCUAAUUGUUCUCUUAUUUGUCUAUUUCUUUCCACUUCUAGUGGCCAAAAGUAAUUAUUACUAAUAAGAUAUCCAAGAAUCAAGUAAUGAGUACUGUCACAAUUCACAAUGCCUAGAACUACUUAUAGUCUCUUCCCAAUCCAUAAAUAGGAGGAUAAUGCACUUCAGCACACUCAAACCAACAUACUCCUGCAUUGACAACAAUACCCAUACUAAUCGAGUUAAGACUUAAUCGGUAAAACUUAAGUAUCAUUGGGUGACUGACGAUGUUGCUUGUUCUUCCAUAACACAAUGAUUUGGUGCAUUAAUAUUAGUAUCAUCUCACCCUCAAAAACGUAUAAAUAAUGACUAAAUUAUUUCAAGCCUCCUCAUUAAUGGUAAGACAUUACAGCACAGAUAUGAUAUUUUACCUUAUCUACGAAGGAACAAAAGGAAAGAUGACAACCAUAUCCCACUCAAUUACCAUUUAAAUGCUUUGUUAAAUAUGGAAAUCACAAUAGAAUAACUAAAGGAGCAACUGGAUUCAGUGUUGAGAGAAGGAAAAAUGAGUGGCUUGAUGGAGCUUGUGAUUCUUGUCGCGUGUUGUUUCUUCCUCGUAACUUUAAUCAAGUUCCUUUACGAUUAUCUGUGGAUACCUCUGCGUAUACAGNNNNNNNNNNNNNNNNNNNNNNNNNNNNNNNNNNNNNNNNNNNNNNNNNNNNNNNNNNNNNNNNNNNNNNNNNNNNNNNNNNNNNNNNNNNNNNNNNNNNAACCUGUGGCCUGGACAGAUGAUUUAUUUCCCAGACUACAGCCACAUAUUUACAGCUGGAUCAACAGAUAUGGUAAGAUCCAUGCUGUUUUUUUUCACUAAGAUUUAUAACUCGUAGUUCUAUGAAAGAUUGAUCCUUUUUCUUUUUAUGUGAUUAGGGAAGAAUUUUGUUUAUUGGGACGGUGCUCGAGCUGAAUUGGUGAUUUCUGAGCCUGAACUAGUUAAAGAGGUUUUGAAAAAUAGUGAAAAUAUUUUUCAAAAAGUGAAGCUUCCAGAAAUUAGUAGGAAGCUCAUGGGGAAUGGGCUUGCGUUCACUGAGGGGGAAAAAUGGGCAAAGUAUCGAAAGCUAGCCAAUCACACUUUCCAUGGGGAAAGCCUAAAGGUAAAUCCUCCAAAUAUAUAAACUUGGUGUAAUUAAUUUACGAGAAUUAUACAUACACUACAAUAUUUUAGUAAAAUUUUGUAUUGUUUGCUAGGGAUGAGUUUCUCAUCGAAGUUGAUAAGUAUCGUGAAAAAAUAUUUUUCAAAAGUUUGAUUAUGUUUACCACAUAAAAUGUUAGAUAUAAAUUAAAAAAAGUAAUUUCAUUGAAAGCAUUAUUCCAAAAAAAAAAAAAACAAAAUAAUUAUUUUUUGGCUUUCUAGCUUAGAAUAAAAUCUAAUUUGAAUUCAUGCAUGGUUUUGUGUUGAAAAGUGUUUUCCAUCGCUACUACUUACAUAUUGGAGGAUUCUUUGGACAGAACAUGACUCCAGCAAUGAUUGCUAGUGUUGAAACAAUGCUAGAAAAGUGGAAUGGCCAAGAAGGCCAGGAGAUUGAAGUGUUUCAAGAAUUUAGAUUAUUGACUUCAGAAGUGAUUUCCAAAACAGCAUUUGGUAGCAGUUACUUGGAGGGGGAGAAGAUUUUUGCCCUACUGUACAAGUUGAAAAUACUUGUUAAUCUAAAUAUGUCCAAGACUACAAUUCCUUUCAUCAAGUAUGUUCCCUAUAACCUUAGUUAAUCCCAAGUUUUUCCUUUAUUUCAAUUAGCUUUUGAAUGCAAAUUUUGGACUUUUAUUCCCCAUAGCUUUUGGUUUUCUCCUUAUAUAUAGCUUACCAUAGUUUGCUUUUCCAGCAAGCUAUGGAAAUCUACUGAUUUGCUAGAGUCUGAAAAACUUGCAAAAGGAAUACAAGAUUGUGUAAUAAAGAUUGUUAAGAAGAGAGAAGACCAAGUUGUGAAUGGGGAAGCCGAUAGCUUCGGCAAUGAUUUUUUUGGAUUACUUGUAGAUGCCUAUAAUGAUUUGGAUGAGAAAAAUAAGCUUUCAUUGCAAGACCUGGUAGAUGAAUGUAAAACUUUCUACAUUGCCGGACAAGAAACAGUUAAUUCCCUACUGGGAUGGAUAGUCUUGCAUUUGGCAAUCUAUGGAGAUUGGCAAGAAAAAGCAAGAAGGGAGGUGAUUGACAUAUUUGGUAACCAAAAUCCUCAUCUCGAAGGCAUCACCAAACUUAAAACAGUAAGCAAACAAUCAAACCAAGAUUUUAAAUAGCCUUCACAACAUGAUGUAAUCUAACAUAUUUUCUAUUUUGCAAACAGAUGACCAUGAUCAUCAAUGAAACUCUAAGAUUGUAUGGUCCGUCAAAUGGCUUGGCAAGAACAGUUGCAAGAGAAGUACAGUUGGGAAAGUUAGUCUUGCCUGCUAAAUUAGAUAUUCUGCCUCUAAAUAUUGGACUUCACCGUGACCCUCACUUGUGGGGGGAUAAUGUGCAUCUUUUUAAACCAGAGAGAUUUGCCGACGGGAUUGCCAAAGCUACCAAUUACACCGCGGCUGCAUUUUUGCCCUUCGGAUUGGGUCCUCGAUCUUGUGUUGGUAUGACAUUUGCAACAAUAGAAACCAAGAUUGCUCUCUCCAUGAUUCUACAACGUUACACCAUUACUCUUUCCCCUGCCUAUGUCCACUCUCCAAUACUUAUUCUCACCGUUCGACCACAACAUGGAAUUCAAGUAAUAAUUGAACCGCUACAUAAUAAUUUUUGAAUUACAUAGCUAUUAAGAGAUGACAAUUAAUAUAUCUAAGGUUCUAGCUUUUACUACCCCUUCUCUAUUCCUAAGCUAUUCCCACCUUUAUAUAUAAUGAUAUGCAAGUAGCUACCGGUUUNNNNNNNNNNNNNNNNNNNNNNNNNNNNNNNNNNNNNNNNNNNNNNNNNNNNNNNNNNNNNNNNNNNNNNNNNNNNNNNNNNNNNNNNNNNNNNNNNNNNGCAAUCAAUAAAAAAGAAUGUGUUAAGGCAAGUUUUAGGAGUAGUGACUCAAGAUGUGACUGUUACACUUGGCACUACGCAAGCCACAAAAUUUUCCUUAUUGUUGGUAAUUUUGACCCAAAUAUUUUGAUUAUUUUGCUUGCAUCUUUUUUAGAAUUUGAUGCGGUCGUUGAAAGCACAAAAAAUAUCUUAUCCCUAAUAAAUAAUGAAAAAGAAUAGUAAAAAGGAAGUUGGGUCAAAUCCUUAGGGACUGGACUUGCAAAAUAUCUUGCUCCGUAAAAUCCUAGGCAAAAUCUUGCCCAAGAAAACUUAGGUGCCUGAAAAAAAUAAAAUAAAAAAAUAACAUAAUAAAAUGUUUGGAUUUGAAAACGAAAAAUAAAAUAAAAACAAAUUUAAGAAUAUUGAAUCUAAAAUUAGAGAAAUUAAAAAUAGAAUUGAGAGAAAAGAAAUUCUUAUGGGAGAUUCCAGCCUCCAGUUGUCUCGUUCCGCCUUGGGUUCAAUCCUCGGCUUUUAGAUGAUCCUUCCCAAACCCAAUAAGCCAGUUAUAGUGGAAGAGGACGCCUACGACCACCAGCUCCAAGGAUUUAGACUUACGAUUUAGUGGAAUUUGACUCUAGCCAACAAUCACUUCUGUGGGAUCGUCUUAUGCUAGAUCAACGCUUCUCAAUGGCAAAUCCCACGCCAUUUUGUCUCUUGGGCUCGCCAACCUCUGACGCAGUAAGCUAACGAACCGACUGUGCAACCUUCCCAAAACANNNNNNNNNNNNNNNNNNNNNNNNNNNNNNNNNNNNNNNNNNNNNNNNNNNNNNNNNNNNNNNNNNNNNNNNNNNNNNNNNNNNNNNNNNNNNNNNNNNNACAUGGACGGAAGCGUCAGCCCCGUAGUGCGGAGAAACGAAGAAUACUCAGCGAGGAGGCUAAGUACGAAUUCUAAGCCUCAUGAACUCUUUUGGGGAUUUUUGACAACCUUCGGCUAGAUGGGUUUAGUGGCUCAUGGUUGUGGUAGAAAAGAAAAUAAAUAAAUAAAAAUAAAGAUUUUAUUAAAAAGAAAUAUGAGAAGAACAAAAGCCUAAACUUUUGGGGAGAAAGUGUUUUUAGAAAAAUAUCUGGAUCCCCUUUUGAGUCACUUCACCCCCUAUUUAUAGUGCUAGGGGAGAUAGUCUAAUCCUACUUAAAUUCCUAAAAGAUAAAUACAUUUAAUUGAAGAUAAAUAAAGAUAAAAUAAAAUCCUAAAAAUAAUCCUUAAUAAUUAUCUCAAUAUUAAUUAUCCUAAUAUAAUUAAAAUAAAGUUUAAUAGAAUAAAAUCUCUUCUUUUUGCAUUUCAACCCUUGUGUCCUCCAUGCUUGCACUUUUGGCACCAACUUUUCCUCUUGUGUCGCACAUUGGCCCAUUUUAUCUCUAAAUUCACGCUUUUGGCCCUAAAUUUUGCUUUUGCCUCAAAUUUAGUCCCUAUGAGAUAAAAGAUCAUAAAUAGCUCAAAUUAGCAAGAUCAUACUCAGAAUAAAUACAUAAUUAAUACAUAAAAAUACAUUAUUCUAGAGUGUUAUCAGAAUAUUGUUUAGAUAAUCUCGUGUUUAUUAUUAAAGAAGAGAUUGAAUCAAAUAAAAUUACUUUUCAAGGAUUCUUAUGUGGCCUACUUACCUUAUAUACUAAGAUAUGCAAUCCAAGAAGAUGUAGACUAACUUUAUGAUAUUUUAUAUCCUUAUAUUAAUGAUAAUUGAUUUGAUGAGAUUUUGAUAAAUCAAGAUGAAUUAAAAGUUACUUUGUGAAGGUGGGUUUGUGCUCUAAAUAUGGAAGGUGUAAGGCCCAAUAUUUGCCCGGCUCAUAAACCAAAAAAUAAGCCAGUUAAAAGCCCAUGAAUCAAAAAAUAAUAAUACAAAAACAAAAUUAAUAAUAGUCUAAAUGUCCAUUUACAGACAUCAAACCCAAUCAACCCAAUUGGCCUAGAUCCUAGCCCAAACCUAAACCCGAUUCUAAUGCCCAUCAGCCAACCCCAGCCCAAUGGCCCAAAUCCACCGAAACCCUAGCCUUCUUUAGCAGCAUUCACCCCCCAACCGCCGCAACAGUGGCCUCCUCUCCCUAGCCACGCGCACCUCACGCACGUAGCGCCAUCACGAGCCUCCAGUUGGCCUCGUACGGCCUCGCACCUGCAACAACCUGCAGCGAACGCAACAAACAAAGCAGGGGCAGAGCAAAACAACAGAAAAUGAUAGCAAAAAGGGCAGAAAUAGUAGGAUAUUCUUGGGGAACUUUUUUCAUUUUUUCGGCAAUAAAAAUGCCAUUUUCCAGCAUUUGUAAGGGAGGGGGGAACGCAUAUUGUAGAACAUACGCAGAAAAUCAAUACAAAAGAAAGAAAAAAAAAAGGUUUUCUUUUCCUUCCACUUUCUUUUCUUCUCCGAUGGUUUUUUUCUUAUCGUUUGUUAUUAGCCUCAUAUAAGUCUAUAUAUAUAGAGCAAAUAACAGAAAGAGGGAGAAGUUAGAACUCUUACCUGGCCGCCGGAUCUCUGACCAUCUCCGUCGCCAUCGGAGUCUCGGCAGGGGUCGAGAGCGCAAGAGAGGCGCAGAGAGGAGAGCGUUUAAGUUCUCUAUUUUUUUGUUUUUUUAUUUAUUUUAUUUUUCUUUUAUUUUUUCUCUUUCUUUUCGUUUUGAAAGAAUGAAAGGAUGCCUAUCAGAUUAGGGUUUUAACUUUGGCCCUUAUGAGAUGUGAAACGACGCCGUUUGGAGUCUGAUCAGUGGCUCCAAAACGGUGCCAUAUUGGAGCCAUGACCCGAUAACCCGAUCCGAUCGUGGCUUGACCCGCAUGUUUUGAAAAGGGAGGGUUAUUUGCGCUCCAAGUCCUCCUUGUUUGUGUUUGGUUUCAAGUUGGUUUAUGCUGCUUCUUUUAAAUUUGGCCUAUCAUUUCAUUUCUGUUUCAUUUUAGUCCGUGUUGAAACGCUGGGUGUUAGGGUGGGGAUUAUUUCCUGAUUGGUCAUUCGCCCUUUUAGCGCAUUUUAUUUUGGUCCCUGGACCAUUCUUUUAGUUAUUUACAGCUUUAAUCUCGAAAUUCAUCUUAAUUUUUAAUUUAGUCUUUUUAUUAUUCUGUUUAUUUUUUAUUUAUUUUUAUUUAAAAUUAAUAAGUUUAAUAUUAUCACCAUUGGUAUUACCUAUUAUUGCCAUAUUUCUAUUUAUUUGUUUAGCUAAAUGUAAAUAUCUUUAAAUAUCUUUAUUAUUAUUAUUUUUUACCCACUUAUACUGUUUUUAAACUUUGUUUUAUAUAUAUAUAUAUAUAUAUAUAUAUAUAUAUAUAUAUACUUAUAUAUAUUUUUAUAUUCUAUAAUCUAUAUGCAUUUUUAUUUAUAUAUAUGUAUAUACAUGCGACUUCUAUACUUUAUAAUUUUUUUAAAUAUAUAUAUAUAUGCACGUAUACAUUUUUAUAACCUAUACAUAUAUUUAACAAUUCCUAAAUAUAUAUUUUUAUGUUCUAUUGUUUUAAAUAUGUACAUACUUAUAUUUUCAUAUAUAUUUCUAUAAUUUAUAUAUAUUAAUAUAUCAAUACACAUUUUAAUUUCACGAAUAUAUAUAUACUUACAUGCUUUUUUAUCUUACAAAUUUUUUAUACCUAUAUAUACAUAUAUAUAUAUUACUCUUGUAAUUUUAUUCAUUUCUUUAUUUAUCUUUUAUUUAUAUUUUCAUCAUCAUUUAGAAUGAAUGUUAUAAUUUUAUUGCUUAUAUGUUUGCAAUUGUGUAUUUUAUUAGUUUGUCUUUGUAUUUAUUUUACUUCGUAGCCCUCGUUUGUAUUAUUUUGCUUACAUCAUCAUCAUUCCAUUACGCCCAUUUUAUUUAGAUUUUCAAAAAAAAGAAAUUUAAAAAAAUAUAAGUAAUAAUCAGUAUUUGGGAUCUUCGAAAGAAUCAAGCCCUAACGUAUUGGGUUCCGAUUUUCUUCGUUGAAUCUAAAUAAUCGAGAUUUUCUUUACAUACAAAUUUCAAAUAACCCAUUCUCGGGAAUUCGACACGUUGUGUCCUAACGCAUUGGAUAUGACAUGUUAUUUUCUCGAGACGAGGAUUUUUCUAACAAAGGCAAUAUUCGAUAUUUAGGGAUAUUGUGAAAUCAAGCCCUAACUUACUGGGUCUUGAUUUUCUCAUUUAAUUCAAAUAAUCGGAUAACCUUCUCAAAACGCAUGGGUUUUAAAAGUCAAGAGAUAAAUUUAAUUUUGAAGAUUUAAAAUGUUGCACUCUAACUUACUGAGUGUGACGAUUUAUUUCUUUGAAAUAAGUGAAUCUCAUCGUCUAAUUCAUUUUAUCCAAAAGAAAAGGAUCGUAUUUUAAAAUCUUUUCAAAAUUUCGACAUUAAGACGUUAAACUAUCAAUUCGGUACCAAUUUUGGGCGUUACGAGGGUGCUAACCCUUCCUCGUGCGUAACUGACUCCCGAACCUAUUUUCUCAGAAAUUCGCAGACCUAAAAUUAUUUUCAAGGUGACCCGAUCACACCUUAAUAAUAAAAGAUCGGUGGCGGCUCCCAAUUUUCAUUUUCAAAAGUCGAUCCACGGUUUUCUAAAAUGGUUUCGAUAGAAGGCUUGUUCAACCUUGAUAAAUGUUUUAUCAUUGAGGUAGACUUUUUUGAAGUAGUUGCCAAAGUGCCAAUGGUAGUGUCCUUCGUAUCUAGCACUACAACAAGCAACAAAACUUGUCAUUUUUGGUGUUGAAAAUCUUUUCCACAAAAUCAAUUGUGCAAUGACUUGUGGACGUGUGCUGGUACACGGUUUACAAAUUGAUUUUCAUGAUAUUUGAAUGUAUUUGAAAAUGUUUACAAAUUGGUACCAAAGAUGAGAAAGGAUCGAAUUGUAAAAUGAUGUUUAGAAAUGUGUACUAAGCCCGAAUGAACAUAUGAUAGGAUACAAUUGGCAUGCCAAUAGGGGUAUUUCGCACGCUGUAUGGGUUUGAUAUGUGAUGAGGUAAUGAUGUGCUGAUCACACUGAUUGUAUCAAAAUUUAGCAUUUAUUGCGAAUUAUUAAGUUAUAGUUACAGUGAUUCAGGUGUAUUUUGGGGGGAGGAUGUGUAGCCUAUAAGCUUGGCACUCAGUGCCCAGGUGUGUUUCUGGAGGGAUGUAUAGUCUACAGGCUUGACACUUAGUGCCCAAGUGUGUUCAUCAAUGGUAUGGCUCGUUUGAGCAAUCAUAUGUGUUUUAAGUGGUUACCCAUGUAUUCGUAUUUGUUCAUUAUAGUUCAUCAAGUUAACGGUUUUUAUAAAUGGGACAUUGGUUGAAUAGUAAUAAAUAUAAUAUAAUAAAUGAUAGAUGAAUGAUGUAAAGUUUGCUUAUGUUCAAUGGUUAGUUGACAUGAUAUUGAUUUGGAUCAAUUUGUAUAAUAUGGAAUGAUAUGACUUAAAUGUGAUGAACUCACUGUUGAUAUGAAUUGUGGUAAUAGGAUAAAUCGUUUAGUUAAUUGUUUUGUCAUGUAAUUGUGGGAAUUAAGGUAAGUUACAUUGUUUUAAACCUAUGAACUUACUAAGCUUAUUUAAAGCAUACUCUGUUUCAUUUUCUAUUUCUUGUAGUUAACAUUUUGCAGAACUAGGUGAUAGGAUCAUCUCGAAGGUCAUACUAUCCAACCUCCACUUUGGUAGACUUUUAAACCAUUAAACUCAGUGAUGUGGCAUGUAAUAGGAGUUGAUUUGUAAAUACAUGUUUUGUUGAAGUUGAGUGUUAAAUGGUGAUGUAUAAUUGUAUAUAUGUUUGUUAGCAAGUUGAUAUGCUAACUUUUGACUUGAAUGAUAGCAUUUGAAUGUAAUGUUUUGGUGAUAGGGUCAUUUAUGCGUGAUGAUAAUUUGGUGUUUGGAUUUCAUAUAAGGCAUAUAUGUGAUCAUAAUCUAAUUGACAUGAGAUAAGAUUAAUUACUUGAAUUGAUGCAUGUUAUAUUAUGGUGCUAUUGAGGCAUAUUAAUUAGAUUCUAGGGAUCAUGGUUUGUGAUUUAUUUUGGCAUGAAAUUGUACAUUUUGGAUGAGUUAUCAAGUGGAUAGUUAUUAUGCAUAACUUAGGUGAUGAAUUGAUUUUGAUAGUUUGUUGAAAAAGGUACCUUUUUUGUAUACACAGGCUAACACACGGCCAAAUAUUACACACGGGUAAGUGACAUGGUCGUAUGCUUUGUUUUUAAUUGGGAGGUUUUGGGUUACACAGUUCCAAUUUGUUACAUGGGGUGACCACACGCCCAUGUGAUACUGUAGAUUUGGUCAUUAGAAUUUCCACACGGUUUUAGUCUCUCUCACAGCCUAGCCACACGGCCGUGUGAUUGUUUGUAAGUUUUUGCAUUUAGGUUCCCACGAUUUCAUUGAGUUACACGGCCAGGUUGCACGACCAUGUGACUUGAAUUUCGCACGGUCACCGAUCGUAACACGGCCUAAGCACACAACCAUGUAACCCUGUAUUGCAAAUUUCUCCUUGAUGUUUAAAAGUUUGUAAUUAAGUCUUUAUUUGUUUCUAGGUUGGUUUAAGAGCUUUCAUAAGCUUGAUUGAGACUCGUAAUUGUUUGUAGGUCAUAUUAUAAAUGAACUAUAAAUUGUUUUGUUGUUUCAUUGAAUGUUAAAGUUAGAAAUGUAUGUGAUUUAUUCAAUUAACUGUUGUAGAAUCCUGUAGCUCGGGCCCGACAACCGGACCGGGUGAGGGGUGUUACUUACCAAUAAUGAUGAUCAAGUGGAAUGUUCCAAGAAGUAUGUUUUGAUCCUUGUUGAAAUCUCUAACCAUCAAGUUAUUUUUUCAUUAUUGUGGAGCUCUUGGUCAUAUUAGACCUAAAUACUUUAACAUGUUGAAAGAUUAAUGGUGGAAGCAAGUAGUGGCAGAACCAACGCCCACUGCUCCUAUCACUGCUCCAGGUCAAGGGUAAAAAUCUAUAUGAGGGAGAAUGAGAGGUCAUCUCAAGGAUUUGAUGAACAUAAGAAGAGAAACUGGGUUAUCUAUCAUUAUUGUAAUAUGGUUGGUCAUAUCAAACCGCAUUGUUAUAAGAUGUUGAAUGACCUAAUAUGACAAUUGUUUGAAGACAAGUUGCAACUCAAUCAAGAUACAACUAGAAACAUGUAUGGGUGAGAAAAGAUUGACAAUUGAUUGAUGUAUGUUAGAAUCGUGAAGUGGAAACUGACGCAACAACUUUUGAAAAUCAAGAUGAAAAUAUUUAUGCUCUCUAGAGAUCUUGUGGUAAAAAUCCUUGUUGCUCCAUGAGUUGUAACUCUCACCUACAGAGCUAUUGAUAAGUUAGCAUCCAUUGCACCCUAUGUUGAAACACCUUAUUGAGGGGGAGUGUGUUAAUGCUACAAUUAAGGGGGAGUUUCUUCUUUGCCAUGCUUUUUGUUAUUGAUUCUGUUUAUUCAUGAUGUUGCCUACAUGUUAUUACUUUAUGUAAUUGAUAAAACUUUAGCUUAUGGAGAUGUCGAGAAGAGCGGCAACCUUGGCCAAACUGCUAGGUAAUGCCAUAAUAUAACCCAUGGCCCAUCCAUUAGCACCUUUGAGUAAUCAUCGUCAUCCUGAAACUUGAUCAAGUAAAAAUCUUUCUUCAAAUCCAUUAAUUGAAUGGAUUUAUUCAGCUUUCAGAGUACAUACACCUUGUUAGAGAAAGCAUUAAAAGUUAUGCGUCGGCCCAAAAGUUUGAUGUUGACAGUACCCACACCAUACGCUUCUCAAUAAAUUUGUGAACCUGAUUUGAAAAACUAAGAGAAGGUAUUCCAUCAACAUUAGUCGUUGUGAUGUCCCCCUCAUGGAACUCAAAAUCAUCAUCUUGUGAAACACUAGAAUGAUGUAAUGAAGAACCCAAAAAACGUGUCCUUAAAGGAUGUCCUAGGCAUCAUUGGUUCCUUCAUCUGCAAACCAUUCCUACCAACCAUCUGAUCGUCAAUAUCCGGUAGCUCAUCCGGUCGCCUCCAUACCUUCUUGGUUGUCUGACCAAAGUUGACACUGGAAGUAGCGGAGUUGGAGCCAAUCACAAAAGCACCUCUGGAGAAAUUCUAUAACAUGUAAGUCAUUUAAUCAAUAAGAUAAAUCAAUAAUCAAUAAUCGCUAUAUGAUUAUUUUAAUACUCGUAAGUACCUGCUGCUCCAAAAUAAUAAUAAUUAAGCCUAGACCUGAAUUUGAUCUGCUCCAACAAUUUGUUUCAUUACUAAUCUAUUAAUAAAAUGUUGAAAAAUAUAUUUUUUAUAUUAAUAUGAUCAUUAAAUUUAUAUUAUUUUUAUUUUUUAAAUUGAAUUUAGGUGAGAUGAAUGAAAACUAAUAUUAAAAAGGGCAUAAUUUUCUAUUAGAUCUUGUACUUUGCGUAAGUUAUGGAUUUAGUACUUAUAUUUUAAUUUGGUUAUUUUCAGUUCUUGUACUUUUAAAUUUGAAAAUUUUAGUCAUGACCAAAUGAUUUAUUUUUAAAAAUUGAUGUGUCAAACAUAGUGUCACAUAUGUAAUGCUAUGUUUGUUUGUUAUUUUCACAUUUUAUUCACAAAAAAUUAAUUAAUAGAUUUAACGACUGUCAUUUGCAUUAAGAUUAAAAUUUUGAAAUUCAAAAAAAUCUAAUUGGUGAAUAUGGACUAAAUCUAUAACUUUAUGCAUAAUACAAGAAUAAUGACAUAAUUUAAUCAAAUAAAUUUAACUGUUACCAUUAAAUCAGGACUACAAUUUCAAAAUUCAAAAUAAAUAAGAAUUAAAAUUAAAGUCUGAAGUUUAAUAUCAUAUUAGACCUAUAAAAAAAAACUCUCCGUCUAAAGUCUAAUCCAAGCCGGGCGUCCUACUCGGCAUGUGAACAAAACUACUCAUAAGGCGUGAUAGACAUUGAUGUUUUAACUUAUAUAAUAAUAUGUCUGACUUAUACUUCCAACUAAUCUUUAUGUUGUUCGAAGGAUCCAAAAGGAAAAAAGGACACUAACCCAUAUCCAGGAAUUGCUGACACGUUUUUUUUUUGUCUUUUGUUUUUUUAAUGAUUGAGACAAGACUAAUACGACGGAGUUAAUUAUUGUGAUGAUAACUACCGAUUAUUAAAAAAACCCCUUAAAUUACAAGGAGCAUCUGUUAUUGAGACUACAAGGAGCAUCUGAGUUCAGAAUUAAGACAAGCAAAAUGAGUGGCUUGAUGGAGCUUGUAAUUCUUGUCCCAUGUUGUUUCUUCCUCGUAGCUUUAAUAAAGUUCCUUUAUGAUUACCUGUGGGUACCUCUCCGUCUACAGCAUCUGAUGAAUUCACAGGGAAUCAAAGGACCUCCUUACAAAUUCAUCCAUGGAAACAAUGAAGAAGCUACCAAGAUGAGACAAGAAGCAUUAAGCAAACCUAUGGCCUUGAAGCAUGAUAUAUUUCCUAGAGUGCAGCCACAUGUUUACACCUGGAUCAACAGAUAUGGUAAGAUCCAUGCAUAUUUUUCACUAUAGUGUUCCAAUAUAGUAGUAAAUGAAAAUUUGUAAGUAAUUAAAAGUUGACUUGGUUACUAAUAAAAGUUGUUUAUUCAAAAGUGAUGCAGUUACUUGAUUAUUAAUAAAAAAAAUUAGGAUUAUUUUAGUAAUAAAUAAUGAACAAUUGUAUUUAUUUUUAACAAAUAAACAUCUAUUAAAUAGUUAUAUUUUUAUAAGUAGACAUUAGAAUUCGUAUAGAUAAGAGAGGAAUUUCAUUUUUAUAUGCUAAAAACCCAAAAACAAAGCAUUUAUCCAUUCUCCUUCAUCUUCAAAUAUUCAAAGGUUGUUUUAUCAAGAACUAUUGCAGAAGUUUUUAUAGAAUAUGAUACUUUUCCUAAUGUUCAGUGUACUAUUUUCAUUAAUAUAAAAAAGUGGCGUUGGUUAAUUUUUAUAAGUUUAUUUGUAUUCUUACCCACCAGUUCUAUUAAAUAGUUAUAACAAAAUUGACCCGUCAAAAGUCUUUGCUUCAUUCUCGUUACACGACAAUGAGGAAAGAGAAACAGCUGUAACAGGUCAAUUUUGACCUAGGCCUAAAGACCCAAAACAAAUGAAAAUAACCCAAAAAUUACAGCCCAAAGCCCAGUAAAUUAAAAUUUGUUUCAGCAAAAAAACCUAGCCCUAGCCGCAUGCACACCUCUGCCAGGUGCGCCGCUCCAGCUCCUCACACGCCGCCGCCGCCCAAGGCUCGCCUACCACCGGUCGUCCACGCGUCUGACACCUGCGAAAAUUAAAUAUAAUGGCAAAAAGGAAGCACACGAGCAAUAAUAAUAGUUAACAGAUAAUAAAGAAGAAGAAAUCAUUUUGAUUCGGCUAUAAAAGCCCGAAUCUCACCGUUGUUUUUUUUUACGAACACACAUCAGUGAAUCAAGAAAUACAGAACUGAGAUUCUAAAAGGUUGAUAGAAAUCUGAUUAUUUUCUUUAGUUUUUUCUGAUUUCCGUUUCUUAUCAUCUAUCAUUUAUUUAUUUCAUUUAUUUAUCUACGCAUUUUUUACGAAAUUUUUACAAAGAAAACGUGAAAAUAAAAAGGGAAGAGGGGACUUACCGAGGAAGCGCCGGGAUCCGGCUCACGGAGGGUUCUCCUCCUUUGCGACCGCCGGAUCUAGAGGGUGCUGAGAAUCUUCCUCUUUUCUUUUUUAAGGUUGAAGGGUUCAGCCCUCGGGGUAUUCUAAGGCCGAGGUCUUUGACCUCUUUUUCUCCGUCGUCGGCCACCGGUCUUCAUGGCUGCGGCGGCGGUGCACUGGAGGCUAAGAAACCCAAGGGUCGGUGUUUGAAAAAAAGGGAAUGAUUUUGAAACUAAAAAAGGAAAAAGAAAACAGAGGCAAGAAUGAGAAUUUUUCUUAAAUGCACCAAAUAAAAAGGCGCCAUUUGAGGGGAAGACCUGCGCAUUCUUACCCUAAUGGGUAAUUUGCGCGUUUGGUCCCUCCAUUCGUCGCUGAGAUGCAAUCUGACCAUUUUUUUUCUUUCGAUUUGGCCCGCGAGUUUUGUCUCCGCUUCAAGCAGGUCCUCUGACUAUGCGCGAUCACUUGCCUUGAAAUGCCGCGUCUAAGGGGUUUAGGAUAUUUUCUUCUUCGCUCCCUGAUACUUUCAGCGCGUGGCGAAUUGGUCCCUUUUUCCUCUUUGUUUUUUUAUAUUUAUCCCCUUUGUUUUAUUAUGAUUUCAAUUGCACCCUUGAUCCUUUUAACACUAUUUUUAUAUAUUUUUAAACUGUCUUUUUUAUUAUUUAAGACUUUCUUUUAUAUAUUUUAUUUUAAACUAUUUUAGAUUAACUAGUAUUUAUCUCAAGUUUUUUAUUUUAUUUAUUUAUUUAUUUGGUUUAAAUUUAUAUGUCAUCAUCUUAUAUAUUAUUAUAUUAAAAUAUUUUAAUAUUCAUAAUUUCAAAUUGUUGAUACAUUUUUAUAAUAUAUAUUUACGUACAUACUUUUCAUUUAUUAUAAAUAUACUUUUUAUAUUUUAUAUUUCAUAUUUUUAUGUAUACAUAGAUAUAGGCAUAAAUACAUACAUCUUAAUUCAUAUAUAUGUAUAUAUACGUACUUAUACAUACUUAAAUAUAUUUUUCAUAUUUCAUAAUUCUUAUAUACUUACAUAUAUUUAUACAUAUUUUACAUCAUAUACAUACUUAUAUAUAUUCUUUAUAUUCUUAAAAAUACUUUUUGUAUAUUUCACAUAUUUUAUAAUUCACAUACAUAUAUUUUAUAUUAUUACAAUUUGUAAAUAUAUAUAAACACAUAUUUACAUUUUUAUUUUUAUAAUACUUACCGAUUUUUUAUAUAUGUAUAUAUUUAUCUAUGUUUUCAUACUCUAUAAUUUAUAUGCAUUUCUUAUUUUUAUGGCUUAAAAUUAUACAUGCAUAUACAUUUUUACAUAAUUGUAUUUAUUGUCAUCAUUGUUAUUUGGUGUUUGUUUAUUUAUUCAUGUACACUUGUGCUUUUCUAAAAUGUUAGUUCUAUUUAUUUAUUUGUUUGCUUUGUUUAUGUAAUCGCCUCGUCAUUUCAUUUUGCCUAUUGUAUUGUUGUUACUCACUUUACUUUGCUUACCUUGUCGUAUUCGUUAUUGUUUUGUCAAGCAUUAACACCAAACAUCAAAAGGAAAGUUUUUCUAAAUAAGGCAAUAUUUCGCGUUUGGAAAAUCGAGAAAACGUGCCCUAACGUGCUGGGUUUCGAUUUCUCGUUCGACCAAAUAGCCAAAUAUCCUUUUUAAACUUUUAAAUAAGGCAAUAUUUCGCGUUUGGAAAAUCGAGAAAACGUGCCCUAACGUGCUGGGUUUCGAUUUCUCGUUCGACUAAAUAGCCAAAUAUCCUCUUAAAGCUUCAAAGUAUGGUUUCAUUAAACUAUAAGGUGAUCUUGGUUUCGAUGGUUUAGAGUAUCGUGUCCUAACGUGCUGGAUGUGAUAUUCCUUCGGAACAAGAGAAUCUUAUAUUUCAAUUCACGUUAUCAGAGUUUCUUUUAAGGAUUGUAUUUUUAAAACUCUUCAAAUUUUUAAUUUUCGACACUAAGACACUAAUUAAUCAACUAUGUACCAAUUUUGGGCGUAUCGAGGGUGCUAAUCCUUCCUCGUGCGUAACCGAUUCCGAACCCUUUUUUUGAAUUUUGUAGACCAAAAUCUUUGUUUUAAUAAAAAUUAAAUCGUUUAUUAAAAACAACCACUUUUCGAGGUGACCCGAUCACACCUCAUCAAAAAAGAUUGGUGGCGACUCCCGUUUUCAUUCUAUUUUCAAAAUCUAAGUCGACCCCGUUUUCAUAAAAAAAAAAUGGUGUCAACAAUCAAUAAUAAAAAUUGGUAUAAUUAGAAAAUAAUAUCUAUUUGUUCUCACACUAACUUUUAAUAUUUAUAUAUUAUUUUAUAAAGAAUUAUUAUAAAAAAAUCUUUUAAAAAUUGAUAUUUUUAUAAUACAUCACUCAAUGUUGAAUACAUUUCAUUAAUAAACAAUAAUUAGCUUAAUUAUUAAGAGUUGAAUUAACUAUUUUUUAAUGAAGCAUUCUCUCUCUAAAAUCUCCAUCCUCACCACUAUUCUUACCUAAUUCACCUUCAAGUUUUAAAAUCAAUGUUCUAUCAUGUUUUGAUUUUCUUUUAAAUUUAUUUAAAAAUUCCUUUUUAAAAAUCUCAAAUAUAAUCAAUAACUAUUGAGUACAAUGGUAAAAUAUAUUGUAUUUCACACUUUUAAGAAAAUAAUGUACGUUCAAACAUGAAAAAUAACAUAAUUAAAUAGGAUAAUCUCGAAUCUUGAAAAUGAACCGUAAAACGAUUUGUUCAAUUCAAAAUUUAGAAUGAUAGAAUUUUAAUAGAAAAUUUAACCUAAAUUUUGAUAUAAUGUUUUGAGAGGAAGAAAGAAGAUGAGACAAGAAUUACAAACUUCAUCAAGCCACUCAUUUUUCUGCUCUUGCUUCUGAAUUACAGCCUGAUGUUCCUUUAGUAAUUAUAUCAUGUUUGAUGCUAUUUUGUCCUUUUUACUUGUAAAUUAGAAGAGAUGCUCCCAAUUAUUCAUUCAUCCUCUCAUAUUCAACUGCUUAUUGUAAACUUUAUUUAAAGGAACAAUGAUUUAUCUAAUCUCCAUGAAAUUUCUGUCACUAUUUUUUUAUUUUUUAUUUCUAGCCAUUGUUGACUAACUGCACUUGUUAGUGGUGGAGCGGGUGCCGGGUACUGUACUUAAAAUGGAAAUUUUUUUAUUUUACACCUUUUAUAAUUUAUAAAAUUUUAAAUUAAUAAUAAUAAAAUUAUAUUUUGACUCCUCUAAAACUGAUAAAAAUUUAAUUUGAUCUUUCAAAAAUUAUAAAAUAUAAACUAUUAAAAUAAUGAAAUUACAUAUUUUAUAUUACAUAAACUAUUAAAAAUUUAAAAUAUAUUUCGAAUAUUUUGAUAUAAUUAAAAAUAUUUGUUUAAACUAUCCUUUUAAAAUAUAUUUAAUAUUUUAAUAUAUAAAAAAAUCCGUAUUAAAAUUUUAAAAUAUUUAAAUAAUCACGUUUUAUAUAUAUUGAAACACGUUUGAAUUAUAUUUUAAAUUAUUACGUGAACAAGCUAUAUUCUAUAAAAAUGCUUUUAAACAAAUUACACUUUUGGUCCUUUAUUUUUGAAAAUUUGUAGUUAUGUCACCUAACUUGAGAUUUUUUAUCACCGAAAUUUGAAUUAGAAUUUCUUGGUUCAGUACUUAAAAUUUUCUAGAUGUUCAACAGAUUUGAUAAUGGAAUAUAUUUAUUCCAACUUUACAUUUAAAGAAUAUAAAUAUAAUAAAGUAAAAGUUGAUAUAUAAUCUUAAUUUUGGAUAGACUAUUUUCAAACUUAAUGCCACCAACAACUCCUAGAAAGAGUAUCCACUAAUAACAAUAAACUUACAUGAGUGAGGGAUUUCUUUUUGAAAGUUUGUAGUUAUGUCACCUAACUUGAGAUUUUUUCCAACUUUAAAAUUAAAGAAUAUAACUAUAAAUAGACUAAUUUCAAACUUAACGCUACCAACAACUCCUAGAAAGAGUACUAUCCACUAAUUAUAGCAAUAAACUUACAGGAGUGAGGGAUUUCUUGAAACAAUCAGCAACCAAUUUUGACUCUUUUUACCAAUUAUUUUAUAUAUUUAUUUGUAUUUUGAAGUUAACUUUAAAAUAUUCUAUAUAAAAUGAAUUUAAUAACAGUAAAUGGACUUUUACGUUUACGAAAUUUGACCAAAUGGAAACGUUUCAAUGUGACAGACUAUAUGGAAUCCAAAUUAUAGCUGAUGAAAUGUUAUUUCUUUUAAUUAUUAAAAACAUUAUAAUUAAGAGAUAUGAUUAUUUUAAUAAAUAGUUAUAAUUAUUAUUAAAAAAUUUCACUAUUUAAAUAGUAUUAUGAAUAUCUUAUUAAGUGGAUAUCCAUCAAGAUCCAUAUAAGUCUUUGAUGUACUUUCAAUUCUAAUAGUCAUUAGAAGUAGGUUUUGCAAAUAUUCUGAUUGAUCAAUAAAUUACGCUCAUUCUCAUUCUCCUUGUUCUUUAUUCUUUGUCUUUUAUUUUUUAACACGUUAUCAUAACGAUUCUCUUUUAAUUGUUUUUCUCCAUAAGUCACAAAAAUAUCCAAAAUUUUAUUGUUGUCAAUUGCCUCCUAGAGCUGCUACGCGCACUAUGGGUAAUCAUUAGAGCCUUUAAACAAUUAGGUACACAUAAAUCUCUAAAAUUUUUUUAUGUCCUUUUAUGCAAAGAAAUUUAUAUAUUUCUUACGUGGUAUGUUUUUCUCCUUUAUUUAUUGAUUUUUGGAAAAAUUAUUUUACAAAAAAAAAGUAUUAUUACUUUAAGGUUUCUUUUAAACUAAGAUUCGCAUAAUAUUUAGAUGUUUAAAGAUUUGAUUAUUGAAUUCCUGUCAUUAAAUAUUCUUGUAAUAUGAUUAAAAUUAUAGUGGAAAGUGUUAUUAACCUACCAUAGUUGAUCUAUUGAGUCUUACUAACUUUCUAAUGUUGAAUGAUUGUAUUAUAUAUUUUAAAUUGAAUUUAUAAAUAUUUGAUUAGAAGCUUCAAAAGAUUUUAUAACAUAUAUAUGGUUUUGAAAUUCGGUACAAUGUGUAUCAAAUAACUUUCAAGUAUUGUACACUAAAAUUUUGAUUUUGUUUAUUAAAUGAUUUUUUUACUAUUAGAUUAUAAAUGUUAUUACGAAAACAAAAUUGUUUUACUACUUGUAAUAUUGCUCGUGAUAAUAGCCAAGGUGAUACAAUGAUGUUAAAGAAUCUCAGGUAUAUUUUAUUAUAAUUUAUUUAUUAUGCCAUGUUUAUUAUAAUUGGAGACUAAUCACGACAACAUGAAUAGAUAGAUUUUGAUUUAAAAUCCACGCAUGUUUUGCAAUGGUGAUUAUGAAAUAAAGAAUCAAUGGAGGCGUUUAGAAGUAUGCCCCACUAGAUUUGUUGCAUUCCUUGAAGUGAAUGCAAACAUAAAGAAAAUAAAAGAUAUAAUCAUGGAUCACUAAAAGUGGGAACAUAGUAAUAAAUAAGAGAACAAUGAGAGUUNNNNNNNNNNNNNNNNNNNNNNNNNNNNNNNNNNNNNNNNNNNNNNNNNNNNNNNNNNNNNNNNNNNNNNNNNNNNNNNNNNNNNNNNNNNNNNNNNNNNNNNNNNNNNNNNNNNNNNNNNNNNNNNNNNNNNNNNNNNNNNNNNNNNNNNNNNNNNNNNNNNNNNNNNNNNNNNNNNNNNNNNNNNNNNNNNNNNNNNNNNNNNNNNNNNNNNNNNNNNNNNNNNNNNNNNNNNNNNNNNNNNNNNNNNNNNNNNNNNNNNNNNNNNNNNNNNNNNNNNNNNNNNNNNNNNNNNNNNNNNNNNNNNNNNNNNNNNNNNNNNNNNNNNNNNNNNNNNNNNNNNNNNNNNNNNNNNNNNNNNNNNNNNNNNNNNNNNNNNNNNNNNNNNNNNNNNNNNNNNNNNNNNNNNNNNNNNNNNNNNNNNNNNNNNNNNNNNNNNNNNNNNNNNNNNNNNNNNNNNNNNNNNNNNNNNNNNNNNNNNNNNNNNNNNNNNNNNNNNNNNNNNNNNNNNNNNNNNNNNNNNNNNNNNNNNNNNNNNNNNNNNNNNNNNNNNNNNNNNNNNNNNNNNNNNNNNNNNNNNNNNNNNNNNNNNNNNNNNNNNNNNNNNNNNNNNNNNNNNNNNNNNNNNNNNNNNNNNNNNNNNNNNNNNNNNNNNNNNNNNNNNNNNNNNNNNNNNNNNNNNNNNNNNNNNNNNNNNNNNNNNNNNNNNNNNNNNNNNNNNNNNNNNNNNNNNNNNNNNNNNNNNNNNNNNNNNNNNNNNNNNNNNNNNNNNNNNNNNNNNNNNNNNNNNNNNNNNNNNNNNNNNNNNNNNNNNNNNNNNNNNNNNNNNNNNNNNNNNNNNNNNNNNNNNNNNNNNNNNNNNNNNNNNNNNNNNNNNNNNNNNNNNNNNNNNNNNNNNNNNNNNNNNNNNNNNNNNNNNNNNNNNNNNNNNNNNNNNNNNNNNNNNNNNNNNNNNNNNNNNNNNNNNNNNNNNNNNNNNNNNNNNNNNNNNNNNNNNNNNNNNNNNNNNNNNNNNNNNNNNNNNNNNNNNNNNNNNNNNNNNNNNNNNNNNNNNNNNNNNNNNNNNNNNNNNNNNNNNNNNNNNNNNNNNNNNNNNNNNNNNNNNNNNNNNNNNNNNNNNNNNNNNNNNNNNNNNNNNNNNNNNNNNNNNNNNNNNNNNNNNNNNNNNNNNNNNNNNNNNNNNNNNNNNNNNNNNNNNNNNNNNNNNNNNNNNNNNNNNNNNNNNNNNNNNNNNNNNNNNNNNNNNNNNNNNNNNNNNNNNNNNNNNNNNNNNNNNNNNNNNNNNNNNNNNNNNNNNNNNNNNNNNNNNNNNNNNNNNNNNNNNNNNNNNNNNNNNNNNNNNNNNNNNNNNNNNNNNNNNNNNNNNNNNNNNNNNNNNNNNNNNNNNNNNNNNNNNNNNNNNNNNNNNNNNNNNNNNNNNNNNNNNNNNNNNNNNNNNNNNNNNNNNNNNNNNNNNNNNNNNNNNNNNNNNNNNNNNNNNNNNNNNNNNNNNNNNNNNNNNNNNNNNNNNNNNNNNNNNNNNNNNNNNNNNNNNNNNNNNNNNNNNNNNNNNNNNNNNNNNNNNNNNNNNNNNNNNNNNNNNNNNNNNNNNNNNNNNNNNNNNNNNNNNNNNNNNNNNNNNNNNNNNNNNNNNNNNNNNNNNNNNNNNNNNNNNNNNNNNNNNNNNNNNNNNNNNNNNNNNNNNNNNNNNNNNNNNNNNNNNNNNNNNNNNNNNNNNNNNNNNNNNNNNNNNNNNNNNNNNNNNNNNNNNNNNNNNNNNNNNNNNNNNNNNNNNNNNNNNNNNNNNNNNNNNNNNNNNNNNNNNNNNNNNNNNNNNNNNNNNNNNNNNNNNNNNNNNNNNNNNNNNNNNNNNNNNNNNNNNNNNNNNNNNNNNNNNNNNNNNNNNNNNNNNNNNNNNNNNNNNNNNNNNNNNNNNNNNNNNNNNNNNNNNNNNNNNNNNNNNNNNNNNNNNNNNNNNNNNNNNNGAAACCCCAGUUAAAGUGCGAGCAGGGUUCACAUAUGUUGAUAUCAAUGUUUUUUUGUUUAGUCUACAUAGGGUGAGUUUGGAUGAGCGGUGCGUUUAUCUGCGGUUAGUGUAGAAACAGUGGUGGUGAGAUUAGAUACUGUAGCGAUACUGUAGCGUGAGACAAAAAGUAAGCUAAACGCACCGCACCGCACCGCACGCAAUCGCCCAUCCAAACCCACCCUUAUUUGAGUUUACUUGUCAAAGCAAAUAGAGUUAGUAUUGAUUUGAUGUUUUUAAGUAUUGAUUUCUUAACUUAUUAAUGUAAUUCAUGUGAAUUGAAAGAUGACAAAUUUGAUAGCAGUUCAUAAAUUAGCCAAGUAUUUUUCCUUAUUUUCUCUCUUAUUUUGUUAUGCUCUCUCAACUUCUCGAAACACCAGCAGCAUCCUUGUCAUCAUUUUAAUAUAUCUUUAUAAACUUUAAAUAAUUAAAUAAAAUUUUUAUCAUUUAAAUAAAUUUUUUAUCAUUUUUGAGAUCAAAGUACAAUUUUACCCUUAUUAAUUUAAAAUUUUAUAAAGUAUAUCACAUUAGAUUACCAUUUAAAUCCUUUGUUAAGUUUGGCUAUAAAACUAAAGGCGCAUAUGGAUUCAGUGGUAAGAGAAGAAAAAAAGAGUGACUUGAUGGAGCUUGUAAUUCUUGUCCCAUGUUGUUUCUUCCUCGUAGCUUUACUAAAGUUCCUUUAUGAUUACCUGUGGGUACCUCUCCGUAUACAGCGUAUGAUGAAUUCACAGGGAAUCAAAGGACCUCCUUACAGAUUCAUCCAUGGAAACAGCAAGGAAGUUGCCAGAAUGGAACAAGAAGCAUUAAGCAAACGUAUGGCCUUAACAGAUGAUAUAUUUCCCAAAGUACUGCCACAUUUUUACACCUGGAUCAACAGAUAUGGUAAGAUCCAUGCAUGUUUUUUCAUUAUGAUUUAUAACUCGUAGUUCUAAGAAAAGAUUGACCUUUUUCUUUUCAAGUGAUUAGGGAGGAAUUUUGUUUAUUGGAACGGUGCGCGACCUGAAUUGGUGAUUNNNNNNNNNNNNNNNNNNNNNNNNNNNNNNNNNNNNNNNNNNNNNNNNNNNNNNNNNNNNNNNNNNNNNNNNNNNNNNNNNNNNNNNNNNNNNNNNNNNNAAUUAAUCAAAGACUUAUCUUCGAGCGAAAAAAAAAUUCAAGAAAAGAGCCUUUCAGAUAUUGGUAGGGAGUUCCUGGGGAAUGGGCUUCUAUUCAUUGCGGGGGAAAAAUGGGCAAACCAUCGAAAGCUAGCCAAUCACGCUUUCCAUGGGGAAAGCCUUAAGGUAAAUCCUCCAGUGUGAUUAAUUGACAAGAAUUAUACAGACUACAGAAUUUUGUAUUGUUGGCUAACAACCAGUUUAUAGUCGAAGUUGAAAGUAUUCGUAGAAAAGUAUUUUUUUAACCUCAAUAGUAAGCAAAGUCUAAAUAGUAUGUGGCAACUACUUAUAUAUUGAAGGAUUGUUUGGGCAGAACAUGACUCCAGCAAUAAUUGCUAGUGUUGAAACAAUGCUAGAAAAGUGGAAAGGUCAAGAAGGCAGAGAGAUUGAAGUGUUGAAAGAAUUUAGGUUAUUGACUUCAGAAGUGAUUUCCAGAACAGCUUUUGGUAGCAGUUACUUAGAAGGGGAGAAGAUUUUUGCCAUGUUACAGAAGUUGACAAUAAUUAUGAGUCGAAAUCUUUUUAAGACUAGAAUUCCUUUGAUCAGGUAUCUUCCCUAUAAGCUUAAUUAAUCCCAACUUUUACCUUGAUUUCAGCUAGCUUUUGAAUGCAACUUUUGGACUUUCAUUCCCCAUGGAUUUGGUUUUCUCCUUACAUAUAGCUGACCAUUGUUUGCUUUUGCAGCAAGUUGUGGAAAUCUGCUGAUUUGCUAGAGUCUGAAAAACUUUCAAAAGAAAUAAAAGAUCGUGUGAUGAAGAUUGUUAAGAAAAGAGAAGACGAAGCUGUGAAUGGAGAAGUCAAUAGCUUUGGCAAUGAUUUUCUUGGAUUACUUGUAAAUGCCUAUCAUGAUUCGGACGAGAAAAACAGGUUUUCAUUGGAAGACUUGUUAGCUGAAUGCAAAACAUUCUAUUUUUCUGGACAAGAAACUGUUAAUUCCUUACUUUCAUGGAUAGUCUUGCAUUUGGCAAUCCACGGAGAUUGGCAAGAAAAAGCGAGAAGAGAGGUGAUUGACAUAUUUGGUAACCAAAAUCCGCAUCUCGAAGGCGUCGCCAAACUCAAAAUAGUAAGAAAACUAUCUAACUGGGAAUUCAAAUAGCCAUCAACAUGAUGUAAUCUAACAUAUUUUUCUAUUUUCCAAACAGACGACCAUGAUCAUCAAUGAAACUCUAAGAUUGUAUGGUCCAUCAAAUGGCCUGGCAAGAGCAGUUACAAGAGAUGUUCAGUUGGAAAAGCUACUCUUGCCUGCUAAUAUAAAUAUUCUGCCUUUAUAUAUUGGAGUUCACCGUGACCCUCACUUUUGGGGAGAUGAUGUGCAUCAUUUUAAACCCGAGAGAUUCGCUGAAGGGAUUGCCAAAGCUACCAAUUACACCGCGGCUGCAUUUCUUCCCUUCGGGUUGGGACCUCGAUCUUGUGUUGGUAUGACAUUUGCAACAAUAGAAACCAAGAUUGUUCUCUCCAUGAUUCUACAACGUUACACCAUUACCCUCUCCCCUGCCUAUAUCCACUCUCCGAUAUCUAUUCUCAGCAUUAGACCACAACAUGAAAUUCAGGUGAUACUUGAACCACUGCAUCAUAAUGCUUGAAGUACAUAGCUGUUAAGAACUAAGGGUUUAACGUGGUUCAUGUAUUUUAGGUUUAAGAGAUGACAUUUAAUAUGUUUAAGGUUCCAGCAUUUGCAUCCCCUUCCCUAUCCUAAGCUAUACCCACCUUUAUACAUAAUGAAAUUCAAAUAGCUACUGAUUUCCAAGGUGGUAAAACGCAAUCAAUAAAGAAGAAUAUGUUGAGGCAAGUUUUGGGAGCAGUGACUUGAAAAAUGACAACUGCACUUGGCACGUGUCCCUUAUUUGUUAGCUUGUUUAAAAUAAAUAUUUUUGAUUAUUUGCUUGAAGAUUUUGUACAUCCAAUUUCAUGUUUAUUAAUGGAUUGGUUUUUCUUAAACUACUGGUUAUACUAAGGCUUGUUUAAACUUUGGGCAAAGCAUAAUAGAUGUAGAUAUGUUCUCCUUGAUUGGUGUCAAAUCUACUAAAAAUAAAUUUUUCUGCCUGAUACUGAAAUUAAAUUUAUAGUAUAGAGAGUUGAAUCGAUCUCACAAAAGUUAAUCUAUCCAAAUCUAUAUUCUUUAUAACUAGAACGUGUCCCAAGUAGUUUUUGUGCCCAUGACUUGUGCGAACCUGUACAAAAAAUAAGAGGGGUUAAAUCUGAAAAAUAAAUAAACAACCGAAAUUAAUUAAAAAUGAAAAUAAAGUAGAAAUAAGUAAAACGAAAUAAUAUUAUUGAAUUAAAUAAUUUCAUUUUUUAUUAAAAAAUUAUCAUACACACCUGGAAAAUAUGAAACACAUGGUUAAAUCUAAUUGGCUUCUAGACUAAAAAUAUUAACUAGAAGAAAGUUCCGAGUAAAAAAAAUUUAAACAUAAAUGUGAGAAAACGAGUAUAGUUUAAGAGCUAAAAUAUGAAUAAAGUCGAAAUAAAUUCCUAAAAUAUAAAAUUUCAUAAAUACAUUAAUGUGAUUAUAUAUAAUCAAAAUUAAAUAUUAAAUCGAACUAAAUAUGAUUUAAACUUGAAUCAAAGAAUGAAACUCGUAAUUCCCGUAAAAUUCUUAUUCAGAAAUAAGUUUUUGAACUCGAAAUAAGAUAAUAAAUUUAUUAAAAGAGGCAACCACUUAACAGUGGAUGAUACAAGUCCUUGCAAGAGCAAUUACAAAAUCUGCUGAACUGCACAAUUAACAUACACCAAUAUGACAUCACCACAAGAAAAGCACACUUUACCAAUGCCAGAAAACCAUAGCCCGGAGCAGAAAACAAGAAGCGAGAGAGCAAGUUAUAUCUGAAACAAGCACUACUACGAAACCCUUCUCAACAUGGCAAACACCAUAUCAGAAACUAUGACCAACAGCAGCUCCACCCAUAAUCCAGAACCAAGCAACUAACUAUAGUGAUCGCCCUUGCUUAAAAAAAAAACUUUACAUAAAUCAACGAGCAAGCAUUGGGCCUCACCCCAAGUAAGAAAACGAUCCAUCAAACCUUGAAAAAGCUUUAGACACCAUCAGUUAUCAGCAGAUAAGAAACCUAAAACAGAGCCAACACCAGCAACACCUUAUCAAGACCAACAGCCUAGAAAAAAUCUCAAUGGAACCGAUAGCAAAGGAAACUCAAUGUCAUAUCGGCUCCCAUAAAACUUUCAAACCACCCCACUGUAGCUCUUAAGACUGACGAUAACCAUACUUUAAAAUCACCAAAGCAUCCACUUCGAGAGACACCUUCAACCAUAACACAAUGAAUAGACUCAAAUUCAAUUCUAUAAUCACAACAUACAAAAAAAGACAAGCCAUAUUCAAUAAAAUAACAGCCUCAACCAAUCAGUAGGCCCAUAAAAGGCACAAAACACCAUAAUGCAUCAUCCAACCUCAACAACAUAAAGUUUGUUUAUCAUGGUGUUAUAAUCAAUAUUGGGUUCAAACCCACUAUAAAUAUAUUUUUAUUGAUUUUUAUUAACUUGUGAUUUUUCGUCCACCAGAAACGGCGGUCACCGUCGCCGACGACCGGCGGCCACGACGGAGGUCCGCCGUCCCCAUAGCCUGCCUAAGAAAAAACAUCAGAGAGAAAAAAAAAAGGGAGGGGUUUUUUAAAAAAAAAAACAAAUGAAAAAUGAAUUUUUUGGGAAAAUUUUAACUUAAAUAGAGUAUUGAAACGGCGUCGUUUUGGCCUGGUUCCAUAAAACCAAAACAGCGUCGUUUUGGUCCAGAUUCGCCGACCCGACCCGACCCCCUCAGGAUCCGCGCUUUUUAUGGGGGGUCUAAUUCCUUCUUUGGCCCUUCCAGUUUUUUGUAAUUUUCAAUUUAGUCCUAUCGAUUUUUAUUCGUUUUAAUUUUCGCCCCAUAAUUUAAAUCCUUGUGCAAUUUAGUUCCCUGACCCACUAUAAACCCAUUGGGGGAGUGACACGUGUCUAUAUAUGGGGGAUAAUUUCCAUAUAACCCCCUAAUUUUUAUCUUAUUUUAAUUUAAUCCUUCAAAUUCUUUUUCUUUAUAAUUUAGAAUGUUAGUUUUGUUAUAUUUUAAAUUUAGUUCUUUAUUCCGUUUUCUUUAUUUAUUUUGCGAUUUAUGCUUCAAGUUUCUCUUAAAUUUUGAUUUAAUCCCUUAUUUGGUUAAUUUUGCCUCUUUAUUUACUAUAUUAUUUAUUUUAGUAUUUAACAUUUAUGUUAUUUAUAUUUUCUUUUAUUUACACAUUUUAUUUUUAUCUUAUCAUAGUUAUUAUUAUUUUAUUUACUCCUGUUAUUAUGAUAAUAGUUACGAUAUGAUUAUCACUAUUAUUAUUAUAAAUCGAUAUUCUUAUUACUAUUAUAGUUGCAUUAUUAUUAUUUACCAACAUGUUUCUUUUAUUUUAUUUUUAAUUUUUAAUUUUCUCAUUUAUUUUAUUUCAUUUUAUUUAAUUUUUUUGCUUAUUAUCCUAAUAUCGUCAUUUCUUUUUUUUUUACCUACAUGACUAUUUCAUUUUAUUUUGCUAUCACUAUUCCAUGGGUCAUAUCACAAUGUAUUUAUCAUUUUUUACUUUGCCCAAAUAAAUGUAUAUCGUUUUAAAAGUUACAUUCGUUUUACGUAAUACAUAAUAAAUUUUUAAAAUCAAGGCAAUGUUCAUUAUUUUUUGGAUUCGAGGAGUUGUGCUCUUAACUUACGGAGAAUGACAUCUUUCUAAAACCAAAGUAAUCGAAUAUCCAUUUUAUUUAUUUAUUUAUUUAUUUUUCUAAAAAAAUAAAAACAAGACUUAAAAUAAGAUCAAAUGGUGAUUGUUCUGGUUUCCGAGGAUUCCAAGCAUCGUGUCUUAACUCAAGGGUUACGAUCUUUUCUCCUCAACUAACUCAUAAUAAUGCCUUUUCGUAAAAUUUAAUUUAGCUAAUUGGUUUUAAAGAACAUCAUGCAAACAGAGAGGGAUCAUAGUUUAAUUUCUCUUCGAAUUUUCAACUUCCGACAUCAAAACAUCAAGUAAUCAACUAGGUACCAAUUUUGGGCGUUAUGAGAGUGGUAAUCCUUCCUCAUACGUAACUGACUCCUGAACCCUUUUUUUCCAGAUUUGUAAGACUGGAUAUUAUCGUUUUAACAAAUCUAACGUUUUAUUAAAAUGGCUGAGUUUUGAGGUGAUCCAAUCACACCUAAGUAAAAAAUGUUGAUGGCAACUCCAUCUUCGUUUUCAAAAUAAAGUCAAUUUCAAAAAAAAAAAAGUUUCGACAAUAAUUAUAGAUACAAUUGAUGAAUAUAAUAAAAUAUGCAUAUUAAAAUAAAAAUACAUAAACAAUAUUAAAAUAAUGUUUUGAUGGUGAUAAACUUGAAGUUUUAUUAUUGUGAUUGUUAUAGGUUCAAAUCCCCUCAUAUUCGUUUUUAAUUAUUUUUUUAAAAUAAAAAGAUUAAACUACCCUCGAACAAUAUAACUUAUUCUAAUUAUGGAAGAAUAUUUUCGUAAUUUCUCUAACUGAAUUGGUGUUCGGUUGACUCGUGACACCAAUUCAGUUAGAGACUUAAAUAAUAGUAUAGAUAAUAUAAUUUUUGGCCCUCAACUUGGCAAUUAGAUGCACUUUAAUAUUGUAUUAUUUUUGUCCAAUUUUAUAACUAAGCUUGGCAAGUAAAUUCAAGUGGUCACUGAACUUGAAUUCUAUCAAUUUUUGAAGAUGUGAUCGGUGUUAUUGAAGCAAAAUCAGAUCAUUCGGUCAAAUUAAUUAGACUGAAAAGCGAUUGGUAUAACGGUCCAAACAAAGGGGUUGAAUUGAUUGAAUCGGGAAUUAGUUAAAAAUCGACAAUUUAAAAAAUUAUUUUAAAAUUAUUUUUAGAUUUUUAGGAAUUUUUAAUUAAUUAAUUAAUUAUUAUUGGUCUAGUAGUCGAACCGAUUGAAUAAGAAAUCAAUGGUUUGAUCUUUUAACCAUUGGUCCGAUUAUUAAAACACUGAAUGCAAUACUGUGAGAUUGUAUCAUAUCAUCACCUGAAAAUUUAUAUAAUUUUUUUUAAUUUUCAAGUAAUAUAUAUAAUCAUGUCACAUCAUCAAACUUUUAAAAUUUUCAUGUUCAAAAAUUAAAAUAGACCUAAUUGUUAAAUUCAAAUGACAAAGUGGGCCGAAAAAAUCCUAGUAGCCAAUAAUAGAAAAUAUAUAUUAUUUAAAAAAAAUAAAAAUAUUAAAGCGCACCCACGUGGUGAUAUUGCUCUUUGUCCAUAGUUCCCGACAAUAUUGUUUCCGUCUAUCUCCAGCAAAAUGUGUUUUCUAAUAUUUGGCAACUUUUACUUGCAAGACAACGAUGAAAAACACUUAAAUAAUUAGUUCAGUCCUCCUCAUUAAUUGUAACUCGUAAUAGACCUGAUAUUUUGGCUCAUAAUAAUGUCUCACAUUUACUUUCACAUCUAAUCUUGAUGUUUUUAACAAUGGCGUAGCGUAAUGGACAUUCAGGUGCCAUCACAAAAUUACAUUUUUCAAAAAAAAAAAAACAAAAAAACAAAAGGACCAUCUGGAUUCAGUGUUAAGAGAAGAAACAUGCAUGGAUAGUCUUGCUUUUAGCAACCCAUGGAGAUUGGCAGGAGAAAGCUAGAGGAGAGGUGAUUGACAUAUUCGGUAACCGAAAUCCAGAUUCUGAAGGCAUUUCUAAACUCAAAAUUGUAAGCAUACUGUCAAACAUUCCAAAAUAUUUUGUAUCUCAAUCUCAGGUUUUUUAGUCAGGUCAUGUUUAUCGCAAUUGCUAAUUCAACAAAUACUAUGCAUUUAGGACAUUAUAUUCUUUAAUUUGAUUUGACAUAUUCCUGUUAUGCAAACAGAUCACUAUGAUUAUUAUGAAACUCUAAGAUUAUAUGGUCCAUCAAAUGGCCUACCAAGAGGAGUUGCAAGAGAAGUGCAGUUGGGAAUACUAGUCUUGCCUUCUAACAUAGAUCUUCUGGUUCAAAAUAUUGCACUUCACCAUGACCCUUACCUGUGGGGAGAUGAUGUGCAUCUUUUUAAACCAGAGAGAUUUGCAAAAGGGAUUGCCAGAUCUACCAAUUACAAUGCAGCUGCAUUUUUUCCCUUUGGAUUAGGACCUCGAUCUUGUGUUGGUAUGUCCUUUGCAACCACAGAAACGAAGAUUGUGCUCUCCAUGAUUCUACAACGCUACACCUUUACCCUCUCCCCUGCCUAUGUCCACUCACCAAUGCCUAUUGUCGACCUUCAACCGCAACAUGGAAUUCAAGUAAUACUUGAACCACUGCAUAACAAUGAUUGAUGUACACUAACAGCUAAGGACAUGGGAUUCAACUCUGUUUGUUCCAACAUUCACCUUUAAGAGGUAGCAUUUAAGAUAUCCGGGGUUUUUAGUAUUAACAACCCCUUCCCUAUUCCUAAGCUACGCCCUCCUCUAAACAAAAAGAAAUCUAUGCAUUUGCUAGUUUCCUUAGAUGGUAAAACAUGUGAUUAAACAAUACAUCCUUCAUAUGGCGCAUAUUCCAGCAAGUAAACAGUUAUAUUAUAGUGCAUUUUACUUCACCAUUCUGCUCAUAUUUCAUUUGAAUUGCAGUGUUAUCAUCCUAAAGUCACUCUAGCAAGCAAUGAGGUUGCAAGUUUCUGAUAAAUUUAGUUCUAAUAGACUACUUAAGCUAAUCCACCUUGGUGCUUUGUUUUCUUUUCCUAAACUAUAUUUUUUGCUAUUCCUAGCCCAUUUAAGCAUUCAGUUGGAAGAUGGUCGAGAGUUGUUAUAGCAUUCGGAAAGAAAAGGUUAAUGUGUGUUAAGUGACUGUGUGAGGCUAAGGUUAUGAUAAUCUUCAGAUUGGUUCUGCUUAUAUUAUCUAUAAUAUAAAAUUUACUUUUUAAAAAGUUGUUUAACAAGCUUAUAGCUAAAAUAGGAUAUCCAAAUAAAAUAUAUUAACAAAAAGUAUAUUCUUAAAAUCUUAAAAGAGUAACCAACAAGCGUUGGGUGGAAUGAUAAUUGCAAUAUCAAGGGGAGAACUCAAGUUCCAAUUUUAAGGACGACAUUGUUUGAAGGAAUAAUCACAAACCCCAAAAAAGUUAGUCUCAUUGGAUCAUAAACCGAACAUGAGGAUACAUUGGUUCCACAAAAACAUAAUUUUAACAAGUUAAAAUCAUCAAAUUGUAAUAAUAUGAUUCUUUUUACAAAUAUUCAAAUAUCAAGUUAUCUAAAGUCACCGAUUGAGUCUUAACUCGAUUGGCAUUGGCAUGCAGGAGAAUGCGAGUUCGAGUGCGCUGAAGUUAUUAUCCUCUUAAUUAAGGAUGGGGAGGGACUAUGAAUAGUUCUAAAGAUGAAUUAAAUUAAAUUAAAUUAAAUAAUAAAUAUGUUAAUUCAUUUAAUUAAUUCAUUUAUAUUUUUAUACGAAAUUUUUGUAUAAGUGGAAUAUCCACCUUUCUGCUAAACAAAAUGUAUUGAAUUCAUAAUUUAGUAGAUACUUUUUAUGAAUGCCAACUAAGUAUUGUAUGUAAAUUGUCAACUGCUCCUAUCAAAAAUAGGAUUGACUAGAUAUUCGAGUCAUAUACACAUGGUUUCAUAAAACCGUAUGAUUCUCUGAUCUAAAUCAAGCAAGUUUUACAUGAAGAAGGUUUGCCUCAACAUGUUCAAUUCGAUAAAAGUAGAAGCGGUAUUCUUAAAAAAAAAAAGUAGAGAAAUCAAAACCAAGUCAAGAUAACACAGAUCAACCCCUUCUUCGUGCGCCAAAGAUCUUACCAUUUCGGAAGAAAUUGGAAUUACAUCUCUUUUUCAAUUCUAUUCAAGCUCUUAUGUGUUUCUACGACCAUUUAAGACAUCAAAAUUUUGACAAAUUUAUUUUCUUUUAUUAGGAACACAUACAAGAUUCGUCACUUCAAACAAGAUAAUGGUAACCCCACAAUUAAUUACUUCAUUUAUGACUUUCAUAGUAAUAGAAAUAUAUGUCCUACCAGAACACAAUUUUUAACUUGCUACCCUCUUGCAUAGUGGGCAAGGAUUUACUUCGCGGGAAAGAUGAUUUCACGGGGUUCUAUUUUGCCUUCAAUCCAAUCAUUGUUCACGUUUUUUUUCUUAUCAAUAAAUAGAUCUAAUUACUUGUAUGACUUAGAUAUCUCGUAUCUCUCAAAAUAAUGGUUCGAUUGAUGAGAUUUGGUACGAUAUUUAUGAGAUCAAUGAUAUCAAUGAUAUUGAUAUUCAAAUAUUUCUUCUUAGAACGUAUUGAUUUAACCCCAUAAGCAAGACCACCACCCCAUAAUGUUGCCUCCAAAAGCAGAAUCUCGUAUUUUCUCUUGAGAAUCUCUUAAUUGUUCAAGAGUACCUAGAACGAAAUUCUUUAAUUAGAAAGAAUUUAGUUUCGAUGUACGAUACCUAUCCAGAAGUUUUUGCAACUCAUGAUAUAGAAUCAUAAAAAUUUUUUGACUUUUUAAACAAAUAGAUCACUUGGGUGUAGAAAAGAAAUAAUCAAUAAUAAAAAUUGGUAUAAUUAGAAAAGAAUAUCUAUUUGUUCUCACACUAACUUUUAAUAUUUAUAUAUUAUUUUUAUAAAGAAUUAUUAUAAAAAAUUCUUUUAAAAAUUGAUAUUUUUAUAAUACAUCACUCAAUGUUGAAUACAUUUCAUUAAUAAACAAUAAUUAGCUUAAUUAUUAAGAGUUGAAUUAACUAUUUUUUAAUGAAGCAUUCUCUCUCUAAAAUCUCCAUCCUCACCACUAUUCUUAUCUAAUUCACCUUCAAGUUUUAAAAUCAAUGUUCUAUCAUGUUUUGAUUUUCUUUCAAAUUUAUUUUAAAUUUAAAAAAAUUCUUUUUAAAAAUCUCAAAUAUAUUACAUUUCACACUUUUAAGAAAAUAAUGUACGUUCAAACAUUGAAAAUGACAUAAUUAAAUAGGAUAAUCAUGAAUCCUGAAAAUGAACGGUAAAACGAUUUGUCCAAUUCAAAAUUUAGAAUGAUAGAAUCCUAAUAGAAAAUUUAAACUAAAUUUUGACAUAAUUUUUUGAAUAAUCUUAUUACAAGUUCUGAUCAUAUUUUUUUUAACACAAUAUCUAAAACUAAGCAUAACCGCUCCCAAACUCAUAAAAAGGAAGAUAAUGCGCUUCAGUGCAUAUCCUCCUACAUUGACAACAUACCCAUAUCAAUUGAGUUAAAGACUCAAUCAACACUUAAAAAAUAUUUAAAUACAUUAAAAUUAAUUAUUAUAUUGACAGUAAAAGUAUAAAAAAAAAAACUAAAUUUCCAGAAGAAUUCAAAAAAUAUCAUUAAAUAAUAAACGUGUUAAAAUCGACCCACGUGGUAAAGAUGCCGAUUCUAGUGUUUGCCACGAUACGUUGUCUAUAUGGCGCCAAGGCCAUUUUAUUUUCAACAUAGUUACACGCCGUUAAUUGUAAGUUUUGGCUUUAAAUAGUUAUUCAUCCUAUUUAUUUAUUCGUUAAUAUUGUUAAAUUUGUUAACUGUUUUAUUUUAAAAUUAAAAGAAAUUAUUAAUUUAAUAGUUAUGUAACAAAAUAUGAUGUUUGUGAAAUAUUUGUAUUUAAAGAAAGAAUUUUAGCAGUAUUAUCUAGUAGACUUACAUUUUUAAAUUCGAAAAAUAAGAUAAAAUUCUUAAAAAUAAAAAUAAAAGAGUAAAUUGCAAAUUCACGAUAAUUUUUCAAUAAUUUCUUUAGAAAAUUAAUUUUUAGAAAUGAAAAAUAAUUUUAUGAAAGAAGUACAACUUUAUUUUUUCAUAUUUCACAUUGCAUAAUUUUUUUAAAUAUGAAAUAAAAAAUUUCUUCAAAAUUUGAGAAACUUUUAUAAUCUUCAAUUUUUUUUCACUUUACUUUUUAUUGAAUUUCAAAGAGUUUUUACUUCUUUCAUAUUUUUUGAUUUUUUUUUUAAAAGAAAACCUUUUAGAUAUUUUAGAACCUUUAAUAUAUAUUUUAAAAAAUUAUAGUAGUUAAAUAAAUUACACAUUUGGUCAUUUUAUUUUUGAAAAUUUGUAGUUAUGUGACCUAACUUGAAAUUUGUAAAACUAUUAAUAUUUUAUUUCAAUUAAAAUUUCUUGGUUCAUUAAAUUUUUUUAGAUGUUCAAUAGAUUUGAUAAUGGAAUAUAUUUAUUCCAACUUUAAAUUUAAAGAAUAUAAUUAUAAUAAUGUAAAAGUUGAUGUAUAAUCUUAAUUUUGCAUAAACUGUUUUCAAACUUAAAUGAGCUAAAAAUAUAGUUGAAAAAUAGAAAUUAAUGCUACCAACAACUCCUAGAAAUAGUAUCCACUAAUAACAAUAAACUUACACGAGUGAUGGAUUUAUUAAAACAAUCAGCAACCAACUUUUGACUCUUUCUAUCAAUUGAUUAAUAAUUAUUAAAAAAAUUAUAAUUGUAUCUAUCGAUUAAUAAUUAAGAGAUAUGAUUAUUUUAAUAAAUAGUUAUAAUUAUUAUUAAAAAUGUCACUAUUUAAAUAGUGUUAUGAAUAUAUUACUAAGUGGAUGUCCAUCAAGACUAAUAUAAGUUUUGAUGUACUUUAAAUUAUAAUAGUCAUUAGAAGUAGGCUUUGUAAAUAUUCUAAUUGAGUCAUUAAUAAAAUACGCUCUCUCUUUGCUAUCUGACUCUCAUUCUCAUUCUCCUUGUUCUUUAUUCUUUGUCUUUUAUUUUAUAACACGUUAUUAGCACGAUUCUCUUUUUAAUUAUUUUUCUCCAUAAGUCACAAAAAUAUCCAAAAAUUUAUUGUUGCCGAUUGCCUCCUAGAGCUGCUGCGCACACUAUGGGUAAUCAUUAGAGCUUUUAACCAAUUAGGUACACUAAAUCUCUAAAUUUUAUUUAUGUCCUUUUAUGCAAAGAAACUUAUAUAAUCCGUGGUAUGUUUUUCUCCUUUAUUUAUUGAUUUUCGGAAAAUUUAUUUUAUGAAAAAAAGUAUUAUUACUUUAAGGUUUCUUUUAAACUAAAAUAAUAUUUAGAUGUUUAAAUAUUUGAUUGUUAAAUUCCUGUCAUUAAAUAUUCUUGUAAUUUGAUUAAAAUUAUAGUGGAAAGUGUUAUUAACCUACCAUAGUUGAUCUAUUGAGUCUUACUAACUUUCUAAUGUUGAAUGAUUGUAUUAUAUCUUUUAAAUUGAAUUUAUAAAUAUUUGAUUAGAAGCUUCGAAAGACUUUAUAACAUAUAUGUGGUAUUGAAAUUUGGUACAAUGUGUAUUAGAUAACUUUCAAGCAUUGUACACAAACAUUUUGAUUUUGUUUAUUAAAUGAUUUUUUUACUAUUAGAUUAUAAAUGUUAUUACGAAAACAAAUUGUUUUACUACUUGUAAUUAAUAGUGCUCGUGAUAAUAGCCAGGGUGGUAACAAUGAUGUUAAAGAAUCUCAGGUAUAUAUUAUUAUAAUUUAUUAUAUCAUAUUUAUUAUAAUUGAAGACUAAUCAUAACAACAUGAAUAGAUAGAUUUUGUUUUGAAAUCUAUGCCUGUUUGUGAUGGUGAUUAUGAAAUAAAAAAAAUCAAUGGAGGCGUUUAGAAGUAUGUCCUACUAGAUUUGUUGCAUUCCUUGAAGUGAAUACAAACAUAAAGAAAAUAAAAUAUAUAAUCACAGACCACUAAAAGUGGGAACAUAGUAAUAAAUAAGAGAACAAUGAGAGUUCUAAAGAUAACUCUUCAAAGGGUAAAGAUAACUUAUGUUAUCGAUAUGAUAUGAAAUAUUAUUGGCCACAUACGUAUAUCAAAUAUUUUGUUUCUGUUAAUAUUUUUGAGGAAUGAUAUGAGAAUGUUGAAAUGAAUUCUAUUAUUACAGAUAUAAAAUAUUUAUCUUAUUUGGUACUGAAAUAAACAAAUAUUAUUCAAAUAUUUUGUAGUACAAAAUUAGUCUACAGCUCCAGAAGAGCUAAUUUAUUAAUAUAUUGUGAUAAUUAAUCCAUAGGUUUUAAAAGAUAUUCAUUGUAAUGGAUCAUAUAAAGAUAUUUAUCUUAUAUUUCAUAUGAAUCAUUAUUGCUAUAAAUAUCUAUUUUAAAAGGAUUAAAAAAAAGGGAGGAUUGAGUUAUUAAUUAAUCUUGUUAUUAAAAUGAAUUUAUUGUGACUAUCUUUGUAAUCUUCUUUUGUCAUCAUCCCCAUUAAGGGGUUGAAAGCAAAAUAUUUAACUGUGAAAGAUCUAUUUUUGAGCAAUAGAAUAUGGUAAUUCUAUCUAAAGCUUGCUAUGGUUGGAUGCAACUGAAGUUGCAAGUUUUUUAAAACAGUGAGUAUAACUCUACAGUAUUCAGAAUAAGAUCUCAAUUAAAAUUACGUGAAAAAAAUAUUACUGAUGAGAAAAUUUUAAUUUAACCCUUUAAAAAUUACAAAGAUAUAGACUAUUAAAAUAAUAAAUUUAUUUUUUUAUUAUUAUAAAAAUAUACAGUUUAAUUUCGACCUCCCAAUAAAAAUUUCAAAAUCCGCCACUCGAAGGAUACAAAUAAAAAGACCACAGUGAAUUCAAUUAAAUUUAAAUUCUCACUUAAAUCCAAAUUCAAAGUAAAACAAAUGCGACAGAAUGAAUAAAAUAAUGGGAGAAAGUUUUUCAAGAAGUAGAAAUGCAAAAAUAGCUUCAAAAUCUACUCUUACUAAAAAAAAAAAAAAACAAGAAAGAAUUUAUUAUCUUUUAUAAUAUUAAUUUCUCACAUAUAUACGGCCAAGCUACUCUGAACGUACAACGCACCCAUUUGCGUCAUUGCAAACGCAAUUUUGGUCCUUAUGCAAUAAUAAAGGGGGAAAUGGUUCUGGUUUAGACAAGAAAAAUGAAUGCGUUGAUGAAGCUUCUAAUUCUUGCUCCAUGUUGUUUCUUCUUCAUAGCUUUAAUAAAGUUACUUUAUGAUUACCUAUGGAUACCCCUCCGUAUUCAGCAUAUGCUGAAUUCAGAGGGGAUCAAAGGACCUCCUUACAGAUUCAUCCAUGGCAACAACAAGGAAGUUACCAAAAUGAAACAAAAAGCUUUAAGCAAAUCUGUGGGCUUGACAGAUGAUCUAUUUCCCAAAGUACAUCCACACAUUUACACCUGGACCAACAGAUAUGGUAAGAUCCAUGCUUGUUUUUGUCACUAUGAUUUAUAACUUGUAGUUCUAAGAAAAGGUAGACCUUUUUUCUUUUCAUGUUAUUAGGGAAGAAUUUUGUUCAUUGGAACGGUGCUCGACCUGAAUUGGUGAUUUCAGAGCCUGAAUUAGUCAAAGAGGUUCUGAAAAAUAGUGAACAAAUUUUUCAGAAAAAGAAACUUUCAGAUAUUGGUAGGAAGUUCUUGGGGAAUGGUCUUAUAUUCAUUGAGGGGGGAAAAUGGGCAAAGCAUCGGAAGCUGGCCAAUCACACUUUCCAUGGGGAAAGCCUAAAGGUAAGUCUUCCAAAUAUAUAAACUAGGUGUAAUUAAUUUACAAGAAUUAUACAUAGACUACAAUAUUUUGGUAAAAUUUUGUAUUGUUAGCUAAGGAUAAGUUUAUUAUGGACGUUGAAAAAGUGUAGUAAAAACCUACUUUUGAAAAAUUUAACACCGUUUACUACUUAAGAGGUCAAUUUUAAACUUGAUGUUGUAAAAUAAAAGAUUAAAUCAGAGAUUUAAAAAAAGAUUAAAAUCUAGUUUGAAAUAAGAUUUAGUUUGAAAAGGUGUUUAUUUGUCAAAUUUUUUAAUUUGAAAUCAUGAUUUUGUGUUGACAAUUAUAUAUGUCACUACUACUUACAUAUUGGAGGAUUGUUUGGGCAGAACAUGACUCCAGCAAUAAUUGCUAGUGUUGAAACAAUGCUAGAAAAGUGGAAAGGCCAAGAAGGCAAAGAGAUUGAAGUGUACCAAGAAUUUAGGUUAUUAACUUCAGAAGUGAUUUCCAGAACAGCAUUUGGUAGCAAUUACAUGGAAGGGGAGAAGAUAUUUGCCAUCUUGAGAAAGUUGACAGUAAUUAUGAGUCGAAAUCUUUCCAAGACUAGAAUUCCUUUGAUCAGGUAUCUUCCCUCUAAGCUUAAUUAAUCCCAACUUUUACCUUGAUUUCAACUAGCUUUUGAAUGCAACUUUUAGACUUUCACUCCCCAUGGAUUUGGUUUUCUCCUUAUAUAUAGCUGACCCUGGUUUGCUUUUGCAGCAAGUUGUGGAAAUCUGCUGAUUUGCUAGAGUCUGAAAAACUUUCAAAAGAAAUAAAAGAUCGUCUGAUGAAGAUUGUUAAGAAAAGAGAAGACAAAGCUGUGAAUGGAGAAGUCAAUAGCUUCGGCAGUGAUUUUCUUGGAUUACUUCUAAAUGCCUAUCAUGAUUCGGAUGCGAAAAACAGGAUUUCAUUGGAAGACGUGGUAGCUGAAUGCAAAACAUUCUAUUUUGCUGGACAAGAAACUGUUAAUUCCUUACUUGCAUGGAUAGUCUUGCAUUUGGCAAUCCAUGGAGAUUGGCAAGAAAAAGCGAGAAGAGAGGUGAUUGACAUAUUUGGUAACCAAAAUCCACAUCUCGAAGGCAUUGCGAAACUCAAAAUAGUAAGAAAACUAUCUAACUGGGAAUUCAAAUAGCCAUCAACAUUAUGCAAUCUAACAUAUUUGUCUAUUUCCUAAACAGAUGACCAUGAUCAUCAAUGAAACUCUAAGAAUGUAUGGUCCGCCAAAUGGCUUGGCAAGAACAGUUGCAAGAGAAGUACAAUUGGGAAAGUUAGUCUUGCCUGCUAAAUUAGAUAUUCUGCCUCUAAAUAUUGGACUUCACCGUGACCCUCAAUUGUGGGGAGAUGAUGUGCAUCAUUUUAAACCCGAGAGAUUCGCUGAAGGGAUUGCCAAAGCUACCAAUUACACUGCGGCUGCAUUUAUUCCCUUCGGAUUGGGACCUCGAUCUUGUGUUGGUAUGACAUUUGCAUCAAUAGAAACAAAGGUUGCUCUCUCCAUGAUUCUACAACAUUACACCAUUACCCUCUCCCCUGCCUAUGUCCACUCUCCAAUACCUAUUCUCACCCUUCUACCACAACAUGGAAUUCAGGUAAUACUUGAGCCGAUACAUAGUAAUGCUUGAAGUACAUAGCUGUUAAGAAAUAAAGGUUUAACAUGGUUCAUGUAUUUUAGUUUUAAAAGGUGACAUUUAAUAUGUAUAAGGUUCUAGCAUUUGCAACCCCUUCCCUAUCCUAUAGUAUGCCCACCUUCAUACAUAAUGAAAUGCAAGUAGCUACUUAUUUCCAAGAUGGUAAAACACACAAUCAAUAAAGAAGAAUAUGUCGAGGCAAGUUUUGGGAACAGUGACUCAAGAAAUGACAACUGAAUUUGACACGUACAGAUCACAUAACUUCUCUUUUUUGUUAGCAUAUGUUGGUGAUUAGAACUCGAACUUUGAUGAUUGAUCGAGAGAUUUGAAGCAAAAAGAAGAGAAAGGAAGUUUUAAGAUAGAAAGUAAUUGAAGACUGAAAUAAUAAUGGAUUUGCUCCUCAAUGACUUAAAUACAAAAGUUGAAGACUAAAAAUAGAAAAAAAAAGGUUCUAAAAAUCUGCUAAGAAUCUGGUAACAAUAAACCAAACAAAUCGUAAAACUAAGCUCCUAAAGUAAAGGAGAAUUAUUCAAACUUAGCAACAAAAAAUUAAAUGGCAGCAAUUUUAAACAUGUGAUCUCAACACUUUCUUUAUUUAGAUGCUGCAAACUCCAAGUUUCUUCCUGAAGCUUUCAAACUUGCUAAGUGGCAAUGGUUUGGUGAAGAUAUCUGCAAUUUGAUCUUCAGAUUUGCAGUAACAAAGAGACACAUCACCACUCUUUUGAACUUCUCGAACAAAAAAUAACUUGAUGUUGAAAUGCUUAGUCUUCCCAUGAAAGACUGGAUUGUUAGAGAUUGCAAUGGCAGCUUGGUUAUCAACUAGAAUCUCUGUGCUUUGCUUCUGCUCCAUGUUUAGAUCAACAAGAAUCUUCCUUAACUAGAGAGUUUGGUUAACUGAUGCUGUUGCAGCCACAAAUUCUGCCUCAGCAGUGGAUUGAGCUACAAUUUCUUGCUUCUUCAAGCUCCAAGAGAACAUGCCUGAUCCAAGGCAAAAACAAUAACCAGAGUUACUCUUCAUAUCAUCAGUUGAGCCACCCUAAUCAUUGUCAGAGAAACCAAUUAACUUUAAUUCCCUGUGCUUUAAAAACUUCACUCCAUAACUCCAGGUCCCCUUGAUGUAUCUGAUAACUCUUUUUGCAGCUUUCAUGUGAGUCUCAUUAGGACAAUGCAUGAAUCUAGAGAGAAUACUUACAACAUUCAAGAUGUCGGGUCUGGUUGCUGUUAAGUACAUUAGACAACCUACCAAACUCCUAAACUCAGCUUCAAUGACUUUGGCAGAACCAUCAUCUUUGAUUAGCUUCUCUUUUUUAUUCAUAGGAGUGCUCAUUGCUUUUCAAUAUUCCAUAAGAAAUUUUUUAAGUAUCUCCUUUGCAUAGUUUCUUUGACAGAUGAACACUUCAUCUUGGCAUUGUUUGAUCUCAAUGUCAAGGAAAUAAGACAUCAGACCAAGAUCUGUCAUUUCGAAGACCUUUUUCAUUUCCAAUUUGAACUGAUUAACUUGAUCGAGAUUGCUGCCUGUAAUCAAUAAGUCAUCUACAUAAAGAGAAAUGACUAAAGUGUUUGUACCUUCAUGCUUUACAUAUAGUGUGAGCUCAGAUUGACUUUUCUGAAAGCCAAUGCCCACCAAAUGAUCAUCAAUUCUGCUAUACCAUGCUCGUGGAGCCUGUUUUAGGCCAUACAGAGCCUCUUCAGCAAGUAAACUUUGUCUUCAUUGCCUCUGUUUACAAAACCUUCAGGUUGCUCGACAAAGAUUUCUUCUUGCAAGACUCCAUUUAGGAAUGCAGAUUUAACAUCUAACUGAAAAACUUUCCAGUUCUUUUGUCCAGCAAGAGCAAGCAGUAACCUUACAGUGUCAAGCCUGGCAACAGGUGCAAAUGUUUCUGAAUAAUCGACUCCAAAGACUUGUGCAUAUCCCUUCACAACAAGUCUUGCUUUGAAUUUGUUAACUGAACCAUUGGGAUUUAGUUUCGUUCUGAACACCCAUCUUACUCCAAUUAUCUUUUUGUCCAAAGGUUGAUCAACCAGCUCCCAAGUUUUGUUUUUCUCAAUCAUCGAAAGCUCCUCUUCAUUGCAACCAUCCAAUGUUGACUGUUUUUUGCAUCAUGAUACCCUGCAGGCUCACAAAUAGCUACGUUACAUCUUUGGUAAAUGUCGGAAAGCAGCCUUGUACCUCUGACAGGUGUAUCAUCAGCCAAAACAUCUUGCCCUUCAUCUUCAAGCUCCUCUAAUGUGCUGCCAAUGGUAAAAUGAUCUGGUGCACUAGAAGCUUGGUUCGUCUUGGUCGAGUCUUCCCAAUUCCAUUGCUCAUUUUCAACAAAAUAAACAUCUCUGCUCACAAUAACAUGUCCAGUGUGUGGUUGAAAUACUCUGUAAGAUUUAGAUACAGUGCUAUACCCAACAAAAAUGCCAGCUUCUGCCUUUUUGUCAAGCUUAUCACGCUUGACCUGUGGAAUGUAAGUGAAACACAGGCAACCAAACACUCUAAGGAACUUUAAAUAAGGUUUGUAACCCUACCAAGCUUCAAAUGGCAUCUAAUCCUUCACAGCUUUUGUUGAAAUCUGAUUUUGCAAGAACACAGCAGUGUUUGCAGCUUCUUCCUAAAAGCCUUUUGGAAGAUUCUUCUCAUAAAGCAUACACCGAGUCAUCUUCAUUAUGAAUCUGUUCCUCCUUUCACUGACUCCAUUUUGUUAUGGAGUGUAUGGCACCGUCAACUGAUGCUCAAUUCCAGCCUCUUCACAAAACCUAUUAAAAGUUUCUGAAGCGUACCCCUUGCCAUUAUCAGAUCUUAAAAUCUAAAUCAUGCAUCCACUUUCAUUCUCAACUUUGGUUUUGAAUUUCCAGAACACACCAGCAACUUCUGAUUUUUAUUUCAAUAAGAAAAUCCAACACAUUCUUGUUAGAUCAUCAAUAAAGGCUAUGUAAUAGAGGUUACCGUUUAACGAUGGCAUUCUCUGAAGACCACAAAGAUCGGUAUGAACAAGCUAUUCGAGGCUCUCCAGGCUUGUUUAGGAAAGGGUUGUCUAUGUUGUUUCCCAAAUUUGCAAGAUCGACAAUGAGGUAGAUCAUCAUCAAUGUCUAUAAGUCCUUCUACCAGCUUCUUUGACUGCAUUUGAAGCAAUCCUCGAUGGUGAAAGUGCCCAAGUCUCUUGUGCCAAGUCUCAGUGGCACUAACUCUGGAUUUAAAAGCCAUUUGCUCCUUUUCCAUUGGAUUAAGAUAAAAAAAUUUUCCCUUCAUUUUGACAUUAAACAAGUCUCUGCCAUUAGCAUCUCUGAUCAAGCAUUGCUUAUUCUCAAAUAGCACUUUAUAGCCUUUAUCCAGUAACUGACCAACACUGAGGAGAUUUUGAUCAAUUUAGGUGCAAACAAAACAUCUGAAAUGAAUUUUGUACCUUUAUAGCUUGUAAUAGCUAUGCGCCUUUUCCCUUGACUUCCAAGUACUCAUCAUUUUCAAUCCUCACUAUUUUGACUUCAGUGUUUCUCAAUUCCUCGAAGAGCUCCUUGUCAUACGUCAUGUGAUUUGUGCACCCACUAUCAAUCAACCAUCUCUCACUUGAUUCUCUGCCUGAGAAACAAGUAACCACAAACAAUCGAUCUUCUUCUUCUUGAUCAGCUACCUGUGCAUCUACUUCUUGCACCUGGCCUUUGACCUUGCAAACCACUGUUUUAUGUCCAAGUUGAUUGCAUUUGGAGCAUUUAACGUCAGGUCUUUUCCAACAUUUGAAUGGUAAAUGACCUUUCUUCUCACAAUGGUAAUAAGGUGGGUAGGAUUUCUUGACACCUCCUCUUUUGCUCUUCUGAUAAUUGCCUGAUGAAUUUUCUCUACUCGUCGACUGGUUCCUAAAAUUUUUCUUCUUUUUAUACCUGUUGUUGUCUUGAUGCUUGACAAGUAAGGCACCUUCUAUCACUCCCUCUUGCCUCAUUAGUCUUCUUUGCCCUUGUGCUUGUAAAGCAUUCAAGAGCUCUGCAAGAGAGAUCUUUGACAGGUCCUUGGUGUUCUCCAGAGUAGUAAUGGUGGCUUCAAGCUUCUCUGGAACAGUAACCAGCAGCUUUUCUACGAUUCUAGAGUCAUUCAACUCAGAACCAAGCAAUCUCACCUUGUUGGCAAUGCUGAAAAGUCUGUCAGAAUAUUCUUUCACUGACUCAGACUCCUUCAUCUUCUGCAACUCAAAAUCCCUGAUUAGAUUUAGGACUUUCAUUCCACAAAUCCUCUCAUCUCUUGCAUACUCAGCCUUUAAGUAAUCCCAGAUUUCCUUUGCUGAUUUCAGAGACAUUAUUCGUGUGAAAAUCAUUUGAGACUCAGCUGCAAAUAAGCAAGCUUUUGCCUUUGAUUUCCUUGUCUUCUUUUCCUUUUAUGCUUUAAUCUGUGCCACAGUAGGAUUUGCUGAAAGUGGUGGGACCUCGUAAUCCGCUUCUACAGCUUCCCAAAGAUCCAAAGCCUCCAAGCAAGUCUCCUUACGAACUGCCUACAUCUGGAAAUUGUCUCCAUUGAAGACUGGUAGUGCAGCAACUGAAAAACUAGACUCUCCUUCCAUCUUAACACGCAAAUAACCUCAUAGAUCCCUUAAGAAAAUAGCUCCGAUACUAAUUUGUUGGUGAUUAGAACUCGAACUUUGAUGAUUGAUUGAGAGAUUUGAACUAGAAAGAAGAGAAAAGGAAGUUUUAAGAUAGAAAGUAAAUGAAGACUGGAAUGGUAAUUGAUUUGCACCUCAACGAUUUAAAUAAAAAAUUCAAGACUAAAAAUAGAAAAAAAAGGUUCUAAAAAUCUGCUAAGAAUCUGGUAACAAUAUACCAAACAAAUCGUAAAACUAAGCUCCUAAAGUAAAGGAGAAUUAUUCAAACUUAGCAACAGAAAACUAAAUGGCAGUAAUCUUAAACAUGUGAUCUCAACAGCAUGUUUGAAAAAAAAAAUAUUUUGAUUACUUACUUGCAUAUUUUUGAGGAUUUUGUGCAUCCAAUCUUGUGUUUAUUAUUUGAUUAAUCUCAGAUUGAUUUUUCUUAAACUAGUGGUUAUACUAAGGCUUGUUAGCGGAUUAAACUUUGGGCAAAGCAAUAUAGAUGUAGAUCUGUUUUCCGUGACGGGAUUUGAAUCUACUAAAAAAAAUUCCUACGCUUGAAACCAAAAUUAAAUUUUAGUAUAUAGAAUAGGGUCGAUCCCACAAAGGUUAAUCUAUCUAAAUCUAUAUUUCUUUAUAACUAGAACAUGUCCCAAGCAGUUUUUAUGCCCAUGACUUGUGCCAACUUGUACGAAAAACAAAAGGGAAUUAAAUCUGAAAAAUGAAUAAACAAAAAAUAUAAAUUAAUAAUGAAAAUGAAGUAGAAAUAAGUAAAACGAAAUUAAAAUUGAAUAAACCGAUAAAACAAAAGCUCUAGCUUCAAGCUUGAAGCUCGAUUUUGACUCUGUCUUCAAACUAAUCACAAAGAAUGAAUUUUUUCCUUCAUUAAUAAGUCAAUUGUAGAUACCAAGAAACAAGCUCAAACCACCUAAUUCUUUCAUAGUGGUAAAUUAAUUGCUGGAACAGCUCGACGACUAAGCCUUAUAAAGUGAAUAACCUUGAAAGCAGCAUUCGUGAUUUAAUUCAUUAGUAGCCUUGCGAACUAGAAGAACCUGGCUUAAAUCAACGACCUCAAUUGUAUGAGUCAUUUAAAAUUAAUUAUUAACUUCCUUGAUGGAUCCAACCACUCAUGUCAAUUUGUUCUUCAAUGGAUCUAAUACAACAAUUACAAUCACAUUGAUUCUCUAACUGUAUGUCCUUCAACACUAAACCAAGGGACUCUUCUUGAUUUUGAUGCUAAAAUAACAUUGAGAAGUAAUUGAGUUUAUCUUUUAAUUGGAGAAUUAACAAAUACCGAAAUGGAGAAUAUAAACACGAUUUUGAAAUUUCACCGUUCAAAUAUCGGAUCAAUUAUCAAUCUAAAACUAGGUUAAAUUUAACUUCUCAUAAAUUAAAAAACAAGAAAAGAAAAUCGUUGAAGGAGAAUAUUUAAUUGAAAUAAAAAACACUAAAAUAAAAUCAAAACAAUAGUUAAAUGAUAAGGUUGCUUUGAAACUGGAGUUGCCAUUUUCGUUGGAGGAGAUAAAAAAGGCAGUGUGGAGUUGCGAUGAGUCGAAAGCAUCUGGGUCGGAUGGCUUAAAUAUGUGCUUUUUUUAGAAAAUGUUGGGAUGUUGUAAAAAAUGAACUUUUUAGAAUGAUACUAGACUUUUUUAGAUCUAGAAAGCUUGAGAGGAGCAUCAAUUCUUCAUUUAUUACACUCAUAUCCAAAACCAAAAAUCCAAAUAAAAUAUCAGAAUUUAGACCAAUUUUUUUGGAGAGCUCGUUGUACAAGAUAGUGGCAAAGGUGUUAUCUCGAAGAAUUAGGGAGGUUGUUGGAGAGGUAGUGAGAGAAACACAAUGUGCAUUUAUCAGAGGUAGACAAAUAUUCGAUGAAAUUUUAAUUCUAAAUGAAAUUAUCCAUUCGAUUAAAAAGAAAAAUGGUAUGGGGGCAAUCUGAUUUUUAAACUGGAUUUUUCUAAAACAUAUUAUUGUGUUUGUUGGGAUUUUUUUGAGUUAGUUUUACUCAAGAUGAGAUUUGGCCAGAAAUGGAUAGGAUGGAUUAUGGAGUGUGUAUCUAUGGUGAGAGUAGCAAUAAUUAUCAACGGGUCAACCACAAAUUAAUUUAGAUUCCGCCGAGGUCUCCGUUAAGGACAUCUGUUAUCUUUAUUUUUAUUUAUCCUAGUGACGAAAGUGCUAUAUUUGUCGAAGGAUAAAGUAGUGGAGAUGGGGCUAAUUUAGGGCAUUCAAGAUGUUAUUCCCGUGCAGAUUUUUUCUCAUUUACAAUUCGUGGACGAUACUAUACUAUUCUUGAGAGGAGAUGAAGAAGACGUGAGAAAUGAUAAGUAUAUUUUACGGUGUUUUAAGAUCUUUUCAAGUCUUAGUAUCAAUUUCAAAAAAUCAUGUUUAGUAGGAUUUGAUGAGAAUGAAGAACUCUUAUAUCAAAUGGCUACAAUAUGUUAGUGUAAGAUAAGAUUUUUGCCUUUUAAUUAUCUAGGGAUUCCAUUGGGAGCAAAUCUGAGGAGAGUAUCCACUUGGGAUGCAAUUGUAGAGAGAUUCAGGAAGAAAUUAUCGGGAUGGAAAUGCCAUAUGCUCUCGUGGGCUGCAAGGAUUGUGUUGAUUAAUGUUGUUUUAUCUACCUUGUUGAUUUAUUUCAUGUGUAUAUUCCAAGCUCCAGUGACAGUUAUUAAAAGGACCGACAAGAUAAGGAGAAAUUUUCUUUGGGGGGGAGUAUAAAUGGUAAAAGGAAGAUGGCGAAGGCAAGCAGGAAACAUAUAUGUAAGCCAAAGGAGAAGGGAGGAGCGGGAGUGGUGAAUCUCAUAAUUAAAAAUAGAGCUUUAUUAGAAAAAUGGAGUUGGAGAUUCGCGGUUGAAAAAGAUGCAUUGUGGCAAAAACUCAUCCUAGCAAAGUAUGGUUCGCGCCCGCAACAAUGGCACUUUAGGACGACUAAUCUAAAAGUUAUGUCGAUUGUAUGGAGAGGUAUUGUAGAAAAUUCUAAAGACGCUAAUGGUUCUAAAUGGGUGGGGAACGAAGCUUUUAGAUGGAUGGUUGGGAAUGAAAGGAUGGCGGUGUUUUGGGAGGAUAUUUGGUCCUGUAGUCAACCACUAAAAAUGGAAUUUCCUAGAGUGUUCCGCUUAGCAAGACGAAAGAAAGGUAUGGUAGCAGAUUGCUCGAGCAACAAUGGUUUCACCACCAAGAGUGUGAAGUUUUCUAUGGAUGCUUGCUAUUGAUAGAAUUCCUACAAAGGAAUUUCUCGUUAAAAGAGUAGUGUAGCUUCAACACAUUUCGAUCGAAUGUCCAUAGUGUGAAAGAGUACCAGAGAGAGCAUAUUAUCUAUUCUUCAAAUGGAAAUAUAUUGAAAGGUUCUGGUAUAAAUUUUUCAAAUGGUGGGAGGUUGAAUGGAAUUCGAUAGAAGGAUUUGCUGAUUUUUAUUCUUUGUGUUAUAACGUGAAACUGUUAGGAGCCCGAAAAAGUUUAUGGUUGUUAUCGAUUUCGAUAGCUUGCUAGUCAGUGUGAAUAGCAAGAAAUGAAAUUGUCUUCGAAAGAAAGGUGACGACUAUGGAAGCUUUGAUAUUUCAAUCCAAGAUGAGGGCAAAGUUGUGGAUAAGGUUUGUAUAUAUAUGAUGAGUAAAUGGUGCAAGAGAGCUCUUGGUGGAUUUGUCCGAACAAGUGCAAAUUUGAUACAAUUAAACCAAAUCCUCUUCGUCGAUAUGACGCCCUCCUCCACAAGGCUAUCCAAGUUUCAAUGUAUGUGGGAUAGAAAAUGAGGAAGUUACAGGUUGUGGUGGAGUACUAAGAGAUAUAGAGGGUGUUGCAAGAGCUUUAUUUUCGGGUCCUAUUGUAGCUAAUGACACAAAUUCAACAGAGGUAGGGGUAGUGUUUAUAGCAUUGGAUUUGUUCUUAUCCAUGGGAUGGAAGAUUAAUAGCUCUCUUAUUGUAGAAAUUUGUUCAAAAAUGGUGUACAAUUGGUGUCUGAACAAGGAUAUGAGACCGUGGUUGUUACAAACAACAUUUUCAGUUAUUGAGAGGAAAAUUGAGCAGGUUGGUAGUGUAGUAUUCUCGAUGGCAGAUCAAAAACGUAAUGAAAUGGCUUCAACCUUGGCAAUAGCAGGUAUUAAUCGUGGUGACAUGUUCAAAGCUUGUUAGUGAGUAUUAGCUUUGAUGUUGAAUAUUAGUUUUCGAUUGUAGGAAAUGUUUCAUUGUGGUAUUUUGUAACUUGUUUCUUUUAAGUGUUGUUCUUGUUGUAUUUACAACAGAUUAGUUUGAAUGAAGCAAAAAAAAAAAAUUUUGGUGGGUACCGUGUGCCCCCUCUCUUCACGCCUUACUAUAUAAUAAUAAUAAUAAUAAUAAUAAUAAUAAUAAUAGACAAGCUUAAGAAUAUAAGAAGCCUUUACUCAUUCCCUAAGAUAAAAUUUAAUCCUCAUUAAUAUCUUAAAGAGAAACAUUUUUCCAUAAAAAUAAAAAUAAAAAAUAAAAUAAUCCUAAAUUUUAAAUGUCUUAUAUGUCAACUUCUCAAUCCAACUAUAAAUUUACUUUUUUAUAUUGUACUCUAACACUUCGAACAUGUGCUAUAUUUAUAUAGAAAAUAGUCAACAAAGUACCAAAGUAGUAGCAUCCAUGUCCAAAAUUAAUCAGAAUAAAUCAUUAAAAAAUAUCUAUUAAGAACAUUAUCACCCCCCUUAAUCAAUACUUGCCCUUAAACAUUUCAUGCAUUCAUCAUCUAAACAUAUCACAAUCAUCCAAGCCAUUUCUUGCAUUCAUCAUCUAAACAUAUCACAAUCACCCAAGCCAAUUCAACUUUCACAGUCCUCAGUUCAAUAAAAAAAUAAGCAUUAUCAAAAUUUUGACCGUACAACCGUCUCCCUCAAGCAAGCACAUAGAUUAACAAUUUAUGAUAAGUGCUAAAAGUAACAUAUUUUAACCUCGUUUUGUAACAUCUUGGAAUUUGGGGUUAGAAGUUUUGAGGUUUGUAGUGAGGGUCAGCAAGUAGGUUGAACAAUUGGGUUUAUUUUCGCGUUUUAACAUCAAAAUGAGUUUACUAAUUUGGUGGUAGAGUAUGUUACUAGUUUGCCUUGGUCUAGUGUUUGAAUCCCGAUGUGAGAAUAAAGGAAGUUUUAUUUUAAAUUUGUUUCUUUUUGUGUUAACUUAUUUUUAUUUAGAUUUUUUAUUUGAAAAAAAUAGAAGAAAAUCCCAAAAAUUUCUCACGUUUUCCACUUUCUCUUCACAUCAGUCUUUCUCCUUCUUCCAGUAAAUAAAAAUUAUAGAUUUUGAUUUUCUUUCUUUUUUUAUUGGGUUUCAAUACUUUUGUAAACCGCUGCCUUCAAAUACUAGUGGUGCUUUUGUUCUUCGUUUGAUCAGACGUCGAAUCGGGUGAGUGUAGGGAUCAUUUUGUAUUUAGGUUUAUGCGAUUAAUUCUUGGUAAUUUGAUAUAAGGUUUAGGUCGGAAAUUUUUGUAGCUUUAGUAUGUUUGCGGAACUGAGUUUCAGGUUGUUACAGUAAAGGCCAAGUGGUCGAUUCUUGGUGCUCUAAAACAUCAUUCAGGUGUGUGUUUUGAAACUGUUUAAUUUCAGUAUUGAAUUACUGUUGGAUUUUAUGGAAUUCAGCAGUUUCUAGUGUGUUUCUAAAAUUGUGUGAAUUCAGUAAUGAAUUGCUGCUGGAUUUUGGGAAAAUCUACAAAAUUCUUAUGUGUCUUGAAUGGUUUGUGAUUAGGGUUCAUUUUGCUAUUGCAAAAUUGCGAUUUCAACUUGUUUCAAUGUGGUUUCAUGACCAUACUGGUGGGCACACGAGUGUGUGCAGCACACAGGUGUGUGUAGCACAUGGGUAGUCCACACAGUCAUGUAACAUUGGGAAUUAGGGAUUUUGGAUGUUUUUUAGUGCCACACGGUCGUGUGGUGGCUAUUUGGGGAUUUUUUUCAUUUUUCACAUGGACAUGUGCCUUCGACACACGGUCGUGUCCCUUAGCCACACGGGUAUGUGAGAUUCCCACACAAGCGUGUCUACUAUGCUCCUUAUUUUGACACUUUUGGACAAUGAGUUACGCGGAUUAUCAACACGGCCAUGUAACUCGGUCACACUGAUGUGUCUCCUCCAUACGAGCUUGUGUAGCUUGCACAUGGGCGUGUAAACCACCACAUGGCCUAGUAGACCUCCACACGACCUAGUCACUCCCACACGGACGUGUGGCUCUGUUUUGGAAAUUUUUGUUUUGUGUUAAAAUUUGGCUCGUUUUGUGUUUCUGUAUGUUUCGACCCUCAGUUAAGCCUUGGUAACUGUAUUGAGGACUCCGCUAUGAUAUGGAUUUAAAUGUGUAUGUGUGUGUUCAGUUUAGGUAAUUGGGAAAUGUAUUAAUGUGUAUGUGUAUGUGUAUGUGUGUUUUGCAAAUUUUUGUUCUGUGACAAUUGGUAUUGGACUAAGUUUUAAAGCUACUAGUUGAGAUGAAAAAAGGAGUAAAAGAGCAGAUUGAACCCAGAGAGACCCAUGAGAGGGGCAGAAAAGAUAGUAGAUCGAGGGAUAUGCUGUCGACUUUGAAAGGUCAAGUGACUAAUCUCGAGGAAUCCAUAAUUUGAGUUCUUGAACUCAAAAUAAGAGAAUUUAACGUGCAUUUUGAAAUUAAGAAAUCGAUAUUUUAUUAGUCAGAAAAAAUUUUAACCCAAAAAUACUUAAACCCUAUCUAAAAUUAUAUUAUAAAUAAACUAAUUUUUCAAAUUUAAAAACUGAGUAGUUCAAUAAACUUGAAUUAAUAAAUUUUCCCUAUUUGUACAUUUAUGACCACACAUGAUAAUGGGUAAGAUAAGGUCCUAACGGACUUUGUUUAAUAUAUAAAGGUAAGUGAUAAUUGUAGCAAUUCUUGCUACUGGAGCAUAGGUAUCAAUGUAAUCAAUACCUUGUUUUUGUGUAAAACCUUUGGCUACCAACCUUGCUUUAAAUUUAUCAAUGGUUCCAUCGACCUUCAUUUUCUUUUUGAAGAUCCAUUUACAACCUAUUAGUUUGGAACCUGGUGGAAGAUCAACUAAGAUCCAUGUUUGAUUUCCCAUUAUUGAAUCCAUCUCAUCAUUUAUUGCUUCCUUCUAAAAAGUAGAGUCUUGAGAUUUCAUUGCCUCUUCAAAUAUAAUAGGAUCAGAUUUCGUAUUAUAAAAAUAAGGUAUCUUAUUGCAUAUACAUUCACCUUUACCUUCUACAAGAAACAUAAUGAAAUCUGGUCCAAAAAUUUUUGACCUUUUAAUCCUCUUACUUCUUCUUAAUUCUUGAGAAGAUUCAUCAUCAUUAUCAAUUUGUUCCAAUGGGAUCUUUUUCUCAUUUGAACAAUGAAUCAAUUGUUGUGGCUGUAAUUGUAACAACUCGGUUUUAGUUAAAUUAGAACAAUGGUUUUGAAACCACAAAUCUGAGGUCAAAAAUUCAUUUUAAUAUUAUUUUUGGUAUUUACAGCAUGUGAUUAUAUAUGUGUAAAAGUUUCGUCAAGAAAUUUUACUGUUUGAAUGCUUAAUUCGGCAAAAGGACUAAAUUGCGUAAAAUGUAAAAGUUGUGUUCUAUAAGCUAAAGGUGUCUAAGAGCUAUAGAACAUUAAAGUAAAGGUCCUUAAGUGGUAAAUAGGAUAUUUAUGAGUUAGUGUAUGAUAGUGGAGUGACAUUUGGUAUAAUUACUAAUGUUUUUAAUGGUAAAAUGGUAAAUAAGUAAAUUAAUGAUAAAAAAAAAAAUUUAAAGCCACCAUCUUUAUUCAUCUUCCCCAACCGAAAUUUACAGCAAUAAGGAAGGCUUUGGGAGCUUGAAACUUUUGGUUAAUAAAUCUCUUGUGUGUAAGUGAUUUUUAAGCCCGUUUUUGAUAAUUUUUAUGUUUUUGAGAUUGUUGCUUCAUGUUCUAGCUAGCCCAUGCCCUAAUUUUUGAAUUGGUUUGAUGAAUUUGUGAGUUACCAUUGAUGAUAGAUUGAUGUUUUUGAAUGUUGAUGAUGGAAAAUGAAUAAUUGUUGAUAGAUAAAUAUGUUUUGUAAAGUGAUUUUUGGCAAAAAUGUCAAAUGGAGAUAAAUUGUGAAAUAUGCCAGUUGAGUGGUUCAAAUGUGAAAUAAAUAAAAGUUUUGGUCUGCUAGGGGCACUAUAGUAAUUCGGCUAAGCUUGGGUUAUAUUGAAUUGUGUAAAUUUUGUAUAUUUGUCAAAUAGGUACUAAAUUGAAUAAAUGUGAAACUUUAGGGGCUAAAGUGCAAAAAUUUUCAAAUAGGUAUUUUUGGAUGAAAUUGAAUGAAUAGGUGAUUAAAUGAGUUAAAUUUGAAUUCACGUAAAUCAACAAAGAAAGAAAUCAGAUUUAGAUCGGGGGAAAUCGAAAGUUGACGAGUAGUUGAUCCGAUCCGUUCGUUUCUGUAUGAGGUAAGUUCAUAAGUAAAUAAAUAUUUUUGAAUUCAAAUAUAUAUGUUUUGUAUAUUGCCGAAUUGAUUUAUAUGUAUAUAUAUACAUUGUCGAAUUGAUUUGUCUAUGUAUAUAUAUAUUGCCGAAUUGAUUUGAGCAUUGGAUGACUGGUUUCGUGCAUGUAUUGAUUUAAUUACGAAGUCGAAAGCUCCGAAUGAAUCUUAGGAAAUGUAUAGGAUGAUGAUUUCAUGAUAUUAGGACUUCCGAGGUGUGAUUUCGUGUAAGACCAUGUUUGAGACAUUGGCAUCGAAGUGAGAAAAUCUAUAAGACCAUAUCUGGGAUAUGGCAUCGGCAUUGAUUUAAGAUCCCGUAUAAGACCAUAUCUGGGAUAUGACAUCGACAUCGAUUCGAGAUCCCAUAUAAGACCAUAUCUGGGAGAUGGCACUGGCAUUGAUUUGAGAUUUCGUAUAAGACCAUAUCUGGGAUAUAGCAUCGUUAUGAGACUUCGUGUAAUACCAUAGCUGGGAUAUUGGCAUCGAUAUGAGAUUUCCAUGUAAGACCAUGUCUGGGACAUGGCAUUUGUACGAUACAUUAUGUACGAGUUUUCCCGAGUAUCCUUAGUAUUCCAAGUGGUUCAACAGGUAAUCCAAAGAUUAUGUCAAAGAAAAGACAAGGUAUGAUCAUAUUGAAUGGAUACAGGUAUGUACGAAAAAUUCAUGAGUAAUGAACUCAAUGUAUUUUGGACAUUUGAUAAGAAUGUAAAUGAGUAAGUCAUACUUGUAAGAAUGAUAUUGUGAUGACCUUGUGAUUAUAGGUCUAUACUUAUGAGGUAUAGAUUUGUGGUAAAUUUGAUUGAUGAUUGUGCGAGGCUUUUAGGCCAAAUUAAAUUGAGACAUGAUAUGUUUAAGUCUUUGUUGUUGAUGUAUAGGUGAAAUUGGCCAAUGAUUGGCAUGUAAAUAUAUGAUAAUGAUUAGCUAUUGGAAUGGCUAGUUAUGGAUAUGUUUUGGUGUUAUGUGUGUCUAAAUAAAUGUUAAUACAAAGAAAUCAUGAAAGAGUAAAAUUUGCAAUAAAAUAGUUUUGGACAACAGCUGUUGUAUAAAUUUGAAAAAUCACCAAAAAUUGUAGGAAUUGCAUUAGAGGUUGAAUAAGACAUUAAAAUGAAUAUUAUUGAGUCUAGUUUCACAUAGAAGAAACGGUGUAAGCAAAAAAAUAUGAUAUUAUGAGAUAUUUGAAUUUUUGUGAGAUAAGGUUAGAAUGAUUUCGGAAUCCCCAAUUCUGAUUUUGGAAAAUUAUUAAACAUUGUAUAAAAACAAUUAUGGGUUAUAAUUUAUAUGAUUAAAAUUCUUAAUGAGUCUAUUUUCAAUAGAAACAAACGGGAAUAUCAUUCUUAAUUUUGAAAAUUUUAUGGUAAGAAGAUAUGUGAGUCUAGUUUUGGUAAAAUCAAGUGGAUCUUAAUUUGGAGUUCUGUAGCGCAAGAUAUAAAUAAUUUAGGUAAAAUCAAGUGGAUCUUAAUUUAAAGUUCUGUAGCACAAGAUAUAAAUAAUUUAGUGACUAUCACUUGAGUAGACAGCUUGAUGUAAACAUGAGUAAAUAGUGCAACUCUGUGCAAUUUUGAUUGUAUUACCUUGAGAUAUGUUGUGAGGAUUGGUAAAAGCAUGCUAACAGAUUUCUUAUUGUUUACUUACCAACUUACUAAGCUAUAUAGCUUACCCCCUUUCUUUCUUUUUCCUAUAGUGUCACAGAUACUAGCUCGGGUUGGAGAUCGUCGAAGAUUCUAUCACACUAUCAAGCUAUUGAUCGAUAUCAACAUAUUCAAACAUUUUAAGUUUAUGGCAUGUAUAGGGACUCAGUCAUUUUGUGUAUGAGUUAUUAUGUUUUGGCCAAAUGUUUUGGUUUGUAAUGGUUAAAGGUUUGAUUUUAUGUGUAGCCAUGUAACUUGACUUAUAUUGGCUAAUUGGUUGUAAGCCUAUAUAUAUAUUAAUUAUAUGCCAAUGUCUUGUGAUGUGAGUUGCGUUUGCAUGAUACAUGAUGAGUUGUGGGUAUGGCCUAAAUUCCUAAUGGUUGUAUGUGCUGCAAGUCUUGAUGUCCAAUGGCUAAGUUUUACUCAAUGGUAUGGUAUGUUAAUUAGAUAUAAUUAUGCUAGUAUAAGAGUUGUUGAUGAUGUAUAUGUAUAAAUAGUUUUAAAUUGAAUGAAAUUUUAUGGCCCGGUUUUGUAUGGUUGCUUAUGUUUAAGACAGGUAAUGCCUCGUAUCCUGUCCCGACGUCGGACACAGGUAAGGGAUGUUACAGUAAUUGUCUUGAUAUAAAAUUAAAUCUAUUUUAAUCAAAAAUAGCAUCUCUUGAUUCAAUAACAGUAUUAAUUGAAACUGAAUCAUUUGGUUCAAUUACCAUGAACCUAUAUGCCUUGCUAUUAUGUGCAUAACCUAUAAAUAUGCAUUCAAUUCCUCUUUCACCUAACUUUUUACAUUUAGGUGUUGGAACUUUGACAAUAGCUCUAUAACUGCAAACCGUCAAAUAAUUAAUGUUUGGUUUCCUUUUCUUCCAUUGUUCAUAGGGGGUUAUUUUAGUUUCCUUAUUAGGAACUCUAUUCAAUAUAUGACAAGCUGUUAGAACAGCUUCUCCCCAAAAACAUUAUCCAAGACUUGAAUAUGAUAACAUUGAAUUUACCAUUCUAGUUAAGACUUUAUUUUUCCUCUCAAGUACGCCAUUUUGUUGUGGGGUGUAAAGGGAUGAAACUUGAUGGACAAUUCUAGUGGAUUCAAAAUAACUUGGAUUAUAGUAUUCUCCACCUCUAUCUGAUCUUAAGCACUUGAUAAAUGAUUCACACUGAAGUUCAACUUCAGAUUUAUAACUUUAAAUUUAUCAAACGCUUCAUCUUUUGAAUGCAAUAAAUAUGCAUAACAAUAUCUAGAACAAUCAUCAAUAAAAGUAACAAAAUAUUUCUUUCCACCUAACGUAGGAGUAUUAUGCAUGUCACAUAAAUCAUUAUUUAUCGAAUCAAGCAAUUUUGUUUUCCUUUUAACCUUAGGGAAAGGGUUUCUUGUAAUUUUAGUCAACAUACAUGUAUUACAUUUUUCAAUAUUAUUAUUAAAAAUAUGAAUUAAAUUUAACUUAUACAUGUCAUUCAAUUUUCUAUAAUUCAAAUGACCUAAUCUAUAAUGCCACAAAUAAAAAGAUUCAACCAUUUAAGUAGAAAUAGUAUUUUUAUUCUUGAGUUUGAACAUACUCAUACAUAUACCCUUUCCCCAUAAAAAUUCCUCCCUUAGACAAAAUAAACUUAUCUGCCUCAAAAACAAGUUUGAAACCAAACUUAUUCAACAAACUUUCAGACACUAAAUUCUUCCUAACUUCUGGUACAUAAUAUACAUCAUUUAAGGUUCAAACUUUUCCAGAAGUGAAUUGUAGUUCAAGAAACCCUUUGUCUUUGAUUGCUGCGGUGUAAGAAUUUCCCAUGUACAAGACAUUGUCAUUUUCACAUUGUGUGAACUUUGUGAACAUGCUUUUGUCUUUCACACAUGUUUGGUUACUCCGGUAUCAAUCCACUAUGUAUUAUCAUCUUGUGCCAUAUUAAUUUCAAAUAUCAUUGCAACGAACUUUUCGUUAUUAUCAGCAUUAGAAGAUGAUUUCUUCCUUAAAAAUCGACAUGCAUUCUUGAAAUGUCCUAGCUUUCUACAAUGAUAGCAUGAGCCUUUUUGUUCCUUUUUGAACUUAGGUGCUCUAUCAGUCUGUUUGAACUUUCUCUUCAAUGGUUUAGUAGUUUGAACUUCCUCCGUAACAUGCACUUUGGCAUUUUCAAAAUUUAGGUUAUGAUCUUGUUUUUGAUAUUCUUCUUCAAUACGAAGAUGAUUUGCCAAAGCCUCAAGAGAUAUUUCCUCUUUCUUAUGUUUUAGACUUCUUUUAAAGUCUUUCCAAGAUGGAGGAAGUUUGUGUAUUAUGGAGGAUACAACAAUCAUUUCAUCCAUUUUCAUAUCAUAUUGUUUGAACUGAUUUAGCAUCUUUUCAAUAUCAUGGAAUUGUUCCAUAACAGAACGACCAUCAACCAUUUAAUAAUUAUUGAAACGACUGACAAGAAAUUUCUUACUUGUAACAUCUUCGGUCAUGUAUCUUGUCUCCAAUUUUUCCCAUAAUUCUUUAGCGAUGACCUCGUUUUGGCAGGUGUCGAACAAACCAUCAAAUAAACCAUUCAAUAUGUGGCCCAUGCACAUGUAAUCAGCAUUGUCCCAUUUUUGUUUUUCUAUAAUUGUAGCAACAGAUUAGUUAUCAUUCUCUUUAGGUUUAGGAGUAUCCAAAACAUAAGCAAUCUUCAAAGUUGAUAAUAAGAAGUGCAUCUUUUUUUGCCAUCAUCGAAAAUUGCCACCAUCAAACCGAUCAAGUUUGACAAAGUUGGAAGCCAACUCCCUUAGUAUUCCACUUUCAUGUGUUAUGGUAGUCAUCAUGAAUUAUAGAACCUUAAAAUUGUUAGUACAAAACUCUGGUGAAGAAAAUCUUGAACACACGAACAAAACUCGAACAAAAAAAAGAAAUAGGACAAGGCUCCAAGGCGUGUAUCAAGUCACUAUCUUUAAGGUUAUAUUCACCCCCACCUAUAUUCGGUGUGCAAAUGAGUUCCAAGAAAAUUAACCUCAAGGAUACAAUGAAGCUAAUGACUAUUUACAUUUUGGACUGACGAGAACAGCCCACUACACACUGAGCAAUGUAUGACAAGAAACUCAAUUUCUAUAAAGGAUUUCUAUUGAACUGCACAAUUAACAUACACCAAUAUGACAUCACCACAAGAAGAGCACACUUUACUAAUGAUAGAAAACCAUAGCCCAAAGCAGAAAACAAGAAGUGAGAGAGCAAGUUAUAUCUUAAAACAAACACUACUACGAAACCCUUCUCAACAUGGAAAACACCACAUCAGAAACUAUGACAAAUAGCGGCUCCACCCAUAAUCCAAAACCAAGCAACUAACUAUAGUGAUCACCCUUGCUAAAAAAACCUUUACAUAAAUCAACGAGCAAGCAUUGGACUUCACCCCAAGUAAGAAAAUGAUCCAUCAAACCUUGAAAAAGCUUUAGACACCAUCACUUAUCAGUAGAUAAGAAACCUAAAAUAGAGCCAACACCAGCAACACCUUAUCAAGACCAACAGCUAGAAAAAAUCUCAAUGGAACCGAUAUCAAAGGAAACUCAAUGUCAUAUCGGCUUCCAUAAAACUUUCAAACCACCCCACUAUAGCUCUUAAGACUGACGAUAACCGUACUUUAAAAUCACCAAAGCAUCCACUUCGAGAGACACCUUCAAUCAUAACACAAUGAAUAGACUCAAAUUCAAUUCUAUAAUCACAACAUACCAAAAAAGACAGAAGCCAUUUUCAAUAAAAUAACAGCCUCAACCGAUCAGUAGGCCAUAAAAGGCACAAAACACCAUAAUGCAUCAUCCAACCUCAGCAACAUACAAAUUGUUUAUCAUGGUGUUAUAAUCAAUCUUGGGUUCAAACCCACUAUAAGUAUAUUUUUAUUGGUUUCUGUUAAAAUAAAAAGACUAAAAUACUCAAUUAACUUGUGACACCAACUUAGUUAGGAGCUUAAAUAAUAAUAAGUAUAGAUACAAUUGAUGAAUAUAAUAAAAUAUGCAUAUUAAAAUAAAAAUAUAUAAACGAUAUUAAAAUAAAGUUUUAAUGGUGAUAUACUUGAAGUUUUAUUAUUGUGAUUGUCUUAGGUUCAAAUCCCCUCAUAUUCAUUUUUAAUUAUUUUUUUUAAAAUAAAAAGAUUAAACUACCCUCGAACAAUAUAACUUAUUCUAAUUAUGAAAAAAUAUUUUCGUAAUUUCUCUAACUGAAUUGGCGACACCAAUUCAGUUAGGGACUUAAAUAAUAGUAUAGAUAAUAUAAUUUUUGGCCCUCAACUUGGGAAUUAGAUGCACUUUAAUAUUGUAUUAUUUUUUUCCAAUUUUAUAACUAAACUUGGCAAGUAAAUUCAAGUGGUCAUUGAACUUGGAUUCUAUCAACAUUUGAUGAUGUGACUGGUGUUAUUGAAACAAAAUCAGAUCAUUCGGUCAAAUUGACUGAACUGAAAAGCGAUUGGUAUAACGGUCCAAACAAAGGGGUUGAACUGAUUGAAUCGGAAAUUGGUCAAAAUUGACAAUUUAAAAAAUUAUUUUAACUUUAUUUUUAGAUUUUUAGGAAUUUUUAAUUAAUUAUUUAAUUAUUAUUGGUCUAGCAGUCGAACCGAUUGAAUAAGAAAUCAAUAGUUUUAUCUUUUAACCACCGGUCCGAUUAUUAAAACACUAGAUGCGAUACUGUGAGAUUGUAGCACAUCAUCACCUAAAAUUUUAUAUAAUUUUUUAAUUUUCAAGUGAUAUAUGUGAUCAUGUCACAUAAUCAAACUUUUAAAUUUUGUAUGUUCAGGGAUUAAAAUAGACCUAAUUGUUAAAUUCAAAUGAUAAAGUGGGCUAAAAAAAUCCUGGUAGCCAAUAAUAGAAAAAAUAUACUAUUUAAAAAAUAAUAAUUAAAGCGGACCCACUUGGUGAUAUUGCUCUUUUUCCAUAGUUCCCGACAAUAUUGUAUCCGUCUAUAUGUCUUAAAUAUGCUGCAACCAGCAAAAUUUGUUUUCUAAUAUUUGGCAAUUUUUACUUGCAAGACAACGAUGAAAAACACUUAAAUAAUCAGUACAGUCCUCCUCAAUAAUUGUAAGUCGUAAUAGACCUGAUAUUUUGGCUUAUAAUAAUGUCUCACAUUUACUUUCAUAUCUAAUCUUGAUGUUUUUAACAAUAGCGUAGAGUAGUGGACAUGCUCUUAAAUUAAUAAUAGUAAAAUUAUAUUUUAUCCUUAAAAAAAAUAAAAUUUAAUUUAAUUCAAUUCUUUAAAAAUUAUAAAGAUGUAUACUAUUAAAAAUUAUAUUUUGUUUAUUUACGUUAUCACGUGUUACCUGUGUAGAAAAUGAAGAUUUUGACAAUAAAAAAGAAUAGUGUGGUGAGAAUGGAGGGUUAGAAAGGAAUAAUGCUUCAUUAUUUUAUUCAUUCCCAAAAAGAGGGAUAUAUGAUAUAAGUAAAUGCAAGGAAUGAACGCGUAUAAAAUUUAGACAUGUUACUUAUCCACCUGAAUGGCAUCAUAGACUGGUGUUUUGGCUUUUAUAAUAUUAAUCUCUCACAUAUACGACCAACCUACCCUGAACAUAUGACGAACCCAUUUGCGUCAUUGCAAACGCAAUUUUGGUCCUUAUGCUAUAAUAAAGGAGGAAAUGGUUCUGGUUUAGAGAAGAAAAAUGAAUGCGCUGAUGAUGCUUCUAAUUCUUGCUCCAUGUUGCUUCUUCUUCAUAGCUUUAAUAAAGUUACUUUAUGAUUACCUAUGGAUACCCCUCCGUAUUCAGCAUAUGCUGAAUUCACAAGGGAUCAAAGGACCUCCUUACAGAUUCAUCCAUGGCAACAACAAGGAAGUUACCAAAAUGAAACAAAAAGCUUUAAGUAAAUCUGUGGGCUUGACAGAUGAUUUAUUUCCCAAAGUACAGCCACAUAUUUACACCUGGACCAACAGAUAUGGUAAGAUCCAUGCUUGUUUUUUUCAAUAUGAUUUAUAACUUGUAGUUCUAAGAAAAGGUAGACCCUUUUUCUUUUCAUGUUAUUAGGGAAGAAUUUUGUUUAUUGGAACGGUGCUCGAGCUGAAUUGGUGAUUUCAGAGCCUGAAUUAGUCAAAGAGGUUCUGAAAAAUAGUGAACAAAUUUUUCAGAAAAAGAAACUUUCAGAUAUUGGUAGGAAGUUCUUGGGGAAUGGGCUUAUAUUCAUUGAGGGGGAAAAAUGGGCAAAGCAUCGAAAGCUGGCCAAUCACACUUUCCAUGGGGAAAGCCUAAAGGUAAGUCUUCCAAAUAUAUAAACUAGGUGUAAUUAAUUUACAAGAAUUAUACAUAGACUACAAUAUUUUGGUAAAAUUUUGUAUUGUUAGCUAAGGAUAAAUUUAUUAUGGACGUUGAAUUUUAGACUUAAUGUUGUAAAAUAAAAGAUUGAGUAAGAGAUUUAAAAAAAUAUAUAAUUUCAUUAAAAAGCACUCUUUUAACUUAUUGACUUGGAUUAAAAUCUAGUUUGAAAAGGUGUUUAUUUGUCAAAUUGUUUAAUUUGAAAUCAUGAUUUUGUGUUGAAAAGUGUUUUUCUGACUCCAAUUAUAUAUGUCACUACUACUUACAUAUAGGAGGAUUGUUUGGGCAGAACAUGACUCCAGCAAUAAUUGCUAGUGUUGAAACAAUGCUAGAAAAGUGGAAAGGCCAAUAAGGCAAAGAGAUUGAACUGUACCAAGAAUUUAGGUUAUUAACUUCAGAAGUGAUUUCCAGAACAACAUUUGGUAGCAAUUACAUGGAAGGGGAGAAGAUAUUUGCCAUCUUGAGCAAGUUGGCAGUAAUUAUGAGUCGAAAUGUUUCCACGACUAGAAUUCCUUUGAUCAGGUAUCUUCCCUCUAAGCUUAAUUAAUCCCAACUUUUACCUUGAUUUCAACUAGCUUUUGAAUGCAACUUUUAGACUUUCAUUCCCCAUGGAUUUGGUUUUCUCCUUAUAUAUAGCUGACCCUGGUUUGCUUUUGCAGCAAGUUGUGGAAAUCUGCUGAUUUGCUAGAGUCUGAAAAACUUUCAAAAGAAAUAAAAGAUCGUCUGAUGAAGAUUGUUAAGAAAAGAGAAGACAAAGUUGUGAAUGGAGAAGUCAAUAGCUUCCGCAGUGAUUUUUUUGGAUUACUUCUAAAUACCUAUCAUGAUUCGGAUGCGAAAAACAGGAUUUCAUUGGAAGACGUGGUAGCUGAAUGCAAAACAUUCUUUUUUGCUGGACAAGAAACUGUUAAUUCCUUACUUGCAUGGAUAGUCUUGCGCAUUUGGCAAUCCAUGGAGAUUGGCAAGAAAAAGCGAGAAGAGAGGUGGUUGACAUAUUUGGUAACCAAAAUCCACAUCUCGAAGGCAUCGCCAAACUCAAAAUAGUAAGAAAACUAUCUAACUGGGAAUUCAAAUAGCCAUCGACAUGAUGUAAUCUGACAUAUUUUUCUAUUUUCCAAACAGAUGACCAUGAUCAUCAAUGAAGCUCUAAGAUUGUAUGGUCCAACAGGUGUCCUCCAAAGAACAGUUACAAGAGAAAUUCAGUUGGGAAAGCUACUCUUGCCUGCUAAUAUAGAUAUUCUGCCUUUAAAUAUUGGACUUCAUCGUGACCCUCACUUUUGGGGAAAUGAUGUGCAUCAUUUUAAACCUAAGAGAUUCGCUGAAGGGAUUGCCAAAGCUACCAAUUACACCGCGGCUGCCUUUUUCCCCUUCGGAUUAGGACCUCGAUCUUGUGUUAGUAUGACAUUUGCAAUGAUAGAAACCAAGAUUGCUCUCUCCAUGAUUCUACAACGCUACACCAUUAUCCUUUCCCCUGCUUAUGUCCACUCUUCAAUACUUAUUCUCAACUUUCAACCCCAAAAUGGAAUUCAAGUAAUACUUGAGCCGAAUACAUAGUAAUGCUUGAAGUACAUAGCCGUUAAGAACUAGAGGUUUAACAUGGUUCAUGUAUUUUACUUUUAAGAGAUGAUAUUUAAUAUGUUUAAAGGUUCUAGCAUUCAUCAUUAAAGACAAACGACUUGUGGCCAUGUUUACUUUUUAUCUAUCAUGCAAUGUCGAUAAGAAGAUAUCAUUUACCUUUUAGUUGGGUUAUGAAUUCUACUAUUGUGAAUGAUGUUACAUACUAUACAAGUUCUAUACCCAAUGCACCAACUUUCGGUUCUUUAUCUAUUUGAACUUAGCCUUUUACUUGCAUCAAAGUAUACGAGUCAUGCUUGUAUAGUCCACCAUCCACUCAAGAUUAAGGUAUAUCACACAAUGAACAUCACAAGUAAAUAGAUCCAUAAAUGGAUCUAGAAUCUAUUCUACUUGGGUCUUUUCUGAUGUAUUGUCAGUCCAGUCAAUCACAUCUAUGUCUUUAUCUUUUAGGAGUUAUCUGUUCCAUUUAAGACAAAGCAUCUCCACAAUUGGGUUUGAUAGACGACAUCUUAGUUUUUCAAUCGAUUUGCUCAAUUUUGAUUAGACUAAGGACAUAUUUAGGUUUAUAUACUAAUACAAGCUAUCUUUCCAUAUCAAGAUCUGACCACGUAAUACCGCUUAGUAUUAAUUUAAACAAUAGAUAACCAAUGAGCCAAUAUUUGCUUCCAUUUUGCUUUGUGUGCAAAAACAUUGAGGACAAUAUGCAAAGGGUAUUAAUGUAAUUAAUAGAUAUUAUUAAACCAAUUUGUUUGAAAAAUACAAUUAUAUAAAACGAAUAUAGUACACUUAGUGUACCAAAUCCAACAAUGGCCACUACAGCUAGCAUUGCCAUAAGCAACAUAACUUGACAUUUUUGGAGUUGAAAUCUUUUUAACAAAAUCAGUUGGGCAACGACUUAGAUGAUUUUGUGGACAUGUGUUGGCUCAUAUUUGAAGAUCCAUUUUGUGGAGCAAUCAAUCUGUUAAGAUUAAAUCAAUCUGAAUCAAGCAAAUCGGAUCACUUAUUUUGUGGAGAUUGGCUUGACUUAUUUUAAAAUUUAUUUUCGAAAUCUUUGAUUUAUUCUUAACUUUCAGGAUAUUUGUAAAAUUUGAUAACACUCUAGAAUAACGUAUUUUUAUGUAUUAAUUAUGUAUUUAUUUUGAAUAUGAUCCUGCUAAUUUGAGCUAUUUAUGAUAUUUUAUCUCAUAGGGACUAAAUUUGAGACAAAAGCAAAAUUAAGGGCCAAAAGUGUGAAUUUAGAGAUAAAAUGGGCCAAUGUGCGACACAAAUAAAAGUUGGUGCCAAAAGUGCAAGCAUGGAGGACACAAGGGUUGAAAUGCAAAAAAAAGAGAUUUUAUUCUAUCAAACUCUAUUUUAAUUAUAUUAGGAUAAUUAAUAUUAAGAUAAUUAUUAAGGAUUAUCUAAUUUUAGGAUUUUAUUUUAUUUAUCUUCAAUUAAAUGUAUUUAUCUUUUGGAGUUUAAGUAGGAUUAGACUAUCUCCCCUAGCACUAUAAAUAGGGGUAAAGUAACUCAAAAAUGAUGUAAACACUCUCUCCCCCAAAAGUCUAGGCUUUUGUUCUCCUCAUAUUUCCUUUCAAUAAAAUCUCUAUUUUUAUUUUAUUUAUUUUCUUUUUCACCACAACCAUGAGCCACUAAACUCAUCUAGCUGAAAGUUGUCGAUAUUUUCCAAAAAGGGUUCUCGAGGCCUAGAGUCCGUACUUAGCCUCCUCGCUGAGUAUUCAUUGUUUCUCUGCACUACGGGGCUGACGCUUCCGUCCAUGUCCCUUAAGAAGUAAGAUUUUCAAUGUAUGCAAAGGCGACUGCUUUGUAUGUUUUAGGAAGAUUGCAUAGUCAAUUCGUUAACUUACUGCGUUAGAGGUUAGUGAGCCCAAGAGACAAAAUGGCAUGGGAUUCACCAUUGAGAAUCGCUGAUCUAGCAUAAGACGAUCCCAUAGAAGCAAUUGUUGGCUAGAGUCAGGUUUCACUAAAUCGUAAGUCUAAAUCCUUAGAGCUGGUGGUCGUAGGCGUCCUCUUCCACUAUAACUGGCUUAUUCGGUUUAGGAAGGAUCAUCUAAAAGUUGAGGAUUGAACCCAAGGCGGAACGAGAAAGCUGGAGGUUAGAAUCUCCCAUAAGAAUUUUCUUUCUCUUAACUUUAUUUUUAAUUUCUCGAAUUUUUGAUUCAAUAUUCUUAAUUUUGUUUUUAUUUUAUUUUUCGUUUCCAGACCCAAACCUUUAAUUCUAUUUUUUUUAUUUUUUUUCCAGGAACGCAGGUUUUCUCGGGAAAGAUUCUGCCUGGGAUUUCACAAAAUAAGAUAUUGUGCAAAUCCAGUCCCUAAGGAUUUUACCUUACUUUCCUUUUACUAUUCUUUUUCAUUAUUUAUUAGGGAUAGGAUAUUUUUUGUGCUUUCAACAACCGCAUUAGUAAAGUUUUUUUUACGAGGCUAUUUUUUGUGGGAUAUUGAUUCGAAUUGAUCUUUAUCUUUGCAAACAUUAAAUUCUUAUAUAUUAGAGGCUUGUGUAAGUUAAAAUAAGAUAGAGUUUCUAUUGCACUUAUUUUUUUCAUUGAGGAACUUGUAAUUGAUAGUGCAUUAAGAGUGUAAAAUAAGUUUGUUGCUUGGUUUUACAGCCAAAAUUCUCAAGGGAAGAACUUAGUGGUGAAUGAUUUAGAUAUUUAGAUACAAAAGUGAGGUUGCUAUACCGAGUUGUGAUAGGACUUAAAUAACUUGUUGUCUUGGGAUUAAAAAUAAUGGAUUUACUCAUUAAGUUAGGUUCCAUAGACAUAGAAAAAUCGAUAUGCAUAAACAAUCAUUUGUGUUCUAUUUUUUGUUGUUGUGUUCAUCAUAGUGGCAUCAAAGGUUGCCAUUACAACCAUCACUUUGUCAUCAAUUACUCACUUUAUUUUUUUAAGCAAUUAUCAACUACAUGCGCCAAGAGAAUGCUUGUUUCCAGUACUAUUGAUCAAAAUUUUGUAGGAAGCAUAAUGACAAAAAAGGAAAUGAUUACAAUCAACCCCUUAUGUAACAAUUCCAUUUGUAUGUUUGCAUGUUAUAAAAUGGUGGUUGUUAUAUACUACAACAUGUUGUUAUAAAAAGAUAAUUAUUGUAAACCUAAAAUAGAAUUUACAUUGCGAAUUACUAUCAUAUAAAGAAGGUGGGAAUUAUAUUAAAAAAGGAAAGUAGAAACCAAUUCAACAAAAUUAAAAGAUGUAUAAUAGGUGCAUGCAUUAUUACCUUUAUAUUUUAUUUUACAUUUUUCACAUGAUUAAUCGAUAUGAGUUUAAAUUAAAUUAAUUAAUUUAUCAUGUGUCAUUAAAUUCAAGUAAUUAAUUUAUAAGAUUAUGAUGUUCCAAAUUUAUAGUAGAAUAUUUAAUUAGAGAACUUAAUAGUUUAUUGAAUUGAUAUCUUUAAUUCCACUCAUUGAAGAUUUUGUCAUGUGAAAUUUAAACAUUUUAUUAAAAUAAUAUUUUAUGAUUGUUUAUGAUAAACUUAGGAUUUUUAAUAGUGUUUAUAUAUGUAUUAUGUUAAGAUACAUAAUGAUAAAACUAGAGUUUGUGGUAUGUUUUGAGAUGAUAGGCUUCACGAUUAUGUGAUUUAUUGUCCUUAGCUAAUUCAAAUAUAGAUUAAUGAGGUUGGUUUAAUAUAUGUUGUAGGGAACAACGAAAAUGGGAAAAAAUUAAAUAUUACCCUAAAACAAAUUGAUAAUUAAUAUAGUUAAAUUAAAUCCAUUUUGUUUUGGCAAAUGAAAAUCAUUGGUUUAAAAGGUUUGAGAAUUGAGGAACCUUUGCAAAACAUAAUGCGAUAUCAUCACUGUUUAUAGGAGCUGAGUAUAAAUAUUCUCUUUUCAUGUCUUUGUUGUUGGGUUUUUAGGUCUUUUUGUGACAAUUAUCAUUCCUCUCAUUUCAAUAUUUAUGAUAAUAAUACCUGUAAAGCACGUUGGUCAUGUCUUAUUUUUACUAUUUAUGUAAACAUGAUUCCCGUAUAAACUAUACUAAAAUUCGUAUUAUUGUAGUACUUAUUAUUAAAGUUUCAGUCCUGUGACAAUUGGUAUUGGACUGAGAUUUGAAGCUACCAGUUGAGAUGACAAAAGGAGUAGAAGAGCAGAUUGAACCCAGAGAGACCAUGGGAGGGGCAGGAGCUAUUUAUAUAUUUUUGAGAUGUUGAUAUCUUCCAGAGCCAUUUAUGACCACACACGAUAAUGGGUAAGAUAGGGUCCUACCUGACUUAUGGUUUAUCUGUUUUGAAGGGGGAAAUGGUUUUGUUUUAGAGAAGAAAAAUGAAUGCGUUGAUGAAACUUCUAAUUCUUGCUCCAUGUUUCUUCUUCAUAGCUUUAAUAAAGUUACUUUACGAUUACCUAUGGAUACCUCUCCGUAUUCAGCAUAUGCUGAAUUCACAGGGGAUCAAAGGACCUCCUUACAGAUUCAUCCAUGGCAACAACAAGGAAGUUACCAAAAUGAAACAAAAAGCUUUAAGCAAAUCUGUGGGCUUGACAGAUGAUCUAUUUCCCAGAGUACAUCCACAUUUUUACACCUGGACCAACAGAUAUGGUAAGAUCCAUGCCUGUUCUUUCACUAUGAUUUAUAACUUGUAGUUCUAAGAAAAGGUAGACCCUUUUUCUUUUCAUGUUAUUAGGGAAGAAUUUUGUUUAUUGGAACGGUGCUCGAGCUGAAUUGGUGAUUUCAGAGCCUGAAUUAAUCAAAGAAGUUCUGAAAAAUAGUGAACAAAUUUUUCAGAAAAAGCAGCUUUCAGAUAUCGGUAUGAAGUUCUUGGGGAAUGGACUUAUAUUCAUUGAGGGGGAAAAAUGGGCAAAGCAUCGAAAGCUAGCCAAUCACACUUUCCAUGGGGAAAGCCUAAAGGUAAGUCUUCCAAAUAUAUAAACUAGAUGUAAUUAAUUUACAAGAAUUAUACAUAGACUACAAUAUUUUGGUAAAAUUUUGCAUUCUUAGCUAAUUUAUUAUCGAAGUUGAAAAGAUUCGUGAAAAGUAAUUUUGAAAAAUUUGACAGCAUUUACCACUUAAGAUAUCAAUUUUAGAUUUAAUGUUGUAAAGUAAAAAAUAAUUCAGAGAUUUAAAAAAGAAGUCAUUUCAUUGAAAAACACUAUUUUAACUUUUUGACUUAGAUUAAAAUCUAAUUUGAAAUAAAGUUUAGUUUGAAAUUUUGUUUGUUUGCGAAUUUUUCUAAGUUGAAAUCAUGAUUUUGUGUUGAAAAGUGUUUUUCAGACUCCAAUUAUAUAUGUCACUACUACUUACAUAUUGGAGGAUUGUUUCCGCAGAACAUGACUCCAGCAAUAAUUGCUAGUGUUGAAACAAUGCUAGAAAAGUGGAAUGGCCAAGAAGGAAAAGAGAUUGAAGUGUACCAAGAAUUUAGGUUAUUAACUUCAGAAGUGAUUUCCAGAACAGCAUUUGGUAGCAAUUACAUGGAAGGGGAGAAGAUAUUUGCCAUCUUGAGAAAGUUGACAGUAAUUAUGAGUCGAAAUCUUUCCAAGACUAGAAUUCCUUUGAUCAGGUAUCUUCCCUCUACGCUUAAUUAAUCCCAACUUUUACCUUGAUUUCAACUAGCUUUUGAAUGCAACUUUUAGACUUUCAUUCCCCAUUGAUUUGGUUUUCUCCUUAUAUAUAGCUGACCCUGGUUUGCUUUUGCAGCAAGUUGUGGAAAUCUGCUGAUUUGCUAGAGGCUGAAAAACUUUCAAAAGAAAUAAAAGAUCGUGUGAUGAAGAUUGUUAAGAAAAGAGAAGACAAAGUUGUGAAUGAAGAAGUCAAUAGCUUUGGCAGUGAUUUUCUUGGAUUACUUCUAAAUGCCUAUCAUGAUUCGGAUGCGAAAAACAGGCUUUCCUUGGAAGACGUGGUAGCUGAAUGCAAAACAUUCUAUUUUGCUGGACAAGAAACUGUUAAUUCCUUACUUGCAUGGAUAGUCUUGCAUUUGGCAAUCCACGGAGAUUGGCAAGAAAAAGCGAGAAGAGAGGUGAUUGACAUAUUUGGUAACCAAAAUCCACAUCUCGAAGGCAUCGCGAAACUCAAAAUAGUAAGAAAACUAUCUAACUGGGAAUUCAAAUAGCCAUCAACAUUAUGCAAUCUAACAUAUUUGUCUAUUUCCUAAACAGAUGACCAUGAUCAUCAAUGAAACUCUAAGAUUGUAUGGUCCAUCAAAUGGCCUGGCAAGAGCAGUUACAAGAGAAGUUCAGUUGGGAAAACUACUCUUGCCUGCUAAUAUAGAUAUUCUGCCUUUAAAUAUUGGACUUCACCGUGACCCUCACUUUUGGGGAGAUGAUGUGCAUCAUUUUAAACCCGAGAGAUUCGCUGAAGGGAUUGCCAAAGCUACCAAUUACACCACGGCUGCAUUUUUUCCCUUCGGGUUGGGACCUCGAUCUUGUGUUGGUAUGACAUUUGCAACAAUAGAAACAAAGGUUGCUCUCUCCAUGAUUCUACAACGUUACACAAUUACCCUCUCCCCUGCCUAUGUCCACUCUCCAAUACCUAUUCUCACCCUUCGACCACAACAUGGAAUUCAGGUAAUACUUGAGCCGAUACAUAGUAAUGCUUGAAGUACAUAGCUGCUAAGAAAUAAGGGUUUAACAUGGUUCAUGUAUUUUAGUUUUAAAAGAUGACAUUUAAUAUGUAUAAGGUUCUAGCAUUUGCAACCCCUUCCCUCCUAUGGUGUGCCCACCUUCAUACAUAAUGAAAUGCAAGUAGCUACUUAUUUCCAAGAUGCUAAAACACACAAUCAAUAAAGAAGAAUAUGUCGAGGCAAGUUUUGGGAGCAGUGACUCGAGAAAUGACAACUGCGUUUGGCACGCGCAGGUCACAUAACUUUUAGCAUGUUUGAAAAAAAAUAUUUUGAUUACUUGCUUGCAUCUUUUUUAGGAUUUUGUGCAUCCAAUCUUGUGUUUAUUAUUUAAUUAAUCUCAGAUUGAUUUUUCUUAAACUAGUGGUUAUACUAAGGCUUGUUAGCGGAUUAAACUUUGUGCAAAACACUAUAGAUGUAGAUGUGUUUCCCGUGAUGGGAUUUGUAUCUACUAAAAAUAAAUUCCUACACUUGAAACCAAAAUUAAAUUUGUAGUAUAUAGAGUAGGGUUGAUCCCACAAAGGUUGAUCUAUCCAAAUUUCUAUUUCUUUAUAACUAGAACGUGUCCCGAGCAGUUUUUAUGCCCAUGACUUGUGCCAACCUAUACGAAAAACUAAGGGGAAUUAAAUCUGAAAAAUAAAUAAACAACAAAAAUAAAUUAAUAAUUAAAAUGAAGUAGAAAUAAGUAAAAUGAAAUUAAAAUUGAAUAAACCGAUAAAACAAAAGCUUUAGCUUCAAGCUCGAUUUUGACUUAGUCUUCAAACUGAUCACGGAGAAUGAAUUUUUUUUCCUUUAAUUAAUAAGUCAAUUAUAGAUGCCAAGGAACGAACCUCAAAGCACCUAAUUCUUCCAUAGUGGUAAAUUAAUUGCGGGAACAGCUCGACGGCUAAGCCUUAUCAAGUGAAUAACCUUGAAAGUAGCAUUGGUGAUUUAAUUCAUUGGUAGCCUUGCAAACUAAAAGAACCUGACUCAAAUCAACGGCCUCAAUUGUAUGAGUCAUUUAAACUUAAUUAUUAACUUCUUUGAUGGAUCCAACCACUCACGCCAUUUGUCAUGUCAAUUUGUAAUUCAGUGGAUCUAAUACAACAAUUACGGAUAGCAUCGAUUCUCUAACUUUAUGUCGUUCAACACUAAACCAAGGGACUCUUCUUGAUUUUGAUGCUAAAAUAACAUUGAGAAGUGAUCAAGUUUAUCUUUUAAAUUGGAGAAUUAACGAAUACCGAAAUGGAGAAUAUAAAUACGAUUUUAAAAGUUCACUGUUCAAAUAUUGGAUCAAUUAUCAAUCUAAAACUAGGUUAAAUUUAACAUCUCAUAAAUUAAAAAACAAGAAAAGAAAAUAGUUGAAGGAGAAUAUUUAAUUGAAAUUAAAAAAACACUAAAAUAAAAUCAAAACAAUAGUUAAAUGAUGAAGUUGCUUUGAAACUGGAGUUACCAUUUUCGUUGGAGGAGAUAACAGAGGCAGUGUGGAGUUGCGAUGAGUCGAAAGCAUCUGGGUCGGAUGGCUUUAAUAUGUGCUUUUUUAGAAAAUGUUGAGAUGUUGUAAAAGAGGAACUUUUUAGAAUGAUGUUAGACUUUUUUAGAUCUAGAAAGCUUGAGAGGAGCAUAAAUUCUUCAUUUAUUGCACUCAUAUCCAAAAUCGAAAAUCCAAAUAAAAUAUUAGAAUUUAGACCAAUUUUUUUGGUGAGCUUGUUGUACAAGAUAGUGGAAACGGUGUUAUCUCGAAGAAUUAGGGAGGUUGUUGGAGAGGUAGUGAGUGAAACACAAUGUAAAUUUACCAGAGGUAGACAAAUAUUCGAUGGAACUUUAAUUGUAAAUGAAAUUAUCCAUUCGAUUAAAAAGAAAGAUGGUAUUGGGGGGCAAUCUGAUUUUUAAACUAGAUUUUUCUAAAGCAUAUAUAUGAUUGUGUUUGUUGGGAUUUUUUGGAGUUAGUUUUACUCAAGAUGGGAUUUGGCGAGAAAUGGAUAGAAUGGAUUAUGGAGUGUGUAUCUAUGGCGAGAGUAGCAGUAAUUAUCAAUGGGUCAACCAAAAAUGAAUUCAGAUUCCGCCGAGGUCUCCAUCAAGGAUAUCCGUUAUCCCUAUUUUUAUUUAUCCUAGUGACGGAAGUGCUACAUUUCUCGAUGGAUAAAGCAGUGGAGAUGGGACUAAUUUAGGGCAUUCAAGAUGUUAUUCCCGUGUAGAUUUUUUCUCAUUUACUAUUCGCGAACGAUACUAUACUAUUCUUGAGAGCAGAUGAAGAUGAGGUGAGAAAUUCGAAGUAUAUUUUAUGGUGUUUUGAGAUCUUUUCAAGUCUUAGUAUCAAUUUCAAAAAAUCAUGUUUAGUAGGAUUUGAUGUGAAUGAAGAACUCUUAUAUCAAAUGGCUACAAUAUGUAAGUGUAAGAUAAGGUUUUUGCCUUUUAAUUAUCCAGGGAUUCUAUCGGGAGCAAAUCUGAGGAGAGUAUCCACUUGGGACGCAAUUGUAGAGAGAUUCAAGAAGAAAUUAUCGGGAUGGAAAUGUCGUCCGCUCUCAUGGGCUGCAAGGAUUGUAUUGAUUAAUGUUGUUUUGUCUGCCUUGCUAAUUUAUUUCAUGUCUAUAUUCCAAGCUCCAGUGACAGUUAUUAAAAGGAUCGACAAGAUAAGGAUAAAUUUUCUUUAGAGGAGUAUAAAUGGUAAAAGGAAGAUGGCAAAGGUAAGCUGGAAACAUAUAUGUAAGCCAAAGGAGAAGGGAGGAGCAGGAGUGGUGAAUCUCAUAAUUAAAAAUAGAGCUUAUUAGCAAAAUAGAGUUGGAGAUUCGCGGUUGAAAAAGACGCGCUGUGGCGAAAACUCAUCCUAGCAAGGUAUGGUUAGCGCACGCAACAGUGGCGCUUUAGGACGACUAAUCUAAAAAAUAUGUCGAUUGUAUGGAGAGGUAUUGUAGAAAAUUCUAAAGACGCUAAUUGUAAUACCCCUAACCCUUAUCCAUCACCAGAAUAGGGUUAUAAAGCUUUACCAGACUUUUCAAAAUCAAACACGAUCAUUUCAUAACAUUUAGUAUACAUAUUAAAAACUAUUCAUAUAAUACUCAUAUUGUCCCUUAUAUAGGCCCUCAAGGCCCAAAAUACACUUUAGAAGUGAGUCGGGAUUAAACCGGACACUCUAGAAAUUUUUCGCGAAAUGUCAAAAUUUUCCUUAGAAAUAAGGAACACACGCCCGUGUGGCCAAGCCGUGUGGCUCACAUGGCCUGAAGACAUGCCCAUGUCCUAAGCCGUGUGGGCAUUCAAUGUGAGGCACACGGCCGAGUCCCAGCCCGUAUCCUUACCCGUGUAAUUCUCUGACUUGUGUCACAUGGCCAACCACACGCCCUUGUGCUAGGCUGUGUGCAAAGUACAGGGGUCACAUGUCUGUGUGCUAGGUCGUGUGUAAAAACCUAGGCAUUCUGUUUUGAAAUUUCAAGGUGCAGGGGACACACGGCCAGAUCACAUGCCCAUGUGCCAAGCCGUGUGUCACACACGGCUGAGACACACGCCCGUGUCUCUGCCCGUUUGGACGAAAAUAGGCCAUUUUAAGGCCACUUUUCUCACCUUUUUUGACAUCAACCUAUAGACAGCAAUUCAAUAUACCAAAUAUCCCUAAUCAAGCAAUAAACACAAGCCAAAAAUCAUGUUUUAAGCAUAAUAAGCUAUCACGAAAUUCAAUUGUCUAAAUUUGCCAAACUAACUUCAUUCAUUGAUUUACCAAAACCUACUCCUAGCUAUAUACAUACAAACACACGCAUAUAUAUAUAAUUGUCAUUCAUAAUUAUACUCCAAGUAUAGCCUUUUUCAAUCCAUCCCUAUACAUGCCGUAUAAACCAUAAAAUGUACAACAAAAUCUACCGGAGUAAUCUAGAUAGUGUGACCCGAUGUGUUGAUUCGAACUUCUUGAAAAUCUACAAAGAACAUUAAACAACACAAGUAAUCUUAAUGAAGCUUAGUAAGUUCGUUGGCUUAAUACAUAAAUCUUACCGAACAUACCAUGACAAUUCAUUUAAGUAAAUCGUUCAUUACACAUUUCCUGCCAACUACAACUUUAAUCGAUGAAUUCGCUUCUUUGAGCUCAAUAUCAAUAAUAACCUAAAUUCUUCCACAUUAAUUCCAUAUAGCACUUGCCACUUCUUGUCAAUCAAAGAACGAUUUACGGAUUUGAGUACAUCGUAAACAAAAGCCCAAAGGUUGCACGAAAGAACAUAAGUGCUAAACUGAAACCUAUAAGGGUUGAACGAAAGCUCAUAAGAGCUAAAUGGAAACCCAUGAGGGUUAAACUGAAGCUCAAAAGAGCUGAACUAAAACUCAAAAGGGUUAUACUAAAGCUCAAAGAGCUAAACGGAAACCCAUUAAGGUUAAACGGUAACUUGUAUAAGUUAACUAAAGCUCAUGAGAGCUAAACGGAAAGUACACACGAAAUUUUGCAACAAAUGCUGAACCUUGAUUUACUUGGGUAAUUUACCGUCAAUUCCUCAUUUACACAGAACGACCUUACUCAAUCCGGCAUUCUGUUUGCUUCAAACAUUCAAUUCAAUUUCAUAACUUUAACAAUAAUAUUAUUUUCAACAAAUGACAUGAAUAAAUACAUAAUGUCAUUCAUCAAUUUAACAGUUAACAUUUAAAUUUAACCAUACGAACUUACUUGGGCUAAAUUGUAGAAUUCGUAGUAAUUCGGGGACUACUCAGCUAAUUUAUCUUUUUCACGAUUUUCUUCAGGCUCUUGAUCUAUAAUAUAAAAUUGUUCAUUUCUCAGUAUCUAAAUCAAUUCUAAUUCAUUUCAGAACUUAUGCCCUUUAAUUUUUGAAAUUACACAUUUGCCCCAACUUUUACAUUUUUUACAAUCUAGUCCCUCAUCAAUUUACCCAUCAAUUAAGCUAAUUUUUCUCAAUUAACACUUUAUCUAAUUAUUUUAAGUUACCAUAUACCCUUGAUAUUUAGAAUUUUAACACCAAACCCUAAUUCUUAACCUUUUUACAAUUUGGUCCUAAUAUCAAUAUCUAUCAAAAUUACUUAUUAAAAUCAUUAUAUAACAAAAUUAAAGCUUAAAUUCCAUGAUAAUUCAUCAUAAAAAUCCAUCAAUCAUCAAUGGUAACUUUUGAAAUUACCCAUAGAAUCAAAAACUAAUGAAAUAAGUAGUCGGACCUAAUUGUAAAAGUCUCAAAAACACAAAAAUUUCAAGAAAAGAGCAAGAAUUAAACUUACAUGAAGAUAAAAUAUGAAAACCAGCCUUGAGAGCUUUUCAAUGGUGUUUUUGGCUAAAGAAAAGUGAAGAAAUGUCUAGAGAUUCAAUUUAGUCCAAUUUUAACUAUUUAAUUUUAUUUCUUUUCCAAUUUUGCCCCUUGUUCACACUUAUCCUUUGAUUUUUUUCUGCUUGUACCGUCCAAGCCUUUCACUUUGGGCUAAUUUUCCCUUUUAGUCCUCCCUUAUUAAACACUUAAGUUAUUUAAUCAUUUUAGCAAAUUUUGCACAUUUUUCAAUUUAGUUCUUUUUAAUUAAUUAACCAUCAAAACGUUAAAAUUUUCUAACAAACUUUUGAUAGUAACUCAAUGACACUCCGUAAAUAUUUCUAAAAUUAUUUACAGCUCAGUUUAUAAAUUUUAGGCCUCGAUACCUCGUUUUCAAAACCACUUUUCUUAAAAUUCUUCUAAAACACAAACCACCAAAUCAAAAAUCUUUCUAAAAUCACACUUGACUCGUAAAUAAUAAUUAAUAAAAUUUUCAAACUCACUCGUCAGAUUUAGUGAUCUCGAAUCACUAUUUUUGACACCACUAAAAGUUGGACUGUUACACUAAUGUUUCUAAAUGGGUGGGGAACAAAGCUUUUAGAUGGAUGGUUGGGAAUGGAAGGAUGGCGAUGUUUUGAGAGGAUAUUUGGUGUUGUAAUCAACCACAAAAAAAAAAGAAUUUCCUAGAGUUUUUCGCUUAGCAAGAAAAAAGAAAGGUAUGGUAACAGAUUACUCGAGCAACAAUGGUUUCAGCAAUAUGAAUUACGGUGAAUUCUAACGAAGCUUUUAGAUGGAUGGUUGGGAAUGGAAGGAUGCGAUGUUUUGAGAGGAUAUUUGGUGUUGUAAUCAACCACAAAAAAAAAAGAAUUUCCUAGAGUGUUCCGCUUAGCAAGAAAAAAGAAAGGUAUGGUAACAGAUUACUCGAGCAACAAUGGUUUUAGCAAUGUGAAUUAUGGUUAAUUCUUUACACGAACAUUAUUGGAUAGAGAGGUUGUGAUGCUUCGUAGAUUGGAGGAUAUGGUGAAAAGCAUGGAGUUAGUUCUAGAGGUGAAGGAUCAGCUAAAUUGGGUGCAUGAUAGUAAUGGGGAGUUCACGGUAAAGAAGUUAUCUAACUUAUUAAUUAAGGUUGGAGGGGAAGACAUAAGUUUUGCUUUUGAAAAAAAUUGGAAGUUAAAGGUACCACCGAGAGUGCGAAGUUUUCUAUGGAUGCUUGCUAUUGAUAGAUUCCUACAAAUGAAUUUCUUGUUAAAAGAGGGGUAUAGCUUCAACACAUUUCAAUCAAAUGUGCAUAGUAUGAAAGAGUACCAGAGAGAGCAGAUAAUCUAUUCUUCAAAUGCAAAUAUAUUGAAGGGUUUUCGUAUAAAUUUUUCAAAUGGUGGGAGGUUGAAUGGAAAUCGGUAGAACGAUUUGCUAAUUUUAUUCUUUGUGUUAUAAUGUGAAAUUGUUAGGAAUCCGAAGAAUGUUAUGGUUGCUAUCAAUUUCGGCAGCUUGCUGGUCAGUGUGGACAGAAAGAAAUGAAAUUGUCUUCGAAAGAAAGGUGAUGACUAUGGAAGCUUUGAUAUUUCAAUCCAAGAUGAGGGCAAUGUUGUGGAUAAGGGUUGUAUAUGAUGAGUUAAUGGUGCAGGAGAGCUCUUGGUGGAUUUGUCCGAACAAGUGCAACUUUAAUACAAUUAAACCAGAUCCUCUUCGUCGAUAUGGCGCCUUCCUCCACAAGGCUAUCUGAAUUUCAAUGUAUGCGGGAUAGUAAAUGAGAAAGUUGCAGGUUGUGGUGGAGUACUAAGAGAUAUGGAGGGUGUUGCAAGAGCUUUAUUUUCGGGUCCUAUUGCAGCUAAUGACGCAGAUUCAGUAGAGGUAGAGGCAGUGUUUAUAGCAUUGGAUUUGUUGUUAUCCAUGGGAUGGAAGAUUAAUAGCUCUCUUAUUGUAGAAAUUAGUUCAAAAAUGGUGUACAAUUGGUGUCUGAACAAGAAUAUGAGACUGUGGUCGUUACAAACAACAUUUUCAGAUAUUGAAAGGAAAAUUGAGCAGGUUGGUAGUGUAGUAUUCUUGAUGGCAGAUCAAAAGGUAAUGAAAUGGCUUCAACCUUGGCGAUAGUAGGUAUUAAUCGUGGUGACAUGUUUAAAGCUUGUUAGUGAGUAUUAGCUUUGAUUUCGAAUAAUAGUUUUCAAUUGUAGGAAAUGUUUCAUUGUGGUAUUUUGUAAGUUGUACCUUUGAAUGUUGUUCUUGUUGUAUUUACAAUAGAUUAGUUUGAAUGAAGCAAAAAAAAAGUUGGUGGGUACCGUGUGCCCCCUCUCUUCACGCCUUACUAUAUAAUAAUAAUAAUAAUAAUAAUAAUAAUAAUAAUAAUAAUAAUAAUAAUAGACAAGCUUAAGAAUAUAAAAAGCCUUUACUCAUUGCCUAAGAUAAAAUUUAAUCCUCAUUAAUAUCUUAAAGAGAAAUCUUUCUAAAUAAUAAUAAUAAAAUAAUCCUAAAUUUUAAAUGUCUUGUAUGUCAACUUCUCAAUCCAACGAUAAAUUUACUUUUUUAUAUUGUACUCUAACACUUCGAACAUGCGCUAUAUUUAUAUAGAAAAUAGUCAAUAAAAUACCAAAGUAGUAACAUCCAUGUCCAAAAUUAAUCAGAAUAAAUCAUUAAAAAAAUGUCUAUUAAGAACAUUAUCAAAUCCCCCCUUAAUCAAUACUUGCCCUUAAACAUUUUAUGCAUUCAUCAUCUAAACAUAUCACAAUCAUCAAAGCCAAUUCAAUUUUCACAGUCCUUAGUUCAAUAAAAAAAAUAAGCACUAUCAAAAUUUUAACCCUACAACCGUCUCGCUCAAGCAAGCACAUAGAUUAACAAUUUAUGAUAAGUGCUAAAAGUAACAUAUUUUAACCUCGUUCUAUAACAUCUCAAAAUUGGGGGUUAGAAGUUUUGAGGUUUGUAGUGAGGGUCAGCGAGUAGGUCGAACAAUUGGUUUUAUUUUCGCUUUUUAAUAUCAAAAUGAGCUUGUUGGUUUGAUGGUAGAGUAUGUUACUAGUUUCCCUUGGACGAGUGUUUGAAUCCCAAUGUGAGAAUAAAGGAAGUUUUGUUUUAAUUUUAUUUAUAUUUUUUAUUUGAAAAAAAUAGAAGAAAAUCCUAAAAAUUUCUCACGUUCUCCACUUUCUCUUUCACAUCAGUCUCCCUCUUUCGGUAAAGAAAAAUUAUAGAUUCUGAUUUUCUUUCUUUUCUUUAUUGGGUUUCAAUACUUUUGUAAACCGCUGCCUUAAAAUCCUGGUGGUGCUUUUGUUCUUCGUUUGAUCAGACGUCGAAUAGGUUUAUUCGGUUAAUACUUGGUAAUUUGAUAUAAAUUUUAGGUCGAAAUUGUUUAUAGCUUUAGUAUGUUUGCAGAACUGAGUUUCAGGUCGUUAGAGUAAAGGCGAAGUGGUCGGUUCUUGGUGCUCUGGAACAUCAAUCAGGUGUGUGUUCUGAAAAUGUUUAAUUUUGGUAUCGAAUUGCUAUUGGAUUCUAUGGAAUUCAGCAGUUUCUAGUGUGUUUAUGAAAUUGUGUGAAUUCGGUAACGAAUUGUUGUUGGAUUUUAGGGAAAUAUGCAAAAUUCUGAUGUGUCUUGAAUGGUUAGCGAUUUGGGGUUUGUUUUGCUGUUGUGAAAUUGCAAUUUUAGCUUGUUUCGGUGUGGUUUCUUUACCACAUGGGCGUGUGCCGCACACGAGUAGUCCACACGGUCGUGUGACAUUGGAAAUUUGGGAUUUUGGACUUUUUUUAGUGCCACACGGUCGUGUGGCAGCUAUUUAGGGAUUUUUGUGUGCCUUGGACACACGGUCGUGUCCCUUAGCCAUACGGGCAUGUGAGAUUCCCACACAGCCCUGUUUACUUUGCUCCUUAUUUUGACAUUUUUGGACAGUGAGUGACAUUAAUUAUUCACACGACCAUGUAACUCGGUCGCACGGGUAUGUGUCUCCUCCACACGAGAGUGUACAGCUUGCACACGGGCGUGUAGACCACCACACGACCUAGUAGACCUCCACACAACCUAGGCACUACCACACAGCCGUAUGGCCCUGUUUUGCAAAUUUUUGUUCAGUGUUGAAAUUUUGCUCGUUUUGUGUUUCUGUAUAUUUCAACCCUUGGUUAAGUCUUGGUAACUGUAUUUGGGACUCCGCUGCAAUAUGGAUUUAAGUGUGUAUGUAUGUGUUCAGUUUAGGUAAUCAGGAAAUGUAUUAAUGGAUUAUGAUGAAUGAGCUUGAAUUGCUUACUUGUUGUCGUAAUUCUGAAAUAUGUACAAACGCUAUUGAUUUUGAAAUUGUUCGGCUGAAUGUGAGUGACGGUCUCUGUGAGUCUAUUAGCGUAUGUUGUGCAUUCAUGCAUUUGCAUAAAAUCGAGGUUUUUAGUUGCGAAGAGAAGGAAGGCUGAUUGGGUAGUUCAACUGCAAUAUUUUUGUACAGCAGUUUACCGUAAUGAUUUAUACAUUUGUCAGCUAAGCUACAUAUUGUUAUUCGAGUGGCUUAGUUCCACAAUAUGUGGUGUGUAGGGUAGAUGGGCCUAUCAUGGUCCUAUGUCGUGUGCAGGGUGGACGGGCUUGAUAUAGCUCAUAGGUGGUGUGCAGGGUGGUCGAAGUGGUCUUCAGAUGGUUGGGGUGGGUUUUUGACUCGUUACAUUCGCUACGCAUCUAAAUAUAUGUUUGUUUAUGUGAGCAUUGAGGUGUUGGAGAUAUGACCAUUAUAACUUGAUGUGUUUUAUCUAAUAUGUGGUUUGGUAUGCUUUAAAAGCACCAUGUUAUUGAAUUACCCAUUGAGAUUUCCAUUUAUGAUUUGUGCUCAUAUACUGUUUUGGAAUACUCGAUGUGUUACUCCGUUUUGUUGAUUGCUUUUGAUUUCAGACUCACAUUGAGCUCAAGUAGCUCACCUCACCUUAGUGUUUCAUUCUUCGAGGUACUUUUCGUGUUCGAAAGCUGGACUCGGCAUGCCGGAGGUUUCAGACUAUCGAGUAAAUUGAUUUUGGUUCAAAUGAUGCUACUUAAAAAUUCAGUUGUUAUUUUCAAAUGGUUCGUAGGAAAGAUUAUAAAAAAUGUGGUAUGAGUUAAGUCUGGAUUUUCGAUCAACUAGUUGUUACGGUUUUAAACAAUUUAUAUGUUCCGUUAUAUCAAGGUUUCGAAAUUUUGGUUUGUGAAUGACAAAUUUAUGCUUUCAGAACUGUCAAAUGAUUCCAUAAGAAUUACUUCCGACUUGCGUCGAAUGCCAUUUAAAUGAUUCCAUAUGAAUUACUUCCGACUUGCGUCGAAUGCCAUUUAAACUUUGUUUCAAAAUUUAAUUAAGUGUUAUCUAACUUUCUAAAAUUACAUGCUUGUGACAGAGUUUUUAUCUCAACCACUUUAGGUGGUCAAUGUGACCUCCGAGAUUCGGUCUAAACUUUUAGGUCGGGUUUUAGGGUGUUACACAUUCUUAGUGUGUUUUUGGGUGAUUAUUCAAUGUUAAUGGUGAAUUUUAUGCUUCUAAUCCUUCAAAUUCUUAUUUUUAUGCUUAAAAGGGCAUUUGGGAGUAAAACAAGCAAAAAUUGGAGUAAGGUACAAGAGACACACGGGUUGACCCCUUCCACACUUCCUGAUAUUUAAAAUAAUCUAGAAAUAUAACCGAUUUUGAAAUAAAAUUUAAACAGAUUCUGAAAAAAAUUUUAACAGAUUCCCUAAAAAUCGUGGUUUUUCGCAUUUCAAAGUGCAAUUCUGCAAAAUUGACAUGACCUGCCACAUUGAAGCUGAUUUUGAAGUAGAUUUCUGUCAAGAUUGAAGACUCCCAGUUGAUUUCUUUGGAGAUUAUCAUUUCUUUAUUUCUUUCGGUUAUAUUAUAUCUUUGAUGUUUUUAUUUUCAAGCAUGAACUAAUUUUCUAAAUACAUAGGGAGAUGAACCCUAGGAUGGAUUCUGUCGUUUGAUUUUUAUUUUGCUCAAUAAAUACUUAGAUCUUAAUUCUUGAUAUAAUAUUUCUAGAUUAUUUAUCCAUGUUUGGUGUGCUUAAAUCAGAGGAGGAAUAGACCCUGUUUAAGAGUAGAUCUUGCGUAAUUGAGUGGAUUUGCAUGCAAUCCUAGACAUAAGACAACAUAAAUCUAUCGAAUUAGAGUCAAAUCUAAUAAGGGAAUUCAUAGCACAAGUUAAUGCGAUAAUAGGGGUUUUAAUUAGAAAGAAAUUUCAAUUAAUCAAUCUUGAGUUAGUUGCUCUUAUUCUCGAAAGAAAUAUUUGUAUAAUCUAGGGAUUUUUACAAAUCAAGUUGCUAAGUAAAGAAAUUGCGUAACUUAGAUUGAUAACGACAGAUGAAACCUAGAUGAGUAUUGUUUCGCUUCUUGGUUGUUAAUCGCUUAUUUUUCUGAUAUAUUUUUUGUCACAUUCUUUAGUUAGUUAAUUUAGUUAAUUUUAAUUUUAAUCAAUCACUCAAAUUUAUCGGUUAAAUAAUAAAAAGACAGUAUUUACUAGUACUUUUAGUCUUCGUGGAAACGAUAUCUUUAUUCACCGUAACUAUAUUGUUAAUUGAUACGUACACUUACCUUAGUCAAAUUUUUAGUUGUUCACGACACAUCAAUUCAAUUAAGCAUACAAUUAUUAAAUUAUCUCAUAAUUAAGCUGCACAACAUUAACUUACGUUAAAUUGUCAAGACACCAAAAUUAACAACCAUUUGUCCCAUAUUUUUGUGUUCAUUUUUUUUUCUUUUAAAAGUUUAUCUAGAGUGUCACGAGAUCUUUUUCCAUGAAAAAGGAUGACAAUCCAAACACUCCACUCCGAUUAAUCAAUUCACCACAUGUUGACUAACUUUAGUCAAAAUUGUUAAGAUCAAUAGAAUAGCUGAAUAGCUUAGAAUGUCACUAAAUCUUUUGACGUGAAGACAAAUGACAACCUAAGCACUUGACUCAAGUUACUCAAUCGAUCACAAUUCUAAGACUUUACUCAUAAUUUAGGCAAUUAAUGAGUAUUUAUUAAAUUAUUUUAUUGAUUAUUUUUUUCAAUUUUUUUUUGUUCGAAUGCAAGAUGAAACAUGUUUUAAGAGUAUUAAUCUCGUUAAAAAUUGCGUGAGCCUAAUUUUUUUUUUUUUGGUGAGUGCUUCAGCUAAGUAAUUAAUAAUUAUUAUUAUUUACUUUAAAAUAAAAUAAAAUUCAUGUAAAAGAGUAGCAUAUAUAGGCAGAGUAUUUAAACAUGCUUAAUAGAAAAUAUUCUAUCAAUUUUUGAAUCGCUUAAACAAUAAAAUGAUAUCUAAAUUAUAUUAAUUUUUUAAAAUUGGUAUUUAAAUUUUUCUUAAGUCAAAAUGGUACCUAAACAAUUAAUCUAUUAUCUAUUUAAUUCAGCCAAUCAAUUGCCACGUAAAUAUCUAUUUAUUUUUUUCAAAAUAUUACUAAAAUUUGAUAAAUAAAAUUAAAAAUAGUUAAAAAUAAAACAUCAUAAAUUUAAUAAAAUUUAAACCUUACGAAAAAAACAUUUUACUGAUUGAAAAAACAUCAUAAAUUAAUGCUACCAACAACUCCUAGAAAGAGUAUCCACUAAUAACAAUAAACUUACAUGAGUGAGGGAUUUAUUGAAACAAUCAGCAACCAAUUUUGACACUUUUUACCAAUUAUUUUAUAUAUUUAUUUUUUAUUAUUAUUAAAAAAAUUAAUUUAACUCUUUAAAAAUUACAAAGAUAUAGACUAUUAAAAUGAUGAAAUUAUUUAUUAUUAUUAUAAAAAUAUACAAUUUAAUUUCGACCUCCCAAUAAAUAUUUCAAAAUCCGCCACACGAAUGAUCCAAAUAAAAAGACGACAGUCAAUACAAUUAAAUUUAAAUUCUCACUUAAAUCCAAAUUCAAAGUAAAACAAAUGUGACAGAAUGAAUCAAAUAGUGGGAGAAUGUUUUUCAAGAAGUAGAAAUGCAAAAAUAGCUUCAAAAUCUACUCUUACUAAAAAAAAAGAAAAAUAAGAAAGAAUUUAUUAUCUUUUAUACUAUUAAUCUCUCACAUAUACGGCCAAGCUACUCUGAACGUACAACGCACCCAUUUGCGUCAUUGCAAACGCAAUUUUGGUCCUUAUGCUAUAAUAAAGGGGGAAAUGAUUCUGGUUUAGACAAGAAAAAUGAAUGCGUUGAUGAAGCUUCUAAUUCUUGCUCCAUGUUGUUUCUUCUUCAUAGCUUUAAUAAAGUUACUUUAUGAUUACCUAUGGAUACCUCUCCGUAUUCAGCAUAUGCUGAAUUCACAGGGGAUCAAAGGACCUCCUUACAGAUUCAUCCAUGGCAACAACAUGGAAGUUACCAAAAUGAAACAAAAUGCUUUAAGCAAAUCUGUGGCCUUGACAGAUGAUCUAUUUCCCAAAGUACAUCCACAUAUUUACACCUGAACCAACAGAUAUGGUAAGAUCCAUGCUUGUUUUUUUCACUAUGAUUUAUAACUUGUAGUUCUAAGAAAAGGUAGACCCUUUUUCUUUUCAUGUUAUUAGGGAAGAAUUUUGUUUAUUGGAACGGUGCUCGAGCUGAAUUGGUGAUUUCAGAGCCUGAAUUAAUCAAAGAGGUUCUGGAAAAUAGUGAACAAAUUUUUCAGAAAAAGAAACCUUCAGAUAUUGGUGGGAAGUUCUUGGGGAAUGGUCUUCUAUUCAUUGAGGGGGAAAAAUAGCCAAAGCAUCGAAAGCUGGCCAAUCACACUUUCCAUGGGGAAAGCCUAAAGGUAAGUCUUCCAAAUAUAUAAACCAGGUGCAAUUAAUUUACAAGAAUUAUACAUAGACCACAAUAUUUUGGUAAAAUUUUGUAUUGUUAGCUAAGGAUAAGUUUAUUAUGGACGUUGAAAAAGUGUAGUAAAAACAUACUUUCGAAGAUUUUAACACCAUUUACUACUUAGGAGGUCAAUUUUAAACUUGAUGCUGUAAAAUAAAAGAUUGAAUCAGAGAUUUAAAAAAAGUAAUUUCAUUAAAAAGCACUCUUUUAGCUUUUAGACUUGGAUUAAAAUCUAGUUUGAAAUAAGAUUUAGUUUGAAAAGGUGUUUAUUUGUCAAAUUUUUUAAUUUAAAAUCAUGAUUUUGUGUUAAAAAGUGUUUUUCAGACUCCAAUUAUAUAUGUCACUAUUACUUACAUGUUGGAGGAUUCUUUGGGCAGAACAUGACUCCAGCAAUAAUUGCUAGUGUUGAAACAAUGCUAGAAAAGUGGAAAGGCCAAGAAGGCAAGGAGAUUGAAGUGUACCAAGAAUUUAGGUUAUUAACUUCAGAAGUGAUUUCCAGAACAACAUUUGGUAGCAAUUACAUGGAAGGGGAGAAGAUAUUUGCCAUCUUGAGCAAGUUGGCAGUAAUUAUGAGUCGAAAUGUUUCCACGACUAGAAUUCCUUUGAUCAGGUAUCUUCCCUCUAAGCUUAAUUAAUCCCAACUUUUACCUUGAUUUCAUGUAGCCUUUGAAUGCAACUUUUAGACUUUCAUUCCCCGUGGAUUUGGUUUUCUCAUAUAUAGCUGACCCUGGUUUGCUUUUGCAGCAAGUUGUGGAAAUCUGCUGAUUUGCUAGAGUCUGAAAAACUUUCAAAAGAAAUGAAAGAUCGUGUGAUGAAGAUUGUUAAGAAAAGAGAAGACAAAGUUGUGAAUGGAGAAGUCAAUAGCUUCCGCAGUGAUUUUCUUGGAUUACUUCUAAAUGCCUAUUAUGAUUCGGAUGCGAAAAACAGGCUUUCAUUGGAAGACGUGGUAGCUGAAUGCAAAACACUCUAUUUUGCUGGACAAGAAACUGUUAAUUCCUUACUUGCAUGGAUAGUCUUGCAUUUGGCAAUCCUUGGAGAUUGGCAAGAAAAAGCGAGAAGAGAGUUGGUUGACAUAUUUGGUAACCAAAAUCCACAUCUCGAAGGCAUCGCCAAACUCAAAAUAGUAAGAAAACUAUAAAACUGGGAAUUCAAAUAGCCAUCGACAUGAUGUAAUCUGACAUAUUAUUCUAUUUUCCAAACAGAUGACCAUGAUCAUCAAUGAAGCUCUAAGAUUGUAUGGUCCAACAAAUGUCCUCCAAAGAACAGGUACAAGAGAAAUUCAGUUGGGAAAGCUAAUCUUGCCUGCUAAUAUAGAUAUUCUGCCUUUAAGUAUUGGACUUCACCGGGACCCUCACUUUUGGGGAAAUGAUGUGCAUCAUUUUAAACCUGAGAGAUUCGCUGAAGGGAUUGCCAAAGCUACCAAUUACACCGCGGCUGCCUUUUUCCCCUUCGGAUUAGGACCUCGAUCUUGUGUUGGUAUGACAUUUGCAAUGAUAGAAACCAAGAUUGCUCUCUCCAUGAUUCUACAACGCUACACCAUUACCCUUUCCCCUGCCUAUGUCCACUCUCCAGUACUUAUUCUUACCCUUCAACCCCAAAAUGGAAUUCAAGUAAUACUUGAGCCGAUACAUAGUAAUGCUUGAAGUACAUAGCCGUUAAGAACUAGAGGUUUAACAUGGUUCGUGAAUUCUACUUUUAAGAGAUGAUAUUUAAUAUGUUUAAAGGUUCUAGCAUUUAUCACAAAGACAAACGACUCGUGGUCAUGUUUACUUUUCAUCUAUCAUGCAAUGUCGAUGAGAAGAUACCAUUUACCAAUUAGUUGGGUUAUGAAUUCUACUAUUUUGAAUGAUGUUACAUACUAUAGAAGUUGUGUAUCCAGUGCACCAACUUUUAAUGGUUCUUUAUCUUAGCCUUUUACUUGCAUCAAAGUAUACGAGCCAUGCAUGCAUAGUCCAUCAUCCACUCAAGAUUAAGGUAUAUCACACUAUGAACAUCACAAGUAAAUAGAUCCAUAAAUGGAUUUAGAAUCGAUUCUCCUUGGGUCUUAUCUGAUGUACUGUCAGUCCAGUCAAUCACAUCUAUGUUUUUAUCUUUUAGGAGUCAUCUGUUCCAUUUGAGACAAAGCUUCUCCACAAUUGGGCUUGAUAGACGACAUAUUAGUUUCUCAAUCGAUUUGCUCAUUUUCAAUUAGACUAAGGACAUAUUUAGGUUUAUCUACUAAUACAAGCUAUCUUUUCAUAUCACGAUCUGACCACGUGAUACCGCUUAGUAUUAAUUUAAACAUUAGAUAACCAAUGAGUCAACAUUUGCUUCCAUUUUGCUUUGCAUGCAAAAACAUUGAGGACAAUAUCCAAAGGGUAUUACUUUAAUUAAUAGAUAUUAUUAAACCAAUUUGUUUGAAAAAUACAAUUAUAUAAAACGAACAUAGUACACUUAGUGUACCAGAUCCAACAGUGGCCACUACAGCUAGCAUUGCCAUUAUAAGCAACAUAACUUGACAUUUUUGGAGUUGAAAUCUUUUCAGCAAAAUCAGUUGGGCAACGACUUAGAUGAUUUUGUGGACAUGUGUUGGCUCAUAUUUGAAGAUCCAUUUUGUGGAAUCAAUCUUUGAAUAUUAAAUCAAUCUGAAUCAAGCAAAUUGGAUCACUUAUUUUGUGGAGAUUGGCUUGACUUAUUUGAAAAUUUAUUUUCGAAAUCUUUGAUUUAUUCUUGACUUUGAGGAUAUUUGUAAAGUUUUUUUUUACAAGGCUAUUUUUUGUGGGAUAUUGAUUCUAAUUGAUCUUUUAUCUUUGCAAACAUUAAAUUCUUAUAUAUUAGAGGCUUGUAUAAGUUAAAAAAAGAUAGAGUUUUUAUAGCACUUAUUUUUUUCAUUGAGGAACUUGUAUUUGAUAGUGCAUUAAGAGUGUAAAUUAAGUUUGUUGCUUGGUUUUACAACCAAAAUUCUCAAGGGAAUUUAGUGGUGAGUGAUUUAGAUCUUUAGAUACAAAAGUGAGGUUGCUAUACCGAGUUGUGAUAGGACUUCAAUAACUUGUUGUCUUGGGAUUAAAAAUAAUGAAUUUACUCACUAAGUUAGGUUUCAUAGACAUAGAAAAAUCGAUAUGCGUAAACAAUCAUUUGUGUUCCAUUUUUUGUUGUUGUGUUCAUCAUAGUGGCAUCAAAGGUUGCCACUACAGCCAUCACUUUGGUCAUCAAUUACGCACUUUAUUUUUUUAAGCAAUUAUCAACUUUAUGCUCCAAGAGAAUGCUUGUUUCUAGUACAAUUGAUCAAUUUUGUAGGAAGCAUAAUGACAAAAAAGAAAAUGGUUACAAUCAACCCCUUCUGUAACAACUCCAUUUGUAUCUUUGCAUGUUAUAAAAAGGUGGUUGUUAUAUACUAUAACAACAUGUUGUUAUAAAAAGAUAAUUAUUGUAAACCUAAAAUAGAAUUUAUAUCGUGAAUUACUAUCAAAUAAAGAAAUUGAGAAUUAUAUUAAAAAAAGGAAAGUAGAAAUCAAAUCAACAAAAUUAAAAGAUGUAUAAUAGGUGCAUGCAUUAUUACCUUUAUAUUUUAUUUUACAUUUUUCACAUGAUUAAUUAUAAAAUUCAUCAAUCUAACAAAUAAUUAAUCGAUAUGAGUUUAAAUUAAAUUAAAUUAGUUAAUUUAUCAUGUGUUAUUAAAUACAAGUAAUUAAUUUAUAAGAUUAUGAUGUUCUAAAUUCAUAGUAAAUUAAUAUUUAAUUAGAGAACUUAAUAGUUUAUUGAAUUGAUAUCUUUAAUUCCACGAAGAUUUUUCAUGUCAAAUUUAAACAUUUUAUUAAAAUAAUAUUUUAGUUAAGAUCAUUUUUAUUUAAUAAAUUAGAAUUCAUAUAAGCAAUAUAAUUAAUCAUAAUAAAUUAUAAUUAAUAGGCUUGUAUAUCGGUCCAGUGUAAUUAAUAGACUUGCUUAAAUGAGUUUUAAAAUAUAUUUUUAAAUUUAAAAUUUUAUUUCUUGAAUAAUGAAUUGUUACCUGCUUAAUUUAUGAAAUAUCUUUAUUGACUUAUUUGAUUGCAUUGGUGAAACAAUUAUUUUAGUAUUUUUAAAUUUUAUGUAUAUAAAAUUUUUAAAAAAAUAAUAAUAAAUCUAAAAUGACACAUCGAAACAGCUGAAUAUUGGCACAUGCGAAUACCAAUAAAAAAAUCAACAUCCACCAAUUUACCCGUUACUUUUUGGUAUUAGGUAGUGGGAGAUUUGGUUUUUGCUUUUGUUUUUGAGAUGUUGAUAUGUUUCACAUCAUCCAUAAGAUGGGCUCUACCUCACCUUUUGUUUGUCUGUUUCCCAUGCUUUCCAUACAAAUCACUAAAAGAAUGGGCUAAAAUGUCAAAUAAACUCUUCAAAAAUAAUUUUUAAAAAACUUAAUUAAGUCUCUUAUAAUAAAGUGCACCAAAUUGAGCUUUUUUAAAUCACAAUUUGCACUUAAUUAAUCCCCUUGAAUUCAUUUUCCCAUUGAAUCCCUUUACGUUCAGUUAACUGCUGACGGGGCAGGUGAUGUGGAAAAAUGAUGGUGUGUUAAUUAGUUUAUAUGGCAAGCUAACAUGGAGGGCUUAAAUGAUUUUUUAUUAUUUUACAAGGGUUUAAUUAAUUAUUUAAAUAAAAAUUAUUAAAAUUUUAAAAAAUCUAAUUUUAAAAUAUAAAUUAUAAAAAUCAUAAAAAAUAUUUUAAAAAUAUUAAAAAUGAUAGAAAAUUUUUAAAUGUUAUAAAUAGUUUAUAAAAACACAGGAAAUUUAUUAAAACAUCGUUAAAUAUAAAUACAUUAUCAUAAAAAUAGCAUAAAAUUUUAGAAAUUAUUAAAAAAUACAAAGAAAUACGAGUAAGUUAGAGAAAAUUAUUAAAAAUACAAAAAAUAUUAAAAAUUAGUAGUAACUUUUAUAAAAAUUAUUAAAUAGAUUUUUUUAUUGGUUUGGAGUGUUUGGCAUUUUCAAUUUUAUUUUUUUGGACAUUAGAGUCUUUGGUUUUAGUAAUAAGGAAAUGGGGAGAUUGAAGUGCGAUGAUCAAACUUGUGAGGGGUUUGAGUGACCAUGGGUUUAGUACUUGAUGGCUUAAAGUGAGCGAUCAAUAGAGGUGUUCAUGGACCGAUCCUGUUCAAAAAAUAAAAAAAAUGUUAAAGAAAGCUUUUCUAAAUAUUUUAUAUAUCUUAUAAUUAAGUUAAAAAUAUAUUUUUAUUAUUUUUAAAAUGGCGAAACGAAUCAUUUUGGCGAGCUAGGUCUAGUUGGGCUCAAGCCUAGAAAGUUUUAUGAAAUUAGGCUUAAGCUCCACCCAACUCAUGAAUACCUCUAGUGAUAUAUAAUGAUGUUGUAUUUGAGGAAAGAUGAUGCGAGGGACAUUAAUAAGGAAGGGUUGAUAUAUGAUGUAUGACAAUGCGUGAGAGAAAACAAAAAUGUGUAAUAAUUUUAAAUUUUUUAUAACUUUUUCUUUAAUUUUUAUAUUUCUUUAUAGUAUUUGAAUAGUUUUAAUAAAUUUUAUAUAUUUUUUCUAAAAAAAUUUAUAACAUUUUAUAUUUUUCUAUAUUUUAAUGUCUUAUAAUUGUUUAUAAAUUUAUAAUAAUUUUUAUGAAUUUUUAAUUUAUAUUUAAAAACUAGAUUUUUUUUUUAGAAUUUAAAAAUCGAAACAAUUGAAUAGGUGGAAUCGCUUCUUUAAAAAAUAUUUUUUUAUAUUUUUAUGAAAUUUUAAUUAUUUAUUUAAUCGUUGUUAGUUUAAGAGCCGAUUGAAUUAAGAAUCGAGAAUUUUAGACAUUGUGUCCUAACUUACGGGACGUGAUUCUUCUUCUGGAUUAACGUAGAAAUAUGCUUCUCUCUUUAAAGUUUAUUUUUCAAAAUUUUGAUAAAGGAUCGUAUUUUGAAUCUUUUUCAAGUUUUCAAUAUUCGACACUAAGACAUUAAUUAAUCAACUAGGUAUCAAUUUUGGGCGUUACGAGGGUGCUAAUCCUUCCUCGUGCGUAACCGACUCCCGAACUUAUUUUUCUAAAUUUCGUAGACCAAAACCGUUGUUUUAAUAAAAUCAAAUCGUUUAUUAAAAACAACUACUUUUCGAGGUGACCCGAUCACACCUCAUAAAAAAAAAGGAUUGGUGGGGACAUUUGUUUUCGUUUUCAAAAUCCAAGUCAAGCCCGUUUUAUCAAAAAAAUGGUUACUAGCUUUAGUCAAAAUUGUUAAGAUCAAUAGAAUAAGCGAAUAGCUUAGAAUGUCACUAAAUCUUUUGACGUGAAGACAAAUGACAACCUAAACACUUGACUCCAGUUACUCAGUCGAUCAGAAUUCUAAGACUUUACUCAUAAUUUAGCAAUUAGUGAGUAUUUAUUAAAUUAUUUUAUUGAUUAUUUUUCAAUUUUUUUCUUUUGUGAUCGAAUACAAGAUGAAACAUACUUUAAGAGUGUCAAUCUCGUUAAAGAUUGUGUGAGCCUAAUCGUUUUUUUUUUUUUUGUGAGUGCUUCAGCUAAGUAAUUAAUAAUUAUUAUUAUUUACUUUAAAAUAAUAAUAAAAUUCAUGUAAAAGAGUAGCAAUGGCAUAGUAUUGAAACAUGCUUAAUAGAAAAUAUUCUAUCAAUUUUUGAAUGGUUUAAACAAUAAAAUGAUAUCUAAAUUAUAUUAAUUUUUUAAAAUUGGUAUUUAAAUUUUUCUUUAGUCAAAAUGGUAUCUAAACAAUUAAUCUGUUAUCUAUUUAAUUCAGCCAAUCAUUUGCCACGUAAAAUAUUUAUUUAUUUUUUUCAAAAUAUUACUAAAAUUCGAUAAAUAAAAUUAAAAAUAGUUAAAAAUAAAACAUCAUAAAUUUAAUAAAAUUUAAACAUUAAGGGAAAACAUUUUACUGAUUGAAAAUACCCUUAAUCAGAUUUUACUAACAAUCCCUAUUUUUUUCAAACAAAUCACAAACUCUUUUAGUUCAAAAAAUUGCAAAUCAUCUUUUUACAACCUUCAUUAAUCCUUUGUGGAAUUGAUAGAAGGGUACGUUUGAAGAAUUAAUUUGUUUUUCUUGAAACCCUUGUUUGUCAAUUUCAUUGAUGAAACCUUUCUAAUUUCAUCAGUAUUUGAUUUUUAUUUUAGGUUAAUCGUAAAACUUUAAUUGAUUUGGGCAAACCGAAGGAGUUGUAAAAAGGUUGAAAGGUAUGAUUUAGGCUUAAGGGUUCUUUUAUAGUUAAUAUGUAGAAUCGAAUGUAUGUGACUUUUGGCAAGUUGUCGGUUCUUGAAAUUUUAUAUUGAGAAAGUAGAACACACCUUUUAAGGGGAAGUUCUUUGUUUGACUCGAGAUUAUUAGUCUGUUGACAAAAAGCCAAAAAAAUGUGCCAUUUGCUUUGAAGUUAUUUAUGAUUGUUUACGAUAAAUUGAGGGUUUUUAAUGGUGUUUAUAUAUGUAUUUUGUUAAGAUACAUAAUGAUACAACUAGAGUUUGUGAUAUGUUUUGAGAUGAUAGGCUUCUCGAUUAUGUGAUUUAUUGUCCUUAGCUAAUUCAAAUAUAGAUUAAUGAGGUUGGUUUAAUAUAUGUUGUAGGGAACAACGAAAAUGGGGAAAUAUUAAAUAUUACCCUAAAACAAAUUGAUAAUUAAUAUAGUUAAAUUAAAUCCAUUUUGUUUUGGCAAAUGAAAACCAUUGGUUUUUAAAGGUUUGAGAAUUGAGGAACCUUUGCAAAACAUAAUGCAAUAUCAUCACUAAAACACUGUUUAUAGGAGCUGAGUAUAAAUACUCUUUUCAUGUCUUUGUUGUUGGGUUUUUUAGGUCUUUUUGUGACAAUUAUCAGUCCUCUCAUUUCAAUAUUUAUGAUAAUAAUACCUGUAAAGCAUGUUGGUCAUGUCUUAUUUUUACUAUACUAAAAUUUGUACUAUUGUAGUACUUAUUAUUAAAGUUCUAGUCCCGUGACAAUUGGUAUUGGACUAAGAUUUGCAGCUUUCUGUUGAGAUGAGGAAAGGAGUAGAAGAGCAGAUUGAACCCAGAGAGACCCAUGGGAGGGGCAGGAACUAUUUAUAUAUUUUUGAGAUGUUGAUAUCUUCCAGAGCCUUUUAUGACCACACACGAUAAUGGGUAAGAUAGGGUCCUACCUGACUUUUGGUUUAUCUGUUUUGAAGGGGAAAAUGGUUCUGGUUUAGAGAAGAAAAAUGAAUGCGUUGAUGAAGCUUCUAAUUCUUGCUCCAUGUUGUUUCUUCUUCAUAGCUUUAAUAAAGUUACUUUAUGAUUACCUAUGGAUACCUCUCCGUAUUCAGCAUAUGCUGAAUUCACAGGGGAUCAAAGGACCUCCUUACAGAUUCAUCCAUGGCAACAACAACGAAGUUACCAAAAUGAAACAAAAUGCUUUAAGUAAAUCUGUGGGUUUGACUGAUGAUUUAUUUCCCAAAGUACAGCCACAUAUUUACACCUGGAUCAACAGAUAUGGUAAGAUCCAUGCUUGUUUUCUUCACUAAGAUUUACGACUUGUAGUUCUGAGAAAAGGUAGACCCUGUUGGUGCUGUAACUGAAACUAACAGACUCAGCACAGACUUGUCGAGCAAGUCUCGAGACUUGCUGAGCAAACAAGAGAAUUCGAGCAAAAGAAAGGAAGAAAAGCUAAGAAAAAAUGAAUAGGAAAAUUGAUGAACAAAACUGAACUAUAUUCAUAAAAUUGAAUAAUGGCAUAAUGCCAAUACAUAAAUCAAGCACUAAGCUUGUCAAAAACAGCAAGUAAUUACCUAAACAUCACCUACUCCCACUAAUUACAUGGAAACUUGAAAUUUUAGCUUGUAAACCUAUACAAAGUUGUGUUUACAGCUCAUACAUAAGCUAAUUACAUCAGUCAACAACCUAACUUAGUUAGAAAUGAACUAAGAUUACAUUUCAUUGACUAGAAAUUACAAAAUAAACAAAAUAAGCUUGCAUCAGCAGCUCCUGUAUGUCUUGGUCUUCAUGGCCUGCAUGCUGUCGAGUUUGUUGCAUGCUGAACCAACUUCAUCACUCCUCCUUGGUUUGCAUGGAGCAAACACCUAGCUUCUUUCUUAGACAUUCGAACCUUGUGACACUAAGGGCUUUGGUUAAAAUGUCUGCAAGUUGAUCCUCUGAAUUACAGUGGAUCAGCUUUACUUCCUGAGCUUGCUCCAUUUCUCGAACAACAUGCAGCUUGAUGCUGAAAUGCUUUGUUCUUCCGUAGAACACUGGAUUUUUAGCAAUUGCUACAGCAGAUUGGUUGUCACAGAAGAUCUCAGUAGCUUCCUCUUGAUGCAUAUUCAAGUCAGCUAAGAUUUUCCUUAGCCAUAUGGCUUGGUUGACAGCACUUGCUGCGGCCACAUACUCUGCUUCAGCAGUAGAUUGAGCCACUAGACUUUGCUUCUUCGAGCUCCAGCAAAACAUGGCUAAACUAAGAUUAAAAGCAUACCCUGAGGUGCUUUUCAUGUCAUCUAUCGAGCCAGCCCAGUCACUAUCAGUGUAGCCAACCAGCUUCAGAUUUCCUUCUUUGCUAUACUUCAAACCAUAGUUCAAAGUGCCUUUGACAUAUCUCAGCACUCUCUUUGCAGCUUGGAAAUGCUUCUCAUUGCAGCAAUGCAGGAAUCUUGAGAGCAAUCCUAUAGCAUACAUGAUGUCUGGUUUAGUGGCAGUCAAGUAUAGCAAACAACCAACUAGACUCCUGUAGGUUGUUUCACAUACCUUCUCAAAAACACCUUGGCUCGAUAGUUUUUCUCUAACAGCAACAGGUGUUUUAGUUGCCUUGUUGUUUUGCAUGGAAAACUUGGUCAGAAUCUUUGUGGCAAAGCUUCUCUGGCUUAGAAAUAUCUCAUUCUGUACUUGAGACACCUCCAUUCCAAGAAAAUAGGACAUCUCCCCAAGAUCAGACAUUUCAAACACUUCCUGCAUCUUGGUCUUGAAAUCAGCCAGCACUGCUCGAUCUCCUCCUGUCACCAGAAGGUCAUCAACAUACAGGGACACAAUGAGUUGUGUUUGUGUCCAUUGUUUCUUGACAUACAGUGUUGGCUCACUCUUGCUUCGAUCGAAUCCCAGAUCAGUCAAGUAGCCAUCGAUUCUGCUGUACCAGGCCCUUGGAGCCUGUUUUAAUCCAUAUAGGGCUUUCUUCAGUUUGUAGACCAUAUGCUCUUUGCCAGCUAUUUCAAACCCUUGUGGUUGUUCAACAUAGAUGUUUUCAUCUAGGAAACCAUUCAGAAAGGCUGAUUUUACAUCGAGCUGAUGGAUCUUCCACUCGAGCUGUACUGCUAAGCCAAUCAGUAGUCUGAUGGUGUCGAGCCUGGCCACUGGUGCAAAGGUCUCCAAGUAGUCCAGGCCAUAUCUCUGACUGAACCCCUUGACUACUAGCCUUGCUUUCAGCUUAUUCAAGGUACCAUCAGCAUUCUGUUUGGCUUUGUACACCCAUUUCACCCCAAUCACCUUCCUUUUGACUGGCCUUUCAACCAAUUCCCAGGUCUGGUUCUUCUCAAUCAUGUUGAUCUCCUCAGCCAUUGCCUGCUUCCACCCUUGCUGAGCCUCAGCCUCUUCAAAGUUGCUUGGUUCAGCUAUGGCUACAUGAGCCCUUUCAUAAAUCUCAGUCAAUGGCCUUGUUCCUCUGACUGGUUCAUCAUCAAUGUCCAUUUCUGGAACAUUUUGGUCUGGCUCAGCUUGGUCUGUUGCUAGUUCUUCAGAAACUUCUUCAGGUUCAUGUCUUUCCCAGUUCCAACAUGACCUUUCAUCAAAUACCACAUCCCUACUAACUGACACUUUGUUUGUUGAAGGAUCCAAGAUCCUAUAGCCCUUCUUAACAGUGCUGUAGCCCACCAGUACAGCAGGUUGAGCCCUUUCAGACAAUUUGUCCCUUUUAACAGCAGGUACAUGUGCAUAACAAAUGCAUCCAAAGACUUUCAGAUGAGCCAGUGAUGGCUUGAAGCCAAAUCAGGCCUCGAAUGGGGUCUUCUGAUCCAAGGCCUUUGUUGGUAGUCUAUUUUGAAUGUAUGUUGCAGUGUUAACUGCUUCUGCCCAUAGUAUUCUAGGCAAAUUCUUCUGAAUCAUUAAGCAUCUGGCCAUAUCCAUCAAACUCCUGUUCUUCCUUUCACUUACACUAUUCUGCUGAGGUGUAUAUGUGUUGGUAAGUUGAUGUUUGAUGCCUGCCUUAUCACAGAAGGCUUGGAACUGAGCUGAGGUGUACUCAGUCCCAUUAUCAGACCUUAUGGUCUUCAGCUUGCAGCCUAUUUCAGUCUCAGAAGCAGUCUUGAACUUCCAAAACACUGAGGCCACCUCUGAUUUUUGUUUUAAGAAGUAAAUCCAACAAUAUCUUGAAAAAUCAUCAAUGACCAGUAUAAAAUACCUAUUUCCACUUAAUGACUCAGUCUUCAUAGGGCCACACACAUCAGUAUGCACCAGUUGGAGUUUUUCAGAGGCUCUCCAGGCUUGAUUCGAGGGAAAUGGGAGUCUGGCCUGCUUUCCUAGCUGACAUACUCCACAUACAUCAUCAUGGUCCACUGAGUUGAUGAAGUUUUUAGCCAGGUCUUCUCUGACCAUUCGGGCCAUCGAUCUGAAGUUGGCAUGUCCCAGCCUUUGAUGCCACAACUUGGAUUCAUCUGAUGUGGCUGUGUAGGCAAUGUCUGACUUCUUUGUCCAGUCAACCACAAAGCUCUUAUCAGCCAUAGGGACUGCCAUCAGUUUGGAUCCACUUGGAUCACUGAUUUGGCACUGGUUGUCUUUGAACACAACAGAAUACCCUUUCUCCAGCAAUUGAGCUAUGCUAAGCAGGUUUCUGUCAAUUUCAGGCACCAAGAGCACAUUUGAAAUCACUUUGGCACCUGUAGAAGUGCAUAUCAGCACAUCACUCUUGCCUUCAGCUUGAAUGAAAUGACCAUUUCCUAUUUUGACCUUAGUUCUGCAGCUUCUGUCUAAAGACUUGAAGAUUGCAGCAUCAGGUGUCAUGUGGUUGGUGCAUCCACUGUCUAGGAGCCAACCAGAUGAGAACCUUUCCUGAGCAGCUGAGCAUGACAUAGUAAAAACUUGCUCCUCUUAGUCACUGUCCUCCUUAGCUACUCGAGCCUCAGCUUUCAUCUGUUGAAACUGAUUGUGCCUUGAUUUGGCCUUGCUCUUGCAAACUCUCUCAACAUGACCCUUCUUCUUACAAUGCUGACAUACAGUUUCUGGAUUAAACUAGCACUUUUCUUCUAGAUGACCAACCCUUCUGCAGUGCUUGCAAGUCUGACCUUCUCUCCUUGCAGCAUCAUUCUUUGGCUUGUCUCUCCAGGCCUUCUUGCCUUUAUAGGCAGUGUUUAUUCUUUCCUGAAAGGCACCUUCUUGAUGCUCCUCCAGCCUGCUUGCUCUCCUCUACUCUUGAGCAUAUAGAGCAUUGAUCAACUCUGUCAGGGAGAUGGUGGACAGAUCCCUUGAGUCCUCGAGAGAUGAGAUUUUUGCCUCAUACCUCUCAGGCAGAGUUGCUAUAACCUUCUCCACUAUCCUAGCUUCAUUGAACUGCUCUCUAAGGAGCCUGAUGCUGUUAACCACAGCCAUAAUCCUGUCAGAAUAUUGCUUGACAGUUUCUUCUUCCUUCAUCUUCAAAUUCUCGAAAUCUCUCCUCAAGUUCAACAACUGUUGCUGCCUUGUCAUCUCUGUCCCUUGAAACUCUUCCUGCAACUUGUCCCAGGUCUGUUUUGGUGAUUCACAGGCCAUAAUCCUUGUGAAAAUCACAUCAGACACUGAGUUCUAGAUGCGAGACAUGGCUUUGUGCCUCUUGGUCCUCUCAUCAGCAUGCUGCCUGAUCUGAGCCACUGUUGGAUUGCCUCUAAGUGGUUCUGGUUCAACAUCUGAGUUGACCACCUCCCACAGAUCGUAUGCCUGCAGGUAGGUCUUCAUUUUGACCACCCAUAUGUGAUAGCCUUCUCCAUUGAAUACUUGAGGUGCAGCUGGUGAAAAGCUUGAUGAAGCCAUGUAUUUGUAUAACAGAUCCCUUAAGAAAUAGGCUCUAGAUACCAAUUGUUGGUGCUGUAACUGAAACUAACAGACUCAGCACAGACUUGUCGAGCAAGUCUCGAGACUUGCUGAGCAAACAAGAGAAUUCGAGCAAAAGAAAGGAAGAAAAGCUAAGAAAAAAUGAAUAGGAAAAUUGAUGAACAAAAAAGAACUAUAUUCAUAAAAUUGAAUAAUGGCAUAAUGCCAAUACAUAAACCAAGCACUAAGCUUGUCAAAAACAGCAAGUAAUUACCUAAACAUCACCUACUCCCACUAAUUACAUGGAAACUUGAAAUUUUAGCUUGUAAACCUAUACAAAGUUGUGUUUACAGCUCAUACAUAAGCUAAUUACAUCAGUCAACAACCUAACUUAGUUAGAAAUGAACUAAGAUUACAUUUCAUUGACUAGAAAUUACAAAAUAAACAAAAUAAGCUUCCAUCAGCAGCUCCUGCAUGUCUUGGUCUUCAUGGCCUGCAUGCUGUCGAGUUUGCUGCAUGCUGAACCAACUUCAUCAGACCCUUUUUCUUUUCAUGUUAUUAGGGAAGAAUUUUGUUUAUUGGAAGGGUGCUCGAGCAGAAUUGGUGAUUUCAGAGCCUGAAUUAGUCAAAGAGGUUCUGAAAAAUAGUGAACAAAUUUUUCAGAAAAAGAAACUUUCAGAUAUUGGUAGGAAGUUCUUGGGGGAAUGGUCUUAUUUUCAUUGAGGGGGAAAAAUGGGCAAAGCAUCGAAAGCUGGCCAAUCACACUUUCCAUGGGGAAAGCCUAAAGGUAAGUCUUCUAAAUAUAUAAACUAGGUGUAAUUAAUUUACAAGAAUUAUACAUAGACUACAAUAUUUUGGUAAAAUUGUGUAUUGUUAGCUAAGGAUAAGUUUAUUAUGGGCGUUGAAAAAGUGUAGUAAAAACAUACUUUUGAAAAAUUUAACACCAUUUACUACUUAGGAGGUCAAUUUUAAACUUGAUGUUCUAAAAUAAAAGAUUGAAUCAGAAAUUUUAAAAAAAAAGUAAUUUCAUUAAAAAGCACUCUUUUAGCUUUUUGACUUGGAUUAAAAUCUAGUUUGAAAAGGUGUUUAUUUGUCAAAUUGUUUAAUUUGAAAUCAUGAUUUUGUGUUGAAAAGUGUUUUUCUGACUCCAAUUAUAUAUGUCACUACUACUUACAUAUAGGAGGAUUGUUUGGGCAGAACAUGACUCCAGCAAUAAUUGCUAGUGUUGAAACAAUGCUAGAAAAGUGGAAAGGCCAAUAAGGCAAAGAGAUUGAACUGUACCAAGAAUUUAGGUUAUUAACUUCAGAAGUGAUUUCCAGAACAACAUUUGGUAGCAAUUACAUGGAAGGGGAGAAGAUUUUUGCCAUGUUAGACAAGUCGACAAUAAUUGUGAGUCAAAAUCUUUCUAAGACUAGAAUUCCUUUGAUCAGGUAUCUUCCCUCUAAGCUUAAUUAAUCCCAACUUUUACCUUGAUUUCAACUAGCUUUUGAAUGCAACUUUUAGACUUUCAUUCCCCCUGGAUUUGGUUUUCUCCUUAUAUAUAGCUGACCCUGGUUUGCUUUUGCAGCAAGUUGUGGAAAUCUGCUGAUUUGCUAGAGUCUGAAAAACUUUCAAAAGAAAUAAAAGAUCGUCUGAUGAAGAUUGUUAAGAAAAGAGAAGACAAAGUUGUGAAUGGAGAAGUCAAUAGCUUCCGCAGUGAUUUUUUUGGAUUACUUCUAAAUACCUAUCAUGAUUCGGAUGAGAAAAACAGGAUUUCAUUGGAAGACUUGGUAGCUGAAUGCAAAACAUUCUAUUUUGCUGGACAAGAAACUGUUAAUUCCUUACUUGCAUGGAGAUUGGCAAGAAAAAGCGAGAAGAGAGGUGGUUGACAUAUUUGGUAACCAAAAUCCACAUCUCGAAGGCAUCGCCAAACUCAAAAUAGUAAGAAAACUAUCUAACUGGGAAUUCAAAUAGCCAUCGACAUGAUGUAAUCUGACAUAUUUUUCUAUUUUCCAAACAGAUGACCAUGAUCAUCAAUGAAACUCUAAGAUUGUAUGGUCCAACAGGUGUCCUCCAAAGAACAGUUACAAGAGAAAUUCAGUUGGGAAAGCUACUCUUGCCUGCUAAUAUAGAUAUUCUGCCUUUAAAUAUUGGACUUCACCGUGACCCUCACUUUUGGGGAAAUGAUGUGCACCAUUUUAAACCUGAGAGAUUCGCUGAAGGGAUUGCCAAAGCUACCAAUUACACCGCGGCUGCCUUUUUCCCCUUCGGAUUAGGACCUCGAUCUUGUGUUGGUAUGACAUUUGCAAUGAUAGAAACCAAGAUUGCUCUCUCCAUGAUUCUACAACGCUACACCAUUACCCUUUCCCCUGCCUAUGUCCACUCUCCAAUACUUAUUCUCACCCUUCGACCCCAAAAUGGAAUUCAGGUAAUACUUGAGCCGAUACAUAGUAAUGCUUGAAGUACAUAGCCGUUAAGAACUAGAGGUUUAACAUGGUUCGUGUAUUGAACUUUUAAGAGAUGGUAUUUAAUAUGUUUAAAGGUUCUAGCAUUUAUCACAAAGACAAAUGACUCGUGGCCAUGUUUAAUUUUCAUCUAUCGUGCAAUGUUGAUGAGAAGAUAUCAUUUACUCAUUAGUUGGGUUAUGAAUUUCACUAUUUUGAAUAAUGUUACAUACUAUAGAAGUUGUAUAUCCAAUGCACCAACUUUCGGUAGUUCUUUAUCUUUUUGAACUUAGCCUUUCACUUGCAUCAAAGUAUACAAGUCAUGCAUGUAUAGUCCAUCAUCCACUCAAGAUUAAGGUAUAUCACGCUAUGAGCAUCAAAAGUAAAUAGAUCCAUAAAUGGAUUUAGAAUCUAUUCUACUUGGGUCUUAUCUGAUGUACUGUUAGUCCAGUCAAUCACAUCUAUGUCUCUCUCUUUUAGGAGUCAUCUGUUCCAUUCGAGACAAAACAUUUCCACAAUUGGGCUUGAUAGACGACAUAUUAGUUUUUCAAUCGAUUUGCUCAUUUUCGAUUAGACUAAGGACAUAUUUAGGUUUAUUUACUAAUACAAGCUAUCUUUCCAUAUCUAAUUCAAAUAUAGAUGAAUGAGAUUGGUUUAAUAUAUGUUGUAGGGAACAACGAAAAUGGGGAAAAAUUAAAUAUUACCCUAAAAUAAAUUGAUAAUUAAUAUAGUUAAAUUAAAUCCAUUUUGUUUAGGCAAAUGAAAACCAUUGGUUUAAAAGGUUUGAGAAUUGAGGAACCUUUGCAAAACAUAAUGCGAUAUCAUCACUAAAACACUGUUUAUAGGAGCUGAGAAUAAAUACUCUCUUUUCAUGUCUUUGUUGCUGGGUUUUUUAGGUCUUUUUGUAAUUAUCAUUCCUCUCAUUUCAAUAUUUAUGAUAAUAAUACCUGUAAAACAUGUUCGUCAUGUCUUGUUUUUACUAUUUAUGUAAACAUGAUUCCGGUAUAAACUAUACUAAAAUUUGUACUAUUGUAGUACUUAUUAUUAAAGUUAAGAAAUUAUUUAAGGUCGUGCGAUUUGUAAAAUUAAAGUUCUAGUCCCGUAAUAAUUGGUAUUGAACUAAGAUUUGAAGCUACCAGUUGAGAUGAGGAAAGGAGUAGAAGAGCAGAUUGAACCCAGAGAGACCCAUGGGAGGGGCAGGAGCUAUUUAUAUAUUUUUGAGAUGUUGAUAUCUUCAGGAGCCUUUUAUGACCACACACGAUAAUGGGAAAGAUAGGGUCCUACCUGACUUUUGGUUUAUCUGUUUUGAAGGGGAAAAUGGUUCUGGUUUAGAGAAGAAAAAUGAAUGCGUUGAUGGAGCUUCUAAUUCUUGCUCCAUGUUGUUUCUUCUUCAUAGCUUUAAUAAAGUUACUUUAUGAUUACCUAUGGAUACCUCUCUGUAUUCAGCAUAUGCUGAAUUUAGAGGUGAUCAUGAGUUGGGCGCCCUGGCCCAGCCUGACGGCCCGCCUGAAAAAUGAGAGGGUUUGGGUAAAAAAAAGAGACCCGUUUAAAAAAUAGGCCAAGCCUCAGGUAAAAUUUUUUUGGCCCCGGCCCAGCCCGAAAUAUAUAUUAAAUAUAUUUUUUUAAUCAUAUAUAUAUAUUAAAUAUAUACUUUUUUGGUGUUGUAAAAUUUAAUAUGGGCCAGGCCGGGCAGGGCUUAGCAAUUUUUUUCAGGUCGAGCUUGGACAAAUUUUUAGGCCCAUAUCUUGGGCCGGAUCAAGCCCGGGCUUAGAAAACGGGCCUAAAAUUUUAUCUUGGGCCGGUCCUGCCUGGCCAAUGAUCAUCUCUAGCUAAAUUCACAGGGUAUCAAAGGACCUCCUUACAGAUUCAUCCAUGGCAACAACAAGGAAGUUAUACUUUAAUUAUUAUUAUUUAUUUAAUUAUUAUUGGUCUAGUAGUCGAACCGAUUGAAUAAGAAAUCAAUAGUUUUAUCUUUUAACUGAUACUGUGAGAUUGUAGCACAUCAUCACCUAAAAAUUUAUAUAAUUUUUUUAAUUUUCAAGUGAUACAUAUGAUCAUGUCACAUCAUCAAACUUUUAAAAUUUUCAUGUUCAAAGAUUAAAAUAGACCUAAUUGUUAAAUUCAAAUGACAAAGUGGGCCAAAAAAAUCCUAAUAGCCAAUAAUAGAAAAAAUAUAUUAUUUAAAAAAAUAAAAAUAUUAAAGAAGACCCACGUGGUGAUAUUUCUCUUUUUCCAUAGUUCCCGACAAUAUUGUUGCCGUCUAUAUGUCGUAAAUAUGCUGCAACCAGCAAAAUUUGUUUUCUAAUAUUUGGCAACUUUUACUUGCAAGACAACGAAGAAAAACACUUAAAUAAUUAGUUCAGUCCUCCUCAAUAAUGGGAGAAUGUUUUUCAAGGCAAAAAUAGCUUCAAAAUCUACUCUUACUAAAAAAAAAAAAUUAUUAUCUUUUGUCCAUUUAAUUCAUCCACUAUUUAUAAUUAAAUAAUUAAAUUUCAAUUGAUAAUACCAAUUCCUUCAAUUCAAUCAUGUGUUGUUUUUUUUUAAAAAAAAAAACCUUACACGAAAUUCAUAUAAGAUAUAUAUGUAUAUAUCGAUUUUCAUUCUAUCUUUUUAAAAUAGAUUUGAAGAAUCUUACAAUUCGAGAAUUAAUAUUUUCAUUUGCUUAUUUGACUUUCCACGUGUAUGUAUUAGCUAGAUGAGUAUGAUUUUUUAUUUCGUAAGUGCCAAAUAAAUAUUACUUUAACAAAGGUUUUUUUUUUAUUACAAUGUUAUGAAUUGAAUUUCAAAAGUGCAAAUGAUACAGGGAGUGAAAGCAUAGUUAGACCUAAAAGAAACUAAGAAGUCAGUUGUUAUUGAGAAACGUCCUAAAUCCACUAUAUAAAAACAAAAGGACCAUCUGGAUUCAGUGUUAAGAGAAGAAACAUGAGUGAUUUGAUGGAGCUUGUGAUACAGCAUAUGCUGAAUUCAUAGGGAAUCAAAGGACCUCUUUACACAUUCAUCCACGGCAACAACAAGCAAAUUACCUAAAUGAAAAAGAAAGCAUUAAACAAUCCUGGCGUUGCAGUGGAACAGAUUAAAGCUACAAAUUAUGGUAGUGGAGCAGAUUAGAGCUACCAGCCUUAUCUCCCUGAAGUUGUAGCGGAGCAGACUGAAGAUAGAGAAUCUUAUUUCCCUAGCGUUGCAGUGGAACAGAUUAAAACUACAAGUUAUGGCGGAUCUUAUCUUCCUAAAUUUGCAAUGGAGCAGAUUAAAGCCACCAGCCUUAUCUCAUUGAAGUUCCAGCGGAGUAGAUCAAAGCUACAAGUCUCUUCUCCCUAAAAUUACAUUGGAGCAUAUCAAAACACCAAUUCCUAUACCCCUGAAGAUGCGAUGAAAUGGAAUGAGACUACUUGAAAGAAAGAAGCACCAUAAAGUCAAGAUUCGGCAAGACCAGGCAAAAUUAGCCUCUUUAAAGUCUUUCUACCAUUCUCAUUACACGAGAAUGAGCAAAGAGGGACAGUUGUAAUAGGCCAAUUUUGGCCCAGGCUCAAAACCAAAUAAAUAAAACCAAAACCUGAGAGAUUCGCUGAAGGGAUUGCCAAAGCUACCAAUUACACCGCGGCUGCCUUUUUCCCCUUCGGAUUAGGACCUCGAUCUUGUGUUGGUAUGACAUUUGCAAUGAUAGAAACCAAGAUUGCUCUCUCCAUGAUUCUACAACGCUACACCAUUACCCUUUCCCCUGCCUAUGUCCACUCUCCAAUACUUAUUCUCACCCUUCGACCCCAAAAUGGAAUUCAAGUAAUACUUGAGGCGAUACAUAGUAAUGCUUGAAGUACAUAGCCGUUAAGAACUAGAGGUUUAACAUGGUUCGUGUAUUUUACUUUUAAGAGAUGAUAUUUAAUAUGUUUAAAGGUUCUAGCAUUUCACAAAGACAAACGACUCAUGGCCAUGUUUACUUUUUAUCUAUCAUGCAAUGUCGAUAAGAAGAUACCAUUUACCCAUUAGUUUGGCUAUGAAUUUCACUAUUUUGAAUGAUGUUACAUACUAUAGAAGUUGUAUAUCCAGUGCACCAACUUUCGGUUCUUUAUCUAUUUGAACUUAGCCUUUUACUUGCAUCAAAGUAUACGAGUCAUGCAUGCAUAGUCUAUCAUCCUCUCAAAAUUAAGGUAUAUCACACUAUGAACGUCACAAGUAAAUAGAUCCAUAAAUGGAUUUAGAAUCUAUUCUACUUGGGUCUUAUCUGAUGUACUGUCAAUCCAGUCAGUCACAUCUAUAUUUUUAUCUUUUAGGAGUCAUCUGUUCCAUUCGAGACAAAGCAUCUCCACAAUUGGGCUUGAUAGACAACAUAUUAUUUUUUAAUUGAUUUGCUCAUUUUCAAUUAGACUAAGGACAUAUUUAGGUUUAUCUUCUAAUACAAGCUAUCUUUUCAUAUCACGAUCUGACCACGUAAUACCGCUUAGUAUUAAUUUAAACAUUAGAUAACUAACGAGCCAUUAUUUGCUUCCAUUUUGCUUUGCAUGCAAAAAUAUUGAGGACAAUAUCGAAAGGGUAUUAAUGUAAUUAAUAGAUAUUAUUAAACCAAUUUGUUUGAAAAAUACAAUUAUAUAAAACGAAUAUAGUACACUUAGUGUACCAAAUCCAACAGUGGCCACUACAGCUAGCAUUGCCAUAAGCAACAUAACUUGACAUUUUUGGAGUUGAAAUCAUUUUAACAAAAUCAUUUGGGCAACGACUUAGAUGGUUUUGUGGACAUGUGCUGUCUCAUAUUUGAAGAUCCAUUUUAUGGAGCAAUCAAUCUUUGAAGACUAAAUCAAUUUGAAUCAAGCAAGUCAGAUCACUUAUUUUAUGGAGAUUGGCUUGACUUUUUGAAAAUUUGUUUUCGAAAUAUUUGAUUUAUUCUUGACUUUGAGGAUAUUUGUAAAGUUUUUUUUUACGAGGCUAUUUUUUGUGGGAUAUUGAUUCUAAUUGAUCUUUUAUCUUUGCAAACAUUAAAUUCUUAUAUAUUAGAGGCUUGUGUAAGUUAAAAUAAGGUAGAGUUUCUAUAGCACUUAUUUUUUCAUUGAGGAACUUGUAUUUGAUAGUGCAUUAAGAGUGUAAAAUAAGUUUGUUGCUUAGUUUUUCAACCAAAAUUCUCAAGGAAAGAACUUAGUGGUGAGUUGUGAUAGGACUUAAAUAACUUGUUGUCUUAGGAUUAAAAAUAAUGGAUUUACUCACUAAGUUGGGUUCCAUAGACAUAGAAAAAUCGAUAUGCGUAAAUAAUCAUUUGUGCUCUAUUUUUUUGUUGUUGUGUUCAUCAUAGUGGCAUCUAAGGUUGCCAUUACAACCAUCACUUUGGUCAUCAAUUACGCACUUUAUUUUUUUUCAGCAAUUAUCAACUUUAUGCGCCAAGAGAAUGCUUGUUUCUAGUACCAUUGAUCAAUUUUGUAGGAAACAUAAUGACCAAAAAGAAAAUGAUUACAGUCAACCCCUUCUGUAACAACUCUAUUUAUUUGUUAAGAUUUUGCAAGUUAUAAAAAGGUGGUUGUUAUAUACUAUUACAACAUGUUAUAAAAAGAUAAUUAUUGUAAACCUAAAAUAGAAUUUAUAUCGUGAAUUACUAUCAAAUAAAGAAAGUGAGAAUUAUAUUAAAAAAAGGAAAGUAGAAAUCAAAUCAACAAAAUUAAAAGAUGUAUAAUAGGUGCAUGCAUUAUUACCUUUAUAUUUUAUUUUACAUUUUUCACAUGAUUAAUUAUGAAAUUCAUCAAUCUAACAAAUAGUUAAUCGAUAUGAGUUUAAAUUAAAUUAAUUAAUUUAUCAUGUGUUAUUAAAUUCAAAAUGGUACCUAAACAAUUAAUCUGUUAUCUAUUUAAUACAGCCAAUCAUUUGCCACGUAAAAUAUCUAUUUAUUUUCUUUUAAAAUAUUACUAAAAUUCGAUAAAUAAAAUUAAAAAUAGUUAAAAAAUAAAACAUCAUAAAUUUAAUAAAAUUUAAACGUUAAGGAAAAACAUUUUACUGAUUGAAAAUACCCUUAAUCAGAUUUUACUAACAAUCCCUAUUUUUUUCAAACAAAUCACAAACUCUUUUUGUUCAAAAAAUUUCAAAUCAUCUUUUUACAACCUUUAAUCCUUUGUGGAAUUGAUAGAAGGGUACGUUUGAAGAAUUAAUUUUUUUUCUUGAAACCCUUGUUUGUCAAUUUCAUUGUUGAAACCUUUCUAAUUUCAUCAUUAUUUGAUUUUUAUUUUAGGUUAAUCGUAAAACUUCAAUUGAUUCGGGCAAAUCGAAGGAGUUGUAAAAAGGUUGAAAGGUAUGAUUUAGGCUUAAGUUAACACCAUUUGUAAAGGGUUCUUUUAUAGUUAAUAUGUAGAAUCUAAUGUAUGUGACUUUUGGCAGGUUGUGGGUUCUUGAAAUUUUAUAUUGAGAAAGUAGAACACACCUUUUAAGAGGGAAGUUCUUUGUGACUCGAGAUUAUUAGUCUGGUGACAAAAAGCCAAAAAAUGUACCAUUUGCUUUGAAGUUAUUUAUGAUUGUUAAUGAUAAACUUAGGAUUUUUAAUGGUGUUUAUAUAUGUAUUUUGUUAAGAUACAUAAUGAUAAAACUAGAGUUUGUGAUAUGUUUUGAGAUGAUAGGCUUCACGAAUAUGUGAUUUAUUGUCCUUAGCUAAUUCAAAUAUAGAUUAAUGGUGCCACUGCCACAGGCAGCACAACUCCCCUUAUAAUGGGGGGACCAUUCGGCUGGUGGGUGGAAAAGAAAAGGAGAGGGAAAGAAAUGGAAAGGAGAAGAAAGAAAGAAAAGGAAAGGAGAACACUACACCAGAACAGGCUUUUAGCGGCAUAUUUUGUGGCGUUUUGAUAACAAACGCCGCUAAAAAUCAAGCAUUAGCGGCGCAAAGAAUAAAACGCCACUAAAGAUCUAGCAUUAGUGGCGCUUCUUAUAAAACGCUGCUAAAGAACAUAAUUCGCGGCGUUUACCACACAGCGCCGCAAAAUCUCAAGACCAACACGCAGCGUUCUGGUCUUGAUGUAUAUUAGCAUUAGUGGUGCUUACGAACAAACGCCGGUAAUGUAUAGUAUUAGCGGCGCUUAGCGGAAGCGCCGCAAAAGAUGUUAACCAAAACGCAGAGUUUGGUCUUGAUGUAUAUUGCAAUUAGUGGCGCUAAUGUAUAGUAUUAGCGGCACCGAGCGUUAAACGCCGCAAGACAUCUUAAUCAAAACGCAGCGUUUUGGUAUUGAUGUAUACUAUAAUUAGUGGCUUUUAAGGAAAACGCCAGUAAAGGAUAGUUAUAGCAGUGUUUGGUGGUAAGAUCCUCAAAAUAUCUUAACCAAAACGCAGAGUUUGGUCUUGAGGUGUAUUAGAAUUAGUGGCGCUUGCUGAAAAACGCCGCUAAAGUAUAGUAUUAGUGGCGCUUGUGGAACGCGCCGCAAAGUGUCUUAACCAAAACACAGCGUUUAGUUCUUGAUGUAUACUGGAAUUAGUGGCGCACAUGGGAAAACGCCAUUGAAGCAUAGUAUUAGCGGCGCUUGUACCGAAACGCCACAAAAAACCUAAGCCAGACGGCAUCGUUUCGAAACUUUUUAGUGCUUUAGCGGCGUUUUUCCUUAAAGCGCCACAAAUCAUUUUAUAUGUUUUUUAUAUUUAAUUUGUUUAUUUAUAUUAAUUAAAAUUUAAUUUAUUUUUAAUUGAAUAUUUGUUAAAAAUGGAAAACUUGAAAUAGUAUUAUUUAAAAUAAUUUUAAAAAAUGUUAGGUACAUGACUGAUUGAUUUGUAAUUUAUAUAUUAAAUAAUUUCAUAUAUAAUUAUAAAAGAUAGUUUUUAAAAUAUUUAAUUAUUUAUCAUUAUAGUUUAGGGUUUAAUAUAUAUGCAGUUUAGGGUAUACGGUUAAUUUAAGAUUUAAGGUCGGUUUAAGAGCUACAAUUUUAACGUUUAUAUAGAUUAUGGAAUUAUGGAUUCUGGUUAAUUUAAGGGUUGUAAUUUAGGGGUUAUAGAUUAAGAGUUAGGGAUUUAAGGUUUAUGGAUUCGGUGUCAGGUUAGGCUUUAGGGUUUAGAUUAAUUAGUGUGUUUUAAUUUUUAUAAAAUAUGGUUUAAGGGUUAGGGGGUAGGGGGUAGGGAUUUGGGUUAGGAUUUAGGGUUUUGAUUAAUUAAUAUUUUUUAAUUUAUGUAUUAAAUAAGGUUUAGGGUUAGUACAAGUUAGGGUCGGGGUUAGUGGUUUAAGGGUUAGAAGAUAAGAGUUAGUGAUUUAGGGUUUAAAAAUUCGGGGUCAGGUUAGGCCUAUUGGGAACUUUAGUGGCGCUGCAAAAUUUUUAUUUUAUUUAAGGGUUUACGUUAUAGAAUAUAUGAUUUAAUGUCCAUGGUUUAGAGUUUUAGGGAUUACAGUUUAAUGUUUAUUAUUUUGGGUUAAUAGUUUAUGUGUUAGAGUUUGUGUUUAGGGUUUAAGGAUGCUGUUUAAAAAUUGAAGAACAUUUAGAUUUUACUAAAGAUUCAUGCAAUUUAAUAUAUGAAUAUAAAAUAUAUGUUUUGUACAGUAACAUUGGCCACGCAAUUACCCUAAAAUAUGGUUUAGGAAUAUUACGGUUUGGGACUUUUGGUUUUGACUUUUACUGUUUGGGGCUUUAGGGUUUGGGGUUUGAGGUUUGGGGUUUUUGGUUUGGGGUUUGGGGUUUGGUUUUUGAGGUUUAAGGUUUAGAAAUUAUAAUUUAAGCAGGUUUAAAACGCGAAUUUAUUUUCUUUAAAUGUAUUACUCUCUCAUUUUUUUAUUAUUAAUUUUUCCAUUUUAUAACUUUGGUUUUAAUUUUGGAUCAAUUUAACUUCAAUCUUGGAUGACACUAUUUUGACAACUCACGUGCUAGUAUAUUUGUAUUCUAUUCUUAGCGUAUAUAUAAUUUAAAAUAAAUUAUAAAUAUUUUUAAAUUUUGUAGAAAUUUUAAACUUUUUUUGCAAUGAAAGCCGUUAGAGGCAUUUAUCUCAAAACGCUGGAAAGAUUAUUUAACGUUAAGUAAAACUGCAUCGUUUCCUGUCACUGGGAAGGGGAACGGCGCCGUUUUGUUCAUCCGUAUUCGCGGCACUUUGAAAAAUGCCGCCAAGUUGGAUUAGGAGCUAAUGAAACUGCGUCGUUUUACGUUGCUAUUAGUGGCGCUUUCCAUGAAACGCCGCAAAAUUGUAUUUAUGUUUAUUGAAAUGUUGUCGUUUUUGUCUAUUGUAUUAGUGGCAUUUUUCGGAAACGCCACAACAUUGGGUAAACUGUUGGGGAAACGGCUUCGUUUUGACUUAUAGUUAGUGGCGCUUUACUUGAAACGCCGCAAAAUUGUUCUAACAUUUGUUGAAACGUUGCCGUUUUGUAAAUGUAAUUAGUGGCGUUUUUGAGAAAACGCCAGGGGUUUGAGGUAAGUGUUGAUGAAGCGACCGCGUUUUGAGUUAUUGUUAGUGGCGCUUAGUUUAAAACGCCGCAAAGUUUUGACCUAUAUUUUAUGGCGCUUUGCUUAAAACGCCGCAAAAAUGUUUUUCAAUGUUUGAUUCGAUGCCGUUUAUCUAUAUUAUUAGUGGCGUUUAUAGGGAAACGCCACAUUUUUCAGCUGUUUGUUGAUGAAACGACCGCUUUUCAAUUAAAUUUAGUGGCACUUUGAUGUAAACGUCGCAAAUGGAUAUUUUUUUAGAUGAGAACGGCGUCGUAUUUUUUCCAUCAGUCUGACCAAAUAUUACACCCGAUAUUUCUCCAUCACUUAUCCCCCAAAUACUCAUUCUCCCCCAAAUCCCUAAAAUUUCCCCUAAUCCCUAACAGCCCCCCAAACCCGACCACCUGCUACUCUGCCAUCUUCUGUGCUGCAUCACUCCGUCCGUCCGUUUCUGGCGCCGCAACCAUCGGUAAGUUUGAGUACUUCGUUCUUCGUUCUUUUUCUUCAUGCGUUAAUGUCUCUCUGUUGCUUCUUCAUUGCUGUUGUUUUGACUCCUUCCUCAUAGCAACCCACGCUUUCAAUCUUUCAACUUUCCCAGAAACUCCAAGACUGAAACCGAGGAGAAGACGCUGCACUUAGUAAUUUCGGAUUCCAUCUUCAGUUUUGGGCAAUACCCUUUCCAAGGUAUAACGCUGUCGGUAUUAAUUUCAUCAUUUAAAAUUAGUGGCUUUGGGUCCUUAGUUCUGAUAUGGUUACUUUUAUUGGACUCGUUGAUGCUCAAAAAUCGGUCCUUUAUGCGUAAAUGGGUCGAUGCUUUUGAUUAGUUUGAUAGUGGGUUUAGGGUACCACGUGUUUCUUUUAUGUGAAAUGCCUUUAGUUUGCUAUAUAUAUAUGGCGUGGAAAAGUUAUUGGCAUCUGUUAUAUCUAAUGAAUUUCUUUUAAAAACUUUUCAAUGGGAAUCUUUUUUGUUAAAGAAAAACCAUUCUUCUGUUUGAUUAUAAUGAAUAUAUAUAGGCUUCCUUUUAUCAUUUCUGAUUUGGUUUGAUUUUGUUGUAACUUGUUAUAACCAAACUGAAAUCCGAAUUCAAUUGCUAUAAGUGCCUAACUGUUAUUUUGUAGUAAUGGAUUUAGAGUUAAAGUGUUUUAUUUUUUUCCUGUUUAUUUGGGUGUAAUUUUCAUAUGUUUUCCUUUUUUUUUGUAGUAUUUACUCCUAUUUUAAAUUUAUUUUGCAUGCAUUCCAAUUUUAGAUGAAGUGGUUGUAUGUUUGAAAUCGAAGUCAAUAUUUACUUUCAUAUUUCUUUCAUGCCAUUCCCAUCAAUCAUUUCAGCACUAGGCAUGAAUUCAAAAUUGUUCAGGUAUCCUGCAAAUGGCAUUGUUGAUAAGGAUGCAAAAUUUGUUUUCUGAUGUUAAUAUAGCCUUGAUUUUUCUCAUGUAUAGUUGUCAGUUGUUAUGGGUAAAUUUUAUAUAAUUUUAUUUAAUUUUAUAAUUAUUCGAAUAUAUAUUCAUAAUUAUACUGUAUUUAUAAUUAUCGAUUUUCAAUUUAUCAAUUUACAAUUUUAUUUCAAUUAAUAAAUGUUUAAUAAUCAAUUAAUAAAUUGAUCGAUUAAUUGAUUGAAUGUCAAUGAAUUAUCAAUUUUGGUUAGUUAAUUGAUUGAAUGUUUAAUAAAUUCAUUAUAUAAUGAAUUCUCAAAAAAUUAUUACUUGAUUGCAUGUUUAAUAUAAAUAACUUAUUAUGAUAUAUAUUUUAAAGUUAAUAUAUAAUUUCAAUAUUUAUUAUAUUUUUAAAUAUAUUUUUACAAUUUAAUUUAACUUAUUGAUAAUAUAUAUAUUGUUAAGUAAUAUUUUUUUAAAAUUGAUAUCUUACAUUACUUAAAUAUAUAUUUUUAAGUAUAUUCUACAUGACUUACAUAUUACUUACUAAAACAUAUUUUUUACUAAAAUUUACUUUAAUAUAUUACUUGAAUAUAUUACUUAAAUAAUUUACUUAAAUACAUUACUUACUAAAAUUUUUUUAAAUUUUAAAUACAUUACUUGUUUAAUAUAUUACUUACUAAAAUUUAAGUAUAUAUUACAUUCCUUACAUAACUUGUUAAAAUAUAUUAUAAUUUCAAUAUUUAUUAUAUUUUUAAAUAUAUUUUUACAAUUUAAUUUAACUUAUUAAUAAUAUAUAUAUAUUCUUAAGUAAUAAUUUUUUAAAAUUUAUAUCUUACAUUACUUAAAUGUAUAUUUUUAAGUAUAUUUUACAUGACUUACAUUACUUACUAAAACAUAUUUUUUACUAAAAUUUACUUGAAUAUAUUACUUAAAUAAUUUACUUAAAUACAUUACUUACUAAAAUUUGUUUAAAUUUUAAAUACAUUACUUAAAUAUAUAUUACUUACUAAAAUUUAAGUAUAUAUUACAUUACUUACAUAACUUGUUAAAAUAUAUUAUAAUUUCAAUAUUUAUUAUAAAUAAGAUACAUAAAAGUGACUGACUAUUAAUAUUUACUUACAUAAUUUAAUUUUGUAUUUACAAGAACUUACAUAACUUAUUAAUAUUCAAUAAACUUAUAUAACUAUCACACAUACACUUAUUAAACUUACAUAAUACAUGACUUAUAUAAAAUUCUCAAAUAAACUUACAUAAUACAUUAGUUAUAUAAUAACUUAUAUAAACUUACAUAAUACACAUUACUUACAUAGCAUACAUAACUUACAUAAUACACAACUUAAAUAGCUUACUUAAUACAUAACUUACAUAACUUAGACACGUACAUAACUUACAUAAUUUACUUAAUACAUAAAUAUAUAUCAUAUGAUAUAUAUUUAAAAAAACUCAUUUGUAGUUACCACUGAACAACUUACCCUUGUAAUUUCUGGUGAAAAUCAAACAUCAAGAAAUAAGAAAUGGACCGGUCUUGGAUGAAUUUGUCAAGGGUAAGCGACGGUUAUCGAAAUGGAGUACAGACUUUUCUAAAUUUUGCAUUUCAAUAUGCAAGCCAGGAGAACAUGAUUCUUUGCCCAUGUAAGAAGUGUGUCAACAUAAACUGGCAUUAUCGUGAAGUUGUAUACGAGUAUCUAAUUGUUGAUGGGUUUGUUCGGGGUUAUAAACAAUGGCUUUUUCAUGGAGAAUGCCCGCCUAGUACUUCCUCUUCAAGGAUGGAUGUAUCUUAUGACAGUACUACUUACCACCAGUCUGUUAGAGGGGAUGACAUGGAAGGGAUGUUGCGGGAAGCAUUUAAUAUUCACAAUCAUGGUUUACAGUCGUUCCCAGCCGACUUUGUUGCAUCUGAUGAUUGUAAUAUUGGUGGAAAUGCUUUUACCGAACCUGGAAGAAGUGUACAUCAUGAAGAGCCGAAUGGAGAAGCGGUGAAGUUCUACGCGCUACUUAAUGACAUGAAUGAAGAACUGUUUGAGGGAUCAAAAUUCUCAAAAUUAUCUUUUUGUAUUCGUCUUUUCCAGUUAAAGUGUUUGGGAGGGUGGACCGGGAACUCUUUAACAAUGCUGUUAGAGUUUUUGAGAGAGAUGUUUCCGUUUGCAAAAAUCCCUUAAUCAUGCAAAGAUAUGAAGACUAUGAUAAAAGACUUAGGUCUUGGGUACACCAAAAUCCAUAGUUGCCUGAAUGACUGCAUGUUGUAUUGGGGCGAUCGAAGAAACCAGUAGUGCUGUCACAUAUACGGCCAAUCACGUUGGAUAAAUAGAAACACAGAAGAUAGGAACGACGAUGAAAAUGAUGCACAGCCAAGAAAGAAGCCGGUCAAGAUUUUACGGUAUUUUUCGCUCAUACCAAGGGUUCAAAGGCUUUUCAUGUCGUCGAAGAUAGCGGAGUCUAUGACGUAGCACCAUGAUGGACGAACCGAUGAUGGGAAGAUGAGGCAUCCGGCAGAUUCUUUAGCUUGGAAAUCAUUUGACAAUAAAUUUCCAAGCUUUGCAAGUGAUCCUAGGAGUGUAAGGCUUGGCUUAGCAUCUGAUGGAUUUAAUCCGUACAAGAUCAUGAGUACUGCGUACAGUACUUGGCCAGUAGUGCUUGUUCCUUACAAUCUGCCUCCGUGGAUUUGCAUGAAGCAAUCUUCCCUUAUCUUAUCUAUGAUUAUCCCUGGAGAGAAAGGGCCCGGGAAUGAUAUCGACAUUUAUCUACAGCCACUUAUUGAAGAGUUAAAACAAUUGUGGACUGGUGUCGAGACAUACGAUGUGCUGAGAAAGGAGAACUUUAAUUUACGUGCAGCUUUGAUGUAGACCAUUAAUGACUUUCCCGCUUAUGCCAAUUUAUCUGGUUGGAGUACCAAGGGUCGUUAUGCGUGUCCUUGUUGUGCUGCACAAACAUGUUCGCAAUGGUUGUACAAUGGGAAGAAGUUCUCUUACAUGGGGCACCGUUGGUGGUUACCGAAAAAUCAUAGAUUUAGAUUUCAGAGUUCUGUAUUUGACGGCACUGAAGAGUUCAGAGAAGCUCAUUCGCAGACCAGUGGCUCUGAAAUCUUGUUCAUGUUGGAAUAUAUGAAUUUCAUUUAUGGGAAGAUGAACCAACCGUCAGACACGCAAAGAAAUAGAAGAUCCAAUGAUGAAGCUGAUGAUGACUCUGAUGAAGAGGACGAUCCUAAUGAGGCGGACUUGUGGAAAAAAAGAAGUAUUUUUUUUGAGUUGCCUUAUUGGGAGCAUCACCUUCUACGACACAAUCUUGAUGUUAUGCACCUUGAGAAAAAUGUCUGCGAGAACAUUGUGGGUACAGUUUUGAAUGUCGACGGAAAAUCAAAAGACAAUCUUCAAAGUCGACUUGAUUUAGUCCAAAUGGGAAUCUGACCUGAUCUUCAUCCCAAUCCACUUCCGAAUGGGAAAUAUCGGUUGUCACCUUCUAUAUUUUCAAUGUCCAAGACGGAAAAAGAAGUGUUCUGCAAGGUGUUGAAGGAUAUAAAGGUUCCAGAUGCGUAUGCAUCGAAUAUAUCUCGAUGUGUUAGUGUUAAAGAUCGAAGAUUAUAUUCGCUAAAAUCACAUGACUAUCACAUCUUGAUGCAAGAUUUACUGCCAGUGGCUCUACGAUGUUGUAUGUCCAAGAAGGUGACGUCUUGUAUAAUUGAACUAUCCAACAUAAUGAAAGCCAUUUGUGGUAAAGUUUUGGACGUUCAAGAACUUCAGAAGGUACAGGAUCGAGCCGCUUUGACUUUAUGCAACCUGGAGAAAAUCUUCCCACCUUCCUUCUUCACUGUUAUGGUUCACUUGAUAAUCCAUCUCCCGCACGAAGCAAUUCUUGGCGGACCCGUUUUCUAUCGAUGGAUGUAUCCCAUAGAAAGGUGUUAAUUAAAAAAGUAUAAGUUUUCCUUCAUUCACCUCUAUGCCUUUACUUUCAAUAAUUAAGAAAUGUUGUAUAUUCUGUUUAGGUUUCUAUCCAAAUUAAAGUNNNNNNNNNNNNNNNNNNNNNNNNNNNNNNNNNNNNNNNNNNNNNNNNNNNNNNNNNNNNNNNNNNNNNNNNNNNNNNNNNNNNNNNNNNNNNNNNNNNNNNNNNNNNNNNNNNNNNNNNNNNNNNNNNNNNNNNNNNNNNNNNNNNNNNNNNNNNNNNNNNNNNNNNNNNNNNNNNNNNNNNNNNNNNNNNNNNNNNNNNNNNNNNNNNNNNNNNNNNNNNNNNNNNNNNNNNNNNNNNNNNNNNNNNNNNNNNNNNNNNNNNNNNNNNNNNNNNNNNNNNNNNNNNNNNNNNNNNNNNNNNNNNNNNNNNNNNNNNNNNNNNNNNNNNNNNNNNNNNNNNNNNNNNNNNNNNNNNNNNNNNNNNNNNNNNNNNNNNNNNNNNNNNNNNNNNNNNNNNNNNNNNNNNNNNNNNNNNNNNNNNNNNNNNNNNNNNNNNNNNNNNNNNNNNNNAUCUUUUUAUGAAUGGUUAAGCCAAACGGUAUGCAGUUCGAGCUUCCGCUUACAAAUAAUAAUGUUUUCUCAUAACAUUUUUAAUUACUCAGUUUACUUUCCAUUCAAUAGGUUUGGAGUGGGAAGAACGUAAACGACGAUGUUAAAUGGCUCUCCCAAGGUCCAAAUCGAGUGGUUAAAAGAUAUAGUGCGUUCCUCAUCAACGGAUUCAGAUUUCAUACAAAAUAUCACGAGAGGUUGAGGAGAACGCAAAAUUGUGGAAUAGUUGUCAAUUCUGCAAUUACAAGUUAUGCUAGUGCUAGGGACAAUAAUCUUGUCGAGGGAAAUGUGGAAUAUUUCAGACAUCUUACUGACAUAAUUGAGUUGGAUUACUACGGCAAAUGGAAAGUUGUCUUAUUUCGUGGUGAUUGGGCCGAUGUUAAUACAGCUCGUGGAAUUAAGCAAGAUCAAUUUGGUUUUACAAUGGUGAACUUUGACCUAUUGAUUCACACAGGACAACAACUGAUAAAUGAGCCGUAUGUAUUCCCAUCUCAAGUCAAACAAGGUUUUUACUCAAAAGAUCCAACUGAUGAGGGUUGGUACGUUGUACUCUAUAACAUCCCUAGAGACUUGUUUGACAUGGGCAGUGGAACUAGAGAUAACAUCGACAACAGAUCAGUAACUUUGCCCUUUCCAGAACAAAACUUAAACGAUAAUAUCCCUAGUACUAGUGCACAAUUUCAAUGGGUUCGUCAGGAUACCGAUGCAGAUAUUUACGAAUAAUGAUGUAGUAAGAUUUUACGAUUGUUUAAUUAUAUGUAAUAUCAUAAUUUAAAUCUUGGUCUUAUUAUAUAUUUCAACUAUUUUAUAUGUGCUGUUAUUGUUGUAAUUAGUUAUCCCGUUGUCAACUAUUUUAUGUGUAUUGCAGAUAAAAUGCCUAGAAGAAAAAUUCUAAGGGGAAGCAUUGUUCAAAAUAAUCCAAACUCGACAGAAACAAAUAGUACUGAACAACAGACAGCAGUUGGAUCUUCGAAUGCUCCGAUUACAGCUGAGGAUCCUACAGAAGUUCAAAGUAAGUUUACAUUUAAUUUACAUGCGUGUUGACUUAUAGUUGAUUUAUUUUUCAAAUUCUUAUGUUAUAAUAUACCAUUUGUAGCUGAAAAUGGUGGGACGCGCAGAGGUCGAGGACAUACGCUACUUAGAGAGUUAUAUGAGUUAGAUCCAGUCGAGCGUGUCAAAGUUGGACGAAACAGUUUUGGUCAACCUGUUGGAUCAGAAGCUCGACUUUUAGCAGGAUACAUGGGCAUUUUAGCACGAAAUCCGAAUAUGUUGCCUAUCAACUACGAGUCAUGGCAUCAAAUGCCCGAUAGCAACAAAAACCAAGCCCUCGAUAAUAUUAAGGUAACAAAAUAUUAAUGCCAUCUGUAAUGCUUGGGAAAUAGUUUCAUUUAUAUUUACUUUAUUAACUUGUGUUUUUUGUUUUUUGUAGGUGAGGUUUGCUUUAGAGGUCUCGGAUGAUUACGUAAAGAAGGCAUUGGGAAAAAUAUGGAGAGACAAUAAAAGUACUUUGAAGAAAAAUUAUUAUAAAACAAAAACAACCCUCGAUGAGAAAUUGCAAAAUGUCCCGCCGGGUAUGUUGAGGUACCAAUGGGAAGAUGCGGUUAGAUUUUGGCAUUCGAAGAAAGGCGAGGUAUGACGUACUUCCAAACUAUUGUAAUUAUUUUGGUUUAUAGUAUUUUCUAUUUACGUACUAAAAUUUUGAUAAUGUAGGAUCAUGAAAAAGUUGGAAAAAGCAGCAGGCAGAAACAAAAAUUCACCCACACAGCCGGGUCAAGAAGUUUUGCAUGUGUAGCUGAGGCGGAGGUAUUUUUAAUUUAUUUAAUAUUGUCGAAUAUGUAUAACAUUCUAUUAAAUAAUAUUUAUACUACCAUAUUGUAGGAACUGUCGUCCGGUCAAAAAGUUGGACGCCUUCAACUUUUUGAAAUUACACAUAGGAAGAAAGAUGGAUCUCCCAUGACUCCUGAAGCCGGUGAAAUAAUGGUACGUUUACUUAAUACGAUUUGACUUAUUUUAGUUAUUUUUAGUGUUUAUUUUCUAAUGGUUUAAUUCAUUGCUUGUAAUGCGACUAUUGUUAUGUUGCAUAUGUUUUUUAAUAUAUAAUAUUGCGUUCCUAACUAUGUGAUUUAUUUAUUAGGAAAAACUAAAGGAUAAAAAGGCGGAGUACGAAGCGAUUGCUUCUAGUGAUAGUUCUAUUCAUCUUGAAGACAUUGAUAACCGAAUUAUUACUGAAGUUUUGGGUCCUGAAAGGUAUGGUCGGGUUCGAUUUCAAGGAUCUUUUGUUAGCCCAACCCAAUAUUUUGGAUCCAGCUCCCACCAAUACAUGGCUUCGGGGAGUCAGGCUCAAGCUGAAGUUCAGAGGUUGAAAGACCAGAUGGCUGAGAUGCAAGCGACCACAGUUGAGGUUCAAAGGAAAUAUGAAGAACUCCAGCUACAACUUAAAGCAGAGGCGGCAGCGAGGGAAGCAGAGGCCGCAGCGAGGGAAGCAGAGGCUGCAGCCAGACAAGCAGAGCAGACCAAAAAGUACGACGAACUCCAGCAACAGCUUCAGACUGUGAUGAAGAUGUUUCAGUCGUAACUUCCGCCUUCAUAGUGUAUGACAUAAAUAUUUUUAUCAUUUUAACAUUUAAAAUUUUUGCAAAAAUACUAUGAAUUCACUUUUAUUUAUUGAUAUUAAUAUUAUAUAAAUUCACUGUGAUGAAUUCACUUUUAGCGGCGUUUUUUUUCUAAGCGCUGCUAAAGAACAUGGUCUUUACCGGCGUUUUUGUUUGUAAACGCUGCAAACGUUUGCGACGUUUUCGUUAGCGGCCUUUUUUGCGGCGCUUAGUGGCGUUAAAAAGCGCCGCUAAAGGCCUAAAAAAACGCCGCUAAAGACCUGUUUUGGUGUAGUGGAAGAAAGAAAAAGAAAGAAAGAAAAGGAAAGGAGAAGAAAGAAAAAAAAAAAGGAGAAGAAGAGGGAAGGAAGGAAAAAGAAAGGAAAAAAGAAGUAAAGGUAAUUUUUUUGUAUUAAUUUUUUUUUGUAAUAUUUGUGUAAAAAAUGUAUGUGUUUUAUUAUUUUAUUUAGAAUAUAUAUUUUAUGAAAUUUAUUUAGCAUGAAAAAAUCCAUGUUAUAUACAUUCUAUGUUGAUUAGAAUUUUUUUUGUGAAAUUUAUUUAGGAUGUUGUAAUUAGUUUUUUUUAGGAAAAUAGCAUUAAAAAUAAAAUUAUAAAAAAAUAUGUUUAAGAAAACAUAAAAUACGAAAAGAAAAAAAACGGAAAUUGUAUAUUCAACGAAAGUAAUAAAAUCCGAAAAAAAUUGUAUAUUUAAAAAACACACUAAAUUAAUAAAUUUCAAACAUAAUGUACUAAAAUAAUGUAAAAUAAUAAAAUUAAAAAAUAUGAUUUUUUUAAAGUAAUAAAACACGGGAGAAAAAUACGAACAAAGGGCCGAAGUAGGGGUUUUUUACUAAAUUUUAAAAAAAUAAAAAAAAAAUUAAUACAUUUCAAACAUAAUGUACUAAAAUAAUGUAAAAAAUAAAAUACAAAAAUAAUAUAUUUUAUUAAAAGUAAAAAUAGGGAAAAAAAAUACGAGCAAAUGGCCGAAAUAAGGUUUUUUUUAAAUUUAUUUAAAAACACAUUAAAUUUAUUUAAAUUUCAAACAUAAUGUACUAAAAUAAUUUAAAAUAAUAAAAUUAGAAAAUAUGAUAUAUUUUAAAGUAAUAAAAUUCGGGAAAAAAUACGAACAAAGGGCUAAAAUAAGGGUUUUUUAUUAAAUUAAAAAAAGAAAUAAUUAAUACAUUUCAAGCAUAAUGUACUAAGAUAAAUUAAAAUAAUAAAAUAUGAAAAUAAUAUAUUUUUAUUGAAAGUAAUAAAAAUCGGGAAAAAAUAUGAGCAAAGGGCCGAAAUAAGGGUUUUUUAAUUUAUUUAAGAAACACACUAAAUUUAUUUAAAUUUAAAACAUAAUGUACUAAAAUAAUAUAAAAUAAUAAAAUUAUAAAAUAUAAUAUUUUUUUAAAGUAAUCAAAUUCGGGAAAAAAAUACGAACAAAGGGCCGAAAUAAGGAUUUUUUACUAAAUUUUUUUAAAAAAGAAUUAAUUAAUACAUUUAAAACAUAAUGUACUAAGAUAAAGUAAAAUAAUAAAAUACAAAAAUAAUAUAUUUUUAUUUAAAGUAAUAAAAUUCGGGAAAAAGUUCCGAGCAAAGGGCCAAAAUAACGGUUUUUUUUAAAUUUAUUUAAAAAACACACUAAAUUUAUUUAAAUUUCAAACAUAAUGUACUAAAAUAAUGUAAAAUAAUAAAAUUAGAAAAUAUGAUAUUUUUUUUAAAGUAAUAAAAUUCGAGCAAAAAAUACGAACAAAGGGCCGAAAUAAGGGUUUUUUUAAAUUUAUUUAAAAAACACACUAAAUUUAUUUAAAUUUCAAACAUAAUGUACUAAAAUAAUUUAAAAUAAUAAAAUUAGAAAAUAUGAUAUUUUUUAAAGUAACAAAAUUCGGGAAAAAAUACGAACAAAUGGCCGAAAUAAGGUUCGUUUACUAAUUUUUUUUUGAAGUUGCAGGCAUCGCAAUGGCUUCAUUGAUUAGCAGGGAUACACACAUCUGAUGCGGCUAAUGAGAUGGUAAUAUAUUAUUAUUUGUUAAUCACGGGUUCUAUUAAAAAAGGAUAUAAGUAAUAUAUAGAAAUAAAUCAUGGUAUCCUAAUUGUUUCUGUAAUUUAACACUAUCAGGACUCGUAUCGAGUAAUAAGGGGUCGGGUGAAUGGUUUAAAGCAUCCCCCGAAUUCACUAUUGAUGUCGUACUUGGAGCAAGCCUGAUUUGGGUCAGCAGCAUUGAUCCGGACGUUCGACUUGCGGUAUGAUUUAUUAUCUGCGAUAGUGGAGCGGUGGCGCCCGGACACCCACACUUUUCAUUUUCUGUGUGGGGAGUGCACGGUGACCUUAGAGGAUGUUACGCUGCAGCUUGGACUCCCAAUCGACGGAAGUCCCGUAAAGAGAGUAAGUUCAUUUACUGAUCCAGCUGCACUAUGUAAUCAGCUAAUAGAAGACUCGCCAAACGACGAUGACGAAAAUUUUACGAGCUUGAAAUUUACAUGGCUGAAAGCCAAAUUUGGACAGUUAUCAACGAAUGCCACUGAAGGUGAGUUGAUGUGCACUGCUCGAGCGUACAUCAUGCAUAUCCUAGGGGGAGUACUGAUGCCCGAUGCAAACAACAACAAGGUGCAUAUGAUGUACUUGCCCCUAUUAGCUGAUUUGUCCAAUGUUCGCUCGUAUAGCUGGGGCUCCGCCGUUCUAGCAGUGUUAUAUCGGAAGCUUUGUCGGACGACAAAGCCUUCUGUUGUAGACAUGGGCGGAUGCCUUACAUUGCUGCUGUCCUGAGCGCUCCAUCGGAUGCCAUUUUUGGCAUCGGUUACUCACCAACCGUAUGUUUAUCCACUAGUGAACAGGUGAUAAAAUAUAGCUUGUCAUUAUUUGUAGUCAUAGUAUAUUGAAUGAUGUUACCAACCCUAAACCCUAUAUUUCUUUUUGUAGGUGAAGUAUUUAUCCGGGUAUUGGGAGGUCGCACACUAUCCCGAUAUACCGACUCAUGAUCAAAUAGCAUGCCGGGAAAGGGGUAAGCUAUUCUAAUAUUAGUCUAUUUACCUUACUCACACCGUGUUAAAUUUAUAUGGAUGCCAUAUAUGGAUGCAGUUUAUAUGGAUGCCAUAUCGUCGCCCGAAAAUUACAGCUGUGAUACCCUCGUCUGCACACGUUCAUUCUGAAAUGUGGUGCACUAAUGCACCAAUUAUAAAUUUCAAUGUAGUCGAGUGGUAUCACGGGGAUCGGGUGCUACGACAGUUUGGUUGCAUCCAAUAUAUAUCCUGGAUCCACCAUGCGAGGUGGGGGCGGUUCACGGCAUGAAUAGGAGAGGAAAACCACAGUUGGAUUGGGGGUUAAGCACUAAAAAUUUAUUGCGCUGUGGAACGAUCGGAUAGUUCGAAGACCUCAGAUGGUUUUGGCAUAUUCAUUGCAACCAUUAUUAGAGUACAUACAAUGGUACUAUAAUUGCGGAAAGCAAUAUAUACUUGGAGGCCAGUCGACUGUAGCCCCCCGCACAUGCAGCUACCUGGGGGAUCGUGAUCCUGAACCAGAUCCCGAGCCGUAGCCCGAGCCAGAUCCCGAGCAGUCACAUUCACAUAGGGAUUCACAAUCCUAUCAUCCGAAUUUGGUGGGCGAUGAGUAUAUUCCGAGCUUCUUAGGGGGUGAAUACGCAUACGAGUUUGAUCUCUUUGGAUCCUACCCGCCGCAGUACGACACUCCCAGCCCGUACCUACAGCAUCAUGGGACUUCUUUAGGUUCAAGUUCAUCGAUGCCGAUUGAGCCACAUGAUUUUUCUUCUAUGUUUACCAUACCCCCUGCGCCAAAUGAGGACGUUGGUCGUCGCCAACACCCAGAACGUGACCGUCGACCUCCGCAUAGGUAUACCCCUAGGACCACACCAUCAAACCCUCAGUUCUAAGGGUUUAUUGCACUUUUUUGUACAUUACAAAGUUUGUACUUAUUGUAUAAAUUUAAUUACUUAAUUUAUUACACUUUUUAUAACUUAAAUUGGAUACAAUUUAAGCAUAAGCAUAAGCUGAAUAAUUUUAAUUAUUCCAAAUGAAUCAUGUUUUUAAUACCUUAAUUUGGAUACAAUUUAAGCAUAAGUAUAAGUUGAAUAAUUUUAAUUAUUCCAAAUGAAUUAUACUUUUUACAACAUUAGGUCAAUUCUGACCCGAUCCUGAUGACUGUCCGACAUGAUAGUUUCGCUGAGGGCAUUUAUUUUGACUAUGACCACUUAACCUGCAUAAUCCACAACGCUUACCGUCGAAUUUCUCCCUAAUGUCCAUUUCAUUAUGGAUUCUGGUUGAUUGCGAACGACCUCUUGGAUUCCUGCGUAGCCCUCUGUCUAGGAUAAACUUGAAAGUCGUUAGAGGCAACUCUCACGUAGACAGGUCAGGCAAGACGGGGAACUCAUUUUCCUAGACACGUAAUGUGCGCUCGAGCGUGUACACAUCAUCGACAUAUUUUUCAACAUUAAGGUUCACUUUAGCACACGCUGCCACGACAUGCGCACAUGGAUAAUGAAGUGUUUCGAACUCCUGCACUCGCACCUUCUGUUCCAGAUAUCAACUCCAUAAGACCUAGGUGGUAUACCAGGUCGACGACCGAUGGUCUCAGUAACUCGAAACGUUUCCAGACGUCGUGAAUAUAUUUCUACAUUCAUGGACCUCGCCAUCCGACGGUUUGCAACCAUUGCAUCCCUGACAUCUUCGACAAACACAUGUCCUGCCUCCAUCUAGUCAACUUGUUGCUGACUCAUUCUUGGCAUCAAGGUAGCCAACCUGUAGAAUAUAGCAGAGAAGACAGAUGCAAUCGGAUGAUGACGUGUUUUUAACAAUACAUCGUUUACCCCCUCCACUAAGUUUGUGGUCAUUUUUCCAUAACGAAAGCCCUCGUCAAAACAUUAAGCCCAUUGCCAACCCAGAAAGAUGUGUUUAUUUGCCCCUCUAUGUCACUCUCAAGUCGAAUCAUGCUUUGGCGGAAAAUAUGUGGCUCUAACUCGUACGCUGUAUAUAGGGGUGAGCAUUCGAUCGAAUCAAAUCGAAUCGAAUCGAAAAUUUUCGAGUUAAUCGAGUUUUCGAAUAUCAUUUUAUCAUCCUAACUUUAUUUGAAGUUUUAUCGAAUCGAAUCGAGUGAGAUGGAGAUCGAAUCGAAUCGAAUUAUUUGUUCGAGUUAAGUUUAAAAAUAAAAUAAAAUUAUUGUUGUUUAUUUUUAUGUAAUUUUUUAAAAAAUAAUUUUCUUUAAAGUUUUUAAACAUAAUCAUACAACAAAAAAUUGAAGUAAAUAAGUGAAUAAAUAAAAGUAACACAACAUCAACCCAAAUAAACAACAUGAUUCCAAAUAAACAACAAAAAUAAUACAAAAAGAUUAUAAUAAAAAACAUACGUAAAAAUCCAAGUAAAUAGCAUGAGUCAAAAUAAACUAAAUUAGAAAGAACAACAAUAAAUCUGCAGCUUCAAAAUGAUGGCUAUAGUUUGAUGAUGAUUGGUGCAUACAAAAAUAAUUGACUGCAAACUUAAGAACUAAAAGAUUCUUAUUUUUUGUGUUGGUUAUGUUUAGUACCAGAGAUGAUAUCAGUUCUUUCUCACCACCCCCACAAGAAAAGCUUAAGAACUAAACAAUAAGUAGUGAAAAUAAAAGGGAAUUCCACUCUCUCCCUGCAAACUUAAAGAAAACUCAAGCCUGCUCUGCUUUGAUAUACCUUAGAAAUCAAAAAAAUGGAAAAACAGUAGCUCUACUGAACUUUGUAACUAGUUGUUAAAACAGUGUUUUAAUGUUCAAAUAGUUAUUUAUAAGCACUUGAUUAGGUAAAAAAUGCCAAAUACAAAGAUGUGAAAUAUGUAUAGAAAUGAUAUUAAAUACACAAUUGAAAACUGCUCCCACUUUCCAUUACGUGUGGCCUAAGUUCUCAAAUUCCACAGAUAAUAUAGAUGGUAUUGCCCUAGGGUUUAUGAAUUAAAAUUGAAAAACAACCUAUCACAAAAUGAAGAUGAAAAUCAUGAACACACACACAUAUACAAACCUCCUAAAUUCAAUCACUAAAAUAGUAAAGUCCAUAGCUAGAAUGAACUAAAGAAAAAAAGAUUAAAAAAGAACCCUCUGAUAUCUACUUAAAAUCCCAUUUUUUCAUGGAAAGAAGUAACAAAUAAUAAUUAUUAAAAAUAACCCUUCAAUAUCUAUUUAAAUCCCAUUUUCCCCCAUGAAACAAAACACCCAAUGAUCAUUCAAUCAAAAGAAAUACGAAAUAAAACAAGAAUUAACACCAAGAGAGAAACAAAAAAAGGGGUAUAGAGGUAUACCUUAUGUGAAGAAUCUCAGAUCCUGAAAGCCUGAAUCCAAAAACAAACAGCAAAAAANNNNNNNNNNNNNNNNNNNNNNNNNNNNNNNNNNNNNNNNNNNNNNNNNNNNNNNNNNNNNNNNNNNNNNNNNNNNNNNNNNNNNNNNNNNNNNNNNNNNAAUAGGUUUAAGUUCAGGAAAGAAGAAACCUGUGGCAAAAGAAAGGUAUUUUGGGUGAUGGGUUUAAAGGAACUGAUUUUGCUUUGUUAAGUAGAGCUACUGUUUUUCCAUUUUCUUAAGAUUAUACUUGGGUUGUUUUCAGGCUUUGGUUUAUUUUUGUAUUGUUAUGGGGAAGAAAAGAUAUUACCAAACUGAACAUGUUAAAGAAAAUACAGUGUAAGGAAAGGAAUAAAAGUUAAUAUACCUUAGAAAUCCAAGGUAGAAGACGUAAAAGCACUGGCGGUGGAGCAGUCAGCCGUGGAGGACCCUGGACUGGAGGUGGAUCGGUGGAGAAGGGUGGACGGAGGUGAAGAUUUUUGAAUUGGGAAAAAAGGGAGGAGGGAGGGCACGAGCUUAGUUAGGGAUUUUGGAAGUGAUUUUGUUUUAAAUGUAGUGUAUUUUAAAAAUAAAAAAUAUAUGUAGUAUAUUUUAAAAAUAAAAAAUAUAGUUUUUAUUCGAAUUAUUCGAAUUAUUCGAGUUAUUCGAAUUCGAAAAUUCAACUCGAUUCGAACUCGAAAUUCGAAAGAAAAAAUUUGAAUUGAUUCGAUUAAUUCGAUUAACUCGAUUCGAAUAAUUCGAAAUUCGAAUUUUUUUCGAUUUUUUCGAAUCGAAUCGAAUUUUGCUCACCCCUAGCUGUAUACGUAUUAAGAAAAAAUAAGUUCCAGUAACUCGAUAACAUAAAACAUUACAACUUAUAUUGAAAAGAUAAGUUUAUCAUUUAGCCAUUGCCACGACUUGUCUCUUCCAGUCUGCAUUCUUAUAAUCUUUAUGGAAGUUGGACGCAAUGUGAUGGAUGCCGUAAAUGGAUCUCUAUGGCACACCUAAACGCCUAAUUGCUACAAUUAAACCUUUCCCUCUAUCGGAGAUGAUGCAAAUGUUAUCGUUGCUAAUAACAUACCUCCACAGGUUAGUGAGGAAGAAUUCCCAAGAUUUCAAGUUCUCCUUAUCUACGAUGGCAAAUGCUAUUGGGAGCAUGUUUCUAUUACCGUCCUGAGCAACUGCAAGAAGUAGGAUCUGUGUAUAUUUUCCAUAUAGCCUGGUCCCAUCCACCUGCACAAGUAGCUUGUAGUAGGGAAAUGCCCGCACACAUGAAUCAAAUGUCUAGAACAUCUGAUGGAAAAUCUUUUUUCCCUACUGUAACUGGUCGUCCGGGCCGUAAUAAGGCUUUGUCUGUAACUCAAUCACAGUCCCCAGUACGUACUCCCGCAUAGUAGCUAUCCAUCCUUGUAGCUCGUUAUACGACGAAUCAUAAUUCCCAUACAAUUGCUCCAAUGCCAUCUGUUUAGCUAUCCACGUCUUUCGAUAUGAUACUCGAUAUUGGAAUCGUGCUUGCAUUUUGGCAAUCAGCACCGAAACUUUAAUGGUCAGCAUGUCCUUCACCAUUGGCAUGAUACACAUAUAGAUAGUUUUCGAAUCAAGUUUUCCAUGAUCUUCUGUCAUACGUGUUGAUGUGCAUGUAUGAGGACCAACAAAUUAAGAAAUUGAAAGGAAUUUUCAAAAUGAAAGAAACUGGGGGAGGUGAGGAAGGAAGAAACAUAGAAAUAAAAAUUGUUUCCAAAGGGGAGGGGCUAACCAGAAAUAGGGGAUCGAAGAAAAUACUUCUUCUUCCCUUUUUUCGGAGGAAAAGGUGGGUCCAAGUAAAAUCGAUGAAACAGAAAAACUACGAGUAACUAGAAAGAAAAAAAAUAAAAUUAAGAGUGAACUCAACUUUCGUUUUAAAGAGACAUACUAUAAAAAUAGACCAGUUUAUGAAACUUUUUAUCUGGAUGAGAAUUAAAAAAAAUUGAAGUUAGAAAUAAAAAAAAGAUAAAUAUUUAUAGUAUGGGAUUAUGUGAAUACAAAAUUUGAAAUUAUUUAAUUUUUCAAGAUUCAUGAUUCUCCGUCUCAACAACAUCGUUUUUAAAAAUUCAUGUAUAAAUUCUCUCUCAAAAUGUGAUAUAACUUAUCACGGCAUCCCGUAUUUAUUAGUAUCUUUAAUUAAUAUUUAAUAUUUAUAAACACUAUUUAAGAAAAAAACCAAAUAAUAAUAAUAAUAAUAAUAAUAGUAAUAAUAAUAAUAAUAAGGGUCUCAAUCAUACCAUUUGUGGAAUGACUGUCUUUUUACUAGUAGACAGUGGCACAUUAAGCCUCUCCCAUCAUUCAUGGCAAUGCACUAACUAGCUUAAAAGCUAAAAAACCAAGAGCAGUCACAUUAUUAAAAUUUCAUUUAAUAAUUUAAUUGAUUUAUUGAGUCACUUAUAAAAAUUAUAUAAUUUUCUUUCAUUUUCAAACUAAAGACUCUUUUAAAUAAAAGAAAUAAUUGAUUUUUUAUUUGAAUAAUGAAAAUUUUUAAAUGAGAAAAAUAUAUCAAUUAUUUGAUUUUAUUGUUCUAGAAAGCAUGUAAAAUAAUUUGUGUUUAACAAUUCAAUUUUUCUUUUUAUAUAAUACUUGAAACUAUCCAUAAUUUCUUCUCAAUCGUAAAUAAGAGGACAAAUGCGCUUAAACUCACGUCCUCCUAUUCUGACAAUAAUACCAGUACCAAAUGGACAAUUCAAUUUAAAGACGAAAAUAAAUUUUAAUAAUUCACGUACUUGAAUAAUUUUUUUUAACAUUUCCAUAUUUAAAAUAUUAUAUAUAUAUAUUAAUCAUGUUAAUUAAUAGUUCAUAUUUUAUGCUAUACUUUAAUUAUUUAUGCAAGGUUUAUAUAGUAUAAUUGUAUCUAUCGAGGUGGAUUCUCGUUAGGGCCUAGAAGUUUCUAAAAAUUUUAUUUAAAUCUAUUAAAAUUUUUGAAGAUUUUCACUAAAAUUUGUUGUUCCUCAUACAUGCACAUCAACACGUAUGACAGAAGAUCAUGGAAAACUUGAUUCGAAAACUAUCUAUACGUGUAUCAUGCCAAUGGUGAAGGACAUGCCGACCAUUAAAGUUUCGGUACAGAUUGCCGAAAUGCAAGCACGAUUCCAGUAUCGAAUAUCAUAUCGAAAGGCGUGGAUAGCUAAACAGAUGACAUUGGAGUAAUUGUAUGGGGAUUAUGAUUCGUCGUAUAAGGAGAUUGUAAUAAGCCCAAUUUACCCGGGCCCUUACAAAACAAAAAAUAAGCAGUCUAAGUUUUUACAGGCCCAAACCCCAACAGCCCACUAACUAAAUUCCAACAGGAACCCUAGCAGCAUACAACCUUCAACCCUAGCCGCCGCACAUCAGCCCCGCACCACCACCCUUUGCGCACGUACGUGUCCCACGUACAUCUCCAGUUGGCCGAAUCUGCGCAACAAACGGCAAAACAGACGCAAAGAACAAGUAAACGAAAGAGAAAAACGCAAAAAAAAGAGAGAAUAACGGAAAUACAACUGCGUUGUGUUAUUUCUUUGAUUUUUCUUCAUCUUUCGACUAUAAAAAGUCGAGGAAAAUCUGUAAAAAGGAGGGGGAUUUCACGAAUCAAAUAAAAAACAGAAAAGAAAUUGAUAUCAAGAAGAGAUUUUAGAUUGAAGAUAGAUAUUUGUUUUUUUUUUCUCUUUUUUUUUGUUUUGACUUUUUUUAAAAAAAACUAGUAAGUAAUAAGAAAAAGAAAGGAAAGGACUUACCGGAGGUCCGUGGUCUUCUCGUUGGCCAAAGAUUGCCGUCCUUGGCGGAGCAGUGGCGAAGGAGCGGCGGCACGGCGACAUAAAGAUGCUAGGGUCAAAACCCUAGCAGAGAGAAAGGGGGCAACGGUUUUUUUGUUGUUUUAGAAAGUGGGCUGUCAAAUGAUUUUUAAAACAGAAAAUUUUGUUUAAAUAAUAAGGCAAUACGGUGUCGUUUCAUUAGGCCCCCUAGACGCCCAAAACGGCGUCGUUUUGGGGGCCAACCCAUGCACCGACCCGAUCUGGUCCCAAAUCCGCGUGUUUUGUAGCAUGGGGGAAUUUGCGCAAUUGGUCCCCCUAUUUUUGCAGUGUGUUUAAAUUAAAUUUCUGAUUUCUUUUAAAUUUCACUGCACAUUCUAUUUUUACUUCAAAUCAGUCCCUAUUACUGUGCAGCGUUUUAGGGAGGCGGAUUAUUUCUCUUUUGGUCCUCCACCCUUGCGCGCGCAUUCAAUGUGAUCCUGUUUUCAAAUUUACUUCGAAUUUAGUUUUUUUUAAGUUCAAUUUAACCCUUUUAUAAACUAUUUUAUUCAUUUUUUAUAAUUAUGUUAUACUAUGACAUUAUUAUUAUUAUUAUUAUUAUUAUUAUUAUUAUUAUUAUUAUUAUAUACGCUUGUUUUAAAAUAAUACAUAUACAUUUUUUUUAAAAAGCUUUUAAUACAUACAUAUAUUUUUGUAUAUACAAACAUUUUUUUUUACUUUUUUAAAUAUGAAUAUACGUAUUUUUUAUAUUAUCCUUCAUAGAUUUUUUUACAAACGUAUGUAUAUAUGUAUACCUACAUAUUUUAAUACAUAUUUUAAUACAUUCAUUUUCUAUAGUAUAAAUAUAUAUGUUUUUUGUUUUAAAUUAUUAUAAACAUUUUUAUUAUUUUAUAUAUGCUCCAUUAUUUUAUAUACAUAUUGUACAUAUUUUUAUAUUUUUACUUUAUUUACACAAUUCUCAUAUACAUAUAUGCAUGCAUUUUUAGAAAUUAUUAUAAGUUUUUAUGUAUUUCAUUCCCUUUUUAUAUGUAUACUUAUAUAUGUGUUUUAUAUAUGCAUUAACAUUUUAGCAUGUUUUUAAAGAAAAUAUAUUUUGGUUUCGUCAAAGCAUUAAAAUCGUUUUAUUUUUCUUAAUUUUUUUUAAAUAUUUGGCAAUCGUGAUUCUCGAGAAAGAUCGUGUCCUAACUUACUGGAUUGCGAUUAUUUUUUUUGAUGAAUUUAGAAAACCAAGUAUUUAUUUUGCAAUAAAUUCAUGAAAUUUUCAAAUAAAAGCUUAUUCUCAAGAAUCCAAAAAUGUCGGGUCCUAACUUACUGGUCAUGACAUUCUGGCAUCUCGAAAUAAGAAUUUUCAAAAGCAAAAGGCAAUAUUCUGGUAUUUUGAAGAUUUAAAAAUAUUGUGCCCUAACUCAUUGGGUGUGGUGUUUUAUUUCUUUGAAAUAAGAAUGUCUUAUUAUUUUGAUUCAUUCAUGAGAUAAAAAGUUUCCUUUUAAAAUCUUUUCAAUUUUUCAACACCAAGACAUUAAAGAAUCAAUUUGGUACCAAUUUUGGGGAGUUACGAGGGUGCUAAUCCUUCCUCAUGCGUAACUGACUCCCGGACUCAUUUUCUUAAAUUUCGUAGACCAGAAUCAUUUUAAGGUGAGCCGAUCACACCUUAAUAAAGGAUCGAUGGCGUCUCCAGUUUUUGUUUUUUUUAAGUCGACAACUAAAAUUUUUGUUUACAAAAAAUGGUUUCGACAGCUUGGCGACUCCGCUGGGGACACUAGAGAGUCGAGCUAGAAAUUGAUUCAUUUUUGUCUUGUGAUCAAAAAAUUAAAUUUGGGUUUUAAAAUCAUGAUUUCCCUUCGCAUUCAUUGAUUUUCAUCAUGAUAUGUUUGUUCGAUUGGCCUAAGUCUGUUCGUAUUUGCAUUUUGCAUUGCAUAAGUUGGUCAAAUUUACCCUCUAAGUGGGAGCGAGAAACUAGUCCUUCGUGAGGUUUUCACCUCCGUGCAGGGUAGUGGACCGCUUCCGGGAUACAUCUGUACCUAUGUCUUCGUGAGAUUUUCAUCUCCAUGCAGCCAUAGGGAAAUGUAUCCCCCUGAACUGAACUCGAUUCAUAUGAGCCUAUAAUGGGCGAGGAUCGAGGAAUCUGCUGGUUCGGGUACCCUUACUCUAGAAACUAAACCUCAUAUAGUGAGCUUUAGGAACUUGCCCUAGGUAGAACUAUUCCAAAACCCUAGUGGAUUCUGAAAUAAGUGUUCUUGCUAUUUCAUGUUUGUAUUGGAUUAUAUCUUUAUGUGUGAUACUAACUUGGGUUUGUUUUUGUUUUGACUGCAUGGCAUUUCAUUAUAGAAAAGAGAUGUUGAUUCACGUUUGGUUGUUAAUAGAGAACUUGCCAUGAAAAACGGGUUUCUUGAUAAGGUGGAAGAUAAUAUGGUUGUUCGAGUAUAGUCUAAGAAAAUGUGACACGAAAGGUAAUAGCCUAACAAGAGGAGUAUACGACUUUGCUGCAUGACCUGAGGAUUCAAAUUGUCAAAGUUUAUUCAAAAGUCAUCAAAGGUCCUAAUCUUUUAAAGAAGCUAAUGAACGUGAGUGAGCAAGGAGUUACGACCUAGAUCAAACAAAAAGGAGCUCAAAUUCGCGAGAUGCAUCUUAAAAUCCGAAUGAUCGAUGACUUCUCUUGGAGUACGAGGGUGAAGCCGUAUAGAUAUAGCCGCUUUAUGUAAAGAGAUUUGUUUUCUAGUGAAGUUUUCUAGUAAAGAAUUGAACAUGAAUCAACGUCUCUUUUCGCAUUCAUUUCAUGCAUUUGCAUUACAUUACAUCAUAUGCAUCAAACACCUCUAAAUGAUCCUAAUUAAUUAAAAUCACUGCUCAGUUAACCUGGAAACCAACCAACCAAUCAAACACCAUUAUGGCACUCGAGCAAAGAUUAAAGACAUGGAUCAGAGAUUGGAAAAGCUCGAACAGCACCAGAAAGAAAUGCAAGACCAACUCCAGUUACAAGUGCAGGAGCGGUUAGACAAGAUGCAACAGGAUAUGUCAGAGAAGAUACAGGAAUCCCAAAAUAAUAUGAUGGCAAAGUUAACCCAACUGUUGAAUGGAGGAGGUGAUAAGGGAAAGGGUCCCAUGGCUGAUGUCGAAGAGGGAAAAGAGGAUGAAUCACUCUAUCCUCCAGGCUUUACUCCUUCACAUGUGCGAAGUCAAGCUGAAUAUCUGCACAAAUCUACUGUCACAAUCAGGCCUCAGCAGUUUCGGGCUAGUGUUUCAAACUUCUAAGCUGGAUCGGGUUUUAAUCCCGGAAAUAACCCUAUUAACUCUGCCAUUCCUGACUUUGAUGAAGUGGCUAAAAAAGAAAGAAUAAAGGAAGAGUUACCAAAGCAGUUAGAAGAAAGGUGCAAAUGGCUCGAGGAGAAAUUAAAGGUGAUGGAGGUCACUGAAAGUUAUCGAGGAAUUGAUGCUAAAUAGCUGAGUUUAGUUCCGAAUUUGGUACUCCCUCAGGGUUUUUUACCCAAAUAGGAUAGAAAAAAAAUACUGAAAUGGGAUGUCAGAAAAAAAAUUUACCAANNNNNNNNNNNNNNNNNNNNNNNNNNNNNNNNNNNNNNNNNNNNNNNNNNNNNNNNNNNNNNNNNNNNNNNNNNNNNNNNNNNNNNNNNNNNNNNNNNNNUAUUGUAAUAUUGUAAUUUUGUAUGAAUAUUAUAAUUUUUUAUGAAUAUUGUAAUGUUGUAUGAAUAUUGUAAUAUUAUAAUUUUGUAUGAAUAUUGCAAUUUUUUUGUAUGAAUAUUGUAAUAUUGUAAUUUUGUAUGAAUAUUAUAAUGUGGGGAUAUAUUGUAAUAUUGUAAUUUUUUGUAUGAAUAUUGUAAUUAUUUUAUAAUUAAUUUGUUAGUAAUUUGGGAAAAAUUCACAAUAUUUUGUUCACCAUUGGCGCCUCCCAAAUAGGCACCACCAUUGGCGCCUCCCAAAUAGGCACCACCAUUGGCGCCUUCCAGAUAGGCGCCAAUACUAUGUAUUAUACGGGUUAUAUACUAACCCGGAAAAGUAUAAAUUAUAUUUUAAUCAAAAAAAUUAUUAUUAUUAUUUUAUUCAUUGGCGCCUACCAAAUAGGCUCCAAUGAAAAAGUAACCUAUUUUGGUAAAAAAAUUUUCUGACAUACUAUUUCACUAAAUUUUUUUUUCUAUCCUAAUUAGGUAAAAAACCCAACUCCCUCAUAAGUUUAAGAUGCCAGAAUUCGAGAAGUACAAUGGGACGACUUGCCCAGAGGCUCAUAUCACCAUGUUCUGCAGGCGAAUGGCUGGAUACAUUAACAAUGACCAGCUAUUAAUACACUGUUUCCAAGAUAGCCUAGCAGGGGCAGCAUCUAAGUGGUACAAUCAGCUGAGCCGUACCACAAUUGGUUCAUGAAGGGACUUGGCACAAGCAUUCAUGAAACAGUAUAGUCAUGUGACAGACAUAGCUCCUGAUAGAAUUACCCUUCAAAACAUGGAGAAGAAGUCGAGCGAAAGCUUUAGGCAGUACACACAAAGUUGGAGGGAAGUCGUAGUCCAAGUUCAACCACCGCUCUUAGAGAAAGAAAUGACGAUGCUUUUUAUAAAUACAUUGAAAGCCCCGUUCAUCACACAUAUGUUAGGAAGUGCCACAAAAAGCUUUUCUGACAUAGUCAUGAAUGGUGAAAUGAUUGAAAGCGUCAUAAGGAGCGGGAAAAUUGAUGCAGAGGAGAGUAACAAGAGGUCAAUCUCAAGGAAAGAGAAAAUGAGGUGAACAACACGAGUUACUCUAAACCAGUUAUUGUGAGUCAGCCAAGAAAGGUGGCUACUAACCAACAAAGUUUAUUAAGACAAUAAUCUAGAGUGAAACCAGGUACUGAGAAGCUCCAAUUCACACCAAUUCCGAUGUCAUAUAAGGAUCUGUAUCAAAGCUUGUUUGAUGCGCAUGUUGUUGCUCCUCAUUACUUAAAACCUCCACAACCUCCGUAUCCUAAGUGGUAUGAUGCGAACGCGCAAUGUGACUACCACGCGAGAAUUAUGGGGAACUCAAUAGAGAAUUGCAUUACCUUCAAAAAGCUAGUUGAAAAAUUCAUCAACAUGGGUAUUGUCAAGUUGGGUGACUCAUCAACUGCAGAAAAUCCUUUACCCAAUCAUGAUUGAGGAUGGAGGGACUGCAAUGUAUGAAGAGGUGGUGAGGUUUUCAUAUCGAUGCCAUAUAUGCAGCCACAAAUAAAAAGGUCCUUGUUAGAUAUUCGCCUGGGAGGUGUUAUAAGUAAUGGGACUGCAGAGGAAACCCCUAUAUUAUUUAGAGUUUGUUAGAGUAAUGUUCAGAACACACUUGUUGCUUUUAGCCUAGAAGCAAUAAGAACUUCUUUGUGAAAUAGGCUCAUGUCUGAACAUUAUUAUUUUAAUAAAAUACAUCAGUGCAAUCAUCUUUGAGCAAAUGUUCUUUCAUUCUUUACGAUUCUUUCAUUCUUUUGGAUUUUCUGCCAAACUAUUCUUUCAUUCAUUCAUAAUCAUAUUAUCUAUAAAUCCAUACAUUCUUUGUGUAUUCUUUAACACCUACAAUAGGUCCCUGGAUAUCAAUGACAUGAGUGACGCUGCUACAGACUCAAAAUCUCCUUUUUGAGUGAGCCAUGUGUUUAGAGAGAUCUCACAACUUUGAAGAGGACAUGGAUUGUAGCUUAUCUCCAGACUUGAUGAGGAUGGUAAAAUAAGAGGAUAGACAAAUCCAACCUCACAAAGAAUCAUUAAAAGUUGUGAGCUUGGUAUAGAUUGGAAUUGACAUGACCGAAAAAACAAAGCAAUACGUUGUUGGGUUACUUCAAGCAUUCAAAGAUGCCUUCGCAUGGUCAUACUAGGAUGUGCCCGGUUUAAGUGUUGUCACUGCAAUCUAAACAACAGCACGAUACCAAAAUUUUACAGUAUGGUCAAGGUGAAUAUCAUGAAUGGUGCAAUGAAAACUCUACCAGGGCAAUGCCACUUUUUUCAGUUUAUCACAUUUUUUUCAUUGAAGUUGAAAUUCUUUCUCUUCGAGUUUUGGCUAAGCUGAAGUAGGAUGAAGAUCCAAUCCCGAUACAAUUAGUUGAACCUAGUUGAAGAAAAAGGCUAGAAACUAUUCAUCAGGGGCAGAUGUACCAAGAAAUGAAUGAUGCGAGCCUAUAGCAAAAGGUUUGUCCCAGAGAAUUCCACGAUGGCGACCUAAUGCUGAAGAAGAUCCUCACUCUACAAAAAAUAUAACGGAUGCCAAAUUGGGAAGAACCUUAUGUUAUAGAGAAGGUCAUUUCCAGAGGAGCUUUGAUUUUGAGGGAGAUGGAUGAUAAACCUGCAAAGUCCUGUAAACUCAGGUUCAGUCAGGAAAUACUCAGCUUAAAGAAUGAGAUGACCAAGGUAAAAACCCGUAAAUGGCACUUUGAGUUGUAAAAAAUGACGAGAUGGAAAAUGAAAAAGUGAAAAUGAAAUUUGAAAAUGGAAAAGUAAAAUGGAGAGGCUAAGGUGAAAAUCCGCAAAGGGCGCCUUAGACCAAAGGGGAUUUGAGUUGAAAACCCGAAAAGGGCGGCUCAAAUAUUGAUCAGAAUGUGGCAUGAGAUUAUCAGAGUAGCUCAAAUACUAAUCAGCAUGGGGCAUGCAGUGGUCUUGCUAUACCUGAAUCAGCAGGAAAGGGUAGGCGACAUCUUGGGGCAUCAACAAAGUACUGUAGAUCUCCUAAACACAUGUUAAACUCAGAAUGGUCUUCAGAAAGUUUGUACAGAGAAGUUCAAGCUGAGAUAUCUGGGGCGCCUAAUCCUUAUACUCUUUCUUGUUAUUCUUGGAACACUUCAUUCAUUUCCAAGAUAUGCAUUCCUAAAUCAAUUUCUUUAUUAUCCAUCUUUACUAUCUUUGAUAUUUUAUUCAUUUCGAGCUAUGCUCAGAACCAACUUUCUUCUUAUCCAUGAUCUUUUUGCAAGUAUGUUGCAUUAGAAUAAUGAUUAAUAGACUAAUAAAAUUUUCACAAGGGAAGUUAUGCUUAUUACUCUAGAAUUUUUUAAAUAAUAUAGGAACCUCAAACAGGACUAUUGUUUAGAACGCACCAGGUUGGAAAUCCGAUAAAGAAGAGUCUAAAUUAAGACUAUCCCUUUGAAUUUUCUUGUCUAAAGUAUUAAUUAAACAAAAUGGCAAGAUGUCGUGUUGGUGUCAAAGCUUCAAUGAACAAGCAAGCAAUGAUCACCGAAUAAUAAGAAGAAGUUGUUCUUGGACAAGAUUUAUUCAUUUGUGUAUGAGCAUUUCGUACAACACCUUGGGAAUGGUGUAAGAGACCAAAAAGUUUCACAUCCUGUAUCCUUGAAUUGUGAUAACAAAGGAUUGAGAAAAGGCCAAAUCUUUUACUCUUGGGUUACAACGGGAAAAGAUGAUACAAAUUUUGCAUCCCAGUGGAUCAAACUUGGAGGUUUACAGUGGGGGCAAUCUGGUCAAGUGCUUAUUGGGAUCGCCAGUUGAGCAUAAAGGCGCUAUAGUACAUUAAGUGAUAAGACCUUAAUAAACUUGGAGUAAUGAUAACUCAGGCGUUAAAAUAUCAUUUUCAUGACAUUCUACAUUCAUUCAAAUGUCAUUCAUACAUGUCUAGUUAGGAGCAUUUGAUUCAUUUUGAUCAUGCCAUCCUAAUCAUUAGGCAUAAUUAGGUUCAUUAUACAGGUUCUGUUCUCCAGAGAACAGAUCAGCGAAAAUAGCAGAUCUUGCCUUCCUGCAUUGACAGCGAAGCAGAUCGAAGAUACCAGCCUUGCCUCCCUCGAUUGCAGUGGAGCAGGUUGAUGGUGGAUUUUACCUCCCUGAGGUUACAGUGGAGUACAUUGAAACCAGUAAUUCUAUCUCCCUGGGCAAUAGUGGAAUAGAUCAAAGAUUACAGGUCUUAUCUCCCUAAGCAGUAGUGGAGCAGAUCAAAGAUGGUGGAUUUUACCUCCCUGAGGUUACAAUGGAGUACAUUGAAACCAGUAAUUCUAUCUCCCUGGGCAGCAGUGGAAUAGAUCGAAGAUUACAGGUCUUAUCUCCCUAAGCAGUAGUGGAGCAGAUCAAAGAUGGUGGAUUUUACCUCCCUGAGGUUAUAGUGGAGUACAUUGAAACCAGUAAUUCUAUCUCUCUGGGCAACAGUGGAAUAGAUUGAAGAUUACAGAUCUUAUCUCCCUAAGCAAUAGUGGAGCAGAUCAAAGCUGGCAAAAUCUACCUCCCUGAGGUUGCAGUGGAGUAUAUUGAAGCCAGUAAUUCUAUCUCCCUGGUCGGCGGUGGAAUCAAUUGAAGAAAUCAGAUCUUGUCUUCAUGUAUUGGCGUGAAGUAGAUCAAAGAUAGCAGAUCUUGUCUCCCCAUACUAGUGGCAAAGUAGAUCGAAGAAAGUAGAUCUUGUCUUCAUGUAUUACCGUGAAGUAGAUCGAAGAUAGCAGAUCUUAUCUUCCUAUACUGGUGGCGAAGUAGAUCGAAGAAAGCAGAUCUUGUCUUCAUGCACUGGCGUGAAGUAGAUCAAAGAUAGCAGAUUUUGUCUUCCCAUACUGGUGGCGAAGUAGAUUGAAGAAAGCAGAUCUUGUCUUCAUGUAUUGGCGUGAAGUAGAUCAAAGAAAGCAGAUCUUGUCUUCAUGUACUAGCGUGAAGUAGAUCAAAGAAAGCAGAUCUUGUCUUCAUGUACUGGCGUGAAGUAGAUCAAAGAUAGCAGAUCUUGUCUUCCCAUACUGGUGGCGAAGUAGAUCGAAGAAAGCAGAUCUUGUCUUCAUGUACUGGCGUGAAGUAGAUCAAAGAUAGCAGAUCUUGUCUUCCCAUACUAGUGGCGAAGUAGAUUGAAGAAAGCAGAUCUUGUCUUCAUGUAUUGGCGUGAAGUAGAUCAAAGAUAGCAGAUCUUGUCUUCCCAUACUGGUGGCGAAGUAGAUCGAAGAAAGCAGAUCUUGUCUUCCCAUACUGGUGGCGAAGUAGAUCGAAGAUACAAGUCUUAUCUCCCUGAAGUUGCAGUGGAGUAGACAGAAGAAAAUAAUCCUAUCUCCCUGAAGUUGCAGUGGAGCGGAUUAAAACCAUAGAUCUUAUCUCCCUGAAGUUACAGUGGAGUAGACAGAAGAAAAUAAUCCUAUCUCCCUGAAGUUGCAGUGGAGCAGAUUAAAACCAUAGAUCUUAUCUCCCUGAGUUGCAGUGGAGUAGACAGAAGAAAAUAAUCCUAUCUCCCUGAAGUUGCAGUGGAACAGAUUAAAACCACAGAUCUUAUCUCUCUGAAGUUGCAGUAGAGCAGAUCGCAUCAGAUUUAUCUUUAAGUUGUAGCAGAACAAGUUGAAGCUCUAAGUCUUAUCUCCCUGAAGUUGUAGUGGAGCAGAUUAAAGAUAGCAAAUUUUGUUCUUUUGAGAAGCUACAACGUAUGAAUUCUAUCUCCCCGAUAUUGCAGUAGAGUAGAUUGAAGCACCAGUUCCUAUACCUCUGAAGAUGCAGCAGGAAGGAUUGAGGCUACUUGAAAAAGAAAAGCACCGAAGAAGCCGAGGCUUAGUAAGACUGGGUACAAUUGGGCUUUUCAGUCUUUGCUCUGUUCUCGUUACACGACAACAAGCAAAAAGGGGCAACUGUAAUAAGCCAAAUUUACCCGGGCCCUUACAAAACAAAAAAUAAGCAGUCCAAGUUUUUACAGGCCCAAACCCCAACAGCCCACUAACUAAAUUCCAACAGCAACCCUAGCAGCAUACAACCUUCAACCCUACCCGCCGCACAUCAGCCCCGCACCACCACCCUUUGCGCACGUACGUGUCCCACGUACAUCUCCAGUUGGCCGAAUCUGCGCAGCAAACGGCAAAACAGACGCAAAGAACAAGUAAACGGAAGAGAAAAACACAAAAAAAAAGAGAGAAUAACAAAAAUACAACUGUGUUGUGUUAUUUCUUUGAUUUUUCUUCAUCUUUCGACUAUAAAAAGUCGAGGAAAAUUUGUAAAAAGGAGGGGGAUUUCACGAAUCAAAUAAAAAACAGAAAAGAAAUUGAUAUCAAGAAGAGAUUUUAGAUUGAAGGUAGAUAUUUGUUUUUUUUUUCUCUUUUUUUGUUUUGACUUUUUUUAAAAAAAAUAGUAAGUAAUAAGAAAAAGAAAGGAAAGGGCUUACCGGAGGUCCGUGGUCUUCUCAUUGGCCAAAGAUCGCCGUCCUUGGCGGAGCAGUGGCGAAGGAGCGGCAGCACGACGACAUAAAGAUGCUAGGGUCAAAACCCUAGCAGAGCAAAAGGGGGCAACAGUUUUUUUUUUUUGUUGUUUUAGAAAGUGGGCUGUCAAAUGAUUUUUAAAACAGAAAAUUUUGUUUAAAUAAUAAGGCAAUACGGCGCCAUUUCAUUAGGCCCCCUGGACGCCCAAAACGGCGUCGUUUUGGGGGCCAACCCGUGCACCGACCCGAUCUGGUCCCAAAUCCGCGUGUUUUGUAGCAUGGGGGAAUUUGCGCAAUUGGUCCCCCUAUUUUUGCAGUGUGUUUAAAUUAAAUUUCUGAUUUCUUUUAAAUUUCACUGCACAUUCUAUUUUUACUUUAAAUCAGUCCCUAUUACUGUGCAGCGUUUUAGGGAGGCGGAUUAUUUCUCUUUUGGUCCUCCACCCUUGCGCGCGCAUUCAAUGUGAUCCUGUUUUCAAAUUUACUUCGAAUUUAGUUUUUUUUAAGUUCAAUUUAACCCUUUUAUUAACUAUUUUAUUCAUUUUUUUUAUAAUUAUGUUAUAUUAUUAUUAUUAUUAUUAUUAUUAUUAUUAUUAUUAUUAUCAUCAUCAUCAUUAUUAUUAUUAUUCCUACUAUAUAUAUAUACGCAUGUUUUAAAAUAAUACAUAUACAUACAUUUUUUUUAAAAAGCUUUUAAUACAUACAUAUAUUUUUGCAUAUACAAACAUUUUUUUUUACUUUUGUAAAUAUGAAUAUACGUAUUUUUUAUAUUAUCCUUCAUAGAUUUUUUUACAAACGUAUGUAUAUAUGUAUACCUACAUAUUUUAAUACAUAUUUUAAUACAUUCAUUUUCUAUAGUAUAAAUAUAUAUGUUUUUUGUUUUAAAUUAUUAUAAACAUUUUAUUAUUUUAUAUAUGCUCCAUUAUUUUAUAUACAUAUUGCACAUAUUUUUUUUAUAUUUUUACUUUAUUUACACAAUUCUCAUAUACAUAUAUACAUGCAUUUUUAGAAAUUAUUAUAAGUUUUUAUGUAUUUCAUUCCCUUUUUAUAUGUAUACUUAUAUAUGUGUUUUAUAUAUGCAUUAACAUUUUAUCAUAUUUUUAAAGAAAAUAUAUUUUGGUUUCGUCAAAGCAUUAAAAUCGUUUUAUUUUUUUAAAAUUUUUUUUAAAUAUUUGGCAAUUAUGAUUCUCGAGAAAGAUCGUGUCCUAACUUACUGGAUUGCGAUUAUUUUUUUUGAUGAAUUUAGAAAACCAAGUAUUUAUUUUGCAAUAAAUUCAUGAAAUUUUCAAAUAAAAGCUUAUUCUCAAGAAUCUAAAAAUGUCGGGUCCUAACUUACUGGUCAUGACAUUUUGGCAUCUCGAAAUAAGAAUUUUCAAAAGCAAAAGGCAAUAUUCUGGUAUUUUGAAGAUUUAAAAAUAUUGUGCCCUAACUCACUGGGUGUGGUGUUUUAUUUCUUUGAAAUAAGAAUGUCUUAUUAUUUUGAUUCAUUCAUGAGAUAAAAAGUUUCCUUUUAAAAUCUUUUCAAUUUUUCAACACCAAGACAUUAACGAAUCAAUUUGGUACCGAUUUUGGGGCGUUACGAGGGUGCUAAUCCUUCCUCGUGCGUAACUGACUCCCGGACUCAUUUUCUCAAAUUUUGUAGACCAAAAUCAUUUUAAGGUGAGCCGAUCACACCUUAAUAAAGGAUCGGUGGUGACUCCAAUUUUUGUUUUUUUUUAAGUCGACAACUAAAAUUUUUGUUUACAAAAAAUGGUUUCGACAGAGCUACAAGGAUGGAUAGCUGCUAUGCGGGAGUACGUACCGUGGACUGUGAUUGAGUUAUAGACAAAACCUUAUUACGGCCUGGACGACCAGUUACAGCCAGGAAAAAGGAUUUUCCAUCGGAUGUUCUGGACGUUUGAUCCAUCUAGAGCCAAACACAUAUUUUCGACAAUGGUUGGGUACAAUAGAGCCGUGGCAAUGUGCUCAAAGUUUUGACGAGGGCUUUCGUUAUGGACAAAUGACCACAAACUUAAUGGAGGGGGUAAAUGCUGUAUUGUUGAAAACAUGUUAUCUUCCAAUUGCAUCUGUCUUCUCUACUACAUUCUACAGGUUGGCUACCUUGAUACCAAGAAUGAGUCAGCAACAAGUCGACCAGAUGGAGGCGGGACACGUGUUUGUCGAAGAUGUCAGGGAUGUAAUCAAACCGUCGGAUGGCGAUGUCCAUGAAUGUAGAAAUAUAUUCACGACGUCUGGAAACAUUUUGAGUUACUGAGACCAUCGGUCGUCGACCUAGUAUACCACCUACGUCUUAUGGAGUUGAUCUCCGAAAUAGACGGUACGAGUGUAGGAGGUUCAAAACACUUCAUUAACUAUGUGCGCAUGUCGUGGCAGCGUGUGCUAAAGUGAACCUUAAUGUUGAACAAUAUGUCGAUGAUGUGUACACGCUCGAGCGCACAUUGCGUAUCUGGGAAAAUGAGUUCCCUAUCCUACCUGACCUGUCUACGUGAGAUGUGCCUCCGAAGACUUUUGAGCUUUUCCCAGACAAAGGGCUACGCAAUAAUUCAAGAGGUCGUCAGCAAUCAACUAGAAUCCGUAAUGAAAUGGACAUUAGGGAGAAAUUCGACGGUAAGUAUUGUGGAUUAUGCAGGUUAAGUGGUCAUAGUCGGAAUAAAUGCCCUCAGCGAAACUAUCAUGUCUGACAGUCAUCAGGAUCGGGUCGAAAUUGACCUAAUGCUGUCAAAUUGUUAUGUGUAAUGUUGUAAAAAGUAUAAUUCAUUUGGAAUAAUUAAAAUUAUUCAGCUUAUGCUUAUGCUUAAAUUGCAUCCAAAUUAAGGUAUUAAAAACAUGAUUCAUUUGGAAUAAUUAAAAUUAUUCUGCUUAUGCUUAUGCUUAAAUUGUAUCCAAAUUAAGGUAUUAAAAACAUGAUUCAUUUGGAAUAAUUAAAAUUAUUCAGCUUAUGCUUAUGCUUAAAUUGUAUCCAAAUUAAGGUAUUAAAAACAUGAUUCAUUUGGAAUAAUUAAAAUUAUUCUGCUUAUGCUUAUGCUUAAAUUGUAUCCAAAUUAAGGUAUUAAAAACAUGAUUCAUUUGGAAUAAUUAAAAUUAUUCAGCUUAUGCUUAUGCUUAAGUUGUAUCCAAAUUAAGGUAUUAAAAACAUGAUUCAUUUGGAAUAAUUAAAAUUGUAUCCAAUUUAAGUUAUAAAAGGUGCAACAAAUUAAGUAAUUAAAUUUAUACAAUAAGUACAAACUUUGUAAUGUACAAAAAUAUGCAAUAAACCCCUAAAAAUGAUGGUUCGAUGGUGUGGUCCUAGGGGUAUACCUAUGCGGAGGUCGACGGUCACGUUCUGGGUGUUGGCGACGACCAACUUCCUUAUUUGGCGCAGGUGGGGGUGUGGUAAACAUAGAGGAAAAAAUCAUGUGACUCAAUCGGCAUCAUGAACUUGAACCUGAAGGGGUCCCAUGAUGCUGUAGGUACGAGCCGAGAGUGUCGUACUGCGGCGGGUAUGAUCCAAAGAGAUCAAACUCGUUUGCGUAUUCGCCCGCUGAGAAGCUUGGAAUAUAGUCAUCGCCUGCCAAAUCCGAAUGAUAGGAUUAUGAAUCCCAUGUGAAUGUAACUGCUUAGGAUCUAGCUCAGGCUCCGGGUCGGGUUUCGGCUUGGGCUCUGGUUCGGGAUCAUGAUCUGUUGCAGGCUCUACCUCUAUCGGGGUCGCUGGGUACAAUCCCCCAGAUAGCUGCAUGUGCGGGGGGAAUACAGUCGACUGGCCUCCAAGUAUAUAUGGUUUUCCGCAACUAUAGUACCAUUGUAUGUACUCUAAUGAUGGUUGCAAUGAUUAUGUCAUAACCAUCUGAGGUUUGCGACCCAUCUGAUCGUUCCAUAGCGUAACAAAUUUUCGAUGCUUAACCCGCUAAUCCAACUACAGUUUUCCCCUCCUAUUCAUGCCGUGAACCGCCCCCACUUCGCGUGGUGGAUCCGGGAUAUAUUGGAUGUAACCAAACUGUCUGCACCCGAUCCCCGUGAUACCACUCGACUACAUUGAAAUUUAUAAUUGGUGCGUUAGUGCACCACAUUUCAAAAUGAACAUAUGCAGACGAAGGUAUCACAGCUAUAAUUUUCAGGCGACGAUAUGGCAUCCAUAUAAACUGCAUGAUUAAUAACAUGGUUAUAAUUUAACACGGUGUGAGUAAGAUAUAGAAAGUAAAUGAACUAAUAUUAGAAUAGCUUACCCCUUAUCCGGCAUGUUGUUCGAUCAUGAGUCAGUAUAUUGGGACAGUGUACGACCUCUCGAUACCCGGAUAAAUACUCCACCUACAAAAAGAAAUAUAGGGUUUAUGGUUGGUAACAUCAGUCAAUAUACUAUGACUACAAAUAAUGACAAGUUAUAUUUUAUCACCUGUUCACUAGUGGAUAAACAUACGGUUGGUGAGUAGCCGAUGCCAAAAAUAACAUCCGAUAGAGCGCCCAGGACUACAGCAAUGUAAGGCAUCUGCCCAUGUCUACAACAGAAGGUUUUGUCGUCCGAUAAAGCUCCCGAUAUAACACUGCUAGAAUGGCGAAGCCCCAGCUAUAGGAGCGGACAUUGGACAAAUCAGCUAAUAGGGGCAAGUACAUCAUAUGCACAUUGUUGUUGUUUGCAACGGGCACCAGUACUCUCCCUAGGAUAUGUAUGAUGUACGCUUGAGCAGCGCACAUCAAUUCACCUUCAGUGGCAUUUGCUGAUAACUGUCCAAAUUUGGCUUUCAGCCAUGUAAAUUUCAAGCUCGUAAAAUUUUUCUCAUCGUCAUUUGGCGAGUCUUCUAGUAGCUGAUUACAUAGUGCAGCCGGAUCAGUAAAUGAACUUACUCCCGUUAUAGGACUUGCGUCGAUUGGGAGCUCAAGCUACAGGGCAACAUCCUUUAAAGUCACCAUGCACUCCCCACACGAAAAAUGAAAAGUGUGGGUCUCUGGGCGCCACCGCUUCACUAGCGCAGAUAAUAAAUCAUACCGCAAGUCGAACGUCUGGAUCAAUACUGCUGACCCAAAUCUGACUUGCUCCAAGUAUGGCAUCAAUCGUGAAUUCGGGGGAUGCUUUAAACCAUUCACCCGGCCCCUUAUUACUCAGUACGAGUCCUGAUAGUGUUAAAUUACAGAAAAAAAUUAGGAUAACAUGAUUUAUUUCUAUAUAUUACGUAUAUCCUUUUUUAAUAGAACCCGUGAUUAACAAAUAAUAAUAUAUUACCAUCUCAUUAGCCGCAUCAGAUAUGUGUGUAUCCCUACUAAUCAAUGAAGCCAUUGCGAUGCCUGCAACUUCAAAAAAAAUUUAGUAAAAAACUCUUAUUUCGGCCCUGUGUUCGUAUUUUUUUCUGAAUUUUAUUACUUUAAAAAUUAUCAUAUUUUCUAAUUUUAUUAUUUUACAUUAUUUUAGUACAUUAUGUUUGAAAUUUAAAUAAAUUUAGUGUGUUUUUUAAAUAAAUUUAAAAAAAACCCUUAUUUGGUCAUUUGCUCGUAUUUUUUUCUCGAAUUUUUUUACUUUCAAUAAAAAUAUAUUAUUUUGGUAUUUUAUUAUUUAACUUUAUCUUAGUACAGUAUGUUUUAAAUGUAUUAAUUAAUUCUGUUUUUUUUAAAUUUAGUAAAAAAACCCUUAUUUCGGCCCUUUCUUAGUAUUUUUUACUUUAAAAAAAAUCAUAUUUUCUAAUUUUAUUAUUUUACAUUAUUUUAGUACAUUAUGCUUGAAAUUUAAAUAAAUUUAGUGUGUUUUUUAAAUAAAUUAAAAAAACCCUUAUUUCGGCCCUUUGCUUGUAUUUUUUCCCGAUUUUUAUUACUUUCAAUAAAAAUAUAUUAUUUUUGUAUUUUAUUAUUUUACUUUAUCUUAGUACAUUAUGCUUGAAAUGUAUUAAUUAUUUCUGUUUUUUUUUAAUUUAGUAAAAAACCCUUAUUUCGGCCCUUAGUUCGUAUUUUUUUCCCAAAUUUUAUUACUUUAAAAAAUAUCAUAUUUUGUAAUUUUAUUAUUUUACAUUAUUUUAGUACAUUAUGUUUGAAAUUUAAAUAAAUUUAGUGUGUUUUUAAAAUAAAUUUAAAAAAACCCUUAUUUCGGCCCUUUACUCGUAUUUUUUCCAAUUUUUAUUACUUGCAAUAAAAAUAUAUUAUUUUCGUAUUUUAUUUUUUACAUUAUUUUAGUACAUCAUGUUUGAAAUGUAUUAAUUUUUUCUUUUUUUAAAUUUAGUAAAAAACUCUUACUUCAGCCCUUUGUUCGUAUUUUUUUUCUCUGCAUUUUAUUACUUUAAAAAAUAUAAUGUUUUCUAAUUUUAUUAUUUUACAUUAUUUUAUUUCAUUAUGUUUGAAAUUUAUUAAUUUAGUGUGUUUUUUAAAUAUACAAUUUUUUGAAUUUUAUUACUUUCAGUGAAUAUACAAUUUCCUUUUUUUUCUUUUCGUAUUUUAUGUUUUCUUAAACAUGUUUUUUUAUAAUUUUUUUAAUGUUAGUUUCCUAAAAAAAUAAUUACAACAUCCUAAAUUAAUUUCAUAAAAAAAAUUUUAAUCAACAUAGAAUGUACAUAACAUGAAUUUUUUCAUGCUAAAUAAAUUUCAUAAAAUAUAUAUACUAAAUAAAAUAAUAAAACACAUACAAUAUACAUAACAUAAAUUUUUUACACAAAUAUUACAAAAAAAAUUAAAUUAAUACAAAAAAAUUACCUUUACUUCUUUUUUUCCUUUCUUUUUCCUUCCUUCCCUUUUCUUCUUCUCCUUUUUUUUUCUCUUUCUUCUCCUUCCUUUUCUUUCUUUCUUUCCUCUCCUUUCCUUCUCCUUUUCUUCUCCACCCACCGGGCUGAAUGGUCCCCCCAUUAUAAGGGAAGUGGUGCCGCCUGUGGUAGUGGCACCAUCGGUGCCGCCUCUGCCAUUGGCACCAAUGGUGCCGCCUAUGGCAGCCCCUUCACCAGGGUGCUAUCACAUCCCUGUAGCUUUUUUUUAAAACUUUUUUUUGUAUUAUUUUGAUAAAUAAAAAAAGUUAAUAUUAUUUUAAUAUUUUUUUAUUUUAUUUUUAAUAUUUUAGUAAAAUACCCCAUGUUGCUUAUCCAACCUACUCUGACGUAUGACGCACCCAUUGCGUCACUGCAAACGCAAUUUUGGUCCUUCUACAUGCUAUAAUAAAGGGGGCAAUGGUUCUGGUUUAGACAAGAAAACUGAAUGCGUUGAUGAAGCUUCUAAUUCUUGCUCCAUGUUGUUUGUUCUUCAUAGCUUUAAUAAAAUUACUUUAUGAUUACCUAUGGAUACCUCUCCGUAUUCAGCAUAUGCUGAAUUCACAGGGGAUCAAAGGACCUCCUUACAGAUUCAUCCAUGGCAACAACAAGGAAGUUACCAAAAUGAAACAAAAAGCUUUAAGUAAAUCUGUGGGCUUGACGGAUGAUUUAUUUCCCAAAGUACAGCCACAUGUUUACACCUGGACCAACAGAUAUGGUAAGAUCCAUGCUUGUUUUUUUCACUAUGAUUUAUAACUUGUAGUUCUAAGAAAAGGUAGACCCUUUUUCUUUUCACGUUAUUAGGGAAGAAUUUUGUUUAUUGGAACGGUGCUCGAGCUGAAUUGGUGAUUUCAGAGCCUGAAUUAAUCAAAGAGGUUCUGAAAAAUAGUGAACAAAUUUUUCAGAAAAAGGAACUUUCAGAUAUUGGUAGAAAGUUCUUGGGGAAUGGUCUUAUAUUCAUUGAGGGGGAAAAAUGGGCAAAGCAUCGAAAGCUGGCCAAUCACACUUUCCAUGGGGAAAGUCUAAAGGUAAGGCUUCCAAAUAUAUAAACCAGGUGUAAUUAAUUUACAAGAAUUAUACAUAGACUACAAUAUUUUGGUAAAAUUUUGUAUUGUUAGCUAAAGAUAAGUUUAUUAUGGACGUUGAAAAAGUGUAGUAAAAACAUACUUUCGAAAAUUUUAACACCAUUUACUACUUAGGAGGUCAAUUUUAAACUUGAUGCUGCAAAAUAAAAGAUUGAAUCAGAGAUUUAAAAAAAGUAAUUUCAUUAAAAAGCACUCUUUUAGCUUUUAGACUUGGAUUAAAAUCUAGUUUGAAAUAAGAUUUAAUUUGAAAAGGUGUUUAUUUGUCAAAUUUUUUAAUUUGAAAUCAUGAUUUUGUGUUGAAAAGUGUUUUCCAGACUCCAAUUAUAUAUGUCACUACUACUUACAUAUUGGAGGAUUGUUUGGGCAGAACAUGACUCCAGCAAUAAUUGCUAGUGUUGAAACAAUGCUAGAAAAGUGGAAAGGCCAAGAAGGCAAAGAGAUUGAAGUGUACCAAGAAUUUAGGUUAUUAACUUCAGAAGUGAUUUCCAGAACAGCAUUUGGUAGCAAUUACAUGGAAGGGGAGAAGAUAUUUGCCAUCUUGAGAAAGUUGACAGUAAUUAUGAGUCGAAAUCUUUCCAAGACUAGAAUUCCUUUGAUCAGGUAUCUUCCCUCUAAGCUUAAUUAAUCCCAACUUUUUCCUUGAUUUCAUGUAGCUUUUGAAUGCAACUUUUAGACUUUCAUUCCCCAUGGAUUUGGUUUUCUCAUAUAUAGCUGACCCUGGUUUGCUUUUGCAGCAAGUUGUGGAAAUCUGCUGAUUUGCUAGAGUCUGAAAAACUUUCAAAAGAAAUAAAAGAUCGUGUGAUGAAGAUUGUUAAGAAAAGAGAAGACAAAGUUGUGAAUGGAGAAGUCAAUAGCUUCCGCAGUGAUUUUCUUGGAUUACUUCUAAAUGCCUAUCAUGAUUCGGAUGCGAAAAACAGGCUUUCAUUGGAAGACGUGGUAGCUGAAUGCAAAACAUUCUAUUUUGCUGGACAAGAAACUGUUAAUUCCUUACUUGCAUGGAUAGUCUUGCAUUUGGCAAUCCAUGGAGAUUGGCAAGAAAAAGCGAGAAGAGAGGUGGUUGACAUAUUUGGUAACCAAAAUCCACAUCUCGAAGGCAUCGCCAAACUCAAAAUAGUAAGAAAACUAUCUAACUGGGAAUUCAAAUAGCCAUCGACAUGAUGUAAUCUGACAUAUUUUUCUAUUUUCCAAACAGAUGACUAUGAUCAUCAAUGAAACUCUAAGAUUGUAUGGUCCAACAAGUGUCCUCCAAAGAACAGGUACAAGAGAAAUUCAGUUGGGAAAGCUACUCUUGCCCGCUAAUAUAGAUAUUCUGCCUUUAAAUAUUGGACUUCACCGGGACCCUCACUUUUGGGGAAAUGAUGUGCAUCAUUUUAAACCUGAGAGAUUCGCUGAAGGGAUUGCCAAAGCUACCAAUUACACCGCGGCUGCCUUUUUCCCCUUCGGAUUAGGACCUCGAUCUUGUGUUGGUAUGACAUUUGCAAUGAUAGAAACCAAGAUUGCUCUCUCCAUGGUUCUACAACGCUACACCAUUACCCUUUCCCCUGCCUAUGUCCACUCUCCAAUACUUAUUCUUACCCUUCAACCCCAAAAUGGAAUUCAAGUAAUACUUGAGCCGAUACAUAGUAAUGCAUGAAGUACAUAGCCGUUAAGAACUAGAGGUUUAACAUGGUUCGUGAAUUCUACUUUUAAGAGAUGAUAUUUAAUAUGUUUAAAGGUUCUAGCAUUUAUCACAAAGACAAACGACUUGUGAUAAUGUUUACUUUUCAUCUAUCAUGCAAUGUCGAUGAGAAGAUACCAUUUACCAAUUAGUUGGGUUAUGAAUUCCACUAUUUUGAAUGAUGUUACAUACUAUAGAAGUUGUGUAUCCAGUGCACCAACUUUUGGUUCUUUAUCUUAGCCUUUUACUUGCAUCAAAGUAUACGAGCCAUGCAUGCAUAGUCCAUCAUCUACUCAAGAUUAAGGUAUAUCACACUAUGAACGUCACAAGUAAAUAGAUCCAUAAAUGGAUUUAGAAUCUAUUCUCCUUAGGUCUUAUCUAAUGUACUGUCAGUCUAAUCAAUCACAUCUAUGUUUUUAUCUUUUAAGAGUCAUCUGUUCCAUUCAAGACAAAGUUUCUCCACAAUUGGGCUUGAUAGAUGACAUAUUAGUUUCUCAAUCGAUUUGCUCAUUUUCAAUUAGACUAAGGACAUAUUAUGGUUUAUCUACUAAUACAAGCUAUUUUUUCAUAUCACGAUCUGACCACGUGAUACCGCUUAGUAUUAAUUUAAACAUUAGAUAACCAAUGAGUCAACAUUUGCUUCCAUUUUGCUUUGCAUGCAAAAACAUUGAGGACAAUAUCCAAAGGGUAUUAAUUUAAUUAAUAGAUAUUAUUAAACCAAUUUGUUUAAAAAAUAUAAUUAUAUAAAACGAACAUAGUACACUUAGUGUACCAGAUCCAACAGUGGUCACUACAGCUAGCAUUGCUAUAAGCAACAUAACUUGACAUUUUUGGAGUUGAAAUCUUUUCAGCAAAAUCAGUUGGGCAACGACUUAGAUGAUUUUGUGGACAUGUGUUGGCUUAUAUUUGAAGAUCCAUUUUGUGGAAUCAAUCUUUGAAGAUUAAAUCAAUUUGAAUCAAGCAAAUCGGAUCACUUAUUUUGUGGAGAUUGGCUUGACUUAUUUGAAAAUUUAUUUUCGAAAUCUUUGAUUUAUUCUUGACUUUGAGGAUAUUUGUAAAGGUUUUUUUUACAAGGCUAUUUUUUGUGGGAUAUUGAUUCUAAUUGAUCUUUUAUCUUUGCAAACAUUAAAUUCUUAUAUAUUAGAGGCUUGUGUAAGUUAAAAAAAGAUAGAGUUUUUAUAGCACUUAUUUUUUUCAUUGAGGAACUUGUAUUUGAUAGUGCAUUAAGAGUGUAAAAUAAGUUUGCUGCUUGGUUUUACAACCAAAAUUCUCAAGGGAAGAACUUAGUGGUGAGUGAUUUGGAUAUUUAGAUACAAAAGUGAGGUUGCUAUACCGAGUUGUGAUAGGACUUUAAUAACUUGUUGUCUUGGGAUUAAAAAUAAUGGAUUUACUCACUAAGUUAAGUUCCGUAGACAUAGAAAAAUCGAUAUGCAUAAACAAUCAUUUGUGUUCUAUUUUUUGUUGUUGUGUUCAUCAUAGUGGCAUCAAAGGUUGCCACUACAACCAUCACUUUGGUCAUCAAUUACGCACUUUAUUUUAGCAAUUAUCAACUUUAUGCGCCAAGAGAAUGCUUGUUUCUAGUACUAUUGGUCAAUUUUGUAGGAAGCAUAAUGACAAAAAAGAAAAUGAUUACAAUCAACCCCUUCUAACAACUCUAUUUGUAUCUUUGCAUAUUAUAAAAAGGUGGUUGUUAUAAAAAGAUAAUUAUUGUAAACCUAAAAUAGAAUUUAUAUUGUGAAUUACUAUCAAAUCAAGAAAGUGGAAAUUAUAUUAAAAAAAGGAAAGUAGAAAUCAAAUCAACAAAAUUAAAAUAUGCAUGCAUUAUUACCUUUAUAUUUUAUUUUACAUUUUUCACAUGAUUAAUUAUGAAAUUCAUCAAUCUAACAAAUAAUUAAUCGAUAUGAGUUUAAAUUAAAUUAAAUUAAUUAAUUUAUCAUAUGUUAUUAAAUUCAAGUAAUUAAUUUAUAAGAUUAUGAUGUUCUAAAUUCAUAGUAGAAUAUUUAAUUAGAGAACUUAAUAGUUUAUUGAAUUGAUAUCUUUAAUUCCACGAAGAUUUUUUCAUGUGAAAUUUAAACAUUUUAUUAAAAUAAUAUUUUAAUUAAGAUCAUUUUUAUUUAAUAAAUUAUAAUUAAUAGGCUUGUAUAUCGGUCCAGUGUAAUUAAUAGACUUGCUUAAAUGAGUUUUAAAAUAUAUUUUUAAAUUUGAAUCUGAAUUUAAAAUUCUAUUAUUUGUUUUCAGUUUUUUUGAAUAAUGAAUUGUUACCUGCUUAAUUUAUGAAAUAUCUUUAUUGACUUAUUUGAUUGAUAGUUUAUAUUUAUGUCCGUAUUUAGUAUUUUAAAAUUUUAUAUAUAUAAUAUUUUAAAAAAAUAAUAAUAAAUCUAAAAUCACACAUCGAAACAGCUGAAUUUUGGUACAUGCGAAUACCAAUAAAAAAAAUCAACAUCCACCGAUUUACCCAUUACUUUUUGGUAUUAGGUAGUGGGAGAAUUGGUUUUUGCUUUUGUUUUUGAGAUGUUGAUAUCUUUCACAUCAUCCAUAAGAUGGGCUCUACCUGACCUUUUGUUUGUCUGUUUCCCAUGCUUUCCCAUUUCUUCUACCAUAAAAAUCACUAAAAGAAUGGGCUAAAAUGUCAAAUAAAGGCUAUUUUACCAAAAAACACUUUUUUUUUAAUAUUUACUGAAAUGGGCCGAUUUUUUUAAUUAUUUACUGGAAUUGGUCAUUUUCCGCCAAAUCGCGUCCACGUCAGCGCGAUGUUAGGGUACGCGUCAGAAAAUCGCGUCCACGUCAACGCGAUUUGCUUACGUGGACACAAAUCGCGCCUACGAGGACGCGAUUUGCUGACGUGGCAUGAACAGUUUAUGUUUCUAAGCUUGGAAAACUUUGAAAGGCCAUAACUUUUGGCUCGAUUGUCCGAUUGAGACGAUUUUUUUAUUUCGAAUAACUUUUCGAGAUCUACGCGCUGACAAACAGCCGAAGGCGGUUUGCAGCAGUUUUCAUCGAAAAAGAUCCUUUUUUGCCCCUAAAUUUUGAUUUUUUCAGUUUAAAAUUGAAUUUUGAAACAUUCAAAUCAUUAUUUCUCUUAUUUAUUUGAAGUAAACACCGGAUCUUUUUUUACAGAAUUGUCUUAUAUCAUCCUGUUAUAGGUAUAAGUAAGCUCAUUCCACUUUUGAGAAGUUCCCUAAAAUUUUUCAUUUUAUUCAAUUUAGUCCCUAAAACCUAAAUAGUCAUAUUUUCAAAUAUAAGCUUCGUUUUUCAAUUCAAAUUCAAUUUCGUCCUUCCAUAACAUCCAAAUAUUCUUAAAUACAAAAAUUUCAUGUUAAUUUUGAAAUAAUUACACUUUAGUCCCUAUACUCGUAACUAACAAAUUAUACUUUACAAAUUAGUCCCUAUUCAUCUCUAACCAGUUUGUCAGCGCGUAGAUCUCGAAAAUUUAUUCGAAAUAAAAAAAAUCGUCUCAAUCGGACAAUCGAGCCAAAAGUUAUGGCCUUUCAAAGUUUUCUAAGCUUAAAAACAUAAACUGUUCAUGCCACGUCAGCAAAUCGCGUCCUCUUAGGCGUGAUUUGUGUCCACGUAAGCAAAUCGCGCUGACGUGGAUGCGAUUUUCUGACGCGUACCCUGACAUCGCGCUGACGUGGACACGAUUUCGUGGAAAAUGACCCAUUCCGGUAAAUAAUCAAAAAAUCGGCCCAUUUCGGUAAAUUUUGAAAAAAAAGGGCUUUUUUUGGUCAUUUGCCUUCAAAUAAACUCUUCAAAAAUAAUUUUUUAAAAAAUUAAUUAAGUCCCUUAUAAUAAAGUGCACCAAAUUGAGCUUUUUAAAUCACAAUUUGCACUUAAUUAAUCCCCUUGAAUUCAUUUUCCCAUUGAAUCCCUUUACGGUCAGGUAACUGCUGACGGGGCAGGUGAUGUGGAAAAAUGAUGGUGUGUUAGUUUAUAUGGCAAGCUAACAUGGAGGGCUUAAAUGAUUUUUUAUUAUUUUACAAGGGUUUAAUUAAUUAUUUACAUAAAAAAUUAUUAAAAUUUUAAAAAUCUAAUUUUAAAAUAUAAAUUAUAAAAAUCAUAAAAAAUAUUUUAAAAAUAUUAAAAAUGAUAGAAAUUUUUUAAAUGUUAUAAAAAGUUUAUAAAAAUACAGGAAAUACAUUAUUAUAAAAAUAGCAUAAAAUUUUAGAAAUUAUUAAAAAAUACAAAGAAAUACGAAUAAGUUAGAGAAAAUUAUUAAAAAUACAAAAAAUAUUAAAAAUUAGUAGUAACUUUUAUAAAAAUUAUUAAAAUGUUAUAAAAAUUAUAGAUUUUUUUAUUGGUUUGGAGUGUUUGGCAUUUUUAAUUUUAUUUUUUUGGACCUCAUACCAAAUGCCUCCGUUUCCACUAAAGACCCUACUUACAAAAAGGGAGAGAAACAAUGAAGCACGAGACAGAGUCGAGCGUCCUUAAUCACCCACUAGAAGACACUGUAAGAGAGCAGAGGUUCAGAGCCACCUUAGACAAAUCAAAAUUAACCACCAGCGACAUUCCCAAAACAAUACUCAAACAAUGACUAAAUCGUUAAAGGUUUUGGAUCUGACAAAUAAACAGAAAAAUAAGAAAAGUAGCAUAUGGAGGCUUUAGGCACCACCACCCAUCCACCAUCUGGGAGUAGCAGUAAAACACUCACAAAAAAAGGAACACUAGCGUCAAAACACAUCAGUCCUCCUCAACAAUGGUUUGCUUGUGAGAAGAGAAAAAAAAAUAUAUAAAUAAAAGAGCCACGAAAGCUCAAACAAGGCCCCCAAAAAGGGUUUUUAAAUUGAGAGAAGGAUAUCAAAAAAUAGAGCAGAAGACAAGACCCCAAAAGAGAUUAUUAAAUCGAGAGGAUGACAUUAAAAAAUAGAGCAAAACAAGGAGGACGACGACCAAUAUCCGACAACAAGUGUUUGGCCAUCUAAAUCGAGAAACAAAAAUAUGACCUGGAGCAACAGGCAACCAAAGCAAGAGAAACAGGAAAUUGAGAAUACAAUGAUACAAAGCAACAUAGCCUCUAAUCCCUUGCUCCAUUAGCUUAAAACAAGGUCCCAAUAACACGAAAUAAACCAUUAAAACGUGGGAAUCCACAUUCUCUUGACUUUUUACAACAUGAAAAUUAGGGGUGAGUAUUCGAUCUAGUCGAGUCAAAAAAUUUUGAGUUGGUCGAGUUGAUGAACCCUAUUUUAGCAACCGAACUCAAUUUGAAUUUUUUCGAUUCGAAUCGAGUCAACAAAUUUGGAGUCAAGUUAACGAAUCCUAUUAUUUAUGCUCAAUAUUGUGUUUAUAUGGACCUAUUAUUUAACUAGUAGACGAAAUAUAAGAUUAUUUAACUAUGUAAACAAUAUAAUAGUUUUGCCUUUUAACCUAAUGAGUAAACAUUUAUCAAAAUGACAUAGCCUUAUCUUUUCUUAUUCGGAUUUUCGAAUAAUUCGAAUAUGAAUUACACAAUUCAUAUUUAAGUUAAACCGAAAAACUUAAUUUUUUUAUUUGAGUUUAUCCCAAUAAUUUGAUAAACUCAAAUAACUUGAAUCAUUAAUAACUAUUAUUUAAUGACUGAAAUCUUAAUUUUUUCUAUUUAAAAACAAUACUUGAAGUCCUCAUCUCACGUUAUGUUAUUGACAAAAAUAUUUAAAAAGUUUUAAGUCCAAAACCUAGUUUGAAUUACAAUCAUUUAAUAAUUAUUAUCAUAUUUAAAAUUAGUAGUAACUUUUAUAAAAAUUAUUAAAAUGUUAUAAAAAUUAUAAAUUUUUUUAUUGGUUUGGAGUGUUAGGCAUUUUUAAUUUUAUUUUAUUUGGACAUUAGAGUCUUUGUUUUAGUAAUAAGGAAAUGGGGAGAUUGAAGUGCGAUGAUCAAACUUGUGAGGGGUUUGAGAAACCAUGGGUUUAGUACUUGAUGGCUUAAAGUGAGCGAUCAAUAGAGGUGUUCAUGGACCUAUACUGUUCAAAAAAUAAAAAAAUGUUAAAAAAAGUUUUUCUAAAUAUUAUAUAUAUAUUAUAAUUAAAUUAAAAAUAUAUUUUUAUUAUUUUUAAAAUGGUGAAACGAAUCAUUUUGGCGAGCUAAGUCUAGUUGGGCUCAAGUCUAAAAAGUUUUAUGAAAUUAAGCUUAAGUUAUACUCAACCCAUGAACACAUCUAGUGAUAAAUAAUGAUGUUGUAUUUGAGGAAAGAUGAUGCAAAAGACAUUGAUAAGGAAGGGUUGAUAUAUGAUGUAUGACAAUGCGUGAGAGAAAACAAAAAUGUGUAAAAAUUUUAAAUUUUUUUAUAACUUUUUCUUUAAUUUUAUAUUUCUUUAUAGUAUUUGAAUAGUUUUAAUAAAUUUUAUAUAUUUUUUCUAAAAAAAUUUAUAACAUUUUAUAUUUUUCUAUAUUUUUAAUGUCUUAUAAUUGUUUAUAAAUUUAUAAUAAUUUUUAUGAAUUUUUAAUUUAUAUUUAAAAACUAGAUUUUUUUAGAAUUUAAAAAUCGAAACAAUUGAAUAGGUGGAAUCGCUUCUUUAAAAAAUAUUUUUUUAUAUUUUUAUAAUCUUUAAUUAUUUAUUUGAUCGUUGUUAGUUUAGUUGUCGAACCGAUUGAAUUAACUGGUUCAUCAAAAAGUGUCACAUCAUCAAAUUUUUAUAUUUCUCAAGUGUUUGUAUCAAAAUAGAUUAAAUUGCUAAGUUUAAGAGGCAAAAGUUAUAUUAUCCGAAAAAAUAUAGAUUAAAUUAAAAAUAAAUAUGUGUCUUUCUAUAUGUCGUUAAUAUGCUGCAACGGUAAAGAUUAAGGUAUUCUGUUUUGUAAUAUUUGUCAAUUACUACUUGGAAGACAAGGCUGAAAAUUACUUAAACAAUCACUAAAUAAUUAUUUCAGUCCUCCUCAUUAAUUGUAAGGCGGCUUAUAAUAAUAUGUUAAUUUUGAAGGCUUCAGAAAGAAAGACGACAGUCAUUUCUAUUAAAUUAUCACUUAACUCCAAAUUUAAAGUAAAACAAAAGCUGCAGAAUGGAUUCAAUAAUGGGGAACUUUUUUCAAUUUUAGAAGUAAAACCUAUCCAAUGCAUAAUAGAUUUUUUAGAAUCAGAAUUAAAUUGACACAGUAUAUAAAUAUUAAGGAUUAAAGUUGCUAUUAUAUAAAUUUUAAAAGUUGUUAUUGUUAGCCAAUCGGUGAUUAAAAAGAUAAAAUUAAAUAAUUGGGUGAUCAAAAAAAAAUUUAUUAAUAAUUGGAUGAUUACUAAUGUAGUUUACCCUAACAUUAAAAUGUAUAAAAAUAUUAAAAUAAAAUUUUGAUUCAACUGAUAAAUUUAAUAUAUUUAUCAUUUCAAUUAAAACUUUAUUAUUUUUAAUACUUUUAUUGUAUAUAUUUGUUUCAACCGCAUAAUAUAAUAUAAUAUUAAUUUAAAUUUAAAUUAAAAAAUAAAUAUCUUAAAGCCGACCCACCUGGUAAAGUUCCUCAUCAUAAUGUUUCAGGACUGCAAUCGGACAAAGGUUAUUUGCCCAAUUUUUUACUUGUCACAAUCAACGUGUUACAAGCGAAGUGAUUGUAUUUUGGCAAUAAUACUUAAAUAAUCACUGCAUAAUUACGACAUAAAAAAAUAAUAUUUAAUAUCUACAUCUUUCAUUAAUUUAAUUAAUUUUUUUAAUUUUAAAAAAUUAGUUUAUUUGUUGGAUAUGGAAAUUAUAAUAUAUAAAUACAAAUGAAAUAUCUGGAUUCAGUGGUAAGAGAAGAAAACAAGAGUGGCUUGAUGGAGCUUGUAAUUCUUGUCCCAUGGUGUUUCUUCCUCAUAGCUUUAACAAAGUUCCUUUAUCAUUACCUGUGGGUACCUCUUCGCAUACAGCAUAUGAUGAAUUCACAGGGAAUCAAAGGACCUCCUUACAGAUUCAUCCAUGGCAACAACAAAGAAGUUACCAAAAUGAGAAAGGAAGCAUUAAGCAAAGCUGUGGGCUUGACAGAUGAUUUAUUUCCCAGAUUACAACCGCAUAUUUAUUCCUGGAUCAAUACAUAUGGUGAAGUGGAUGCUUGUUUUUUCACCAUGAUUUAUUAUAACUUCUGCUUAUCUAGCUUUAAGAAAAAGAUGGACACUUUUUGUUUUUUGUUGUGUGAUUAGGGAAGAAUUUUGUCUAUUGGAAUGGCGUUCGAGCUGAAGUGGUGAUUUCAGAACCUGAAUUGAUCAAAGAGGUUAUGAAAAAUAGUGAGAACAUUUUUCAGAAAAGGAAGCUUACGGAUGUUGGUGCGAAGCUACUGGGAAAUGGGCUUGUGUUCAUUGAGGGAGAAAAAUGGGCAAAGCAUCGAAAGCUGGCCAAUCAUGCUUUUCAUGGGGAAAGCCUAAAGGUAAAUCCUCCAAAUCUAUAAAUUAGUUGUAAUUAAUUUAUAAGAAUUAUACAUAGAUUUCGUCAUUAAUCUUUAUCAUAUGUAGAAGCCCAAUUUCGCCCGGGCCCAUUUACAAAAUAAACAAACCAUUCAGACCCAAAAAUAACUAAACCCCAAACAGCCCAAAUACAAGCCCAAUUACCCAAACCCAUUUCCAGCAGCCCAAAACAAACAAAACAAAAAAUCAGAAAACCCUACCCCUAGGUGCGCCGCACCUAGGGUCUUCUGACCCUUCUGUCCACCUGCCGCCACCUGCACCGCCGCUGCCUCCAACCACCACCUGCAAAAUCAAAAAGCAAGAAGUGACAGCAUAUAGAAUAGAUUAAAAAAAUAUGUAAAAAUCGGUUAUAAAGACCGAAAAAUGAAACCUUUGUAGCUUCUUCACAAACAGUUAAUAAAAAACAACAAUAGUGAAUACAAAAAGCAGAUCAAAAGAAAAAGGUUAACUACAUCAUCUUCUUCUUCCUUUUUUUUACGUUUUUUAUUUCAUUUUUUUUAUUUUCUACAAACCUUUUUAAACAAAAACAAAAACCUUACCUACGCCGCGCCGGAGAGAGGGGAAGGUGAGCGGAUACCUCCUUUUCUUUUCGGUUUUGGCUCAACUUUCAAAGGAUUUGGCUUUGAAUACGAGUUCUAGGGGAGUUUGGCUUCAAACGGGGCUAAAAAGAGGUCUAUUUUGCACCUCCGGCCGCCGCUUGCGGCGGGGAUACGGCGGAGGUGUGCUAGCUCCUUUUGCCAGACCUAGGCCGGAGCUCAGAGGGCUGGGGAGCCUAGGAGUAUUCUCAGUUUUUUUUAGAAGCUGUUAAAAAAAUGAACUUUUAGGGGUUUUUUUUUAGGUUUUAUAAGUAUUUUAAAACGGCGCCGUUUUGAUAUUAAGGGUCAGGUGUCGUUUUGGCCCUGACUCGCGCGGUGACCCGACCCUGGGGGAGGAUCCGCGCGUUUUCACCUGGGGGGCUAUUUGUGCAAUAGAUCCCUCCACCUUUGCGGUUUGCUUCAAUGCGGUCUUUUGUUUUUUUUAUUAUUUUGGCCUGAGAAUUUUACUUCUAUUUCGAUUUGGUCCUUAGACCAUGUGCUGCCCCUAGUUGAAGCUCAGCGUUUCAGGACUGGGAAAUAUUUCCCCACAAGUCCCUCACGCUUUAAUCGCAUUUUACUUCAGUCCUGCACUAUUCCUUUUGUUUAUUUACAUAUUUAAACCCGAAGUUCGUUUGAAGUUUUAAUUUAGUCCUUUUGUAUUUUUUUAAUUUCUUAUUAAGUAAUAAAUUUGAUGUUAUACUGUUAUUAUUAAUUAUUAUUGCUGUUAUUUGCUCAUUUAUACCUUUAAAAUUUUAAAUUUUAUCAUAUAUAUAUGUAUAUACUUAUUUUUAUUUUUUAUAUUAUAUAAUUUAUAUCUAUAUAUCUAUAUACAUAUUUUUAUUCCUAAAAAUACAUACACAUACCUAUAUGUUUUUAUGUUUUCAUAUAGUUUUUAUAUACAUACAUAUUCUUAUAUACACAUACAUAUAUUUUUAUACUUUAUAAUUCUAACAUACAUAUAUAUAUAUUAUAAUUUUAUUCAUUACUAUUGUUUCAUUUGGUGUUUAUUUAUUUAUUUACAUGCUCAUUAUUAUUAUUAUUUACUUAAGUGUUUUAGUUUUUAUUUGUUUAUUUACUUUUAUUUGUGUAUACAUUGUUGAUUUCUUUUUAUUAUAUAUUUGUCAUCUUAUAUUUAUUUAUCUUUUCUUAUUUUGCUUGUAUUAUUUUAUUUGCAUUAUCAUCAUUAUUAUUAUUUUACAUUCAUUUUUUACUCGGAUUCGUCAAAAUACAGAAAAUUUUAAAAUAAAAAUCAUAUUUGAUAUUUAGGAUCCUUUAGAGAAUCGAGCCUUAACGUAUUAGGUUUUGAUUUCCUUCGUUGAAUCUAAAUAAUCAAAACUAUUUUUUUAAAACAUCUCUAAAAGCUCGUUAUUGGGAAUUCAAUAUGUCGUGUUCUAAUACAUUGAAUAUGACACGUUUUCUCGAGACGAUGAUUUUUCUUAUAAAUAUAAUAUUCAAUGUUUAAUAUUUUGAGAAAUUGUAUCCUAACGUAUUGGUUUGUAAUUUUUUCACAUGACUUAAACAAUUGAAUACCAUUUUAAAUUUUAUUCUGUAAGUUUUUAGAUAAGUUCAUUUCGGAAGAGGUAAAAUAUCGUGCCUUAACUCAUUUGGUGUGACAUUUUUUCUUUCUGAAACGAGAGGGUCUUAAUGAGUAACUUGAUCUAUAUAAGUUUUUUUUAAAUAAUAAUAAAUAAAAGAUCCUAUUUUGGAUCUCUUUAAAUUAUUUAAUUUUCGACAUUAAGAUAUUAAUUAAUUAACUAGGUAUUAAUUUUUUGAGCAUUACGAGAGUGUUAAUCCUUUGCCGUACGUAAUUGGCUUCCGAAUUUGUUUUUUUGAAUUUCGUGGACUAAAAUCGUUGUUUUAAUAAAAUCAAAUUAUUUAUUAAAAACAAUCACUUUUCGAGGUGAUUUAAUCACACUUCAUUAAAAAAGAUUGGUGGCAAUUCUUGUUUUCGUUUUCGUUUUUUUAAAAAAAAAUUUAAGUUGAUCCUGUUUUCAUUCAAAAAUGGUGUAAACAUCCUAUUAAUUAAAUUUGUUGAUUGCUCUUUUAAAGAAAAGUCAAAUCACUUUUUUAAAUUAGGAUACUAAUAAAAAACCUUAAAUUUCUUUUAGAGAUGCUGGCAUGAUAACUCAUGUGACAGUUUACAUAUAUUUCAUACUAACAUAACGUUAUUUGUUUUAUAUGUUACACUAACAAAUAAUUUAAAAGUUAUAAAAAUAUUUAAAAUUCAAAAAAUAUAUGAUAAAAAAAUUCAUAAAUAUUCAAAAAAUUAACAUGGAGUACCUAUAAAUUGUUUACAGGGUUGCAAUAUAUAAAAAUUUAACAUUUCAAUUAGUAUUUUAAUUAAAAAAACAACAAUUCAAUUUUUUUUUAAAUGUUAAAAGAUCAAAUUCGACUUUUUUUUUUAAAAAAAUUGAAGCCUAAAUUAGCUUUUUUAUGAUUUUACUACUUAAAUAUUGUUGACUAAAUCUUAUGUUGCUACUACUUAAUUUUGGAGGGUUGUUUGGGCAGAACAUGACUCCAGCAAUAAUUGUUAGUGUUGAAACAAUGCUAGAAAGGUGGAAAGGCCAAGAAGGCAAAGAGAUUGAAGUGUAUAAUGAAUUUAGAUUAUUGACUUCGGAAGUGAUUUCAAGAACAGCUUUUGGUAGCAAUUACUUGGAAGGGGAGAAGAUUUUUGCCAUGUUGAGCAAGUUGACAAUACUCGUGAGUCAAAAUAUUUCCAAGACUAAGAUUCCUUUCAUCAAGUAUGUUCCCUCUAACCUUAGUUAAUCCCUAUGGCUUUAAUUUUUUUUUUUUUUAUAUAGAGAGCUGACCUUUGUUUGCUUAUACAGCAAGUUAUGGAAAUCUGCUGAAAUGCUAGAGUCUGAAAAACUCGAAAAAGGAAUACAAGAUUAUGUGAUGGAGAUGAUUAAGAAAAGAGAAGAUAAAGUCGUGAGUGGAGAAGCUGAUAGCUUUGGCAAUGAUUUUCUGGGAUUACUAGUAAAUGCUUAUAAUGAUUUGGACGAUAAAAACAGGGUUUCAUUGGAAGACUUGGUAGGUGAAUGCAAAACAAUCUACUUUGCUGGACAAGAAACUGUCAAUUCAUUGCUUGCAUGGAUAGUCUUGCAUUUGGCAAUCCAUGGAGAUUGGCAAGAGAAAGCAAGGAGAGAGGUGAUUGACAUAUUUGGUAACCAAAAUCCGCAUCUCGAAGGCAUUGCCAAACUCAAAAUAGUAAGCAAACUAUCUAACUGGAAAUUCAAAUUGCCAUCAACAUGAUGUAAUCUGACAUGUUUUUCUAUUUUCCAAACAGAUGACCAUGAUCAUCAAUGAAACUCUAAGAUUGUAUGGUCCGUCAAAUGGCCUGCCAAGAACAGUCGCAAGAGAAGUACAGUUGGGAAAGUUAGUCUUGCCUGCUAAUAUAGAUGUUCUGUCUUUAAAUAUUGGACUUCACCGUGACCCUCACUUGUGGGGGGAUGAUGUGCAUCUUUUUAAACCAGAGAGAUUCGCCGAAGGGAUUGCCAAAGCUACCAAUUACACCGCAGCUGCAUUUUUCCCCUUUGGAUUCGGACCUCGAUCUUGUGUUGGUAUGACCCUUGCAACCAUAGAAACCAAAAUUGCUCUGUCCAUGAUUCUACAACGUUACACCAUCACCAUUUCCCCUGCCUAUGUCCACUCUCCAAUACCUAUUCUCACCAUUCGACCACGACAUGGAAUUCAAAUAAUACUUGAGCCGCUGCAUAGCUGUUAAGAACUAGGGGCUUAAUAUUGUUGGUUCGUGUAUUCACUUGUAAGAGAUGACAUUCAGUGUAUCUAAGGUGUUACAAACUUAAUAAAAAGAAAGAGGAAUGAAUUACUAUGUGAAAGAAAUAAUAUUACUUCUUAAUUUUCAUUAGGUUAGAUAAUCUAUUUAUAAUAGAAACUAGAUACACGAAUAAGGAAAGAUAUGAUAUAAAAUUGUGCUAUUAAAUUAGAUACAAAUAAGGAAAGAUAUGGUAUGAAUUACUUAUGCAAUAUUUCACAUUAACAUCCCCCUCAAACUCAAGGUGGUGUUGUAGAUCUUAGCUUGAUUUUGAAAACUAAGUCUUGAAAUCUAAUUGGAAAAUGACUUUUUAGGAAAAUGAUUGUGAUAUGAGCUGAUGAGGAGACAGAAGCAUGGUGUAUGUGCCCUAAGUAACAUGAUGUCGUACAAAUGAAAGAGAAAACCAUCAUUAUCAAAGAAAACUUCAAGGACCAAAAGAGGAGGAAUUAUCAUCGAUCAUAGAGGUGUCAGUCACCAAAGAAAACAUUAGUGCUUAUGAUCCCUCAUACUGAACGCCUCCGUUUCCACCAAAGACCCUACUUACAAAAAGGGAGAGAAACAAUGAAGCACGAGACAGAACCGAGCGUCCUUGAUCACCCACUAAAAGACACCGUAAGAGAACAGAGGCUCAGAGCCACUUAAACCAAUCAAAAUUAACCACCGCGACAUUCCCAACACAACACUCAAACAAUAACUAAAUUGUUAAAUAAACAGAAAAAUAAGAAAAGUAGCAUAUGGAGGCUUUAGGCACCGCCACCCAUAAAAGGAUCACUAGCAUCAAAACAAAUCAGUCCUCCUCAACAAAGGUUUGCUUGUGAGAAGAGAAAAAAAUAUAUAAAUAAAAGAGCCACGAAAGCUCAAACAAUACGUGCCCUAAGAUUGUAAAAUCUACUUAAACAUUCAAAAGGCCUCUCAACAAUUCAAACGUUCUAUACUUUUUGUAUUCUAAACUUUAAUUUUAAUUUAAAUAAUACCAGUUAAAUCAAUUAACAAAAAUAAGAUGAUUUUUUUUGUAAAUAUUAUAUGAAAAUGGUAAGUGAAUGUCACUUUACGGCGUAACAUUUAGCCAUUGUUGACUGAUUGCAUUUGCGGUGACGUGUGGUAGAUGGCUCCCUUAAAAUAUCCAUAAAUAUAAAAAUUUUGUAGGUCCAAUUAACUUUUGUAACUUCAAAGAACAUCAGCAUUAGCCAUUAUUUUAUUAUAAGGCGAAAUAUGUGAUUGUCGUGUAAGGCCAAACAACCAUUAUUUAAUGACUGAAAUCUUAGUUUUUUCUAUUUUCAAACAACACUUGAAGUCAUCAUCUCACGUGAUGUUGUUGACAAAAAUAUUUAAAAAGUUUUUAAGUCCAAAACCUAGUUUGAAUUACAAUCAUUAAUAAUUAUUAUAAUAUUUAAAAUAAAAAUAAAUAAAUGAUAAUUAUUUAAUUUAGGAGUAAGUAUAUAUUAAAAUUUUCUUAUUAAUAAAAAUAAUUAAUAAAUAUCUACUUAAUUUUUUAAAACAUCCCUCAAAACCAAGAUCACUAAACCCACCAUUUUAUUUUUCAAUAUAAUCAUAUUUAAUUUUUAUACUUUUUGUAUUUUGAAAUUUCAAUCUUAAUUCAAAUAAUAUCUGUUAAAUUUAUUAACAAAAACAACAUGAUUUCUUUUAAUAUUAUAUGUUAAUAUCAGUGAUAAUAUAUUUAUUGUAUAAAAUUAUUUAAAAUUAAAAUUUAAAAUUUAAAUUUAUACAAAUAAAAACCUAUAGCAUAUUUUAACUUAAUUCUAAUAUGAAAUUUCAAUCGUUCUUUUGUGAUUAUUGAUUUUCUAGCCAUUGUUGUCUAAUUGCAUUUCAUAAAUAUAAAAAUUCGAGUUUUAUUAAUAAUCAGAAGUCAACCAAAUCAAUAACCACAAAAGGCCUAAUACCCUGGGAAAUGUAGUAUAAUUAAGUUAUCAUUUUGAUAUUUUUACUAUUUUUCUCAGUUUAGUCCCUACACUUUCAUUCUAUAUAUCCCGCUAUUUCAAUCUAUUUUUGUUAAAAAAAUUAAACCAAUCAAUGACACUUGUCACGUGUAAAAAAUUUAGAAAAUACUUGAAAGUUAAAAAGAUAUUAAAAUUUUAAAAAAAUUAUAAAAAAAUUCCCCAAAUCCAAAAAUAUUAGAACUUAGAAUAUUUUAAAAUUUUAAAAAAUCAUAACUUUUUGAGUUUUAAUAUUUUUGUGGAAUUUAUAAAACUAUGAUUUUUUAAAUUUAAAAAAGUUUUUAGUUUUUCUAUAUUUUAAAAUUUUAAAGUGAAUUUAAAUAUUUUGACACGUGACAGCAUGUCAUUGAUUGCUAUAGUUUUUUUUUUAAACAUAAAUUUAGAUUGGGUCAAGGGAAAGUUGAUAGAAAUUUUACAUUACGGUCCAAUUUAAAAGCAAAACGAGCUCUGGGAUAUAAUAGAAUGCAAAGAAUUAAAGGAGUCAUAAGUCCAAAUACUAAAGAGAGUUGAGAGAAUCAAAAUGAGUGGCUUGAUGAAGCUUGUAAUUCUUGUCCCAUGUUCUUUGUUCUUCGCAGCUUUAGUAAAGUUCCUUUAUGAUUACCUGUGGAGACCUCUCCGUAUACAGCAAAUGCUGAAUUCACAGGGAAUCAGAGGACCGCCUUACAGAUUCAUCCAUGGCAACAACAAAGAAGUUGCCAAAAUGAGACAAGAAGCAUUAAGCAAGCCUAUGGCCUUGAGGCAUGAUAUAUUUCCUAGAGUGCAUCCACAUAUUUACACCUGGAUCAACAAAUAUGGUAAGAUCCAUGCAUGUUUUUCACUAUGAUUUCUAAAUUCUAGUUCUAAGAAAAGAUUGACCCUUUUGUUUAUUUUAUUUGGUCAGGGAAGAAUUAUCUUUCUUGGGAUGGUGUUCGAGCUGAACUUGUGAUUUCAGAACCUGAACUAAUCAAAGAGGUUCUAAAAAAUAGUGAAAAAGCUUUUCCCAAAAGGAAGCUUACAGUUUUCCUUACCAAGCUAGUAGGGAACGGGCUUGUGACAGUGGAGGGUGAAAAAUGGGUGAAGCAACGGAAGUUGGGGAAUUAUGCUUUUCAUGGGGAAAGCUUAAAGGUGAGACACUCUUAACAUGUGAAUUAGUUCUCUAAAUCUUGCUUACAUAUGUUGUUGCUUACAUGUUGAUGGCUUGUUUGUGCAGAACAUGACACCGGCAGUUAUUUCCAGCGUUGAAACAAUGCUAGAAAAGUGGAAAGGCUAUGUGGGCAAAGAGAUUGAACUGUUUGAAGAAUUUAGAUUAUUAACUUCAGAAGUGAUAUCGAGAACAGCUUUUGGUAGCAGUUACUUGGAAGGGCAGAAAAUUUUUUACAUGUUGAGCAAGUUGGCAAUAAUUGCGAACCGAAAUCUUUUCAAGACCAGAAUUCCUUGGAUCAGGUAUGUUCCCUCUAAGCUUAAUUUAUCCCUAAUUUAAAAUUGUUGAUUCCCAUGGAUUUCGGGUUUUUUUUUUUCCCAUAUAUAGACCUAACCUUGGUUUCCUUUUACAGCAAGUUAUGGAAACCUGCUGAUGUUCUUGAGUCAGAAGAACUUGCAAAUGAAAUACAGAGUUGUGUGAUGAAGAUGAUUAAGAAAAGAGAAGACAGAGUUGUGAAUGGAGGAGCUGAUAGCUUUGGCAAUGAUUUUCUAGGAUUACUUGUAAAUGCCUAUCAUGAUUUGGACGACAAAAACAUGCUUUCAUUGGGAGACUUGGUAGAUGAGUGCAAAACAUUCUACCUUGCUGGACAAGAUACUGUUAAUUCCUUACUUGCUUGGACAAUCUUCCUUUUAGCAAUCCAUGGAGAUUGGCAAGAGAAAGCAAGAAGAGAGGUAAUUGACAUAUUUGGUAACCAAAAUCCACAUUCUGAAGGCAUUGUCAAACUCAAAAUUGUAAGUGUCUUCCAUGAAUUUGAAUAGUGACAGCAACAUUAAAUUAUGUGAUGUAAUCUGACAUAUUUCUAUUCUACAAACAGAUGACCAUGAUCAUUAAUGAAACUUUAAGAUUAUAUGGUCCAGCAAAUGGCCUAAUGAGAAAAGUUGGAAGAGAAGUUCAGAUUGGAAAGCUAGUGUUACCUGCUAAUAUAGAUCUUUAUAUUGUAAAUGUUGUACCUCAACAUGACCCUCAACUAUGGGGAGACGAUGUGCAUCUUUUUAAACCAGAGAGGUUCGCAGAAGGAAUUGCCAAAGCUACCAAUUACAAUGCAGCUGCAUUUUGUCCCUUUGGAAUUGGACCUCGGUCUUGUGUUGGUAUGAGCUUUGCAACCAUGGAAACAAAGAUUGCGCUCUCCAUGAUUCUUCAACGCUAUACCAUUUCCCUCUCCCCUGCUUAUGUCCACUCACCAAUAUCUGUUGUCACCAUUCAACCAGAACAUGGAAUUCAAGUAAUACUCAAGUCACUGCACAGCAAUGUUUAAUGUACAUGGUUGCUAUGAAUUCAGGGUUUAACCUUGCUGGUUUAGGAUUUCUUGUUUAAGAGAUUGCAUUUAAUAUGUUAAUUAAAUGCUUACUUUACAAUUUCGUGUGUUACAAAUCACCUACUUAAAUUGUCUACGCUGUAUCUUUUUAUCUAGAAAAAAAAAUCUCCCCCAACAAGAUGCUUUGCAUACCGAAUGGUGAGAACGAUGUAGAAGAUUCAAGAAAUAAGUCAUUAAAAAAUCGCGGAAAGGACUAAAUUGAAAUCGCGGAAAAAUCGUGGGGUAAAAUUAAAAAAAUAAAAGUACUUGGUUGUAAAGCCAUUAAAAAGCAGAAGGGCUAAAGGUACAAUUAAUCCUCCAACAAAACGGUCGGAUCCUUGGCGGUUCGGUCGGGUCGAUCCGAUCUAGGUCAAAACGACGUCGUUUUGGGCGUUUUGGAGCUGGGCCAAAACGGCGCCGUUUUAUGCGCCUAUAUAAGCCAAGUUUUUUUUUUUUAAUUUCAUUUUCCCUUUCUUUAAAAAAAAAAUUCAAAAACACUCUCCCCUUUCCUCUCUUCCCCAGAAAUCGGCAAGCCUUCGGCAAGGGCUCCGUCCAUCGGCCACCGACCGACAGCCGGGGCUGCCGUACACGGCGGCGGGGAGCCAAAAAAUUUUAUUUUUUUUUCGAUGCACUGCCUUGGCUACCUUGAGCAACCACCGAUGAAAGUAAAAAAAAAUCUUUCCUUUUUCUUUUAUUUAAUAUUUCGAAAUAAUAAUAAUAAAAAUAAACGAAAACAAAAAUAAAAAAAGGCACCUUUAGUUUUUUUUUUUUUUGAAUCUCUUUUUCUAUUUCUCCAAAAAAAGAACCCCCUUUUACAAUGUUCGAAUGACUUUAUAUAUAGUCAUUUUACAAUUUUUGGUUCUAUUUAUUUUUGCUGUCCUUUCUUUCUGAUUUUGCAGGUGCAAGUGGCGGAACAGUUGGGCGGUGCAGGUGGCGGCAGCAGGCCUAGGGCGUUAGGGACGUGCGGCGCCUGAGCUAGGAGGCAGAAGACCCUAGGUGCGGCGCACCUAGAGUUUUGUUUAUUUUUUGUUUUUUCUGUCAUGUGGGCUGCUAGGGUUUAGGGUAUUGGGCCUGCUGUAAUUUGGGCUCUUUUAUUUUUGGUCUGAUUUGGGGUUUGGGUUUUAAUUAAUUUGUUUGAAUCUUAUUGGACCCCGGGCAAAAUUUGGGUCUUACAAUAUUAAUUAAAUGCUUACUUUACAAUUUCGUGUUUUACAAAUCACAUACUUAAAUUGUCUAUGUUGUAUCGUUUUAUUAAAAAAAAAAAAAACUCUCCCACAACAAGAUGUUAUGCAUACCGAAUGGUGAGAACGAUGUAGAGGAUUCAAGAAAAGGGUAAAUUUUGGGUACACAAAUGAUAAUGUUGGCACUAGAGGUGUCCAUGGGCCGGGCUCGGGCCGGGCCCAACAAAAAAUUUCAGCCCGCUUCCUAGGCUCGGGCCCGGCCCGGCCCGAAAUAUGGGCCUGAGAUUUUGCCCAGGCCCGGCCCGGGAAAAAAAUAUGGAACCCGAGCCCGGCCCGGCCCGCUUUUUAAUUAAAAUUAAAAUUAUAUUUUUAUUAAAAUUAAAACUAAUUGUUAUUAAAAUUAAUUGUUAUCAAAAUUAAUUAUUAUUAAAAUUGUAUCAAAUUAUAUAUUUUUUGUACCAAUCAACAUUUUGUAAAAUCUAACAUUUUGUUAGUAAAAUUAUUAAUUGUAUUAAUUGUUACUAAAAUUAUCAAAUUAUAUCAAAUUAUUAAUUAUUAAUUGUUACUAACAUUUUGUUAGUAAAAUUAUUAAUUGUUAAUUGUAUUAAUUAUUAGUAAAAUUAUCAAAUUACAUCAAAUUAUUAAUUGUUAAUUGUAUUAAUUGUUGUAACAAAAUCUAAAAUUUUGUAACUUAAAAUAAAACUAAAACUAGUAUAUUUUAAAAAUAAAAAAUAUAUAUUUAAUAUAUUUUCGGGCCGGGCCCGGGCCAAAAAAAUCUUGCCCGAGGCCCGGCCCGUUUUCUAAACGGGCCUCGUUUUUUGCCCAAGCCCAUACUUCGGGCCUAUAUUUUUACCCAAACCCUCCCAUAUUUCGGGCGGAGAUACAACCCAAUGCCAUCAAUAUUUUCCCAACCAUUGAUUUUGAUGCGUGAGUUUUGUAAAUCAUUCCAUUCCUUCAACCACAACAUAGAAUUCAAGUAAUACUUGAGCCGCUGCAUAGCUGUUAAGAACUAGGGGUUUAACAUAGCUGGUUCGAGUAUUCACUUGUAAGAGAUGACAUUUAGCAUGUCUAAGGUGUUACAAACUUAAGAAAAAGAAAAAGGAAUGAAUUUCUUCGUAAAAGAAAAAAUAUUACUGCUUAAUUUUCAAACUUUGUUUUUGGAAUUUUGGAUUACCCAAUCCAAGUUCAAUGUAAACCUUAUGCAUAAAAAAUACAAUAUAUAAUUGGUCACACCAACACAACGAUCCAAAAAAACACUCACAUAUUUUAAUAAUAAUUAUAUUUAUCUAAAUAAUCAUAUCUCUUAAUUAUUAAUCAAUAGAUACAAUUAUACUUGUUUUAAUAAUUAAAAAAAAAAUAACUUUUCACCAAUAACUGGUCAGCUAUAAUUUGGAACGUUUCCAUUUGGUCAAAUUUCGUAAUUAAACUAAUUUGCUGAAGUGAACAAAGCGUUAUAGGCAGUGAUGUUUGUUAAGUUCUAAUAUAAUAUAAAUUUAUGUAAUAAUAUUCAUACAAAAUAUAAUUAAAAUAAUAUUUAUUCUAUGAAAUUAAUUUUAAAUAUUUUAAGAAAAAUUUAAAAGUUGAAUUCAAAGUAGAAAUAAAUAUAUAAAAAUAAUUUAAGAAAAAUUUGAAGUCAAAUUCAAAAUAUAAUAAUAUAAACAAUAAAAAUAUAAUCUUUCUAUUUAAAAUUUCUAAAGUCAAUUUAGUCUUAGUCAUCCUCAUUCUAUGUUUUCUUUUUUUAUUGUUAGUGUCAGUUUUUCUAUCUAACUCCGUAAAUAUAUUAUUGCAAGACUUGCAUUGUCUUGUACCAUUCGAGAUAACAUGCAGCACUUGAUGAAAGUCAUUUCCAAAAAAAUUUUAUACUAAGUGGUAGAAAGAGUCAAAAUUGGUUGCUCAUUCUUUCAAUAAAUCCCUUAUUCAUAGGUCUAAUUAACUUUUGUAACUUCAAAGAACAUCAGCAUUAGCCAUUAUUUUAUUAUAAGGCCAACACUAGUCUUAAUUUUUUCUAUUUUCAAAUAAUACUUGAAUUCCCCAUCUCACGUUAUGUUAUUGACAAAAAUAUUUUAAAAGUUUUUAAGUCCAAAACUUAGUUUGAAUUACAAUUGUCGAAAUCUUUUUUUUUAAAAAAAUGGGGUCGACUUGGAUUUUGAAAACGAAACGAAUAUAGAAGUCGCCAUCAAUCUUUUUUGAUGAUGUGUGAUCGGGUCACCUCGUAAAGUGGUUGUUUUUAAUAAAUGGUUUAGAUUUAUUAAAACAAUGUUUUUGGUCUGCGAGAUUCAAAAAAAUGGGUUCGGGAGUCGGUCACGUACAAGGAAGGAUUAGCACCCUCAUAACGCCCAAAAUUGGUACCUAGUUGAUUAAUUAGUGUCUUAGUGUCGAAAAUUGAAAACUUUAAAGAGAUUUAAAAUCCGAUCAUUUGCUAAAAUAUUGAAAAUUUUCAAGAAAGAGCAUAUUUCACGUUAAUCAAGAAAGAGAAUUAUGUCCCGUAAGGUAGGAUACAAUGUCUUAAAUUCCCGAUACGAGAAUAAAUACCGAAAAAUUCACUUAUUUGAAAGAUAUUCGAUUAUCUCGGUUUUAAAAAAAGAUCAUAUUCCGUAAGUUAGAACACGAUCUUUUAUUAAUUCCCGAGAUUAUUAAAAAUUUAUGCUUAAAAAGGUUCGUGUAUUUGGAUUUGUCGAGAAAAUCGAAACCCCGUAAGUUAGGGCACGACCUUUUCGAAUCUCAAAAUACGAAGUUUUACUUAUUUUAAAGUCAUAAUUUAUGUAUCGAGUAAAAUUAAUGUAACACGAAUUGGUAGAAAUAAAGUACGGUGUUAAUAUGUAUAACGAAAAAUAAUAAAUGCGAUAAAAUAAAUAUAAAUAAUAUGAGUGAAAACAAAAAUAAGAUAAAUAAAUAAAUAAAUAAGGACAAAUCAAUUAUGUAUAUACAAUAACAAGUAAAUAAAAAAUAAAACAUUUUUAAAGAAUAAUAAUGGACACAUAAAUAAAUAAGUAAAUUAAUUUAAUAAUAAUAGUAAUAAAAUAAAAAUAUAGAAACAAAAAAAGUACAAAAAAAUAAAGAUAGUUUUAAACACUAAAGUACCAAUAAAUAGUAACUAUGUAUUUAAAAAAAAUAGUAAAAAUAUGAAAGUAAAAUAAAACAAAAUCUAUAUAAAGAAAAUAAUAAUAGCAUAAUAAUAUUACAUUAAUUAAUUUAAUAAAGAAAUAGCCAAAAUAACAAAAAGGACUAAAUUGAGCUUUAAAACAAAAUUUUGGGGCAAAUCAGAAAUAAAUAAAAGGAUAAGGGCUAAAUUGGAUGAUCAAAUAACAAGGAGGGACCAAAUGGGAAAUAUUCCCUAUCCUCCAAAACGCGCAGUUCCAAUAUGGACUAAAAUGAAACAGGUGCAAAAAUUACGGGGUAAAAUUAAAAGAAAAAAGGCAAAGAGGACUAAAUUAAAACAACCCAAAAAUGCCGAAGGACCAAAAGAGUAAAUAACCCUUUUUACACAAAAACACGCGGAUCCUCCUGGAUCGGGUCGGGUCACGCGCGGGUUGGCCCCAAAACGAUGUCGUUUUGGCGGCUGAAGCUAUGGCCCAAAACGGCGCCGUUUUACAUGCCUAUAUAAAUCAAUUUUUUUAAAAAAAAAACUUCAUUUUUGCCUUCUCUUAAAAAAAAACUAAAAUCUCUUCUCUCUUUUUUUCAAAAUCCUCUUCACCCUUCCCAGAAUCCGGCCAUCGGCCGCUGCGCCCACCGCCGGCCACCGGCGACGGUGCCACCAUACAUGAUGGCCGGAAGUCCAAAAGGUACGCUUUUUUAUAUAUUUUUUUUGCUAUAUAUACAUAUAUAUAGUUUUUUUUUUUAAAAAACAAAACAAAAGUAAAAAAUAAAAGGUUUCAGAAACUAAAAGAAAAAAAGGAGAGACAUUUUGCUCGCUCUCUUGUUUUCCUUAAAUAUGCUUGUAAGACCCAAAUUUCACCCGGACCCAUACCAGCAAAACAAAUACAGAAACCCAAUAACCUAGACCAAAACCCAAAGCCCAACAAAAUAAGCCCAAACCCGAAUCAGGCCUAAAACAAUUAGUCAAACUAGGGUUUCAGCUUUUCUGAAAGCCUAGUGCCGCCGCCGUCAUCACAUCAACAAGGCAAGUGGUGCGUUUUCCCUUUGCCAUCGACCUACCCACUGCCACCUGCUCCAUCAACGUCAAAUACCUGUAAACAAGCAAGAAGAAGAGGGGUAGCAACAACAGUAGAAAAUAAAAAAUUUUGUAACAAAUCAGCUAUAAAAAGCCGAAGGUAAUCUCUGAAAAAGGGUUUUUUUUAUGAACAUCAGAGCAUAAAAAGCAACAUUUUAGAGGUGAUCCUCUACUGUUCUUUCAAUAUUAGUUUGAUUUUUUUUAUUUGGUCUUUUUUUGUUUCUUUGUUAUUUAAAUAAUAAAAUAAAAAAUGGAAAAGGAGGACUCACCGGGGAACCCUUGUAACCACAUCGCCGGAUGGGGUCUACGCCACCGUUGGGGCCGCAUCCGAAAGGAGGCUGGGGCUCUCCUCUUGCGUUUCGGCGUUGAGAGGGUUCAACCCCUGAGAGCGCUGUGAAACGAAGGCUAAAAAGCCCAUUUUCUCCAUCGCUGUCCCCGGCCAUGGCGGUCGGGCGGCGGACGGACGGUGGAGCCUUAGGCCGAAAAGGGGUGGGGGUGAGAGAGAGAUGGGGAUUUUUGAAUAUUUUUUUAAAAAAAAACAUAGCAGAAAUGAGGCUAUUCAGAAAAUUUUGGUAUUUAAGGAGGCAUUAAAUGGCAUCGUAUUUGGACUUAGGGUUUAGAGGCCAAAACGACGUCGUUUUGGCCUCUGACCUGCGACCCGACCCGAUGGCCCUGAGGAUUUGUGUGUUUUCGUAAAAGGGGCUAUUUGCGCAAUAGGCCCCUUCGCCUUUGCAAAGUUUUCGAUGCGGUCUUUGUUGCAUUUUCUAAUUUUGGCCACAUAAUUUUGUUUCUUUUUUUAUUUGGUCCAUAGACCAUGCAUAGGUGCCUCCUUGGGGCGACGCCGUUUUGCCGACAUGGGAUAUUUUCCCAAUUAAUCCCCACUUUUCUUUGGGCAUUUGAAAUUGGUCCCUUUAUUUAUUUAUAUUUUAAUCUAUCCUGCUAAUUUAGUUUAAGCUACAAUUAAGCCCUUUUUAUCUUAAUUCUUUAUUUAUUCAUUUAUUUAUUUGUUUGCUUAUUUAUAUCUUUAUUUAAAACUUUGUUAUACACGUACAUACACACAUUUUUAUAAUAUACAUACGCACAUAUAUUUUAUGUUUUAUAUAUUUAUACAUACAUAUGUUUUUUAUAUUCUAUAACUUUAAAAUAUAUGUAUAUAUACAUGCAUUCUUCUAAUAUUUAUGUGUUUUACAUUUUAUAACUCCUAUAUAUAUACAUACAUAUAUUCUUUUUUUUUGUAUAUACUUUAUAAUCUUAAAAUAUACGUAUACUUAUACACAUUUUAUAAUACAUAUAUGUACAUAUAUUUUAUCAUUUAUAUAUACAUAUAUAUUUGUUAUAUUUUUGACAAUUUUAAAAUAUAUAUAUAUAUAUAUAUGCACACAUAUUCUUAUACUCUUUAUAGUUUUAUUAAAUUUAUUUAUUGCAUUUUUGUUUCACUCGAUGUUAAUUUAUUUAUUUGCGUAUAUGUUCGUUAUUAUUUGAAAGGAAUGCCUUAAUUAUUCAUCUAUUUAUUUGAUGUGAUAUGAUCGAUUUGUCUCUCCUAUUAUUUAUCUCGUUUACUAUGUCGUGCGUAUUAUUUAUGCUUACAUUAUCGUGUUCAUCAUUGUUUGCUACGCACAUUAAUGUCAUGCUCUACUAUUCGGAGUUAGAUUAAUUUCAAUGCAUAAAUUACGAUUUUUUGAAUAAGCAAAAUCUCGUGUUUAGAUUCGAGAAGGUUGUACCCUAACUUACGGGGUUUCGAUUUUCACAAUAAAUCUAAAUACAUAAAUCUUUUCAAACUCAAGUUUUAAACGAUCUUGGGAAUUAAGAAAAGAUUGUGUCCUAACUUACUGGGCAUGAUCCCUUUUUUUUUUAAUCCGAGAUAGCUAAAUAUCUUUUAAAUAAGUAAAUAUUUGACAUCUAUUUGCGCAUCGGGAAUUCAAGACAUUGUAUCCUAACUUACUGGAUAUAAUUUUCUUCCUCGAUUAACGUGAAAUAUGCCAUUUUCUCGAAAAUUUUUAACAUUUCAAUAAAGGAUCGUAUUUUUAAAAUUCUUCAAAAUUUUUAUUCUUCGACACUAAGACACUAAUUAAUCAACUAGGUACCAAUUUUUGGGCGUUACGAGGGUGCUAAUCCUUCCUCGUACGUAACCGACUCCCGAACUCGUUUUCCUGAAUUUCGUGGACCCAAAAUCAUUGUUUUAAUAAAAUUAAUUUGUUUAUUAAAAACAACCACUUUUUGAGGUGGCCCGAUCACACCUCAUCAAAAGAGAUUGGUGGCGACUCCCAUUUUCGUUUUCAUUUUCAAAAUCCAAGUCGACCCCGUUUUACAAAAGAAAUGGUGUCAACAAUGCUUUUGUUGCUUUUUGUUCUUUUGUAUAUUUGAAUUUUUGUAUUCAAAAAUGAAAAUUCCUAGAGAGAUACAAUGUUCUUGCUUGGCUUCUUUUAUAGCCAUUUUACACGAUUUUUUUUAUUUCUUGCGUUCACUGUCUUUUCUCUUUGAUGUUUUACAGGUGGCGGUGAAAGUGGAGGGCUUUGACCGACGUGACAGUGGAGAUGGCAACAGGCUAGGAGACCUAGGUGAGGCGCACCUAGGGUUAGGGGGUAUUAGGGUUUUUUGAUGAUUUUGGGCUAUUGGGCUUAAUUGGGUUUUAAUUUUUGUAUUUGGUUUUGUUUGAGUUUUAUUGGGCCUCGGGCAAAUUGGGCCUAUUACAGCUGCCCCUCUUUACUCAUUGUCGUGUAACGGGAAUGGAGCAAAAACUUCAAAAAGAGCCAAUUUUGCCCAAUUUAGCCAAAUCUUGACUUAUUGGUGCUUUUCUUCUUCGGUAGCUUCAUUCCAGUCCACUGCGUCUUGUUACUUCGAUCCAUUCCACUACAACUUCAGAGGAUGAGAUUUGUGGUUUUAGUCUGCUCCACUGCAAUGUUAGGGAGAUAAGACUUGUAACUCCAACCUGCUCCACUGCAAUUGUAGGGAGACCAGAUUUGCUGUCUUCAACCUGCUCCACUGCAACUUCAGAGAGAUAAGAUUCACUAUCUUCAGUCUACUCCACUACAACUUCAGGGAGAUAAUAUUUUAUAUGAUCUGCUCUACUGCAAUUUUAGAGAUAUUAGAUCUGCAAUUUAUAGCUUCAAUCUGUUCCACUGCACUUCAGGGGAAUAAGAUUUGCUAUCUUCAGUUUGCUCCACUGCAACUUUAGGGAGAUAAGACUUACUAUGGUAGAUUUAAUCCGACCUACUGCAACUUUAGAGGUAUAGGAUUCAUCGUUUUAAUCCGCUCCACUGCAACCUUAAGGAGAUAGGAUUAGUAGCUUCAAUCUACUCCACUGCAACUCUAUAAUUACAUCAAUCUCAAAACUCUAUAUUUUUAGAUUUAAUAGCAAAACAAAUAUACAUAAAUAUAAAAAUUUUGUAGGUCUAAUUAACUUUUGUAACUUCAAAGAACAUCAGCAUUAGCCAUUAUUUUAUUAUAAGAUAAGGCGAAAUAUGUGACUGCCGUGUAGGGCCAAACAACCAUUAUUUAAUGAUGAAGUCUUAAUUUUUUCUAUUUUCAAAUAAUACUUGGAAGUCCUCAUCUCACGUUAUUUUAUAUAUUGACAAAAAUAUUUAAAAAGUUUAAGUCCAAAACCUAGUUUGAAUUACAAUCAUUAAUAAUUAUUAUAAUAUUUAAAAUAAAAAUAAAUAAAUGAUAAUUAUUUAAUUUAGGGGUAAAUAUAUAUUAAAAUUUUCUUAUUAAUAAAUAUCUACUUAAUUUUUUAAAAGAUCCCUCAAAACCAAUAAUUUGAUCAUCAAACCCACCCUUUUAUUUUUCAAUAUAAUCAUAUUUAAUUUUUAUACUUUUUGUAUUCUAAAAUUUCAAUCUUAAUUCAAAAAAUAUCUGCUAAAUUUAUUAAUAAAAACAACAUAAUUUCGUUUAAUAUUAUACGUUAAUAUCACAUUAUGUGUGAUAAUAUAUUUAUUGUAUAAAAUUAUUUAAAAUUAAAAUAUAAAAUAUAAAAUCUAAAUUUAUAAAAAUAGAAACCUAUAACAUAUUUUAACUUAAUUCUAAUAUGAAAUUUCAACCGUUGUUUUGUGAUUAUUUGUUUUCUAGCCAUUGUUGAUUAAUUGCAUUUCAUAAAUAUAAAAAUUUGAAUUUUUGAUAUUUGUACUAUUUUUAUCAGUUUAGUCCCUAUAUUUUUAUUCUAUAUAUCCCGCUAUUUCAAUCUAAUUUUCUGUUAAAAAAAUUAAACCAAAAUAAUGACACGUUGUCACGUGUAAAAAGUUUAGAAAAUACUUGAAAAUUAAAAAGAUAUUAAAAAUUCAAAAAAAUUAUAAAAAAUUCCCCAAAUCCAAAAAUAUUAGAACUUAGAAUAUUUUAAAAUUUUAAAAAAUCAUAACUUUUUGAGUUUUAAUAUUUUUGUGGAAUUUAUAAAACUAUGAUUUUGUGGAAUUUAUAAAACUAUGAUUUUUUAAAAUUUAAUAAGUUUUUAGUUUUUCUAUAUUUUAAAAUUUUCAAGUGAAUUUAAAUAUUUUGACACCCGGGAGCAUGUCAUUGAUUGCUCUAUUUUUUUUUUUAACAUAAAUUUAAACUGGGUCGCGGGAAAGUUGAUAGAAAUUUUACAUUACGGUCCAAUUUAAAAGCAAAACAGCUCUGGUAUAUAAUAGAAUGCAAAGAAUUAAAGGAGUCAUAAGUCCAAAUACUAAAGAGAGUUGAGAGAAUCAAAAUGAGUGGCUUGAUGAAGCUUGUAAUUCUUGUCCCACGUUCUUUGUUCUUCGCAGCUUUAGUAAAGUUCCUUUAUGAUUACCUGUGGAGACCUCUCCGUAUACAGCAAAUGCUGAAUUCACAGGGAAUCAGAGGACCUCCUUACAGAUUCAUCCAUGGCAACAACAAAGAAGUUGCCAAAAUGAGACAAGAAGCGUUAAGCAAGCCUAUGGCUUUGAGGCAUGAUAUAUUUCCUAGAGUGCAGCCACAUAUUGACACCUGGAUCAACAAAUAUGGUAAGAUCCAUGCAUGUUUUUCACUAUGAUUUCUAAAUUCUAGUUCUAAGAAAAGAUUGACCCUUUUGAUUAUUUUAUUUGGUCAGGGAGGAAUUAUCUUUCUUGGGAUGGUGUUCGAGCUGAACUUGUGAUUUCAGAACCUGAACUAAUCAAAGAGGUUCUAAAAAAUAGUGAAAAAGCUUUUCCCAAAAGGAAGCUUACAGUUUUCCUUAGCAAGUUAUUAGGGAACGGGCUUGCGACAGUCGAGGGUGAAAAAUGGGAGAAGCGACGGAAGUUGGGGAAUUAUGCUUUUCAUGGGGAAAGCUUAAAGGUGAAACACUCGUAACAUGUGAAUUAGUUCUCUAAAUGUUGCUUACAUAUGUUGUUGCUUACAUGUUGAUGGAUUGUUUGUCCAGAACAUGACACCGGCAAUAAUUGCCAGCGUUGAAACAAUGCUAGAAAAGUGGAAAGGCUAUGUGGGCAAAGAGAUUGAAGUGUUUGAAGAAUUUAGAUUAUUAACUUCAGAAGUGAUAUCGAGAACAGCUUUUGGUAGCACUUACUUGGAAGGGCAGAAAAUUUUUUACAUGUUGAGCAAGUUGGCAAUAAUUGCGAACCGAAGUUUUUUCAAGACCAGAAUUCCUUGGAUCAGGUAUGUUCCCUCUAAGCUUAAUUUAUCCCUAAUUUAAAAUUGUUAAUUCCCAUGGAUUUCGGGGUUUUUUUUCCAUAUAUAGAGCUAACCUUGGUUUCCUUUCACAGCAAGUUAUGGAAAUCUGCUGAUAUUCUUGAGUCAGAAGAACUUGCAAAUGAAAUACAGGGUUGUGUGAUGAAGAUGAUUAAGGAAAGAGAAGACAGAGUUGUGAAUGGAGAAGCUGAUAGCUUUGGCAAUGAUUUUCUAGGAUUACUUGUAAAUGCUUAUCAUGAUUUGGAUGACAAAAACAUGCUUUCAUUGGGAGACUUGGUAGAUGAGUGCAAAACAUUCUACCUUGCUGGACAAGAUACUGUUAAUGGCUUGCUUGCAUGGACAGUCUUACUUUUAGCAAUCCACGGAGAUUGGCAAGAGAAAGCAAGAAGAGAGGUGAUUGACAUAUUUGGUAACCAAAAUCCACAUCCUGAAAGCAUUGUCAAACUCAAAAUUGUAAGUAAACUAUCAAACCAAUUCAAUAUAUAUCUUGUCUUCCAUGGAUUUGAAUAGUGACAGCAACAUUAAAUUAUGUGAUGUAAUCUGACAUAUUUCUAUUCUACAAACAGAUGACCAUGAUCAUUAAUGAAACUUUAAGAUUAUAUGGUCUACAAAAUGGCAUAAUAAGAGAAGUUGGAAGAGAAGUUCAGAUUGGAAAUCUAGUGUUACCUGCUAAUAUAGAUCUUUAUAUUGCAAAUGUUGUACCUCAACAUGACCCUCAACUAUGGGGAGACGAUGUCCAUCUUUUUAAACCAGAGAGGUUCGCAGAAGGAAUUGCCAAAGCUACCAAUUACAAUGCAGCUGCAUUUUGUCCGUUUGGAAUUGGACCUCGGUCUUGUGUUGGUAUGAGCUUUGCAACCAUGGAAACAAAGAUUGCACUCUCCAUGAUUCUUCAACGCUAUACCAUUUCUCUCUCCCCUGCUUAUGUCCACGCGCCAAUAUCUGUUCUCGGCAUUCAACCAGAACAUGGAAUUCAAGUAAUACUCAAAUCACUGGACAGCAGUGUUUAAUGUACAUGGUUGCUAUGAAUUCAGGGUUUAACCUUUCUGGUUUAUGAAUUCUUCUUUAAGAGAUUGCAUUUAAUAUGUUAAUUAAAUGCUUACUCUACAAUUUCGUGUUUUACAAAUCACCUACUUAAAUUGACUAUGUUGUGUCUUUUUAUUAAAAAAUAAAACUCUCCCACAACAAGAUGUUAUGCAUACCGAAUGGUGAGAACGAUGUAGAAGAUUCAAGAAAUGAGUAAAUUUUGGCUACACAAAUGAUAAUGUUGGCAUCAAAGGACGGAGAUACAACCCAAUACCUUCAAUAUUUUCCCUACCAUUGAUGGUAACAUUUGUGACUUCUUGAUUUUGAUGCGAGAGUUUUGUAAAUCAUUCCAUUCCUAUUAUUAUAUAAUACUACACAUGAUGCUACAAUUGUAAGGUCAACAAGUAUUACUAUUUGAAAGGUAGUACAUUUCAGACACGUUUUGUGAUUUUUAAAAUUCAUCAAAAUUAUAAUAUUUUUAUUUUAAGAAUAUAAGAGUGAGUCGUUGUAGAAUAUUUAAAAAAAAAACUUAAAAACACCAUUUAAGUCGAUUCUGAUGCAGAUUUUCGUUAAAGUUUAAAGAUUCCCAAUUGAUUUCUUAGGAGAUUAAAAUGAGUUUUUUUUUCCUUCGGUUAUACUGUAUCUAGGAUGUUUUUAUUUUCAAACAUGAACUAAUUUUCUAAACACCUAGGGAGAUGAACCCUAUGAUGAAUUCUGUUGUUUGAUUUUUAUUUUACGCAAUAAAUACUUAGUUGUUUAUUGUCAAUUAUGUGUGCCUAAUUCUUAGUUUAAUAUUUCCAAAUUAUUUACCUAAAUCAAAGGAGACAUAUACCCCUUUUAAGAGUAAAUCUUGUGUAAUUGAGUGGAGUUGCAUGUAAUCCUAGAAAUAGGACGAAAUAAACCUACCAGAUUAGAGUCAAAUCUAAUAAGGGAAUCCAUAGCACGAGUUAAUGCGAUAAUAGGAUUUUUAAUUAGAAAGAAAUUUCAAUUAAUCAAUCUAAAGUCAGUUGCUCUUACUCUCGAAAGAGAUAUUAGCAUAAUUUAAGGAUUUUUACAAAUCAAGUUACUAAGUAAAGAAAUUACGUAAUUUAGAUUGAUAGCGACCGAUGAAAGCUAGGUGAAUUCUUUCCUAGGUAUUGUUUCCCUUCUUGGUUGUUAAUAGUUUAUUUUCUUGAUUUGUUAUUUGUCGUUUUCGUUAAUUAAUUUAGUUAAUUUUAGUUUUUAAUCAAUCACUUAUUUAUUCAGUUAAAUAGUAGAAAAACGAUAAUUACUAGUACUUUUAGUCUUCCUGGAAACGAUAUCUUUACUCACUAUAGCUAUAUUAUUAAUUGAUAGGUACUGCACUUACCUCAAUCAAAUUUUUAGUUAACUCACGACGCAUCAUUUAUUAAAUAUUAAUUGAUAGGAGAUCAAAAUCAAAGUUUGUUUUUGGAAUUUUGGAUUACCCAAUCCAAGUUAAAUAUAAACCUUACGCAUAAAAAGUACAACCAACACAAAUAGUAACAUAUUUUAAUAAUAAUUAUAUUUAUCCAAAUAAUCAUAUUUCUUAAUUAUUAAUCAAUAGAUACAAUUAUACUUGUUUUAAGAAUUAAAAGAAAUAACUUUUCGCUAUAAUUUGGAACGUUUCCAUUUGGUCAAAUUUCGUAAUUAAACUAAGUUGCUGAAGUGAAGAAAGCGUUAUAGGCAGUGAUGUUUUGUGUACGUGAUUAUUGUUAGGUUUUAAUAUAAUACAAAAUAAUAUUCAUUCUAUUAAAUUAAUUUUAAAUAUUAAAAAUAAAAUAUUUUAAGAAAAAUUUGAAGUCAAAUUCAAAAAUGUUAAUUUUAUAAUAUAAACAAUAAAAUACUUAUAGAAAUCUUUCUACAUCUUAAUUUUUCUAUUUAAAAUUUCUAAAGUCAAUUUAGUGUUAGUCAGAUAUGUUUUUUUAUUUGUAAAGGAUCAUCUUCAAUUACACAUUCUUCUUUAUAUGUCUUCUUUUUGCAAGACUGGCAUUGAUUGUUUCUACUCUUGUACCAUUCGAGAUAACAUGCAUCACUUAAUAAAAUAUUAAUAGUUUUACAAAUUUCGGUGAUAAAAAAUCUCAAGUUAGGUGACAUAACUACAAAUUUUCAAAAAUAAAAGGACCAAAAGUGUAAUUUAUUUAAAAUUAUGAUUAUUUAAAUAGUAUAUAUAACGUACGUCUCUCCUUUUUAUCGAAUAUAGCUUGUUCACGUAAUAAUAUAUAAUGAUGAAUGAAUAUAUAAUUGGGAGCAUCUCUUAUAAUUUAGAAGUAAAAAGGACAAAAUAGCGUCAAACAUCAGGUUGUAAUUCAGAAGCAAGAGCAGAAAAAUGAGUGGCUUGAUGAAGUUUGUAAUUCUUGUCCCAUCUUCUUUCUUCCUCGUAGCUUUGAUAAAGUUCCUUUAUGAUUACUUGUGGAUACCUCUCCGUAUACAGCAUAUGCUGAAUUCGCAGGGAAUCAAAGGACCUCGUUACAAAUUCAUCUACGGAAUCAACGAUGAAGCUACCCAAAUGACAAAGGAAGCAUUAAGCAAACCCAUGGCCUUGACGCAUGACAUAUUUCCCAGAGUGCAGCCACAUAUUUACUCAUGUAUCAACAGAUAUGGUAAGAUCUGUGCAUGUUCUUUCACUAUGGUUUCAAUCUUCCAGUUCUAAGAAAAGAUGAACCCUUUUUGUUUUUUGUUUGAUUAGGGAGGAAUUUUCUUUAUUGGGACGGUGUCCGACCUGAACUUGUGAUUUCAGAACCUGAACUAAUUAAAGAGGUUUUGAAAAAUAGUGAAAAAACUUUUCCCAAAAGGAAGCCUACCAUUUUCAUUAACAAGCUACUAGGGAACGGGCUUGUGACAGUGGAAGGUGAAAAAUGGGUGAAGCAGCGGAAGUUGGCGAAUAACGUUUUUCAUGGGGAAAGCUUAAAGGUAAACCCCUCGAAAUAUAUGGAUUAGAUGUAAACUAAUGUAAAAGAAUUUUAUAUUAUUGGAGAAUUCUUUGGGCUGGACAUGAGACCAGGAAUAAUUGCUAGCGUUGAAACAAUGCUAAAGAAGUGGAAAGGCCAAGUAGGCAAAGAGAUCGAAGUGUUCCAUGAAUUUAAAUUAUUGACUUCCGAAGUGAUCUCGAGGACAGCUUUUGGUAGCAGUUACUUGGAAGGGGAGAAGAUUUUUGAAAUGUUGAACAAGUUGUCAAUAGUUCUGAGCCGAAAUCUUUCCAAUACUGGAAUUCCCUUAUUCGUGUAUAUUGCCUCUAAGCUUAACUGAUCCCUCAAUUUUUCCAAGAUAUAGAGCUAACCUUGAUUUGCUUUUACAGCAAGUUACAGAAACCUGCUGAUAUGCUAGAGGCAGAAGAACUUGCAAAAGGAAUACAGGACUGUGUGUCGAAGAUUGUGAAAACGAGAGAAGACAAAGUUGUGAAGGGAGAGGCUGAUAACUUUGGCAUUGAUUUUCUAGGAUUACUUAUAAAUGCCUACCAUGAUACGGACGAAAAUAACAAACUUUGAUUGGAAGACUUGGUAGAUGAGUGCAAAACAUUUUACUUUGCUGGACAAGAUACUGUUAAUUCCUUACUUGCUUGGAUGGUCUUACUUUUAGCAAGUCAUGGAGAUUGGCAAGAGAAAGCGAGAAGAGAGGUGAUUGAGAUAUUUGGUAACCAAUAUCCAAAUUCUGAAGGCCUUUCUAAACUCAAAAUUGUAAGUAAACUGUCAAACCCUUUCAAUACAUUGUGUAUACCCGGCAUUUAAAUCAAAGUCAUAAAGGCUGUUAGUACAUAAAAAAUCCUGGUCUAUACUCUUUAGUCUACUCUGACAUAUUCCUAUUCUGCAAACAGAUGACCCUGAUUAUUAAUGAAUCUCUAAGAUUGUAUGGUCCAGCAGUUGGCCUAUUGAGGAAAGGUGGAAGUGAAGUUCGGUUAGGAAAUCUAGUCUUGCCUGCUGAUAUAGAUAUUCUUAUUGCAAAUGUUGCACUUCACCAUGACCCUCAACAAUGGGGAGAUGAUGUGCAUCUUUUUAAGCCAGAGAGAUUCGCCGAAGGGGUUGCCAAAGCUACCAAUUACAACACAGCUGCAUUUUGUCCCUUUGGAUUGGGACCUCGAACUUGUGUUGGUACAACCUUCGCACUCAUGGAAGCGAAGAUUGCAGUCUCCAUGAUUCUACAACGCUACACCAUUUCCCUCUCCCCUGCCUAUGUCCACGCGCCAGUAUCUAUUAUCACCGUUAAACCACAACAUGGAAUACUCGAGUCACUGCAUCACGAUGCUUAAACUACACGGCAGCUAAGGGCUCAGCGUUCAACUCAGUUUGCUCAUGUAUUCUCAUUUUAAGAGAUGACAUUUCAUAGAUCGGGGGCUUUUGCAUUAGCAGCCACUUCCCUAUUUAUGCGCUCCUUCGUGCAUAAAUAACUGCAAAUAUCUGCUCAUUUCCAAGAUGGUAAGGCAUGCAAUAAAUGAAAAUGAAACACAAUUUAUCAUUUUAAUAAUUUAUAUUUUUAAUUUUUAAAUGAUUAAAUUAAAUUUUUAUUAUUUUUUAAUGUUCAAGUUCGAACCUAAUUCAUAUUGUAAAUGAGACUAAUUUUUUUACCUAAACUCAUUUUUUGGGCUUAAUAUUUUUACUCAAAAUAUAAAUAGAUGAUAAUUAUUUAAUUUAUGAGUAAAUAUAUAUAUUAAAAAUGUAUUAACAAUAGAAGUAAUUAAUAAAAAUCUACUUAAUCUUUCAAAAAAGCCUCUCAAAAUCAACUAUUUGACCAAUAUACUAAUCAUUCUGUUCUUUAAUUUAAUCAUUUUUUAUACUUUUUGUGUUUUAAAAUAGUAAAUUUAUUAACAAAAAUAACAUUGUUUCUUUUAAUAUUAUAUAAAAAUAACAAGUUAAUGUUAUAUUUCGCACGAAAAUUUUGAAAUUUUAUUUUUAACAUAAUUUUAGUAAGAAAUUCCUAUGGUUGUAUUGUGAUUAUUGUUUUUGCAGCAAUUGUUGACUAAUUUGCAUUUGUGAUGACGCAUGGUAGAUGGCUCCCAAUAAAAUAUUCAUAAAUAUAAAAAAAUCGAGUUUUAUUAAGAUAAUUUUAAUUGAUAAAUUAUGUGUAAAAUAUUAUUUUUAGCCGAAGUAGGUGGUAUGCCAACUCAUUUUAGGGACCACAUGACCCCACUAUCCCAAAAAUCUAUUAUUUUUAAAUUUUUUAAUGUUCAUAUAAUCAAGAUGAUGAUUGGAUUAUCAAAACAUAUAUAUACAAUUUAAUUGCAAGAGCACAGAGUGUUAUUGGACAACAGUUAGAAGAGGUGAGAUUCUUGCACGUGUCCUGUAUACUCGGUGGGACUAAAUUGGAGCCUACGUUUAUUAGUGCUUUGCUAGAAAGAUAGAGACUCGAGACACACACAUUUCAUUUUCUGUGCGAUGGUGAUAUGAUUACACUUGAGGAUGUGAUAUUAGAACUUGGUCUAUUGGUUGAUGGGCCAAUAAUUUAGGGAAAUUUGAAUAAAAAUAAUACCAAACAUAUUUAGUAAUUUAGGGAAAUUUUAAUAGCUUCACAUUCUUCAGCCUAUAAAUAGUGGAUUCAUGUCAUGAGUUGCAGGUCAAAGCUCAUGAUGAAUGCACACAAAGCGUCUUAUGGAGGUCACCAAUUUUGGUUGACACUAGAAAUGAAAAGAAAAUGUAUAUUUUUUAUAAAAGAAUACUAGGUGGCAUUUUUUGAUUGGCCACCAAUUUUUUUAAUGUUAAAAAUUGGAUUAAAAUUUAUAACGGAUAAUACUUUAAGUACUAAAUUAAGUUAAAAAAACUUUAAGUACCAAAAUUACUGGUGAAUUAGACAAAAAUUAGUGGUGAGAAUGGAGGUUUAGAGAGAAAUAAUGCUUCAUUAUUUUAUUCAUUCCCAAUAAGCAUGGAUAUGUAAUCAGUACAUAAGUUAAAGAAACCGCAAAUGCCAAAAUCACUCAACACGUAUAGCCUCCUAGUUCAGCUGAUGCCGACGCUUUUAAGGUCAACAAGGAAAACAAUUUGGCAAGUAUGGUACAUUUCAGCAGGAAAGUUGCACACGUUUCUUAUACACACUUAUGAACUAUUGUAUGGAAAAUGUCUCACGAAUACGUCCAACCUACUUUGAACGAGAACGAGGAUUGCAAAUGCAAUUUUGCUCCUUCACCACUUUUGGAGUGCUCCUAAUGAUGCUAUUAUGAAUGGGAAAAUGGUUAAAGUUUAGAGACGAAAAAUGAGUGCCUUGAUGGAGCUUGUAACUCUUGUCCCAUGUUGUUUCUUCUUCAUAGCUUUAAUAAAGUUCCUUUAUGAUUACCUAUGGAUACCUCUCCGUAUACAGCAUAUGCUGAAUUCACAGGGGAUCAAAGGACCUCCUUACAGAUUCAUCCAUGGCAACAACAAGGAAAUCGCCAAAAUGAGACAAGAAGCAUCAAUCAAACCUAUGGCCUUGACGCAUGAUAUAUUUCCCAAAGUGCAGCCACAGAUUUACUCCUGGAUCAACAAAUACGGUAAGAUCCAUGCAUGUUUUUCACUAUGGUUUCAAUCUUCUAGUUCAAUUAAAAGAUGGACCCUUUUUUUGCUUUUUGUUUGAUUAGGGAGGAAUUAUCUUUUUUGGAACGGUGUUCGAGCUGAACUUGUGAUUUCAGAACCUGAACUAGUGAGAGAUACUAAAAAAUAGUGAAAAAACUUUCCCGAAAAGGAAGCCUACCAUUUACCUUAGCAAGCUACUAGGGAAGGGGCUUGUGACGGUUGAGGGUGAAAAAUGGGCGAAGCAGAGGAAGCUGGCGAAUUACGCUUUUCAUGGGGAAAGCUUAAAGGUGAACCCCUCGAAACAUGUGAUUAGUUGUAAACUAAUGUUAAAGAAUUUUAUAUUGUUGGAGAAUUGCUUUUGCAGAACAUGACACCAGCUGUAAUUGCUAGCGUUGAAACAAUGCUAGAGAAAUGGAAAGGCCAAGAAGGCAAAGAGAUUGAAGUGUUCCAUGAAUUUAGAUUAUUGACUUCAGAAGUGAUAUCAAGAACAGCUUUUGGUAGCAGUUACUUGGAAGGAGAGAAGGUUUUUGCCAUGUUGAACAAGCUGUCAAUAAUUAUGAGUCGAAAUCUUUAUAAUACUAGAAUUCCUUUGAUCAAGUAUGUUCCCUCUAAGCUUAAUUAAUCCCAAGUUUUUCCUUAAUUGUGUUUUCCACCCCCAUGAAUUUAUUUUUCUCCUUAUAUAUGGCUAACAUUAGUUUUCUCUUCUAGCAAGUUAUGGAAACCUGCCGAUAUGCUAGAGUCUGAAGAACUUGCAAAAGAAAUACAAUAUUGUGUGAUGAAGAUGGUUAAGAAAAGAGAAGACAGAGUUGUGAAUGGAGAAGCUGAUAGCUUUGGGAAUGAUUUUCUAGGAUUACUUGUAAAUGCCUAUCAUGAUUCGGACAAAAAUAACAAGCUUUCAAUGGAAGAUCUGGUGGAUGAAUGCAAAACAUUCUAUUUUGCAGGACAAGAUACUGUUAAUGCCUUGCUUGCCUGGACAGUCUUGCUUUUAGCAAUCCAUGGAGAUUGGCAAGAUAAAGCAAGAAGGGAGGUGAUUGGCAUAUUUGGUAACCAAAAUCCACAACCGGAAGGCAUUGCAAAACUCAAAACUGUAAGCAAACUUUCUAACCAUUUAAGACCGCACGCAUUGUGUUACAGUCAAUAUUUUGUAGUUUCGACUCUUUCUACAUUGAUAUUCAUUGCUAAUAUUUACCACAAUUAAUUGCGAUAACAUCCAUCAUAUACAACACUGCCAUAAUUUAAAUCCCCGGUGUAUGCUAGCAUGAGUUUAGAACAUUAGAUUAUGUGAUGUUAAUCUUAUAUAUUCCUAUUCUGUAUACAGAUGACGAUGAUCAUUAAUGAAACUCUAAGAUUGUAUGGUCCAUCAAAUGGAAUGUUGAGAAGAGUUGGAAGAGAAGUUCAAAUGGAAAAGGUAGUCCUCCCUGCUAAUAUAGAUAUUCUAAUUGCAAAUGUUGCACUUCACCAUGACCCUCAACUGUGGGGAGAAGAUGUGCAUCUUUUUAAACCAGACAGAUUUGCGGAAGGGAUUGCCAAAGCUACCAAUUACAAUACGGGUGCAUUUUUUCCCUUUGGAUUGGGACCUCGAACUUGUGUUGGUAUGACCUUUGCAACCACAGAAACCAAGAUUGUUCUCUCCAUGAUCCUACAACGCUAUGCUAUUACCCUUUCCCCUGCCUAUGUCCACUCACCAAUACCUAUAAUCAGCCUUAAACCACAACAUGUAAUUCAAGUAAUGCUCAAGUCACUGCAUAGCGAUGCUUGAUGUUUCAUCGCUGUUGUUAUCAACAAUCUGAAAAAGAUGGGUAUGAAUGCAUUUAAUACGUAUUAUCGAGUUAAGGGUUAUGAAUAGUUUAGGCAUUAAAUAAAAAUAAUCUACAUAACCAUUAGGAAUUUAGAGUUUAAUAAAAAAAAUUAUUUCAUGUCUAUUAUCUCUUCUUUUACAACCACUUUCUCCUUUUCUCUAUCUAAUAUGUGAUCUAAUUGCAAAUACAUACCAACCAAGUCCCCUUACGUACACAAUUUAUUAUCAAUUUAAUCCCUUUAUUUAAUUUCCUUUUCCAUUCAACACAUUUAAGUUAAAACAGUAGUGCUAUUUAAAUAACACGUUUUAUAUUAAUUUUAAUUGGUAAAUAAAUUCAUUAUAAAUUAUUUUAUUACAUAAUAAAUCUAUAAAAAAAUUUAUUUUUAUGUAAUAAAUAGAUAUAUAUUUAUUGAAAAAUUAAUAUAAAUUAAUAAAAUUAACAUUACAAGAAAAAAAUUAUUAUAAAAUCAUUAUAUAAAAUAAAUAUAAUUUUAAUAAACUUUAAUUAUUUAUUACUUUCAUAAAUUUCUAAUAAAUUGAAAUUUUAUGAUAUAAGUCUAAUUUAACAUUCUUAUUUUUUGCUCUCUUUAUUCUCACUUUAUUAUAUUACUACAAUUAAACACAUAUUUCAUUAUUGAUUUUAAUCUCAUUUUUUCAAUAAUUUAUCUCAAUAGAUAAAUUCUGUCCUUCUUAGUCAUUUGCAGACCAUGGGCCUACUCACACUUCUCCCUCAUAGCUGAUGUAGUUGAUACAGUGAAGUUGGCCGGGCGGAGCUGGGUACAACAAAAAAUCUAAUUCCGAUUCCAUUGAAAAAUAGGUUUAAAAUAUUACACAAGUUUAAUUUGGAUAAAAAUAUUAAAAUUUAAGUUCGAUUCAGUCUGCCCAUAUUAUCUUUUAUAUAUAUUUUUAAAAUAUAAUAUAUCAAAAAUAUUAAAAAUAUUAAAAUAAAUAUUUUCUAAUAAAUUGAAAAUAAAUUUUAAAAAAAUUGUGUAUACUUAAAUAACACUAAGAUAAGUGCAACUUAACAAACAAAUAUGAAAUACCUCUAAAAUAGUAACAAAAGUAAUAAUAAAACCAGAGUUAUACAAUAUCCAACUAAUAACAAAAAAAAUAAUAGCAACAUAAUUAUGAAAUGGUAAUAAAAUAGUGAAAAAAAAAACAACCAGAAAAUAGCAAGAAAAUAGUAAAAAAAAUGGCAGUUUCUUUUUUGCAUAUUCGGGCCGAGCUCUGGCAAAAAAAAUCUUACUCGAGACUUAAUCCGUUUUCUAAACAUGCCUUCUGUUUUUGCCAAACUCAUUUUUCGAGCCUAUAUUUUUACCUAAACUCUCUCACUUUUCAAGCAGACCUUCAAAUUGAACUGAAUAACCCGACUCAUGAACAAAUUUAAAGUAAAGGCCACCAAAAAAAAUAAAAAGGCAAGUUUGAGACUUUAAGGAGAGUGAAUUGUUGAGGGAGGUAGAGGUUAUAUACUAAGACUAUUUCUCUUAAUCGUAAUUAAAAUAUUCAAUAUUAAUAACAGUGAUUAAUCCUAUAAUUAAUCAUGAAAAAUAUUUUUUUAUGAGCGAAAAUUCAACCUCAAAUCACUUAAUUAAAGGUUAAAAGAAUAAAAUCAAUAUAUUAUGAUUGGAUACAAAAAAGAUAAAGCUCACAAAUAUCCAAAUACAAAGUUGAAAUCCACAUCAUCAACAUAUAUCAUACAACGGAUCUUCAAAGGAAUGAAAAUAUUAGUAUAUAAUGAAUAAAGAAAUCAAGGAAACCCCAAAUGCCAAAAUCACUCUACACGUACAGCCUCCAAAUGCAGCUAAUGCCGACACUUGUGUGUUGAGAUAGUAAAUGAUGUCGACAAAUGUCAAAAAAAUUAUUUAUUGAUGUAUAUGUAACUAUUUUUUUGUCAAGGUAAUAGCUAUAAAUAGUUAUCGACUCUGUAUGAUCAUUACGCUUCAAUUGGAUUAUUCUAUUCUAUCUCUUAGAACGAAAAGAACUUAAAUCAAAAUAUUUAGUAGCAUGGCGAUACAUUUAUACAAAACUUCUACCACGGGCGCAUGCAAUGGAGCCGUAGUCAGUCAAGUGAAAUCUAAUCCACGAAAUAAUUUGAUCUAUGGAUAGUAUUGUUAUGGUAAAGGUUGUAAUGCUAGAGGAAUCAUUACCGCAAGGCAUAGAGGAGGAGAUCAUAAGUAGGGUGAGCAAAACUCGAUUCUACUCGAAAAAAUUGAAAAAAAAAUUCGAAUUUCGAGUUAAACGAAUCAAGUUAUUCGAGUUAAUCAAGUUAUUCGAAUCAAGUCGAAUUUUUUUUCGAAUUUCGAAUUCGAAUCAAGUUGAGUUUUCGAAUUCGAAUAAUUCGAAUAUCAAACUAUAAUAUUUUACAUUUUUAACCCAAACUCCUAAACCUUUUUACUUUUCCCUCAAAACUUUUACUCCUUCCCACUUUCCCCCCAAAACUUUUACUCCUCUCCCCUCCCAACCCCCCAAUCUAUCCAAAAUCAAUUUCCCACCAAAAUUUUACUCUCCCAUUUACUUUUUCUCAAAAUUUUACUCCCAAAAACCCUCAAAACCUUUUAUUUUCCCCCAAAAUUUUUAUUCCUUCCCACUUUUCCCCUAAAACUUUUAUUCCCUUCCCAUCCCACCUCCCAUCUACCCCAAACCCUCCCCCCUCCAAUUUUUUUAAUAUUUUCCCUCCAAAAUUUUACUCCCCCUAAUUACAUUCCCUCAAACUUUUAUUCCCUAAAACUUUUUAUUUUCCCCCUAAACUUUUACUUUUCACCCUUUACUCUCAAAUAAAAAAUCAAAAUUAUCCAAAAAAAUCACUAAACAUAAAUAGUAAUAAUUUUAUUUAUAUCUACUAUUUAUAUUAUUAAAUUAAAUUUCACAUUUUAUAUUAUUUAUAUUAUUGAAUUAUUUAGUCAUAUUGAAUAUUUAUAUUAAAAUUGAAUUAUUAAUUAUGCCAUAAAAUAUUCGUGUUAAAAUUUUAUAUUGGUAUCAAUUUCACAUUUUAUUUUUAAAAUAACUUUUAUUAAAAAAUCAUAUUUUUACAUUUAAUAUAUUUUUAAUUCUAAAAUAUAUAGUGACAAGAAUCUGAAGACAAUUGAAACAACUAAGCAAGCAAAGAAGCUAACCAAUAUAUAAAAAAUUAAUAAAUAAAUUAUGAGGUGAUGAAAGUUAAUAAAAAAUUUGAUUAAGGUGGACAAAUUUUAUUACGAUAGGUGACAGUGGUUACAAGAACCCAAAAUUAUUUUUUAAAUUUUAACUCGAACAAAUAUAUUCGAUUCGAUUCAAUUCGAAUUUCAUCUCACUCGACUCGAUUCGAGAAAACUUCAAAUAAAGUUAGGAUGAUAAAAUGAGAUUCGAAAACUCGAUUAACUCAAAAAUUUUCUAUUCGAUUCGAUCGAAUGCUCACCCCUAAUCAUAAGCAUCUAUACUGUAAAAUUAAUCUUCGACGAAAUGGAAAAGACAUAUAUAAUAAAAUCGUAACCAUAAAAUACAACCCUAAUCGAAAUGCAUAUAUUUAUCUCAAUAUCUCUCUCAAUUCGAUCACUCUGUACAAUACUCAUUCAUAAGAAAAUGUUUUAUAUUUUGGAACUUAUUUUAUUUGAGUUUUUAUUAGUUAUCAUGAUUUGAAGUGAGAAUUAAUACUCGUAUAUUUUACAUCAAUUCGCUAAUGAAAAUUAAAUAAAUCAUCUUUUUUAAAAGAAGCAACGUUUAAGAAUUUUAUAAAAUGAAAAAUCAUUAAAUUCUUUAAUAAAUAUUUAUAUAAUAUUUUAUAUUUCACACCAUAAUUGAUUAUAAUGAUCUAAUCGAACAUGUCAGUCGAUUAAUAUAUUUAAAUAAAUAAAUUUCUAAUUUAUUAUACUAAUAUAUAUAAUAUUAAUGAAAACAAAUUGUCAAUAGAUACAAAUUGUCUAAUGAUACAAAUCUAGGACUUCAAUUGAAGAUGAUCUUCAAAGAUCAUGAAAGUCGCAUUCUGCACCAGUUGACUUUCACAAAUUAAUUAGUUGUUUACACGUUCAAAGUUGCUUCUUUUUUUAAAAAAAUAAAUAAGUAAAUUUCUAAUUUUAAAAUGAUAAAAACGAAAAAUUAGUUGUCAAGACCCUACAAAUUGAAUAAAAUAAUUCUAAAUCUCUCUUUUACUAUGCAAUAAUUGUCAACCUAAACUCACCAUAAAUAGAAAGCUAAAGGAGCAUUUCAAUUCGUUGUUGAGAGAAGAAAAAAAUGAGUACCUUGGUGAAGCUGGCAAUUCUUCUCCCAUGUUCUUUCUUCCUCGUAGCUUUGAUAAAGUUCCUUUAUGAUUACUUGUGGAUACCUCUCCGUCUACAGCAUAUGAUGAAUUCACAAGGAAUCAAAGGACCUCCUUACACAUUCAUCCAUGGAAACAACAAAGAAGCUACCAAAACGACAAAUGAAGCCUUAAGCAAACCUAUGGCCCUGAGACAUGAUAUAUUUCCCAGAGUGCAGCCACAUGUUUACUCAUGUGUCAACAGAUAUGGUAAGAUUCCAUGCAUGUUUUGCACUAUGGUCUCGAUCUUCUGGUUCUAAAAAAAGAAUGACCUUUUUUUAAAAAUUUGAUCAGGGAGGAAUUAUCUUGCUUGGGACGGUAAGCAACCUGAACUGGUGAUUACAGAACCUGAACUUGUCAACGAGGUUCUCAAAAAUAGUGUGACAACUUUUCCGAAAAGAAAGCCUACUUUUUUUCUCACUGGGAUAUUUGGGAACGGGCUUGUGACAGCUUUGGGUGAAAAAUGGGUGAAGCAACGGAAGUUGGCGAAUUAUGCUUUUCAUGGGGAAAGCUUAAAGGUAAAACUCUCCAAACAUGUGAAUUAGUUGUCUAAUUAAUCUUCUUAUAUGUUGGAGUAUUGAUUGUGCAGAACAUGACACCAGCUGUUAUUGCUAGUGUUGAAACAAUGCUAGAAAAGUGGAAAGGCUAUGUAGGCAAAGAGAUAGAAGUGUAUCAUGAAUUUAGAUUAUUGACUUCGGAAGUGAUAUCCAGAACAGCUUUCGGUAGCAGUUACUUGGAAGGGGAGAAGAUUUUUGACAUGUUGAACAAGUUGUCAAUAAUUAGGAGCCGAAAUCUUUUCGAAACUCGAAUUCCUCUGAUCAAGUAUGUUCCCUCUAAAAGCUUAUUUGAUCCCUCGGUUUUGUCAUAUUACUGACCUUGGUUUACUUUUACAGCAAGUUAUGGAAAUCUGGUGAUGUGCUAGAGUCUGAAGAACUUUCAAAAGGAAUACAAGAUUGUGUGAUGAAGAUUGUUAAGAAAAGAGAAGACAAAGUUGUGAAUGGAGAAGCCGAUAGCUUCGGCAAUGACUUUCUAGGAUUACUUGUAAAUGCCUAUCAUGAUUCGAAUAAAAAUAACAGGCUUUCAACGGAAGACUUGGUGGAUGAGUGCAAAACAUUCUACUUUGCUGGACAAGAUACCGUGAAUUCCUUACUUGCAUGGAUAGUCUUCCUUUUAGCAAUUCAUGGAGAUUGGCAAGAGAAAGCAAGAAGAGAAGUGAUUGAGAUAUUUGGUAACCAAAUUCCGAAUUCUGAAGAGAUGUCUAAACUCAAAAUCGUAAGUAAACUGUCAAACCCUUUCAAUAUAAUAUUUUGUUGCAGCUAUUAUUUAAUUUUUUUAAUGCAAUGUGACACGUUCCUUUUCUGGAAACAGAUGACCAUGAUUAUUUAUGAAACUCUAAGAUUGUAUGGUCCAUCAAAUGGCAUGAUGAGAAGAACUGAAAGUGAUGUUCAGUUAGGGAAGCUAAUCUUGCCUGCUAAUCUUGAUCUUCUAGUUAUACAUGCUGCACCUCACCAUGACCCUCAAUUAUGGGGAGAUGAUGUGCAUCUUUUUAAACCAGAGAGAUUCGCAGAAGGGAUUGCCAAAGCUACCAAUUACAAUGCAGGUGUAUUUUGUCCCUUUGGAUUGGGACCUCGAAAUUGUGUUGGUAUGAACUUUGCAACCACGGAAACGAAGAUUGUGCUGUCCAUGAUUUUACAACGCUACACCAUUUCCCUCUCCCCUACCUAUGUCCACUCACCAAUAC